rnacentral:lncRNA from 1 species
UUUAUUUUAAUCAGAGUCUUUUAUUUGUUAAAAACUAACGAUCUCGACUUACUUAGAAAAGUUGGGUCGUUACAGUUGGUAUCAGAGCCUAAGUUUUAGGUUCUGUAGACUGACUUACGAUGUAAGUCUAUGUUUUUGUGUUCCUAUGGCAAACGCGACCCUUCGUCUCUCGUCAGGUAUGCUUUAUGCUUAUAUGUAUGGUUUAUUUGCAUGACCUUGCCUAAAUUAAACUAGAUUGCAUGACGAUAAAGACUUGCUUAUGUUUAUGAUUAAGAUUUUGUUAAAGAGUGUUGUUGGUGGGUAAUAGGAAUUAUGCCGCCAAGGGAAGAAGUACGUAGAGGAGGUCGUAGAGGCCGAGGUAGAGGAGUAGUAGGGCCGAGGUAGAGGAGCAGGUCGUAAUCAGCCUACUGGGGUCAAGCUGAACAGCAAAUUCCUGCUGCACCCGUGACUCACGUUGAGUUUGAUGCACUGUCUGCUCACAUGGAGCAGAGGUUUACAGAACUUAUGACAGCUAUAGCUCAAAACCAGCAGGCACCUGCAGUCCCACCUGCACCUGUAGUUCCCCCUGCACCAGCAGCCCCUCCUGCACAAGAAUUACCUAACCAACUUUCUGCUGAGGCGAAACAUUUGAGGGACUUUCGGAAGUAUGACCUCAGACGUUUGAUGGGUCACUGGAGGAUCCUACUAAAGCUGAAAUGUGGUUGUCCUAUGUGGAAACCAUAUUUAAUUACAUGAGAUGUCCUGAGGAGCACAGAGUUCAGUGUGCUGCUUUUCUACUGAGGGACAGAGGCAUUAUCUGGUGGAGGACUACAAUGCGCAUGCUAGGUGGAGAUGUGAGGCAGAUUACCUGGGAUCAGUUUAAGGACUGCUUCUAUACCAAGUUUUUCUCGGCUAACCUUAGAGACGCCAAAAGCCAGGAAUUCUUGGAGUUGAAGCAAGGAUAUAUGACAGUCGAGGAGUACGACCAGGAGUUUGAUAUGCUGUCACGUUUUGCCCCUGAGCUUGUUAGUAAUGAGCAGGCUAGAGCUGAUAGGUUCGUCAAGGGAUUGAGAGAUGAAAUUAGGGGUUUGUGCGAGCACUAAAGCCCACUACCCAAGCUGAAGCACUGCGUCUGGCAGUGGAUAUGAGUAUUGGGAAGGAUGAAAGACAGCCAAGGAGCUUUAAUAAGGGAUCGUCGUCGGGUCAAAAGAGAAAAGUAGAGCAGAUAACUGUAGGAGUUCCUCAGAGGAACAUGAGACCAGGUGAUUCUUUUCGCAGUUUCCAGCAGAAUUCUGGCGCGUGCAGGAGACACUACUCAAGAGAGGCCAGUAUGUGAUACGUGUGGGAAACGCCACCUGGGUCGUUGUUUGAUGGAACGAGAGUCUGUUAUAAGUGCAAGCAAGAGGGACACAUGGCUGAUAGGUGUCCCUUGAGAUCUACUGGGGCUGGAUCGAGCAGUCAGGGAGAGAGACCUCCACAGCGGGGUACAAUCUUUGCCACUAAUAGAUCAGAGGCAGAGAAGGCCGGCACAGUAGUGACAGGUACGUUACCAGUAUUGGGGCAUUUUGCCUUGACCUUGUUUGACUCGGGAUCUUCUCAUUCAUUUAUUUCAUCGCUUUUUGUGACGCAUGCAUGCUUAGAAGUGGAACCUUAGACUAUGUUUUGUCAGUGUCUACACCGUCUGGAGAAAUUAUGUUGUCUAAGGAAAAGAUUAAAGCAUGUGAAAUUGAAAUAGCUGGUCGUGUGUACUGGACGUAACCUUGUUGGUAUUAGAUAUGCGUGACUUUGAUGUAAUUUUAGGUAUGGAUUGGCUAGCUACUAAUGAUGCUAGUAUUGAUUGUUCUCGUAAGGAAGUUGUGUUUAGUCCCCCUACUGCAUCUAGCUUUAAAUUCAAGGAGUAGGAACAGUAGUACUGCCUAAAGUAAUCUCAGCUAUGAAAGCUAGUAAACUACUCAACCAGGGUACUUGGAGUAUUUUGGCAAGUGUGGUGGAUACUAGGGAAGGUGAGACUUCUUUAACUUCAGAACCUGUGGUAAGAGACUACCCAGAUGUAUUUCCAAAAGAUCUUCCAGGACUACCGCCACAUAGAGAGGUUGAUUUUGCCAUUGAGUUGGAGCCAAACACUACUCCUAUUUCUAGAGCCCCUUAUAGGAUGGCUCCUGCUGAGUUGAAAGAACUGAAGGUACAGUUACAGAAUUGCUUGACAAAGGCUUUAUUCGACCUAGUGUGUCACCUUGGGGUGCACCAGUAUUGUUUGUGAAGAAGAAGGAUGGGUCGAUGCGUCUUUGCAUUGACUAUAGAGAGUUGAAUAAAGUAACAGUCAAGAACAGGUAUCCUUUACCCAGAAUCGAUGAUUUUGUUCGAUCAGUUACAGGGAGCCACGGUGUUCUCUAAGAUUGACUUACGGUCAGGUUAUCACCAGUUGAGGAUUAGAGACCGUGAUAUUCCUAAGACUGCCUUUCGUUCGAGGUAUGGACAUUAUGAAUUCAUAGUGAUGUCUUUUGUUUGACUAAUGCACCUGCUGUAUUUAUGGAUUUGAUGAACAGGGUGUUUAAGGAUUUCUUGGACACUUUUGUGAUAGUCUUCAUUGAUGAUUAUCUUGGUUUAUUCCAAGACUGAAGUCGAACAUGAGGAACAUUUUACAUAAGGUAUUAGAGACUCUUCGAGCCAAUAAACUGUAUGCUAAGUUCUCGAAGUGCGAAUUUUGGUUGAAGCAAGUGACUUUUCUUGGUCAUGUGGUUUCCAGUGAGGGAGUUUCAGUAGACCUGCAAAGAUAGAAGCUGUUACCAGUUGGUCUCGACCCUCCACAGUUGGUGAGGUUCGUAGUUUUCUGGUGUUUAGCAGGGUACUACCGGAGGUUUGUGGAGGAUUUUUCAACGUUUGGCUACUCCUUUGACUCAGUUGACAAGGAAGGGAACUCCGUUUGUUUGGAGUCCAGCUUGUGAGGAUAGUUUUCAGAACCUUAAGCAAAGGUUAGUUACUGCACCGGUCCUUACUGUACCAGAUGGAUCAUUGGAAGUUUGUGAUUUACAGUGAUGCUUCCAAGAAAGGACUGGGUUGUGUUUUGAUGCAGAAAGGUAAGGUGGUUGCUUAUGCCUCUCGUCAGUUGAAGAGUCACGAAGCAGAACUACCCACACAUGAUUUGGAGUUGGCAGCAGUGGUUUUUUGCAUUGAAGAUAUGGAGACAUUACUUUGUACGGUGAAAAGAUACAAAUCUUUACUGACCAUAAGAGCCUAAAGUACUUCUUCACUCAGAAGGAGUUGAAUAUGAGACAGCCGAAGGUGGCUCGAGUUGGUAAAAGAUUAUGACUGUGAGAUAUUAUACCAUCCUGGUAAGGCGAAUGUGGUGGCUGAUGCUCUUAGUAGAAAAGCAUCACAUUCGUGCAGCACUCAUUACUAGACAGGUACCAUUGCAUCGAGACUUGGAGAGAGCUGAGAUUGCAGUGUCUGUGGGAGAGAGUCACCUCACAGCUAGCUCAAUUAACGGUGCAACCGACUCUGAGGCAGCAAGAUUGUUGAUGGCUCAGAGUAAUGAUCCUUAUUUGAUGGGAGAGACGUAGCCUUGUUGAACAGGGCAGACUGAUGAGUUCUCCAUAUCCUCUGAUGGUGGGUUUGAUGUUUGAGAGACGUUUAUGUGUGCCAGCGAACAGUACAGUUAAGAUUGACUUACUAGAUGAAGCCCAUAAUUCCCCAUUUUCCAUGCAUCCUGGUAGCACGAAAAUGUAUCAGGAUCUAAAACGAUUUUAUUGGUGGCGGAAUAUGAAAAGAAGUGGCGGAAUUUGUUAGUAAGUGUCUAGUAUGUCAGCAAGUUAAGGCACCUAGACAGAAACCAGCAGGUUUAUUACAACCUUUAAGUGUGCCAGAGUGGAAGUGGGAGAAUGUGUCGAUGGAUUUUAUUUCAGGGCUGCCUAAGACCCUGAAGGGUUUCACAGUGAUUCUGGUUGUCAUAGACAGGCUUACAAAAUCGGCACAUUUUGUACCAGGAAAAUCCACUUAUACUGCUAGUAAGUGGGCAGAGUUGUAUUUAACUGAGAUUGUGAGACUGCAUGGAGUGCCUGUAUCGAUUGUUUCUGAUAGGGAUGCACGGUUUACUUCCAAGUUUUGGAAGGGACUUCAGACUGCUAUGGGUACGAGAUUGGAUUUCAGUACAGCCUUUCAUCCACAGACUGAUGGUCAAACUGAACGUUUGAACCAAGUUUUAGAGGAUAUGCUACGAGCUUGUGUUAUAGAGUUUCCAGGUAGUUGGGACUCUCAUCUACAUUUGAUGGAGUUUGCUUAUAACAACAGUUUCCAGGCUACCAUCGGUAUGGCACCAUUUGAGGCUUUAUAUGGCAAAUGUUGUAGAACCCCUGUUUGUUGGAGUGAGGUUGGUGAACAUAGAUUGAUGGGACCUGAAUUAGUUCGGUCUACUAAUGAGGCUAUUCAAAAGAUUAGAGCACGUAUGCAAACAGCGCAGAGUAGACAGAAGAGUUAUGCGGAUGUACGACGAAAAGACCUUAAGUUCGAUGUGGGAGAAAAGGUAUUCUUGAAGGUAGCACCUAUGAAGGGUGUUAUGCGUUUUGAGAAGAAAGGAAAGUUAAGUCCUCGUUUUGUUGGACCAUUUGAGAUCUUAGAGAGGGUUGGUGUUGUGGCGUAUCGCUUGGCAUUACCACCAUCUCUCUCUGCAGUUCAUAAUGUUUUCAUGUUUCGAUGUUGAGGAAGUAUGUGGCCGAUACGUCUCAUGUAGUGGACUAUGAACCCUUGGAGAUUGAUGAGCAUUUGAGCUAUGUAGAACAACCUGUGGAGAUUCUGGCUAGAGAGGUAAAGAUGCUUCGUAAUAGAAGCAUUCCAUUAGUAAAGGUUUUGUGGCGGAAUCAUCGAAUUGAAGAGGCGACAUGGGAGCGAGAGGAAGAGAUGAGGACUCGUUAUCCAGAGUUAUUUCAGGAUUAAAACUUUCGAGGACGAAAGUUUCUUAAGGAGGGAAGAAUGUAAUGCCCCAAAGGUAUGUAUAUAUAUAUAUUUUGUUUUUAAUUUUAUAUAUAUAUAUAUUUAUACUUAAUUUAAAUAAAAAGAAAGAAAAGAAAAGAAUAUUUUUCCUUCCUUCUUCCUCUCGCACGAGCGUCGCACACAACCCCUCUCUCAUUUUCUUUUCUUCUUCCCGUCCCGCCGCAGCCAACCGCAGCCCAGCCGCAACCACACCUCUAUCUUCUUCUUCCCGUCCCGCCGCAGCCAACCGCAGCCCAGCCGCAACCACACCUCUAUCUUCUUCUUCCCGUCCCGCAGCUAGCCGCCGAUCCUUUCUUUCCAUUUUCUUCUUCCGUCCGCAGCCCCACCGCGAAGCAAGACUGCGCCGCUGCCAGUCCAGAUCUGCGGCGCCGUUGCUCUUCCGUCGCUGCAACCGCGGCCGCCAUCUCUGUUCGCGAAGCAAGGCCGCCGCGUGAACCUGUAACCGCCGGCUGUCUCCCCUCCCUUUCUCCUCUGUUUUCAGCCCAGCCGCCGCCGAUUCCUUCUCCUCCGUCGUCUGCACUGCCGCGCGACUCUCCGGCCAUUUGUAUACGGUCUCUCCGUCGCACGUCAUCUCUUCGCAAAGCCACUGCUCGAUUUCUUUCGUGAAGAUUUGGGUAAGUUGCAAAAAGAUUCACAUUGGGUUGAAUUUAAAUGACUGAUGCGUUGAAGGAAUUAUUGAGAAAUUGUCUUAAUGUUUAGGUUCGUUCUUCAUAGACUUCAACGUGGUUAAGGAGCUUAACAAAUUUGAAGGUAAGGGAUUUUCUACUGGACUCACUUAUGAUUGUGAAUUGCAUGUCUGAAUGAUUAUCUUUGACUGAGUAAAGAUGUUGAGAUGAUACUUAUGUUUAUACACGUAUGGGUGUAGAUUCGGUGCUGAAUGUACACUGUGGAUUGACUGAAAAUAUAUAUACAUAUGCAUAGGAAUUGAAGUAGACUUAAUGUGGAAUGCAUAUUGUGAUUGUCAUGGAAUAUAUAUAUAUGUGUGUGGAUGUGGACAGGACGAAAAUUGUAGAUUAUGCUUGUAUGAGAUGCAGAUGCGAUCUUGUGAUUGUCGUUUAGAUUGGGUGUCGUUACGCUAAAGUAUGACUGUGUGCUGGUGAUCUGAGGGGUGUAUUGACUGUAUAGUUUGAUUGACUGAUGUAUUAGUAUGUUAUUGACAGACAUAUGACCUAAGUGAGAUAAGUUGACUGUUAGGACGUUGAGAGAAAGAACUCUAUGUUUUGAAGUAUCUGAAGGAUGGGUUGAAUGGAAUGAGGGGAUAAAUUGUUAGGUUGUAUUGGGAUGAUUACCUUGUAGGUGUCCCACGGGAUCACCAAUUUAUUUUGCACCUUCGGGAGCAUUUGACUGAUAUGUGUUCUGCAGAACACUAGACUGAUAUGUACGUCCCUCGGGGCGUUAGACUGAUAUGUACGUCCUUCGGGCGUUAGACUGAAAUGUGUAUCCUACGGGAUCACAAGACUGCGACUGUACAGGGUGUCCCAAUAGAACUUUAACAAUUUAUUUUCCCCUGACGAGACCAGUAGAGGGUCUCUUACUGAGUAUUUAAAAUACUCACCCUUCUUAUGUUUAAUUUUCAGGCAAAGGUAAUAAAGGCGGCAAACCGGCGAGGGGCAGGAAGGAAGCGUGAUGCCAUAGGAAACGUGUAAUUGCUUCCGCUUAAUUAAGAUUGAUUUGAAAUUUAGUUUACAAACGUUUGUUGCAAACAGUAUUAGUUUAUGUUUUCUUGAAUGUUUAAAAAUCAGGCCUGACUUGAAGAUGUUUUUUUUUUUAAAUUGCUUACGUUUUGUUUUAUUUUAAUCAGAGUCUUUUAUUUGUUAAAAACUAACGAUCUCGACUUACUUAGAAAAGUUGGGUCGUUACACUUUCUAUUCAAUAAUUGAAACAAAUGGAAAGAGGACAUAUGAAUAUUAAAUAAAGAUGGAAUUAAUUGGGAACUCACGGAGUAAUGCGAUUUGUUCGGGGCUCACCAUUGGAGUUGGAAAAGACACAAGGAUUAGAAAGGAAAGGAAGAGGAGCGUCUGAUAAUCCAACGGAUUCUUUGAUGAGGGAGUACUAAUAGUAGUAGUGGAGGUUCCAAGGACAUUGAAGUCAAUCCGGUGAGAGUGAGGGAAUUUAGAAGGUUGAGGUUGAAGAGAGUAGAAAUUGCAACCAAAAUCGGUGACGAUGGUGGAAUCGAAAUUGCGAGGGAAGAAGAAAAGAGCAUCACAUAUCGAAGUAGAGGAGGAAUCAACACUGGAGAAAGGAGGAAGAUAAGGAGAACUUGCCAUUAAUGGAAGAGGGAGGAAGUGAGAGAGAAAGGAGAGGGAAUUAAUUAAUUAAAGAGAAUUAGGGUUUGAGAAGAGAAAGGGAAAAUGGAGUGUACGAACAAAGAAGAAGAAGAAGAAAUGGAAAGGACGCGCUAAGAGAAGAAGAUGGAGAUGGAUCGGCGAAAUGGGUAUGAUAGGGUUUCUUCCUUAAAGAAACGGAAAUUGAGAGAUAGGCCUUAGGGUUUCGAAAGAGAAAGGAAAAAUGGAGUGUACGAAGAAAUGGAAAGGACGCACUAAGAGAAGAAGAUGGAGAUUGGAUCCGUGACUAGAGAAGAAGAUGGAGAUGGAUCCGCGAAAUGGGUAUGAUAGGGUUUCUUCCUUACAGAAACGGAAAUUGAGAGAUAGGCCAAAGAAGACAAGAGAGCAAGAGAGAAUGGGGAGGAGAGGAGAGACUUGGCCGUUAGAGAAGAGGAGAAAGAAAUUUAAAUGAGAGAGACUGUACAUGUAGGGUUUUUUUUUUUUGAAAUCUUGCUUAAUUGGAUUUAGAGAAUUUUGUGUAUUCGGUUCACUGACUCGUAUUAGCUGUCCAUUGGUCCAUUGUUUUGUCAUUUUUUUUCAACAAACUAAAUGUUUUAAGCCAUUUACAAAUUAGAUUUCGAUAAAUCGAUAAUCAUAUUUUUUUACAAUAUAGGACUAAAAAAGAUAACUAAUUUAUAUAUAUAUAUAUAUAUAUAUAUAUAUACAACAGUAUUUAGUUAAAUUACAAAAAAAAAUUCUUUUGAAUUUUGUAGUUUGUGUAAAAAAAUAACCUUAAACUUUGAAAUGUUAAAAAAAAUUGUUUUGAACUUUUAAAAAUUAUUCAUAAAUACAUCUACAUACGUAGGAUGAAGGUAUUGGCAUGCUUCUCUAAAAAAACUUUCCAAAAAGAUGUUGUGUGACUUUUGAAAAAAAAUUACAAAUGGGGUCGUUUUUAAACAAAUUAGAUAUAUCGAGUUAUUUUCUUUAAUUUUUUUCCUUUUUUCACAUAUUAUCAAUCACAUCUUACUUUUUUCUUUUUCUUUGGAACCCUGCAAAAAUAACAAAAACAUUUAUAAUCACAUGACUCAUGUCACUACAUUUUCUAAAUUUUAAAAGUAGUAAAUUUAAAAGUUGAUAACCCUAUGAUUAUCGUUUGAUAGUCAUCUAAUAUCACUAAUUUUGUCAUAUUCGUAAUAUCCAAAUAAGGUUUCUUGGUGAGUCUAGAGUCGAACGUGAGACUUAUACUAAAAAUAUAUUUAUAUUUUGAAAUGAUCUUAAGGUGAUUAAUAACAUACGCCUAAGAACCAUAGCGGUAUCAUCCACUUGUAGGGGGGAGGGGUCAUCCACUAUAGAUAAGGUCCACUUGUCUCCUACUUCAUAAGGCUGCCAAAAGAGUUAGGCAUAAUCACAUCCACACAUUUACCCUUCUCUCGAACAUAAACCAACUCUCUUUUCUUCCUAAUAACGAGUAAUUGCAUCCGAUUACCUACCUCCUUUUCCUUAAUAUGCCUAAUGGGGGAGCUAUUAGUCUUACUUUCCUCCAACUAUUUAAAGUCUAACACCACAUCCACAAGACACAAUUGUCCAUUCCUCCUCUUUGUUUGAAACCACCUUGCUCACAUCAUCCUCUCGAUGAACUUUGUUUUCCACAAUCUUAGGACACUUACCACUAGAAUGCCCAAAAGACCGGCAUAAAUUACACCUUCGAGGCUUCCACUAUAAUUCACAGUCAUAACGAAAUCCUCUCCCUAAGGUGAAUUGUAAAUUCAGCAAGCAUAGGAGAGUCCACAUUUGAUUCAACACAUACUCAAGCAUGUGACAACCUUCGUCUUUCCUUAGUAGCUAGAUCUAAAGAUAGAGGUUUUCCUAUAGCACUAGCCACAACAGUCAAUCUGACAUCUGUCCAUAACUCCAUUGGAAUCCUACCUAGUUUAAUCCAUAUAGGAACAUAAUAAAAAACAAAGGAUUUAGGGACAAUACCUGGAGUCCAUUUACGGAGGAGCAUACUUUUGCCAGCAAGAUGUCGCGAUCAACGAGAUAGGAUCCAUUCAACAAGUUUUGGGCAUCUGAAUUGGAAACAGAUGAGUCCGUUCUCAAGAAUUGUAAUCGUUGGCAUUUUAAUUUUAUCAACAAUAACAACGAGCUAAACAAAAUCCUCUAUCCAGAACGCACUAAUGAAAACUAAAAUGUAAAAUAAGUACGAAGUAAUUAAUUAAAACAGAAGACAAAAGAAACCCAAAGUAAGUUGACAAAAUGCCCACAAUAAGCUUCAAGAGGUGAGAGGGAACACCAAGAGAAACAUGAAUAGCCUUGCUAACUUUUCACUACUAGCCAACUACAUAUUUUUUACAAUACGUGUUAGGGAAAUCUUUCCCUUUGCAAAACAUACCAAUAUAUAAUCAAUCAUUGGCUCCUUAUGGGAAAAUACAGAAGCCCUAUACAUGUCUGUUUCAAGCCUGUGUUGAACAACUUUUAAUUCCCUAAGAUAAGGAGAUUUAUCUGAAGGUUCGAGAAUAAUGACAUGUCCUAACUAACCCACCAUUUCGCAACAGUGAACCAGUUUGAUCGUUAGGGACAAUUUUGAUAAUAAGCGCACAACCAUGCCCCAAUUCCAAUGUUGCCCAAAAGUAAAGGCCUUUCUUCACACUGCUCCAUAAAAAAAAGUUCGGCUUUCACAUAAAGAUCUUAUUUCUUUUUUAUUGAUCCAAGAGAUCUAAUAGAUCUAUUUUCACCACACAAAUCCCUUUUGUUAUCAUGGAAAAUGUGUUGUUGUGCUCAAACCAAAUCUCUGCUAGCAACACUUUUAUCAAAUUAACCCAUAUUUUUUUUUUAAAAAAAAAGAGGAUAUGAGUCUCACUAUUAUUAAUAUUGAAAAAUGAAGAGACAAAGCUCAAUGUAAUGAGGAUUAUACAAAGAGCAAUAGGACAGAGGAUCAACAGACGCACCUGGACAUCUCAAUUAGGUUGACACCCCCUUAGCGCCCUCAUCACAUCCAAAAAGCGACAACACAAGAUCAAAACCAAAAGCCACAAAUAGAAGGCUUUUUUUGUGUUUGUUUUGCCUUUGGACAUUACUCCUUUGUUAUGGGUUUUAGCUUGGUUGGAUAUGAUGAGGGUGCUAUGGGGUGUCAACCUAGUUGAGAUGCCAAGGUGCACCCCCUGAUCCAUGGUUACAUGUUCAUUGUAUAACUCUCUUGUACUCUGAGUUUUGUCUAAUUAUUAUUAUUAUUUUAAUAUUAAUAAAGAGGUUGUCUCCUUUUCAAAAAAAAAAAGAAAAAAAAACAAAACAAAACAAAAGCCACAAAUAUAAAACCAAACAAAAUGAUAAAAAAUAUGUCCAAAACAAAAUCAUAAAUCAUAGGUAGCAGGUCAAGAACAAAGAAGAAUAAGCCUUGAUUGAGCAAAAAAUCCCAACAAAUAUUGAAUGUUUGGAGAAGACGGAACUAACAUUUCGAUACAAAGACAUAGUCAAUUAAAAGGUGCUAAAUAUUUUUCAUGUUAUCAACACAAAUGGGGCAGACAUGAGGUGAGAGGACAUGGAGAGAAGUUUUCUUUGAAGUACUAAAGCACAGUUUAAUUUUCCAAACAACGUAAUUCAUAUGGGGAAAUUUAUCCAAAGAGUGAGCUAAAUAGCCCAAUGAGUGAUUGUUUUAUAAAACAUCGUUUUGAAAUAUUAAGUAUUUAACAAUUAACUCUUAACAUAAAUGAAAUCAAAUUCAAACAACUUAUCUCAAACUUUCCCUUUCAGUUGCUAUACCUAGAAUCGUCGAGACGAAAAACAAUAAACUAGGCAUAGAAGCCCUAUCCCGUGAUACGAUACUUACGAGAUGAAACUCUAGGCAUCAAUUGUGCCCUAUCUCGUUAUAACUACAAUGAGAUGGAAAACUAGGCAUUCGUACAGGGUCUUGUCCCUUGAGAUGGGAAACUAAGCAUCUUUAAAAGUCUUCAUCUCUUAUCUAAUACCAAUGAUGGAAAGCUAGGUAUUUACUGAAUAUCCAAAUCAAAUGACCUCUAUGCACAAAAGGUAUAGACUAAAACAUGCUAAUAUUAUUUUCAAGCUUAAACAUUUUGAAAACUUAGCACAAUCAUGAUUGCUUAUAAUUUUCAUUAGUGAAUUCAUCAAUAAAAACAUGUUUACCAAAAUGUUUCUAAAUGCAUGCUUGGAAAUACUUUAUAAGUCAGUAUCCUCAAAUAUUCAAACAUCAAAGCAUGCUUGAAACAUUUGAUAGUAAAUUCAUGUUUAGAAAUCAACUUUAAACUCAUUUUUGUCACUUAUAGAGAGUAGCUUGGACCCUUGGCUUAUAAACUUGUUCGAUCUCCUUCAGAUCUAAAAUAAUGAAAAAUAAUGGAAAUAAUUCCAUUUAAUUCCCAUUGAUCAUAAAAAUAUCAAAACUUUGCUUAAAAUUUCCAAAACCACAAAAACAGCCGAAAGACAUUAGCUUGCCUUGCCAUGUCUCGUUCUAACCUCAUGUGCAGCGUGUCACAAUCACAACUUUUCAAACACGGAACAGACUAUUGUGCGGCACUUGUUGUAACUCGAUGAACACGUCAGUUGUAUGAAAUUCGAUACGAUGUAGCCUCCCUACAAGUUUUAAGAGAAGUUGGUUUUAUUAAACAUGAGAGAGAAAGGAAAGCAUUGGAAACAUCGUUAAAAAAAACUUUGAAGACUGUCCAUUGCAAAGAGAGCUUAAAUUGCAAAGAGUACCUCUGUGAUGAGAUUGGUUUGUGGAACCAAUUGGGAUGGGAAAAAGUUUAGAGAUAUUUGAGAGAAACUCUUUUCUUUUUGCAAAGAGCAAUAGCGUUAGCCUUAUUUUUUCUUUUUUAUUAAUUCAUUUUUUAAGAAAAUUGUUUUGUUCUAGAUAUUAUAACUCUCUUUCCUUCUAAGAAUAGAAAAUGAAGUAGAAGAGAACCAUGAGAUUCUAUUAAUUUACAAAUAAUUAAAUUAAUAUAUAUUUCAAAUCUAUUGAUUAAUUAAACAUUAAUCAAUUAGUUAAUAAUUAAUGAAAUCGAAUUUAAUUAAAUAAUAUUAAACUAAACUAUUAAUUAAUUCUCCAAUUAACUAAUAACACUAAAUUAUUUAUCUUAUAUUUAACUUAAAUUAAAUUUGAAUCAUAUUCAAAUAUAAGUUUCUCUCAAUAAUUUUAAUAUGAAUCCAAUUCACAUUAAAUUAAUAUUUGAACUCAUUUAAAUAUUUUAUCUCUCAUAAAUUAAUUUUGAAUCAUCCCCAAAGUUAAAUUUAUAUAGUAAAGUUUGAUAAACUUUAUAUUAUAAUGUAUCACUAUACAUUAUACUAAUUCCCAAGUUAAAUUUAAACAUUUUAAAUUACAACCAAUACAAAUAAAUCUCAUUACCCUUUACGAGCUAGGAAAAGGACCUAAUGGACCUACAGAUCAGAAGCUACAACGAUCUAAGAUUAAUUGGCUAAACUCAUUAACCACAUUAAUCAAUAUUCGUUAGCUGUGUGUACACUCCACUAAAGACUCACAACUGAACUCUUCUCACUAAAAAUAUAUUUCUAUGUCCACGGAUAUAGACCAAUAAUAGUAAGUUAGUCCUUCACGAGUGUUUGUAUCACCAGUUGGAUCAAUUUACCGCUUUACCCCUAUGUUACCUCUAAUCCUUAAAAACCAGUGCUCCUCUAAUGAACAACUUGUUUAUGGUCCUACUAAUAAACAAAAACCCCUCUCAUGUCAUCGAGAGGGUACGGGCCCUUUGUUCAAGUUUUGGAGACACCAUUUAAGCUAAAAUUCAUCUACUUACCCUAAAGUAGGAAAUGAGUGAAUUCCAUUUUGUGCAAUUAUAAUCCCAACUCCACACUCAGUCUUGUCCCCAAAAUCACUACUACAAAAACAGGCUCUCUUGAUGGUUGUAGUUUUCCUUUCUUGACGUUUUUGAGAAAAAACGUCAAGAAAGAUGUGAUUUCAAAUAAAAAAACGUCAAUAAUUUUUAUGAAAGGCCAAUUCUCAACUUUCUUGACGUUUUUUGUGCAAUUAAACAUCAAGUAAGAUGUAUUUUUUCUUGACGUUUUUUAAACGUCAAUAAUAUAUAGUUUUCCUCGAUGUUUUAAAAACGUCAAGAAAUUUAUAAAAAAUUCUUAACGUUUUUAAAAUGUCGAGAUAAUUCUAAAAAGUUCUUGACAUUUUUACAAACAUCAAGAAAUUUAUAAAAAAAUUCUUGACGUUUUUAAAACGUCAAGAUAAUUCUAAAAGAUCAUUGAUGUUUUUACAAACUUCAAGAAAUUUUAAUUUGUUUUGACGUUUUAAAAACGUCAAGAAAUUUCUAAAAAUUAUUGUUUUAAUAUUCUUUUACAAAACACAGCGCUUCAAUUAGAUCACUUCCCCUUUUCUUAAUUAAACCUAAUUCGCCGCGACUUUGUCCCUUCUCCACCCGAAAUCAAAAGCGUCGUUCACCUAACCUUCCCUUCGCGUUCAUCUGUGCAUUCAUCUGCGUUCAUUGCCGAAAAAGACUUCCCUUCGCGUUCAUCAGCAUUCACCUUCAUUCAUUUGCGUUCAUUGUCCGUCACCGUUCGUCUACUUUGUGUUCCCUUCACCUUCGUUGAUUUGUGUCCGUCUGUUCACCGUUCGAAAUGCGUAAACACAUUCUCUGUUCGAAACGAGUAAACACGUUCACCGUCCUUCUGUCACAUUCCACUUUCGCUAAACCUCUAUUCGUUUCCAAAUCCUUCAUGAUUACUCAUUCGUUGUCCCUCAAAAUUGUCGUCCUUCUCUACGAAAACGUCGUCCUUCUUUUGAGUCUUCAUUCCCUUUAUGUCAUCCUUCUGUAUUUAGAGGUUAUACUUCAUUCCCCUAAAACUUCCAUUGGUUUCCAUAUUUCAAGAAUUUGAAAUUUUUAUAGGAUAUUGCUAGUGAAAUUAAGUCAAUUAUGUUUGCUCCCAAACUACCUCCUGACUAUGCUGUCUGGUUAGGAGAAAUAAAGUCUUUGUCAUAUUUCAAGGUAGUGUAUGUUAACCAACACUUAGUGCAUUUUGUGUUUAUGAGCUUAUUUAGUUAAUAUGUUUUUGUAGGAAAAUAUGAUGUCAAUAUGCCAUAUUAUACGAUGAAAUUGUAGUCGUUUAACACAAAAUUUUGAGGUUCUUUUUCAACUAAUUAUGCUUUAUCUAAUAUAUUUUUCCAAAUCUUAAAGAAGAACUUUUGAUUUCAUUGGAGUUUAUCAUUAGAGGCAUUACUAUAUUGGCUGCCUCUCAGUGGGCUAUAGGUUUUCCAAUGGUCAUUUGAGACUGGUUGAUAAUAGCAAAAGUUAGAGCUUGAGAAGAAGGAGCGAAGAAAGUAGUGAAGACAAAAGAAGAAAGAAAGCUGAGUGAAAAACGAAAAUUGACAAGGUAGAGAUGUGACAAUAACAAACCCUUGAUAAUUAAAAAAGGAUGGUGCCAAGAAAAUUUAAAUAAAAAAAAUGAAGGUUCUUGCAAGUGUAUUGAGUGAAUGGGAGAAAGAAAGGAUAAAAAAGGUAGAAAGAGAGAAAGAGAAGUCAAGGGUAGAGAUACAUAGCUUUGUAUAUAGAAACUUUAUGUUUAUACUCCAUUAUACGUUGUGGAGAAUAUAACAUCCUGAUAUGUUUGAUUCAAUUUGAAUGAUGCAAUUAUUUAUUUUUCUGCAAUAAUUCUACUUCUAGAACCUAAAUUUUGAAAGCCUACUAAUUUUUCAGAAUUAAUUCGAGACCCCACUUUUUCUCCCCUUCCUACCUACGGUUACUUUUUGCUUAAACUUUAAAAGUUGUUUGAAAAUUUUUGCUGAAACUUGUAAAAUUUGUUUGAAGUUCGUAUAUCUCUCACAUAUUGCAAGGUUUCUUAAUUAUUUUAUUGAAUUUCCUACAUAAAUGCAUUCAAAUAUGAGUUGACAUUAUUGGAAAAGAUCCGUCAUCCUAAAGUAGUUCAGUUUUUUGGUGUCGUUACUCAGAAUUUGCCUAUGGUGAUUGUUUCUGAAUACCAUCCGAAGGUAUGGAUACAUUUUCUUACCCUUUAUUUUAUUCUAAUGAAAAUUAUUUCAUCAUGUUUCAUUCCAAGCAUUUCAUUACAUAUUUUGUUCAUAUAUGAUGAAUGGUGAUUAGUUUUUGUAUCAACUUAUUCCCUCUUCCAUGUGUAUUUCAUCUUCCAGGGUGAUAUAUAUCAAUAUAUUCCCUCUUCAAUUGAUUCUUGUUUUUACUCUUGGCUUAUAGGUUGCUACAUGAUCGUAUAUUAGGAGCAAAAUUGUGCAAUUAGUUUAUAGUUAGGGAGAUUUCAAUAGUAAAAAGCAAAGAGAGUAAAUGGUAACAAAAUCAUAUUGUUCACAUGAAAUGAUAAAAUAAUCAUUACACAUUUACAAGAACAGUAAAUAAAUUAUGUGAUUUUCGUGAGAAAAAUGAAGAAGAAAUAGCUUCUAACAAAAGUGAAUAUAAAUUAAAGGAGAAUAUAAAACUGUUGAAAAUAUUUAUUUUCAAUAAUUCGGAAGUUCUUUGGCUAUAUAUAAUGGAAGAGAGCCUUUCCAAGGUGUGAUGCCUGGCGUCAACAACGACGCGCUUAGCACAGAUACGGAACCGAACACCAUCUUCUUGGUGUUUGUCUGUGCAAAAGCCUCGAGUGGCUAUGGUCUUCUUCUUCUCUGUGAGGGAAAUGGUUGAAGUUGCUAGACUAUUUCAAUUACUAUGUGAGAGGUGGCUGAAUUUUAUUGGACCUCUCUUCUUGGCUUACUUUUUACAAUUGUUUAACAAUCUCUCUCCGAAUAUACCUUCGUCCCCUUAGCUGCUUCCCACUUUGGUAAAAUUGCCAAAGCUUUAUGUGUACAUUGCAAGAGAUAGAGGAGCAAGGCAAAAUAAGGUUAUUGGAACAAGGCGAAAGUUAUCAUUUCGUGACACAAAUUGAGUUUUCUUGACAAAAUUUUCGCAUUGUUAAUUAAUGACAUAAAUUAUGUGUCAUUAAAAAUUACCCUAAUAAAAAAUCAAUGUUUUCCUUCAAUCAUACGCUUUUUGAUUUAAAACAAAUAAUUCGAAGCUUUCAUCCCACUUGUGAACAACAACCGAAAAAAACCUUACUUCAUCCCACAUCGUCGUUGUCUUUAGCUCUCUCGCAAAUGCUCUCUGGCGACGUUCCCCCCUCUCUCGCAAAUACUCUUCACGACUUUUCCUCUCUCUCAAAAUUAAGCUCUCCACCCACCGUUUGAAGGAACUCACCAAAUUUGCAAGUAAUUGAAGAAUUCGUGGUCCAUGAGAUCGAUUAAGUCCAUUUAUGAGUUAGUUUGAUUAGAUUAUGUCACAUAUACAUGUAUUACAAUUAAGGGACACUUGCGAAAAUGGCAAAAUAAGUUAUAAUAAUUAAGUCCAUAGAACACAUACUUUAUUAUUUGAGAAAGUGACAAAAACAAAGACCAGCUCACACAUCAAGAGGUAAAAUGUCACAAAUGCCCUCGUUAUUGAUGUACAUUUGAUACACCUUAUACACGUCUGAUACACCUAAUACCUCUUGAUACAUUAAGUCCAUUUAUGAGUUAGUUUGAUUAGAUUAUGUCACAUAUACAUGUAUUACAAUUAAGGGACACUUGCGAAAAUGGCAAAAUAAGUUAUAAUAAUUAAGUCCAUAGAACACAUACUUUAUUAUUUGAGAAAAUGACAAAAACAAAGACCAACUCACACAUCAAGAGGUAAAAUGUCAAAAUGCCCUUGUUAAUGUACAUUUGAUACACCUUAUACGUCUGAUACACCUAAUACCCCUUGAUACACUUGAUACUUCUUACUGAUACACUUGAUACAUUUGAUAGAUACAAUUCAUGCACUCGGUACUCAUUGAUACACUCGAUACUUUUUGAUACACACCUGAAACAUCUUCAUACACAUAAUACUUCUCGUUACACUUGAUUCUUCUUGAUACACUUGAUCCCUGAGGCCUUGAUACACUUGAUUAGUUUGAUACACUUAAAGACUUCACUUAUAAGUUUGAUACACUUGAUACACCACUAAUAAACUUGUUAUACUUCAUUGGUACACUUAACAAAUUUGAUAUGUUUGAUGUACAUGCACUACAAGAAAUUUACCCUUUGUCGAUGACAAAUAUCGUCAGUAAAUCUUCAAAAACUAAUCGACUUUUCAUUUGCCAACGAAAUUAAGCUGUCAACACACACUGUCACGUAGGUCUGUCGGAAGAUCCUCUAUCGAUGGCAAAAAAAAACUGUCAGCAAAAAUAGGAACAAUCGAUGAAAUUGAACCAUUAGUGUGCGUGUGUGUGUGCGCUCCGUGUGCGCAUGUCCACGUGUGCUUGGGUGUGUGUAUGCGCACAUACAUGUGUACGUGUUGCGUGUGCAUUUGUGUGCGUGCGGUUUGGUGUGCGUGUGCAUGUGUGCGUUUGUGUGUGUGUGCCUACGUUCGUGUGUGUGUGUGUGCGUGUAUGGUGCACGCGCGUGCAAGUGUAUGUAUGUGUGUGCGCGUGUGAUUGUGUGUGAAUAAGUUGAUAUUUUUUAAUGUUGAGUUCUCCCAAUUUUAAAACAAUAAUUUAAUUAUCUUGAUAUUCAAGCCAUUAAUAUUAUUGUGAGAUAAAGAUAGUGAAUAAGUUGAUAUUUUUUAAUUUUGAAAUUCAAUUAAAGUUAUUUUGAUACAAAAUCUAUUGCUGAGAUUAUCAAAUUUGAAAAAUAAUAAUUUUGUUAUGUUGAAAUUCAAUUUGGUUAUUUUGAAAUUCAAAUUCAAUUAGGUUAUUUUGAAAUUAGUAAGAUUAAAUAAAGUUAAAGUCUUGAAUCCAUUAGUUGAGUCCCGAGAUAUUAAGAAAAAAGUAUAAUAUGAGUUUAUGUAUCUUUUUCAGGUAAAAAAUAAUUAAAAGUUGAUAAAUGCAUAAUAUAAAUUAAUUACAACAUAGAAAAAUAAUUUUAGUUGGAGAAUGUGGAUAUUUUGGUAUUUUAUAAAAUAUUAUGCACGUGCAAAAAAUGUUAUUUGCUAAAAUUAAAAAAAAAAUAGUUUUGCCAUUUUUCAAAAUGACCCAUAAAAAUGUUCCUAUAUCUCUUAUGACAUAGUGUAUAUCUACUGGUUCAUAUUCGACCUGUUUGUUGCAAUAGAAUUGGAUAAAAUCGCAUUAUAUUGAAAUAAUUACACGAAUGACACUUUUAAGCCAAUAUUGAUAGAAAUUAUAGUUUAAUUAAUGUUAUUAAGUCAAAUGAACAUGGUUUAAAAGUCCUUCUAAACACAAUUAAUGUAGUUUUUUUUUAAUUUUAACUCAUUUAUACAUCUUUAUGCAUAUGUGUGUGUACGUGUGCGCGUGUAGGUAGGUGUGCGUAUGUGUAUGUGCGUGCGUUUGUGCGAGUGUCCGUGUGCAUAUAUGUGUGGGUGUGUGCAUGUUUGUAUGUGUUUGUGCGUGUGUGUGUGUGCGCAGGCUAUUGCGUGUGUGCUUGGGUGUGUGGGUGUUCGCGCGUGCGUGUUUGUGCGCGUGUGCGUAUGUGUUUACGUCUGUGCGUUUGUGCGUACGCGUGUGUGCGUUUGUGCAUGUGUGUGUGCUUGUGCGCGUGUCGAUAGGUGUGUGUGUGCAUAUGCGCGUGUGUAUGUGUAUGUGCGUGCGUUCGUGGUUGGGUGUCUGUGUGUGUAGAUGUGCGUGUGUGCGCGUGUGUGUAAGUGUGCAUGUGUACGUGUGUGCGCAGUGCUUCUAUGCUUGUGUGCGAACAAGUUAAUAUUUUUUAAUGUUGAGUUUCUUCCAAUUUUAAAAUAAUAAUUUAUUAUCUUGAUAUUCAAGGCAUUAAUGUUAUUUUGAGAUAAAGAUAGUGAACAUGUUGUUUUUAAUUUUGAAAUUCAAUUAAGGUUAUUUUAAUACAAAAUCUAUCGUUGAGACUCUCAAAUUCCGAAAAAUAAUAAUUUUGUUAUUUUGAAAUUCAAAUUCAAUUAGGUUAUUUUGAAAUUAGUUAUUGUGAAUAAAGUUAUUAAUAUGUGAAUUAAUUAGUUGAGCCUCGAGAUAUUAAGAAAAAUAUUAUGAUAUGAGUUGAUGUAUCUAUUUCAAGUAAAAGAUAAUUAAAAGCUGAUAAAUGCAUAACAUAAAUUAAUUACAAUGUAGAAACGAAAUAACUACAGUUGAAGAAUGUUGAUAUUUUGGUAUUUUAUAAAAUACCAUGCACGUGCAAAAAAUGCUAGUUGCUAAAAUUCAAAGGAAAAAGUAGUUUUGUCAUUUUUCAAAAUGACCCCUAAAAACGUUGUUAUGUCUUAUGACAAAGAGUGUAGAUCUAUUGAUCUAUAUUCGAUUUGUUUUUUGUUGGUAAAAUUGGAUAAGACCGCAUUAUAUUGAAAUAAUUACACGAAUGACACUUUUUAGCCAAUAUUGAUAGAAAUUAUAAUUUAAUCAAUGUUAUUAAGUCAAAUGAACAUGGUUUAAAACUCUUUCUAAACAUAAUUAAUGUAUUUGAUUUUUAACGUUAAUUAAUUUACACAUCUUUGUGCGUGUGUGCAUAUGUGCACGUGCGUGUGCGUGUGUGGAUGGGUGUGUGUGCGUGCGUGUGCGUGCGUUGUGCACGUGUGCGCGUGUGCGAACAAGUUGAUAUUUGUUAAUGUAAAAUUUCUCCCAAUUUUAAAAUAAUAAUUCAAUUAACUUGAUAUUCAAGCCAUUAAUGUUAUUUUGACAUAAAGAUAGUGUACAAGUUGAUAUUUUUUAAUUUUCAAAUUCAAUUAAAGUUAUUUUGAUACAAAAUCUAUCAUUGAGAUUCUCAAAUUUCGAAAAAUAAUAAUUUUGUUAUUUUGAAAUUGAAAUUUAAGUAGGUUAUUUUGAAAUUAGUAAGAUUGAAUAAAAUUAAAAUCUUGAAUCAAUUAGUUGAGUCCCGAGAUAUUAAGAAAAAAGUUAUGAUAUGGGUUGAUGUAUCUUUUUCAGGUAAAAAAUAAUUAAAAGCUAAUAAAUGCAUAACAUAAAUUAAUUACAAUGUAGAAACGAAAAAAUUACUGUUUGAGAAGGUGAAUAUUUUGGUAUUUUAUAAAAUAUCAUGCACACGUGCAAAAAAUUCUAUUUGCUAAAAUUUAAAAGAAAAAGUAGUUUUGCCAUUUUUCAAAAUGACCCAUAAAAAUGUUGCUAUAUCUCUUAUGACAAAGAGUGUGCAUCUACUGGUACAUAUUCGACUUGUUUUUUGUUCGUAAAAUUGGAUAAGACUGCAUUAUAUUGAAAUAAUUACACUAACGACACUUUUAAACCAAUAUUGAUAGAAAAUUAUAAUUUUAUUAAGUCAAAUGAACAUGGUUUAAAAGUCUUUCUAAACACAAUUAUUGUAGUUAUUUUUUAAUUUUAAUUCAUUUAUACAUCUUUGUGCAUAUGUGCGUGUGUGCAUGCGUGUGCGCGAGUGCGUACGUGUGUGCGUAUGCACAUGUCCACGUGUGUGGGUGUGUGUGUCUACGUGUGCGUGGGUGUGAGUGUCCACGUGUGUGCGUUUGUGCGUGUGCGUGUGGGUGUGUGUGCGUAUACGCACGCGUGCGUGUGUACGUGAGUGGGCGUGUGAGCUUUUUGUGCUUUUCUUCCAAUUUUAAAAUAAUAAUUUAAUUAUCUUGAUAUUCAAUUCAUUAAAAUUAUUUUGAGAUAAGGUUAUUUUAAUAUAAAAUCUAUCGUUGAGAUUCUCAAAUUCUAAAAAAUAAUAAUUUUGUAAUUUUGAAAUUCAAUUUGGUUAUUUUGAAAUUCAAAUUCAAUUAGGUUAUUUUGAAAUUAGUAAGAUUGAAUAAUGUUAUUAAAAUGUUGAAUCAAUUAGUUGAGUCCCGAGAUUUUAAGAGAAAAGUUAUGAUAUGAGUUGAUGUAUCUAUUUCAAGUAAAAAUUAAUUAAAAGUUGAUACAUACAUAACAUAAAUUAAUUAUAACGUAAAAACAAAAUAAUUAUAGUUGGGGAAGGUGAAUAUUUUGGUAUUUUAUAAAAUACCAUGCACGUGCAAAAAAUGUUGUUUGCUAAAAUUGAAAAGAAAAAGUAAUUUUGCCAUUUUUCAAAUUGACCCCUAAAAAUGUUGGAUUUUUUUGUAUUCCCUUGGCCUUUCUUGUUCAAUAUUUAGUCAAAUUGCAGUAUACAUAAAAUUUGCAUUUGUUACGUCAUAAGAUUUCAUUCACUAUUUGUGUCUGUAUUAUUUUAUAUUUUAUACAGGAGACUCCGUUUGAGUGUUGAGCUUUGGGAGGGACUACCGUUGACCCCAAAAUUACAAGGUUUCAUGUUGCUUACUGGAUCACUAAUGAUUUGUCUCUAUCUUUGGCUCAUCGAGUGGUGGAGUUGGAACCCCUUGAAAGUGUAGAUUUAGACUCUCUACCGUUGUCAAGAGCUGUUAAGUAUGCAAAAAUGGCCUUGAGAAAUCCUAUAAACUCUCUAAACAGGAGACAUUCUAGUGUAAGAAGAAAUACUCAAGUCCUUGAAGAAAUUGAGGACACAACUCCAAUUCCUAGCAUGCUUUCUCUCUAAGACUAUGCUGGUCCUAGUCGGGGAGUGGCAUUUACAUCCCAGAAAGACACACAUGUAUCACCUCGUGUUGGCACUUCCAUUGCAAUGCACAACUCAAACAUAUAUAGUGCCGACAUUUCCUUCCUUAAGCUUGAAAAAAGUGUUGGAUCGGUAUGGCAACCCUAGAGGGGGGUGAAUAGGGUUUAAAUAAACUUUUAGACAAAUAAAAAGUAAAAUCAACUAAUUAGAUAUUUUUUAUAUUUAAAUAAAGAACUUUGUAAACUUUGUUAAAUAACAAGAUUGAUAAAAAGAUAUGAAUGGAAAUAUGCAAUCAAACUUAACCAAUAAGAAUAUGUAACUAAAAUUAAAUUAAAAAAUAAUUAGAAAAGAGUUAGAGAGAAGACACCGUAAUUUUAUAGUGGUUCGGUUAAACUCAACCUACAUCCACUUUCCCAAGCACCUCUUGGGAUUUUGAUUGAAAAUCUUCUUUAGACUCUUUCCACGGAUUUGAGCCGAACCGAUUCUUGCUCCUUUUUCGGGUUCAAGAGCAAACCCGAUCAUUUCCACGGGUUAGGAUCCAACCGUUACAAUAUGUUGAAAUUUUUAAAUCACACAAAAGAAAACUCUCUAAAAGAGUGAGUAUACAAUUUGAAGCUCACAAAUUUAAUCCUCACAAUACAAUAAGAAACUCUCAAGAAUAAGAUGAAAAGAAUAAAAAUUGGAAGCUUUAGAGAGAAUAACAAUGUUGGCUUUUUGCUUGAGGAUUGUAAAGAUAUUAUGAUCUUGUGUAAAUGUGAAGUAUUUAAAAAGAGAGGAAAGAUAAAUUCAAAAUCAUUUGGGUCAUUAGAUAUAAGUAAAAGAAAAAUGAAUGGUUGAGAUUUAAACUUAAUUAGCCGUUAGACACAAUACAAAUAAUAAUAUAAUAAUAUGUCUUUUCAAAAUAUUUUGUUUAAAAAGAAAUCAAUAAAGCAACUUCACCCUCUUUUAAAAAAACUAGCCGUUAGACACAAGAAAAAAUAAUAAUAUUAAAAUCAUUUUUCUUUUAAAUUCAUUUUCUUUAUAAAAGCCAAUAAAACAUAACAAAAAGCCACAUUUUCUUUUAACUUCAUUGCUUCAAGUGGCUUUCUCUAAUUGGUUCAAAUUGAAUGCUUGGUCGUCACGUCACCAUCUCGGUAUUUUUUCGUUAACUUUCUUUUAGCAAUAUUUUCUUCAUUUGAACUUCGAUUUGGGUGAUUGAAGAGGCGUUAGAAUCAUUUUUCCAAGCUCUACGAUAUGGUCUAUUCAAAUUAAUAAAAUUGUCAAUAAAAAAAGUCAGAUUUGUUAUCAUCAAAACAUAAAUUAAUUGAAUAAUUAAAAUAAAUUAAUUUGAGAUUAAGGGCCAAAAAGCCAACAAAAAGGUGAUUUGAUGUCCAUAAAAAAUUAACAGAGCAGUUAGAUAUUUUCUAUCACGUAUCGCACGUAAUUUGAUGCUCAUUGAUACUGCAUUACUGUGUCAGGAACGUGUUGAUGUAAAAUCUUUCAGUUUUGAUGGAUCUUAUUACAAGUUUUCAACUCUUCUUAGCACGACUUCUGACAGAACAAAGGUUUUAUAUAUCUUUACACGAUCGCAUAUCACAUAUGAACGAUCGCAUAUCCCAUCUGAAAUAUCGAUCACCCCUGGUAAAACAACCGUUUAGAUAUUCUACACGAUUGUUUGCUUAAGGAUACACGAUCAUUUUGUAACUAUUUUUUUUUAUUAUCCUUUUUUCUUUCUAUACUAGAAUCAGAAUCAAUUGUUUGAUGAUAUUAACAACAUGUAUGAUGAUCUUCGUGAUGAUUCUAGUCAUCACAAUCUGGACAAGAAUGAUGACCAUCAAAAUAACAAACAUGUGAUCAUCCAUGAGAAUCCAUCUGUUCAAGAGUCACAUCUUCAAGAAUCUACUGUAGAAACUCAACAGUUAGUGUUUAAUUCAUUAGUUACCGCUUUAUAUUGUUUAAAAUUGCUUAGAUUAUAAAUAAACAACAAUAAUUUUUUUCUUUUAUGUGUAGGGAACAAAAAUGAACAACGCCUCAACAUCAAGAGCAGUUAGGCAGUGAUAUUAGCAUAGAUGGCAGAGAUGCACAUUUGAUAUUAACUAUAAGUAAUAUAGCAGAAAAUAUGGAAGGUCAUACUCAAACAGAAACGGGACUGCUAGAAAUGAUUGAAAAUCUUCCGUUGGUAAGCCAACCACUUACACUUUGUGAGAUGCUACCAUUAACUACUGUCAAAGGUCUUGCAUUAGUUUAAUUGGUAUGUGUGCCCUAAAGGGAUAAAAGCUCUUGGCAGUGAAAGACUUUACAAAACCAUUCAUCAGUUUUAAUUUGAAAAUUCCAAAAUAUCAGUACAUUGACAAUAUUUAGAAUCAAAGUUCUAAAUAAAGAACUAAAUAUGCUAUUAAAUUAAAAGAUUCAUAGAACUUACUCUUGUUGACGUCUCUGAAUCUAUAAUCCACCGAAUUGGGGACACCACCCGUUGGAGACCUUCCUAUCUUCGAAGAUGAGAUUGGUUUGUGGAAAACAAUUGGAAUGAAAAAAAAAUUUAGAGAGAAACUAUGUAACACCCCCAAUAUCAAGGUAUUUCUCUUAAGCUAAAUUUUUUAAAUUUUAUUAAGAUUUUAAGGAAUUUGGUUGUGGUGUGGAUUUAGCAGGAAGUGAAGGGGGCUUUUAUGAAAAAAUAUACUAAUACUAAAGGUUAAAUAAUAAUAAUAUAUAAUAAUAAUAGAAUUAAUCUUAUUAUUAAUUUAAAAUAUCAAUUCUUUAUUGAUUCACGUGCAACUCCAUCUCUUUCUCCUUCACUCUUCCUCUUCCCCGUGCCCACCGCCGCCUGCCUCUCUUAGCCAUUUUAUAUUACUCUUGGAUGUCAGCCGGCCACGCCGUCACCGAAUUCUUCGUCUCCGUUGAAGCCGAAGCACCAUUCGUCGUGAGUUCGAACUCUCGGCAUCGCGUCUUACCUCUGUUUUCUAGCCAAGCUGUGAUUCAUUCGCGCGUAGCUCCUUCCAAGCCGUCGACCAAACCUGAGCCCGUCGCGUCUGUCGAAGUGCCGUCGCGUAUAUCGAAGUGUCGUCGCGUCUGCCGAAGUGUCAUCGCGCAACUCUUCACCUUCCAGCCAUGGGUUGUAAGCUAAAGUUUACUUUUCAUUUAUUGAUUAGAUAUGAUCUAUUACACGCGUCGAUUCCAGUUAUUCGAAGUUGUUGCCUCCAUUUUACUCUAAUUUUUGGGAUUUUUGUGGUAAGUUGUAUUGGUGAGUGUGGUGGUUUUACACUGUAAUUAUCCUUGGGUUGUAGUUUUGGAUAAUUAGUUAAAUUGUUAAUUGAUUCUUGAAGGUAGCGUUUGAGUUCGUUGGAUUCACAACUAAAUUGUAGAUUUGUUGGAGUUCGAUUCGCCAAUACUUUGGUAAGCUAGAAUUUACAUUGAGGAAAUUAAAUGAAAGAAAGUAUUGUGAAAGUAAUUGAGUUCCAUAUUCUUAUUAUUAGGUUUCCUUCGUUCGAGAAAUUUGAGUAACAUUAAAGUAAGGGGUUUCUAUUACUGGACUCUUUGAAAGUUUUGAAAUGUGUUGACUGUUUGGAUCUCUGGACUUAGUAUGGUUUACCAAUAUAUGUAGAAGUCGAUAUGAUGACAAAUGUAUAUUAUGCCAGACUGGUAUAGAAGUAGAUACGAUGGAUAAUGUAUUUGUAAACUGAGAAAGGUGUUAUGUAUAUAUAUAUAUCUUGACUGUCUGGUGUGUUGUUAUAGUAUCAACUAAUUUUGUGAUAGAUUGAAUAGAUUGAACGUAAGUGUGUUAAGUUGGAUUGAUGAUAUGAUGGAGUAGUUUGACUAUACUAGGAAUGGAUUGAUUAAAUGUGUAUAACGGACUAAGGGAAAAUUGAUAGCUUUGUCGAUUGAUCACAAGACUUUUAAAGUGCAGGGCACCUCCAAUAGGAAGUUAACAAUUUUAUUUUUCUUCUAACAAGAUCAGUAGUGGGUCUCUUACUGGGUAUGUUUAUACUCACCCUUUUAUGUUUAAUCUUUUUCCGCGAAACUGCCAUAGGGAAAUGUCCUUCAAAUUGCUUCUACUUUAAAUUUUUUUUAUUUUGGUUUUCUUUAGUAAUUGAGACUGUUUUGGGUUUCAUGAUUGAACGACUUUUAUUAUCGAUACUUUUACACUUUCAAAAUUUUAUUUGAAAUAGAGCCCGAAUAAAAACUCUUUAAUGUUGUUAAAAAAUAUAUUUUUUAAAAAUUAUAAAGUCUUAUGGUUAAAGGAUGAAUCUAGUCUUAAAGUAAUAACUUCGGCUUAAUUAAAAAAAUUAGGUCGUUACAAUCUAUUUUGCAGAAAAGAAAAUCAUCGAUUUUAUUUUGGUUAAGAAAAGCUGUUUUUCUUCUACAUAUUUAUAACUCUCUUUCUUUCAUUGAGUAGGAGACGGGGUAGGAGAAAAUCAUAGGAUUCUAUUAACUUAAAAAAUAUUAAAUUAAUAGAAGUUUCCAAUCAACUAACUAAUUAACCAUUAAUCAAUUAGUUAAUAAUUAAUUAAGUCAUAUUUAAUUAAUAUUUCGUUUAAAUCUUAUUGAAUGAAUAUCUCUCCAAUACCUUAUAGUUUCAUAUUAAUUUAAUUAUAAUAUUAAACUAAACUAUUAAUUAAUUCUUCAAUUAAUUAAUAACUAAAUUAAAUAUUUUAUAUUUAACUUAAGUUAAAUUUGAAUCAUAUUCAAAUAUAACUUUAUCUCAUAAUUAAUAAUUUUAAUAUGAAACAAAUUCACAUUAAAUUAAUAUUUGAACUCAUUCAAAUAUUUUAUCUCAUAAAUUAAUUUUGAACUUUAUCUAAAAUUAAAUUUAUAUAAUAAAGUUUCAUUAACAUAUAAACUUUAUAUUAUAAUGUAUCACUAUAUAUUAUACUAAUUAAACUAAUUUCCAAAGUAAAUUUGAAUAUUUCAAAUUAGAACCAAUAUAAAUAUAUCACAUUACCAUUUUGUAUCAUCCAUUAUUUUAUAUUCAGUCAUACUAAUUGGAUCAACCUAAUACAUAAAACAAAUAUAGAAAAAUUAAAAAAAAAAAAGCAUGCACAAAUAGAGACAAAUAGACAUUGAUAGCUAUCUAUCUCUAUCUAUCUGAAACAAGCACACAUAAAUUUUUAUAUUUCUCUAUCGGAUGGACAAAAAUAGCAGUCUAUUUAUAUCUACCUAAGAUACAAACAUUAAAAAAAAAAAAAAAAACCUUACCAAUAAAAUUCUUGACUUUUCAUGUUAUUCUAAAUGCAACACGUUCUCAGCCCAAGAAGUCAAACAACUCUUCAUUGUAAAAGUAGCUUUACUUCUUUCAUCAAACCACUUUUGCAAUACAUCUCUAAUUGAACUAAGCAUGGUAGCUACAGGUAGUUCUCUAAGAUCUUUAAAAACUAAAUUUACACUGUCUACACAAUUUGAUGUCAUCAUUCUAUAUAUGAAACUCAUUAUACCUGAGAUAGAUUCAACCAAUUUAUCAAAGAACCUUGGAAUCAACAUGUAUGAUUUAACUGUGUCACCUUUUAAUAUCUUUACUAUGUGUUCUUUUGCCCUCCAAGCUUUCUGCUAACUUAUAUUAACUCCAAGAUUUGUACAUGCCUUAUGCACAAUUGCUUUUGGAAUGAAACGAUCAGUAGACAUGAACCUGAACUCAUCUAUCAAGCAACUGUCAAUUACUGUUGAAGAAGCUUGCAUGUGACAACUAGUAUUCAAUGAACAGUCAUGUUCAUAAAUGUAUUUUCAUAGCAUCCACAACUCGCUCUUCUUAUCGUGUAAUUGAUAAUGGUAACUGAUCGUGUAAUUCCAUGUAAAUUAUCGUCAAAAACUUUAAACUAUCGAUCUUUAUAAUGAAGUACAUAAUUCUUACAUUAAUACUUAAAUUUUGUCGUAACGACCCAACUUUUCUAACUAAGUUGAAGUCAUUAGUUUUGACAAAGAGACCGUGAUUGACACAAAAUAUAGUAAAAUUCACUUGAAAUCAUACGAUCAAAGAAAACAAACUUAAGUUCGGGCCCUACUUCAAAUAACCAAAACUUUAAAAGUACUAUUUACAAAACAACAGUUCGUAAACUCAGUUCCAUCACAAAAUUUUUAAACAACCUCAUGUACAAAGGAAAAACAAAAAAACAUAAAGCGAAAGCAUUUGAAGGACAUUCCCUUAUAACAAAAAACUAGUAUUCAAUGAACAGUCAUGUUCAUAAAUGUAUUUUCAUAGCAUCCACAACUCGCGCUUCUUAUAACGAGAUGUCCUAAUAAACCAUUUGCACUCUUCUAGUAGGCAUCUAAAUUCAAGAGACCUCAAAUUUGAUAUUGUAGUUCUAAAUUGAAAGUUGUUAUUCACUUCUAUUAUGCCAAAACACUUUGAAAGCACAUGCUAUUCAUGUGCACGUGAUAUUUUUUUUUUAAUUUCUUUGUCCUCUUCGCUGUACAGAUGUAAUAUAGGGAGUCUAUCAGAUUCCUCCUCUUUUCAAAGCCUCCAAUCAAACUCAAUGCUAAGUUUGACUGCUUCCUUCAGAGUGACGACCCUCAUUUUCCCCCUUCCGUGGUUUGGGGAGGAUUCCUCCUCUUUUUAAAGCCCUCAAUCAAACUUGAUGCUAUGUUUAGAACGCUAAGAAUAGGUGGUCUAGUUUUGGUUAGGCCAAAAGUGAAAAUUUCCCCCAAAAGCACUAAUAGUUAGGGAACUCAACACAUUCUACUUGACUUAAUCGACUUGACUCUCUAAUUUUUAUGUGCUUUUUUCUAUGCAUAUUGCAUAUGUUUUUUUUAUAGUUGUUGAUUGUCUCACAUUUUUAUGGUUUGCAUUUACAAGCCUUUUUUUUCUUUCUUUGGUAUGAAAUAUGGUAAUAGGCCUUGCUAGAACCGGUGGGGUAAUCUCCUUAUGGUUCUACACUUAGUUUCAAAGUUUGAUUACUCCCUUCGAAGUGACAACAAGCCUCGUUUUCCCCUAUUGUGGAUCAGAGAGGAUUCCUCCUCUUUUCAAACCCCUCAAUCAAACUCAAUGCUAAGUUUAACUGCUCCCUUCGAAGUGAGAACAAGCCUCGUUUUCCCCUAUUGUGGAUCAAAGAGGAUUCCUCCUCUUUUCAAAGCCCUCAAUCAAACUCAAUUAGAGUAAAAAGGAAAAAAUUUCAUCUCGGGUGCGUGUCCCUCACACGUGUCUCUCUAGGAUUUCCAAGUUCUCUCACUCGGCUGGUGAAGGAGGCGAACGGCUGGUGAGUGUUGCGGUCAGCAAGGGAUCAAAUUCGAAGGUAAUUCGUUCGGUUUUGGCAGAUUGAAUGUGAAAACUAAUGUCAUUUGGUAUCCAUUUCGAAAUUUAUUACAAUUGAUCAAUUGAACCAUUACGAAUGAUAUUCGUUUUGAUUCGGGAGAAUUAACGUCUGUCCAGAAAUUGUUUAAAUCGGUUUCCAAGCUGAAUUGAUUUGAACUAUCUUGAAAGUAUUGCGUGUGGUACGAAUCGAUUUAUUGGCUAUCAGUUUUGGGUUUGAAGACCGUGAUUUAAUUCACUCGCUGGAGGGAUCUAACAUGAAUCUCCUCAGUUGAAUUUCAAUUCUUUUUGAGUUCAUUCGUGUUCCCAGAUUGGGCCGAAAAGAUCAUCACGGGUGUUGGGUUGAUGUCCUAAGCAUGAAAUGAUGAAGAAAUUCUCCAGUGACGUUGAGGAGGUGAAGAAACGCGUGAUGUCAAGCCUUCAACGCGUACAUGAUAUGGCGACGAACGACCGAAGGGCGACGACUGCAAAGGCUGACCUAAUUUCUGUGAGGAAGAAAUGGUCGACAUGAGUGGACCCGAACUGGUUUACGUGAAUCGUGAAACAUAUAAAAACUGAAAUACAGGAAAUUGACCGAGCGGAGAUGGUCCCAUGAAGAUUGUUGGGUUGAAACAUAUAAAAACAAGUGGUCUCUUUUUGUUUCUUUAACCAUUGGGUUGAAGAAGCGUCCUUUAUGGAUGUUGUGUCCUCUGCUUGGACCAAAGAUACUAGAGUUUCUCCAAUUGUGAAUAUUGUGAGGAACUUAAGAAAUCUUAAGUCGAUUCUUCGCAGGCAUUUUGGUAGGCAUAUCCGGACCAUCAGUGAGGAUGCUCAUCUUGCCAAUGAUACCAUGGACUGAGCUCAAAGAGAGAUGGAGACGAAGUCUCUGUCGGAGGAGGCGAGUAAUCACGCGAGCUUAGCCAGGGUAAACUUUUGGAAAGCGGUUAGAGUGGAGGAAGCCGCUAUGUGCCAGAAAUCGUGAGUCAGAUGGUUGAAGCUAGAUGACCAGAAUACUGCCUUUUUUCAUCGAUCUGUUCGAUCAAGGCAGAGCACAAUGCUUUGAAAUCAGUUAUUGACCCAGAUGGAAAUCGAUUGACUAACCAUGAUCAGGUGACUCAGGUGGUAGUUAAUUAUUUCAAAGAUAGUCUGGGUUCUCAGAAUAUUAGCUACAGAGAGCUCUCUACUUGUAUUGAGGAGAUUGUUCAGUUUAGAUGGACUGAGGAGUGUUGCCAGGCCUCCAGUCGCCUAUUGGCAGGAGAGGAAGUGAGACGUGUUCUGUUCUCCAUGGAUGGUGGAAAGGCUCCAGGCCCUGAUGGGUAUUCAGUUGGCUUCUUCAAAGGAGCUUGGACGGUGGUUGGAGAGGGUUUCUGUGAUGUCGUCUUACACUUCUUUGAGACCAAUUACUUCCCUCAAGGGGUGAAUACGACUGCUAUUACACUUAUUCCUAAAAGGAAUUGUGCUGAUCGAUUGGAGGAUUUCAGCCCUAUAUCUUGUUGCAGCGUUAUUUAUAAGUGCAUUUCAAGAAUAUUGGCAGAUAGGCUUCGUGUGUGGCUUCCUUCUUUUGUUAGUGGAAAUCAGCCAGCUUUCAUCCCUGGGAGGAGUAUUAUUUACAAUAUUCUUCUUUGUCAGGAGCUUGUAGGGGCAUACCAUUUGCACAGAGGUAAACCUCGAUGCACUAUGAAGGUUGACCUCCAAAAAGCUUAUGAUUCUGUUAAUUGGGAUUUCCUCUUUGGCUGCUGAUUGCCAUAGGUACGCCUUUAAGAUUUGUGAGUUGGGUUCGAGCGUGUGUGACCUCUCCGAUGUUCUCCAUUAUGAUUAAUGGAUCGUUGGAAGGUUUUUUCCAUGGGAGGAAAGGACUUAGACAAGGUGACCCUUUAUCCCCGUUCUUAUUUGUGAUGGUCAUGGAGGUGCUUUCUCGCAUGUUGAACACCCACCUCAGAAUUUUCAAUUCCACCAGUUUUGUGAGAAGGUCAGAUUAACUCAUCUUACUUUUGUAGAUGACCUGAUGAUCUUUUGUACUGCUGAUAAUCAUUCUAUGAGUUUCAUAAAAGAGACUAUUAAGAGGUUUGGUGAGCUUUCAGGACUGUUUGCUAAUCUUGCUAAAAGCUCAAAUUUUCUUGUGGGGGUUAAUAGUUCGAAAGCUUCUUGGCUUGCUGCUAACAUGGAUUUUUCCAUUGGUCAUCUCCCUGUUCGUUAUCUUGGGCUUCCUCUCCUCUCUGGAAGAUUGCGGAGCUCUGAUUGUGAUCCCCUUAUUCACGUAUUACCAGUCAUAUUCGGUCUUGGUCUGCUAGAGUGUUAUCUUUUGCAGGUAGACUUUAGCUUGUUCGCUCAGUCCUUAGGAGCCUUCAGGUUUAUUGGGCUAGUGUGUUCAUGCUUCCUAUGAAAGUCCAUAGAGACGUUGAUAAGAUCUUGAGGGCUUAUCUGUGGAGAGGUAAGGAGGAGGGAAGAGGUGGUGCUAAAGUUGCCUGGGAUGAGGUUUGUCUUCCUUUUGAUGAAGGAGGUCUUGAUAUUCGAUGGAUCUUCUUGGAAUAUAGCAAGCACGUUGAAGAUAUUAUGGUUGCUACUUGUUAAAUCUGGUAGUUUGUGGGUUGCUUGGGUGGAAUCUUAUAUCCUUAAAGGGAGAUCGCUGUGGGAGAUCGAUGCUGGGGUGGGUCGAUCUUGGUGCUUUAGGGAAAUCUUGCGUAAGCGGGAUAUCCUUAAAGCUCAUGUUAAGAUGAAGGUGGGCAAUGGAAGGAAGUGUAGAGUGUGGUUGGUUCCAUGGAUUCAGGGUGGGCCGAUUAUCCAGCAGUUUGGGUAGAGGGUGAUCUAUGAUGCGGGUAGUCGGUGGGAUGCGAGGCUGGUGGAUUUCAUGGGUCGGGAUGGUGAUUGGAGGUGGCUGCUUGUUUCUUUGGAUUUGAUGGACAUUUGGGAUAGGGUUUAGGGAGUGAGGCCGAGUCCGAGUGUUGAGGAUAGGUGGGUCUGGGUGCUGGGAGUCAUGAUAGUUUUUCGAUCACCAGUGAGUGGGAGACUAUUCGUCCUCAUAGUAGUAGGGUUGACUGGUCGGAUUUACUAUGGGGUGGGGGAAAUAUUCCUAAGCACUCCUUUGUGCUUGGUUGGCCAUCAGGGAUAGGUUGGGUACUAGAGAUAGGUUAAGUCGGUGGGAUAGGUCGAUUCCUUUAUCGUGUUUGCUUUGUGGAGGGAACUAUGAGUCUCGUGAUCAUUUUUUUUUUCUUGUCAUUUUGGGUGGGAGAUUUGGUCGAGGAUCCUUUUGCUUAUGUCAUCUUCUCAUAGAAUCGGUUAUUGGGGGUUGAGUUAUCUUGGAUUUAUAAUCAGGGUAUUGGGAAGAGUGUGAGGAGAAAACUGUGGCGCCUUCUCUGGUGUGCUACAAUUUAUUUCAUUUGGCAGGAGCGAAAUCAUCGUCUUCAUGGAGGUGCUGUUCGAGAGCUUAUGGUUGUAUUCCAGCUCAUUCGGUCGUGUAUUAAAGCGCGUGCUGCUUCUUGGUCGGAUGGUGUUCAUGGUCUUAUUUAAUGUUCUUUUCGUUUGCUUGUCCCCGGGCUGUGGGGUUUCUCUUCUCUUUAUUAACUUUGUUGUCUUUCUCUCUUCUUCUUGUCCUUUUAAUGUUUGGAACACUAGUUGGUUUCUUUUGGUUUUAGUUCUUGUUCCCGAGAUGUGGGGUUUUUUGGGUACUUAUGGGUUGUUUUGUCUAACUACUUGUUCUGUGAGUGUUGUUCGCUCUUUUGUCUUGACCUCAGGUUGUGAGGUCCACCUUGUUGUUGUAUAAUAUUAUCAUUACCUUUUCAAAAAAAAAAAUCAAACUCAAUGCUAAGUUUGACUGCUCCCUUCGAAGUGACAACAAGCCUCGUUUUCGCCCUACUGUGGAUCGAGGAGGAUUCCUCCUCUUUUCAAAGCCCUCAAUCAAACUUGACGUUAUGUUUAAAACACUAGAUGGUCUAGUUUUGGUUAGGCCAAAAGCGAUGUUUUCCCCCAAAAGCUCUAAUAGCUAGGGAACUCAACAUGUUCUACUUGACCUAACCGACUUGACUCUGUAUUUUUUAUGAGCUUUUUUUAAUGCAUAUUGCAUAUGUUUUUUUUAUAAUUGUUGAUUGUCUCACUUUUUUAUGGUCUGCAUUUACGAGCCUCUUUUCUUUCUUUGUUAUGAACUGCGGUAACUAGGCAUUGCUAGAACCGAUGGGGUAACAUUUCUAUGGUUCUACACUUAGUUUCUAAGUGUGAUUGCUCACCUCUAAUUUUCAAAACACUUAAUUUCUAAGCACAUACAAUGUUCACCUAGAAAAAAAUGAAAAUUGUUGUAGUUAAGAUCAAAACUAAAUAGUUAUGAAAUAAGACAUAAGAGAUUUGAUUUUAACAACCUUCCCGUUGUACUUGGGAUCCACUCUGGCUUUGUGCUGGAAAAUUGGUUUGGAGCUGAUCGUAAGCUUUCGGUUGCUCUUCUGUAACCUUUAGAUACUCUUCAAAGCUAUAAGCUUUGCUUCCUGACGAAGAAUCUUCUACUAUUACAAUACAUAAGAAAAUUCUAUUUCAUAAACCCUGUAUCAUAAUUGAGGCUGAUAGAAUGAUUAUUCUAUAACCCUACCGAUAGUUUCAUUCUUAACAUUCAUAGACACGAUGCAUGGCAGCUAUCCAAUUCUAUUUCAUGUUCUCGAGAAUGGCUCGGUUUAACAAUAAUGUUAAUUUUUGUUUUCUAUUUUAAAAUAAUAACGCUGCUUACUAAUCUUUUUUUUUCCAUUUGGCAUUCUACUUUUUCUACUCAGCUUUCUUUCCUAGUGAUAACAAAUAAUACGGGUGAUAAAAAACUUAAUCACUCACUUGUUUCAGCCACCGAAAGCCCUUCUGCUUUAGAAAUAGAAGAUGAGUAGGUAGAUUUACUUGCAUUGUAUGUGCUGUUCAUUGAACUCUCAAUUUCAUCGAGACCAAUUUCUCACUCAAACAUGGUCUUGCAUUCUCUAGAAACGUCCUACAAACAAAAAUGAAGAACAAAAAACUACAAUAAGGUCUAUGAAAAAGUUACAAAGGAAAAUCUCAAAAACUGAUAUGUAAGUCAUAACAACCUUAAGUCCUCUUAUCGUGGGUUAAAAUGCACGUAAGGUUUUUCCAAGAGUCCGAGCAACCAGCAUGUAAAUAAGUUAAGUCAACUAAAUUUGCUAUAAAUUUACUCGUAUUAACAUUAUCAUUGUUAUAGACUUGACAACUUCAAAUUUAUCAAUAUAAAAUAUGCUUUAACAAAACGUACCUUGAGGUUCCUCCAACCUUAUUAAAAAAGCAAAUAAUCCAACAAUUUAACAAAUUUAUAGUGCAUAUUAUGUAUAUCAAUUGAUCACAACAAAAUAAGAUCGAACAAAUACCCAUGAGUAAUAUUUAGCCACCAAAUGAAUAAUGAUGAAAACCUGAAAACAAAACCGAGAAAAAAAAGGAAACAAUUCAUCAACAAAACAAAUUUAGGGGACUAAAAAAUUGCUUACCUUAUUACACACUUCAAAAUAUUAAGAAAAGUGGAGGGAAAAAACCAACCAAUAAUCAACAAAUAAACUUCAACACAAAUAGCCAUAAAUUUUCUUCUUUAAAGGUAUCACAAAUAAGUCCAUCAGUAAUAACAAAAUAAAAAAGGGCAAUGUGCAAUUGAAUUCUGCAGUCGUAAAGCUAUGCUAAAGGCAGUAUGAAAUCAAACUUGAGCACUAACAAGAAAAUUUGCAAAACAAAAAUUACUAGACAUCAUUAACUAAAGUACCAGCACAACAAUGAAUGUGUAACCUCCGCAAGAGCAAACCCGAAUGGAGAAGAACAUGAAGAAAUAUAUAAAUAGAAGAAACAUAAAAGACAAACAUGAAACACAUGGAAAUAUACAAAGGGGAUAAAUAAAAGUACAAUUAUAAAGUGAUGAAGCACAAAUAUAGGUAUCAACAGAACCAGAAUACAAGUCUUACCCUAUCUCGACUGUCGAGGAGUGUUAACCAACCGUCGGAAGGUUGGUUUUAUUUUUUAGAAAAAAUUAAUGUUGUCUGAAUUCUUUUCCAAGCCACUAACCAGCCCCUCCUUAUCUAUGAUCGACGAUCAACUCCUCAACCUCUAAUUACAUUUAAAAGAGUGAUGCGAACAUUGUGUGAAAUCCCAAACCUUUGAUGGAUCCCACCAUCACUCUCUUUCUAUCCCUUCAAAACCUCAUUAUUUUCAAGAGAGGCCUCAAAGCUUCUUCCAAUUAACAUAAAAGAAGAAUGAAAGAGAAGGAGAGAAAGGGAAAGUGGUUCAAAAGCUAUGGAAAAAAAAGUAAAAGAAAAUGGUCUACUCAUUGGCACAUCUUACACAGAUGAUAAUGUUAGGGCAAGGCAAUGAGAGACAGAAUGCUUUUGGAGCCUUCUCCUCUACUUUCGAAGAUUUUAACAAACUAAAAUAUGCAAAUGUUACAAGAAAGAUCUUUGGAGAUUUGAAAUAAUCCAAAAUAAAGAAAAAGGAAAACCCCAAUAUGUACAAAUUUCAGAAUCUAAAACUUGAAAAGUGAUUGAAUGAUGAGAUAUGUUUGUACAAUCAGUUAUAGAGACAGUGAAAUAUUAAAACAAAAAUGAAACGUACCAAGAUAAAAAGAAUAGCAACUAGUAUUAUGACCUUUGUAUGUCUUCAAAAUACAAACAUCAAAAUGAAUCAAGAGAUCUACCACACAAAUAAUGGUAUCAACACAAAUAAAGCAAUUGUUUUAGUAACAAUAUUUGAGUACAAUUAAACUAAGCAUGCUAUUUCCUUGACAAAUUUACAUUCUUCUAAUCGAACAAAAUCUGACCUUUAAAUAGUGAUAGAAACUGAAGAUGAAAGCAAGUUUAGCUACAACUUCAGACCGUGAUAUAUAUGACGGAACCUAUAAAAAAAAGAAGAGUACCUAACUAUAUAUACACAGAGGAGAUCUGAUGCUUACUAGCACAUCAGAGGCUCAAUCGAUUUAUAUUUAAUUGAAAAACAAUCCCUAUAUUUUAAUGCAUACACAUUGAAUAGCCCUGUUUCAAUCCAAUUUACAAAACUACCUCCAUAAAAUUACAUAAUGGGGGAAGUUCGACCGGAUGCACUGUGCUUUACCAGAACCACAUGAAAUUAUUGGAACAUAGUUCAUUCAAUUAACUUUCUAUUCAAUAAUUGAAACAAAUGGAAAGAGGACAAUUGAAUAUUAAAUAAAGAUGGAAUUAAUUGGGAACUCACGGAGUAAUGCGAUUUGUUCGGGGGCUCACCACUGGAGUUGGAAGAGAGACAAGGAUUAGAAAGGAAAGGAAGAGGAGCGUCUGAUAAUCCAGCGGAUUCUUUGAUGAGUGGAGUACUAGUAGUAGUAGUGGAGGUUCCAAGGACAUUGAAGUCAAUCCGGUGAGAGUGAGGGAAUCCAGAAGGUUGAGGUUGAAGAGAGUAGAAAUUGCAACCAAAAUCGGUGACGAUGGUGGAAUCGAAAUUGCGAGGGAAGAAGAAAAGAGCAUCACAGGUCGAAGUAGAGGAGGAAUCAACACUGGAGAAAGGAGGAAGAUGAGGAGAACCUGCCAUUAAUGGAAGAGGGAGGAAGUGAGAGAGAAAGGAGAGGGAAUUAAUUAAUUAAAGAGAAUUAGGGUUUGAGAAGAGAAAGGGAAAAUGGAGUGUACGAACAAAGAAGAAGAAGAAGAAAUGGAAAGGACGCGCUAAGAGAAGAAGAUGGAUCGGUGAAAUGGGUAUGAUAGGGUUUCUUCCUUAAAGAAACGGAAAUUGAGAGAUAGGCCUUAGGGUUUUGAAAGAGAAAGGAAAACUGGAGUGUACGAAGAAAUGGAAAGGACGCACUAAGAGAAGAAGAUGGAGAUUGGAUCUAAGAGAAGAAGAUGGGGAUGGAUCCGCGAAAUGGGUAUGAUAGGGUUUCUUCCUUACAGAAACGGAAAUUGAGAGAUAGGCCAAAGAAGACAAGAGAGCAAGAGAGAAUGGGGGAGGAGAGGGAGGAGAGGGAGACUUGGCCGUUAGAGAAGAGGAAAAGAAAUUUUAAAUGAGAGAGACUGUACAUGUAGGGUUUUUAUUAGAUUUUUUUUUUUUUGAAAUCUUGCUUAAUUGGAUUUAGAGAAUUUUGUGUAUUCGGUUCACUGACUCGUAUUAGCUGUCCAUUGGUCCAUUGUUUUGUCAUUUUUUUUCAACAAACUAAAUGUUUUAAGCCAUUUACAAAUUAGAUUUCGAUAAAUCGAUAAUCAUAUUUUUUACAAUAUAGGACAAAGAUAACAUAUAUAUAUAUAUAUAUAUAUAUAUAUAUAUAUAUAUAUAUAUAUAUAUAUAUAUAUAUAUAUAUACAUACAACAGUAUACAAAAAGAAUUCUUUUGAAUUUUGUAGUUUGUGUAAAAAAAUAACCUUAAACUUUGAAAUGUUAAAAAAAAUUGUUUUGAACUUUUAAAAAUUAUUCAUAAAUACAUCUACAUACGUAGGAUGAAGGUAUUGGCAUGAUUCUCUAAAAAAACUUUCCAAAAAGAUGUUGUGUGACUUUUGAAAAGAAAAAUUACAAAUGGGGUCGUUUUUAAACAAAUUAGAUAUAUCGAGUUAUGUUUCUUUAAUUUUUUUCCUUUUUUCACAUAUUAUCAAUCACAUCUUACUUUUUUCUUUUUUCUUUGGAACCCUGCAAAAAUAACAAAAACAUUUAUAAUCACAUGACUCAUGUCACUACAUUUUCUAAAUUUUAAAAGUAGUAAAUUUAAAAGUUGAUAACCCUAUGAUUAUCGUUUGAUAGUCAUCUAAUAUCACUAAUUUUGUCAUAUUCGUAAUAUCCAAAUAAGGUUUCUUGGUGAGUCUAGAGUCGAACGUGAGGACUUAUACUAAAAAUAUAUUUAUAUUUUAAAAUGAUCUUAAGGUGAUUAAUAACAUACGCCUAAGAACCAUAGCGGUAUCAUCUACUUGUAGGGUGGGAGGGGAGUCAUCCACUAUAGAUAAGGUCCACUUGUCUCCCUCACCCAACUUCAUAAGGCUGCCAAAAGAGUUAGGCAUAAUCACAUCCACACGUUUACCCUUCUCUCGAACAUAAACCAACUCUCUUUUCUUCCUAAUAACGAGUAAUUUCAUCUCGAUUACCUACCUCCUUUUCCUUAAUAUGCCUAAUGGGGAGCUAUUAGUCUUACUUUCCUCCAACUAUUUAAAGUCUAACACCACAUCCACAAGACACAAUUGUCCGUUCCUCCUCUUUGUUUGAAACCACCUUACUCACAUCCUCCUCUCGAUGAACUUUGUUUUCCACAAUCUUAGGACACUUACCACUAGAAUGCCCAAAAGACCGGCACAAAUUACACCUUCGAGGCUUCCACUCAUAAUUCACAGCCAUAACGAAAUCCUCUCCCCUAAGGUGAAUUGUAAAUUCAGCAGGCAUAGGAGAGUUCACAUUUGAUUCAACACAUACUCAAGCAUGUGACAACCUUCGUCUUUCCUUAGUAGCUAGAUCUAAAGAUAGAGGUUUGCCUAUAGCACUAGCCACAACAGUCAAACUGACAUAUGUCCAUAACUCCAUUGGAAUCCUACCUAGUUUAAUCCAUAUAGGAACAUAAUAAAAAACAAAGGAUUUAGGGACAAUACCUGGAGUCCAUUUACAGAGGAGCAUACUUUUGCUAGCAAGAUGUCGCGAUCAACGUGAUAGGAUCCAUUCAACAAGUUUUGGGCAUCUGAAUUGGAAACAGAUGAGUCCGUUCUCAAGAAUUGUAAUCGUUGGCAUUUUAAUUUUAUCAACAAUAACAACGAGCUAAACAAAAUCCUCUAUCCAGGACGCACUAAUGAAAACUAAAAUGUAAAAUAAGUAUGAAGUAAUUAAUUAAAACAGAAGACAAAAGAAACCCAAAGUAAGUUGACAAAAUGCCCACAAUAAGCUUCAAGAUGAGUAAGAGGGAACACCAAGAGAAACAUGAAUAGCCUUGCUAACUUUUCACUACUAGCCAACUACAUAUUUUUUUACAAUACGUGUUAGGGAAAUCUUUUGUAACGACCACAACUUUUCUAGGUAAGUCGAGGUCAUUAAUUUUUAACAAAGGUAAUAAAGGUGGCAAACCGGCGAGGGGCAGGAAGGAAGCGUGAUUGCCAUAGGAAACGUGUCAUUUUGCUUCCGCUUAUGGUUUCUUUUGAGGUUUAAGAUGUAUUAAAACUUAGUUUACAAACUUUUAUUUGUAAAUAGUAUUAUUUUUAAGUUUUCUUGAAUAUUUGAAAAAUCAGGCCUGACAUAAAUUUGUUUUUCAAUUGACUUACGUUUCAUUUUGUAUCAACCAAAGUCUUUUGUUAAAAAUUAAUGACCUCGACUUACCUAGAAAAGUUGGGUCGUUACAGUUGGUAUCAGAGCCUAAGUUUUAGGUUCUGUAGACUGACUUACGAUGUAAGUCUAUGUUUUUGUGUUCCUAUGGCUAACGCGACCCUUCGUCUCUCGUCAGGUAUGCUUGAUGCUUAUAUGUAUGGUUUAUUUGCAUGACUUUGCCUAAAUUAAACUAGAUUACAUGACGAUAAAGACUUGCUUAUGCUUAUGAUUAAGACUUUUUUUAAAGAGUGUUGUUGGUGGAUAAUAGGAAUUAUGCCGCCAAGGGGAGGUGUACGUAGAGGAGGUCGUAGAGGCCGAGGUAGAGGAGCACGAGGCCGAGGUAGAGGAGCAGGUCGUAAUCAGCCUACUGAGGGUCAAGCUGAACAGCGAAUUCCUGCUGCACCCGUGACUCACGUCGAGUUUGAUGCACUGUCUGCUCACAUGGAGCAGAGGUUUACGGAACUUAUGACGGCUAUAGCUUCGAAACCAGCAGGCACCUGCAGUUCCACCUGCACCUGUGGUUCCCCCUGUACCAGCAGCUCCACCUGCACCAGCAGCCCCUCCUGCACAAGGAUUGGCUGCACAACAGCCGCAGAUAUUACCGAACCAACUUUCUGCUGAGGCGAAACAUUUGAGGGACUUUAGGAAAUAUGACCCUCAGACGUUUGAUGGGUCACUGGAGGAUCCUACUAAAGCUGAGUUGUGGUUGUCCUCUGUGGAAACCAUAUUCAAUUACAUGAGAUGUCCCGAGGAGCACAGAGUUCAGUGUGCUGCUUUUCUACUGAGGGACAGAGGCAUUAUCUGGUGGAGGACUACAAUGCGCAUGCUAGGUGGAGAUGUGAGGCAGAUUACCUGGGAUCAGUUUAAAAACUGCUUCUAUACCAAGUUUUUCUCGGCUAACCUUAGAGACGCCAAAAGCCAGGAAUUCUUGGAGUUGAAGCAAGGACAUAUGACAGUCGAGGAGUACGACCAGGAGUUUGAUAUGCUGUCACGUUUUGCCCCUGAACUUGUUGGUAACGAGCAGGCUAGAGCUGAUAGGUUCGUCAAGGGAUUGAGAGAUGAGAUUAGGGACUUUGUGCGAGCACUAAAGCCCACUACCCAGGCUGAAGCGCUGCGUCUGGCAGUGGAUAUGAGCAUUGGGAAGGAUGAAAUACGGCCAAGGAGCUUUGAUAAGGGAUCGUCGUCUGGUCAAAAGAGAAAAGCAGAGCAGAGAACUGUGGGAGUUCCUCAGAGGAACUUGAGACCAGGCGAUCCUUUUCGCAGUUUCCAGCAAAGUUCUGGCGGGGCAGGAGACACUACUCGAGAGAAGCCAUUAUGCAAUACGUGUGGGAAACGUCACCUGGGUCGUUGUUUGAUGGGAACGAGAGUCUGUUAUAAGUGCAAGCAAGAGGGACACAUGGCUGAUAGGUGUCCCUUGAGAUCUACUGGGGCUGGACAGAGCAGUCAGGGAGAGAGACCUCCACAGCGGGGUACAAUCUUUGCCACUAAUAGAUCAGAGGCAGAGAAGGCCGGCACAGUGGUGACAGGUACAUUACCAGUGUUAGGGCAUUUUGCCUUGACCUUGUUUGACUCGGGAUCUUCUCAUUUAUUUCAUCGCUUUUUGUGACGCAUGCAUGCUUAGAGGUGGAACCCUUAGAUUAUGUUUUGUCAGUGUCUACACCGUCUGGAGAAAUUAUGUUGUCUAAGGAAAAGAUUAAAGCGUGUGAAAUUGAGAUAGCUGGUCGUGUGCUGGACGUAACCUUGUUGGUAUUAGAUAUGCGUGACUUUGAUGUAAUUUUAGGUAUGGAUUGGCUAGCUACUAAUCAUGCUAGUAUUGAUUGUUCUCGUAAGGAAGUUGUGUUCAGUCCCCCUACUGCAUCUAGCUUUAAAUUCAAGGGGGUAGGAACAGUAGUACUGCCUAAAGUAAUCUCAGCUAUGAAAGCUAGUAAACUACUCAACCAGGGUACUUGGAGUAUUUUGGCAAGUGUGGUGGAUACUAAGGAAGAUGAGACUUCUUUAACUUCAGAACCUGUGGUAAGAGAAUACCCAGAUGUAUUUCCAAAAGAUCUUCCAGGACUACCGCCACAUAGAGAGGUUGAUUUUGCCAUUGCGUUGGAGCCAGACACUACUCCUAUUUCUAGAGCCCCUUAUAGGAUGACUCCUGCUGAGUUGAAAGAACUGAAGGUACAGUUACAGGAAUUGCUUGACAAAGGCUUUAUUCGACCUAGUGUGUCACCUUGGGGUGCACCAGUAUUGUUUGUGAAGAAGAAGGAUGGGUCGAUGCGUCUUUGCAUUGACUAUAGAGAGUUGAAUAAAGUAACAGUCAAGAACAGAUAUCCUUUACCCAGAAUCGAUGAUUUGUUCGAUCAGUUACAGGGAGCCACGGUGUUCUCUAAGAUUGACUUACGGUCAAGUUAUCACCAGUUGAGGAUUAGAGACCGUGAUGUUCCUAAGACUGCUUUUCGUUCGAGGUAUGGACAUUAUGAAUUCAUAGUAAUGUCUUUUGGUUUGACUAAUGCACCUGCUGUAUUUAUGGAUUUGAUGAACAGGGUGUUUAAGGAUUUCUUAGACACUUUUGUGAUAGUCUUCAUUGAUGAUAUUUUGGUUUAUUCCAAGACUGAGGCCGAACAUGAGGAACACUUACAUAAGGUGUUAGAGACUCUUUGAGUCAAUAAACUGUAUGCUAAAUUCUCUAAGUGCGAAUUUUGGUUGAAGCAGGUGGCUUUUCUUGGUCAUGUGGUUUCCAGUGAGGGAGUUUCAGUAGACCCUGCAAAGAUAGAAGCGGUUACCAGUUGGUCUCGACCCUCUACAGUUAGUGAGGUUCGUAGUUUUCUGGGUUUAGCAGGGUACUACCGGAGGUUUGUGGAGGAUUUUUCACGUUUGGCUACUCCCUUGACUUAGUUGACAAGGAAGGGAACUCCGUUUGUUUGGAGUCCAGCUUGCGAGGAUAGUUUUCAGAACCUUAAGCAAAGGUUAGUUACUGCACCGGUCCUUACAGUACCAGAUGGAUCCGGAAGUUUUGUGAUUUACAGUGAUGCUUCCAAGAAAGGACUGGGUUGUGUUUUGAUGCAGAAAGGUAAGGUGGUUGCUUAUGCCUCUCGUCAGUUGAAGAGUCACGAGCAGAACUACCCCACACAUGAUUUGGAGUUGGCAGCAGUGGUUUUUGCAUUGAAGAUAUGGAGACAUUAUUUGUACGGUGAAAAGAUACAAAUCUUUACUGACCAUAAGAGCCUGAAGUACUUCUUUACUCAGAAAGAGUUGAAUAUGAGACAGCGAAGGUGGCUCGAGUUGAUAAAGGAUUAUGACUGCGAGAUAUUGUACCAUCCUGGUAAGGCAAAAACGUGGUGGCUGAUGCUCUUAGUAGAAAAGUAUCACAUUCGGCAGCACUCAUUACUAGACAGGUACCAUUGCAUCGAGACUUGGAGAGAGCUGAGAUUGCAGUAUCUGUGGGGAGAGUCACCUCACAGUUAGCUCAAUUAACGGUGCAACCGACUCUGAGGCAGAAGAUUGUUGAUGCUCAGAGUAGUGACCCUUAUUUGAUAGAGAGACGUCGCCUUGUUGGAAUGGGACAGACUGAUGAGUUCUCCAUAUCCUCUGAUGGUGGGUUGAUGUUUGAGAGACGUUUGUGUGUGCCAGCGAACAGUACAGUUAAGAUUGACUUACUAGAUGAAGCCCAUAAUUCUCCAUUUUCCAUGCAUCCUGGUAGCACGAAAAUGUACCAGGAUCUAAAACGUUUUUAUUGGUGGCGAAUAUGAAAAGGGAAGUGGCGGAAUUUGUUAGUAAGUGUCUAGUAUGUCAGCAGGUUAAGGCACCUAGACAGAAACCAGCAGGUUUGUUACAACCUUUAAGUGUGCCAGAGUGGAAGUGGGAGAAUGUGUCGAUGGAUUUUAUUUCAGGGCUGCCUAAGACCCUGAAGGGUUUCACAGUGAUUUUGGUUGUCGUAGACAGGCUUACGAAAUCGGCACAUUUUGUACUAGGGAAAUCCACUUAUACUACUGGUAAGUGGGCACAGUUGUAUUUAACUGAGAUUGUGAGACUGCAUGGAGUGCCUGUAUCGAUUGUUUCUGAUAGGGAUGCACGGUUUACUUCCAAGUUUUGGAAGGGACUUCAGACUGCUAUGGGUACGAGAUUGGAUUUCAGUACAGCCUUUGAUCCACAGACUGAUGGUCAAACUGAACGUUUGAACCAAGUUUUAGAGGAUAUGCUACGAGCUUGUGUUCUAGAGUUUCCAGGUAGUUGGGACUCUCAUCUACAUUUGAUGGAGUUUGCUUAUAACAACAGUUUCCAGGCUACCAUCGGUAUGGCACCAUUUGAGGCUUUGUAUGGCAAAUGUUGUAGAACCCCUGUUUGUUGGAGUGAGGUUGGUGAACAUAGGUUGAUGGGACCUGAAUUAGUUCGGUCUACUAAUGAGGCUAUUCAAAAGAUUAGAGCACGUAUGCAAACAGCGCAGAGUAGACAGAAGAGCUAUGCAGAUGUACGAUGAAAAGACCUUAAGUUCGAUGUGGGAGAAAAAGUAUUCUUGAAGGUAGCACCUAUGAAGGGUGUUAUGCGUUUUGAAAAGAAAGGGAAGUUAAGUCCUCGUUUUGUUGGACCAUUUGAGAUCUUAGAGAGGGUUGGUGUUGUGGCGUAUCGCUUGGCAUUACCACCAUCACUCUCUGCAGUUCAUAAUGUUUUCCAUGUUUCGAUGUUGAGAAAGUAUGUGGCCGAUACGUCUCAUGUAGUGGACUACGAACCUUUGGAGAUUGAUGAGCAUUUGAGCUAUGUAGAACAACCUGUGGAGAUUCUGGCUAGAGAGGUAAAGAUGCUUCGUAAUAGAAGCAUUCCAUUAGUAAAGGUUUUGUGGCGGAAUCAUCGAAUUGAAGAGGCGACAUGGGAGCGAGAGGAAGAGAUGAGGACUCGUUAUCCAGAGUUAUUUCAGGAUUAAAACUUUCGAGGACGAAAGUUUCUUAAGGAGGGAAGAAUGUAAUGCCCCAAAGGUAUAUAUAUAUAUAUUUUGUUUUUAUUUUAUAUAUAUAUUUUUUAAUAUUUAAUUUAAAUAAAAAGAAAAGAAAAAGAAAAUUUCUUUAUUUUUUUUUCCUUUUUCUUUUCUUUUCUUUUCUCUCUUUUUCUUCCUCCCGUGCGCCGCGACCCCCAUCCGUUCUCUUCUCCUUCCUGUUCGCAGCAACCGCCGCCUUAUCCGUUCUCUUCUCCUUCCCGUUCGCAGCAACCGCCGCCCCAUCCGUUCUCUUCUCCUUCCCGUUCGCAGCAACAACCGCCGACCAUCCCUCUCUUUUCUUUCCGCCGCAGCCCAGCAACCGCCGCCCCUAUUCUUCUUUCCGGUCGUUUUCUUCUCUUCUUCGGAUCCAAAACUGCCGCUGUAACCGUCGGCCGCCGCGUGACCUCUGCCCAGCGCCGUGUGACCCUCUGCCCAGUCCCGCCGCGCAACAUCUGUCUCCGUCGAAGCCAAGCCAGUCGCCGUCCAUUCCUCUCCUUUCUCCUCUGUUUUCAGCCAGCCGCCGCCGAUUCCUUCUCCUCCGUUCUCUGCAAUGCCGCGCGACUCUCUGUCCGUCUGUAUACGGUCUCUCCGUCGCACGUCGUCUCUUCGCAAAGCUACUGCUCGACUUCUUCCGCGAAUAACAUCUGCCGUGAACCGAACUAAAGACCCCAGAUCCAACUUUCUACGCGUCGAGUUCCUUCUUCGUCCUGCCGCAGGAUUGGGUCGUUAGCUGUCGUUCCUGCUUUGCCACGAGUCAUUAAAUUCUGAUUGGUAAGAUUGAAGUUAUGAAAUUCGUAACUGUUUCUAAAAUAAACUGAAGUAAUAUUACAGGACUAAUUGGUUGGAGAAAUCGUUUACUGUUCGAUUAUAGGUUGAAGGUAACGUUCGAAUUCCUUGGGUUCGCAGCAAACAAUUGAUUCUAGUUAGAACUAGUUUCGCGAAGAUUUGGGUAAGUUGUAAAAAAAAAAUUCACAUUGGGUUGAAUUUAAAUGAUUGAUGCGUUGAAGAGAAUUAUUGAGAAAUUGUCUUAAUGUUUAGGUUCGUUCUUCGUAGACUUCAACGUGGUUAAGGAGCUUAACUAACUUGAAAGUAAGGGAUUUUCUACUGGACUCACUUAUGAUUGUGAAUUGUAUGUGUUGAAUGUAUACUGUGGAUUGACUGAAAAUAUAUAUAUGCAUAUGAAUUGAAGUAGACUUAAUGUUGAAUGCAUAUUGUGAUUGUCAUGGAAUAUAUAUAUGUGUGUGUGGACGUGGACAGGACGAAAAAUUGUAGAUUGUGUUUGUAUGAGAUGCAGAUGUGAACUUGUGAUUGUCGUUUAGAUUGGGUGUACGUUACGCUAAAGUAUGACUGUGUGCUGGUGAACUGAGGGGUGUAUUGACUGUAUAGUUUGAUUGACUGACGUAUUAGUAUAUUAUUGACAGACAUAUGACUAAAGUGAGAUAAGUUGACUGUUAGGACGUUGAGAGAGAGAACUUUAUGUUUUGAAGUAACUGAAAGAUGGAUUGAAUGGAAUGAGGGGAAAAUUGUUAGCUUUUAUUGGGAUGUGUGCCUUGUAGGUGUCCCACGGGAUCACCAAUUUAUUUUGCACCUUCGGGAGCAUUAGACUAAUAUGUGUUUCUGCAGAACACUAGACUGAUAUGUACGUCCCUCGGGGCGUUAGACUGAGAUGUGCAUCCUACGGGAUCACAAGACUGCGACUGUACAGGGUGUCCCAAUAGAACGUUAACAAUCUAUUUUCCCCUGACGGGACCAGUAGAGGGUCUCUUACUGAGUAUUGUUAUACUCACCCUUCUUAUGUUUAAUUUUCAGGUAAAGGUAAUAAAGGUGGCAAACCGGCGAGGGGCAGGAAGGAAGCGUGAUUACCAUAGGAAACGUGUCAUUUUGCUUCCGCUUAUGGUUUCUUUUGAGGUUUAAGAUGUAUUAAAACUUAGUUUACAAACUUUUAUUUGUAAAUAGUAUUAUUUUUAAGUUUUCUUGAAUAUUUGAAAAAUCAGGCCUGACAUAAAUUUGUUUUUCAAUUGACUUACGUUUCAUUUUGUAUCAACCAAAGUCUUUUGUUAAAAAUUAAUGACCUCGACUUACCUAGAAAAGUUGGGUCGUUACAUCUUUCCCUUUGCAAAACAGACCAAUAUAUAAUCAAUCAUUGGCUCCUUAUGGGAAAAUACAGAAGCCCUAUACAUGUCUGUUUCAAGCCUGUGUUGAACAACUUUUAAUUCCCUAAGAUAAGGAGAUUUAUCUGAAGGUUCAAGAAUAAUGACAUGUCCUAAACUAACCCACCAGUUCGCAACAGUGAACCAGUUUGAUCGUUAGGGGGCAACUUUUGAUAAUAAGCGCACAACCAUGCCCCAAUUCCAAUGUUGCCCAAAAGUAAAGGCCUUUCUUCACAAUGCUCCAUAAAGAAAAGUUCGACUUUCACAUAAAGAUCUUAUUUCUUUUUUAUUGCUCCAAGAGAUCUAAUAGAUCUAUUUUCACCACGCAAAUCCCUUUUGUUAUCAUGGAAAAUGUGUUGGUUGUGCUUAAACCAAAUCUCUGCUAGCAACACUUUUAUCAAAUUAACCCAUAUUUUUUUUAAAAACAAAAGAGGAUAUGAGUUUCACUAUUAUUAAUAUUGAAAAAUGAAGAGACAAAGCUCAAUGUCAUGAGGAUUAUACAAAGAGCAAUAGGAUAGAGGAUCAACAGACGCACCUGGACAUCUCAACUAGGUUGACACCCCCUUAGCGCCCUCAUCACAUCCAAAAAGCGACAACACAAGAUCAAAACCAAAAGCCACAAAUAGAAGGCUUUUUUUGUGUUUGUUUUGCCUUUGGACAUUACUCCUUUGUUAUGGGUUUUAGCUUGGUUGGAUAUGAUGAGGGUGCUAUGGGGGUGUCAACCUAGUUGAGAUGCCAAGGUGCCCCCCCUGAUCCAUGGUUACAUAUUCAUUGUAUAACUCUCUUGUACUAUGAGAUUUUGUCUAAUUAUUAUUAUUAUUUUAAUAUUAAUAAAGAGGUUGUCACCUUUUCAAAAAAAAAAAAAAAACAAAACAAAAAAAAAAAGCCACAAAUAUAAAACCAAACAAAAUCAUAAAAUAAUAUGUAAAAAAAAAAAUCAUAAAUCAUAGGUAGCAGGUCGAGAACAAAGAAGAAUAAGCCUUGAUUGAGCAAAAAAUCCCAACAAAUAUUGAAUGUUUGGAGAAGAUGGAACCAAAAUUUCGAUAUAAAGACAUAGUCAAUUAAAAGGUGCUAAAUAUUUUUCAUGUUAUCAACACAAAUGGGGCAGACAUGAGGUGAGAGGACAUGGGAGGGAAGUUUUCUUUGAAGUACUAAAGCACAGUUUAAUUUUCCAAACAACGUAAUCCAUAUGGGGAUAUUUAUCCAAAGAGUGAGCUAAAUAGCCCAAUGAGUGAUUGUUUUAUAAAACAUCGUUUUGAAAUAAUAAGUAUUUAACAAUUAACUCUUAACAUAAAUGAAAUCAAACUCAAACAACUUAUCUCAAACUUUCCCUUUCAGUUGCUAUACCUAGAAUCGUCGAGACGAAAAACAAUAAACUAGGCAUAGAAAUUAGCACAAUUUUAUUUUCCAUAAACAUAAAAGAAUAAACAAUAAACAUAAAAGAAUGUUGAAUGCAUAUUUUAGGUAUAGACUAAAACAUGCUAAUAUUAUUUUCAAGCUUAAACAUUUUGAAAACUUAGCACAAUCAUAUUUGCUUAUAAUUUUCAUUAGUAAAUUCAUCAAUAAAAACAUGUUUACCAAAAUGUUUCUAAAUUCAUGCUUUGGAAAUACUUUAUAUGUCAGUAUCCUCAAAUAUUCAAACAUCAAAGCAUGCUUGAAACAUUUGAUAGUAAAUUCAUGUUUAGAAAUCAACUUUAAACUCAUUUUUGUCACUUAUAGAGAGUAGCUUGGACCCUUGUCGUAUAAACUUGUUCGAUCUCCUUCGGAUCUAAAAUAAUGAAAAAUAAUGGGAAAUAAUUCCAUUUAAUUCCCGUUGAUCAUAAAAAUGGAAAGAUGUAUAGAGUGAGGGAGAUAAGGUAUAGAGUGAGGGAGAUAAGGUUUAUAUGUCUUAGAGAAUGGAAAGAUGGAAUUUGUGCUAAAAUCAUUAGUGUUCCAAAUACAAUUAUGAAUUGGGUAUAGUUGCAUUCCCCCUUCUUGAUUGCAUAGCACAUAAAUAUAUUCUCAUGGAUUGCAUAGCACAUAAAUAUAAUGUCAAAAACAAUAACAUAAAACACAAACUUGAUUUAGUUUCAUUCGCACUUGCACACCAACAUGUUUCAAGGAUUGAUCAUAUAUUAAAAAUCAUUUUCAAAUUUGGUAAUAUAAAAUGGAAGAAGUGAGACCUUGAGGUUUUGACCACCAAUACUAUCUAACUGAUGAGUUUAUGAUUUUUGUUUCUACUGUGUUCUUUCCUUAAGCUUUAACUUGCUUUAGGGGCAAGAUGGUGAAGGUCUAGUCCACAACCUUUCCCAAGAAUUUAAUGAUGUUUGGGUUGACCCAAUUAUUGUUAUUGGACAGCGUUUUAUGGUAAUUGGUUGUUAUGGUUUUUAAGUGUGUUUUGAUAUCUUGUGUUAAAAAAUAAUUGCAAAAAGUUGGAAAAGUUUGUUAAAGAUUAGGUAUUUUUAAGUUUGUCAUUCCACUUUAAUUCUCACCAGUACUUUCUGAAUGGAAGCCUCUUGUCUAAGACAAUUCGAGUGGAAUAACUCUCGUGACUACCACAACAUUUGGGAACUCACCAAAUGUAAGACUAUUCCUUUAUCCUAGCAUUUGAUCUCUCUCUAUAAUUUGGUUUGCUAUCGUAAGUUUGAUUAAAAUAAAUGUUGAUAAUUCAACUCCAAUGUUCUUAUUUUCUUAACUCUCAUUCAGUCAGUUAGAAUCAGAACUCAUUUAUUUAUCUUGUCUCCAUAAUUUGGAUUCAAAGAUUCAUCACAAUAAUCUUCUCAACAACAUUCUUGAAAAGGUAUUGAAUUUUCAACUGUGUGACCUUUAUACACAAAUUUCUUCAAAGAAAUUUACAUUCUUUAGAGUUUAGAGCUUUGAAUUCUAGUACAACUUAUAAAGCUUUUGAUACUUGUUAGACUUUUUUGCUUGGUGCGGAUAAAACCUUAUUUACAUUCUUUCUUUCCUGCAUGUUCUCUUUUGAUAUUUGUUAGACUUUUUUGCUUGGUUGUCCUUAGUGUUUUCCUCUUUAGCUGAAAUUUCUCAAUCUUGAAAAAAAUAGAGCUUUAAAAUUCAACUUUAACUUUAUUUGAUACUAUCUUAGUCCAUACUUAUUUUGGUAUUUCUUUCCUUUCUCACAAACACAUCUAAGAGGUUGCCUUCACAAUAUGGCAACCCUUUUCAUUGCAAAACAUAUUAGACGUUGGUUACUUAGUUAGCCUUAUUGGGUAAAUAAUUGACAUUUAGGUACUUUUUAGUUUGUAUAUUUAUAGAUGCCAAAUCGAUAUGUGAAUUUUAAUAGUUGCUUAUUUGAAACAUUGCAACCAUUUGAUAAAAUGUUGCUAUGUGAAUCCAUCUUAACUUGAUAUAUUAUUUUAUUUUGGUUUAGGUUGUGGAAUCCAAGUUUGUAUUUGAAGUCAAAUUCAUCCAAGAUCAUUGAGUUCAUAAUACACUCAAGAUUAAGACUAAGUUAUCUAGGUCAUCCUAGUGAAAUAGAAACCUAACUAGUUAAUGUAGUAACACCAAGUGGUUACUAUUUCACAGUCUAGUCUAUUGCAAUCUCAUUGCAUAGGAUACCUUCACUCGCAUGUCAACUACAUGAACACAUUGGAUCAUUGUAUUUGUAUCAAAUACAAAGUGAGUCGUAUUCAUAAUGUUACCAUGAUAAAGGUACCCAGUCUUAUCCCUAUACUAUAGACCCUUUAAGCUGAUCUCGAACAUUGAUCCCUGUAUGUCUCUACAUACUAUUCAAUACUUAUUAAACAGUUUAGGAUGUUAGUUUAUUGGAUUUGAGUUAUUAAGACAAAACUAAUAAUAUAAUCAAUAACAAUUAUUACAAUAAUAACACUUUAUUAACAAUGGUCAAUGGAUUAAAACUUGAUUCCAAGGCUACUCAUGUUUAUUCUCUUGGUGAAAAUGAAUUGUCAGGUGAUACUGGUUGAACCUAUCAAAAAUAAAUGAGUCAUAGUUUGUUUGAUCAUUCAUUUUCUAAUCUUUCUUCUUUAUAUUUAAUUAGUUGUUUAAUUUCUUAAAAAAGAAUUAUAGUUUAUUUAUAGUAUAUUUGGUAGUAUGCAUGCCUCAGCUCCUUUAAUGCAUGUCUCUUAGAGUAUAUUUGGUAGUCUUUUAUAAUGUUACACCCUUUUUUUAAUUCCUAAAACCUUUUAACUUUCCAAAUUUUCAUUCAUUCUUUUAGAAAAUUAUUUUCAUUAUUUUUUUAUGGUUACAAAACCAUCCAUUAACUACAUUAAUUAGACAAUUCACUCCAAUAAUAAAUAAAUAACUUUUUUGGAUCUAAGGUCUUUUCUCAUUCUACAAAUUUAAUUUACUAUAUAAAGGUUAUUAUGCUAAUUGAAAAAUAUAUUUCUCUCAAGUAUGUAAUGACAGAAAAUUAGGUUAUAAAUAUAAAAAAAAUAUAUUUUUAGGUAUUAUAAUUUUUUUAAAAAAAUUAUAUUUUUAAUUUUUAAUAAAACCUUGCAUUUGGGGAUUCACAUGUUGUUACUUGUCGAACCAAAAAAGAUAAAUUCGCGGUGAAAACUCUUUAAAACCCAAUUUGUGGAAGGAAAAAUUGAACUGUGGCGUUGAGUUAUUUUGUUGUUGAAGAAGAUCAGUAAAAAACCCACAACAUUAAAACUUCUUUUUGUUUCUUUAAGUAUUUUUAGAUUGCAGCGUAUUUUCUAUUUGGGUUUAGUUAGGGUUUCUCUUGUUUAUUCCAAGAUAUGCAUGGAUAGUUCAUGUUCGACUAUUUGGAAAGAGGGAUUUAUGUAGCACGGGUAUUAUAUUCUGGUUUUGGAAGUGUCGAGAUAAAUUAAGGACUUUUUUAAUCUUCUUCAAACAAACCUAUACGAAGGCGAAGAAUAAUUUAUGCUUGUAUUUUAGUCGGAAUAAGAAGAAACAUGAAGAGAAUGCCCACGAGGAAAAUGACCACGAGAAAAAGUUGUGUAUUCCUCCAUCCUUAACUGAGCUCUCUAAUGUGUAUUCCUCCCUCCAUAACUGGCUUACUUUGGAUUGUUUGGAUAGAAAGAAACAAUAGAAUUUUUAAGGAUAAAUCAAGGUUUAUUGUUAACUUGUGGGAAGACAUAUGUAACUUGAUCGGAGUUUGGUCUAGGCGUCAUUCAUCUUGUAACCAAUAUGAUGUUACUACCAACUCUUAACUUUAAGCUUUGUUAGAUUAGGUUGCUUCGGGCUUCCCUCUAGCCUUCAACCUUGUAACUUUAACUCUAUGUUAAUAGGUAAUGACUGUUAUCCUAGGUUUAUCCUAGUUUAAAGGAUUCGGUUUCUUCUUCUUAAAACAAGUUGUAUUUCGACUACUAUUUUGGAGGAAAAUGUGCUUAACUAACUAAAAAUCUAAUGACAUUUCCAAAACCAGUCAUUUCGAAAGAUGUUUCCUCAAUAAUAUAUUUAUAAUGCUCUUCCUUUAUAGAGUAAAACAGUAAAGCAACAAAACCAUUUUAAUUCAUUAUAUAUAUAUAUAUAUAUAUAUAUAUAUAUAUAUAUAUAUAUAUAUAUAUAUAUAUAUAUAUAUAUAUAUUUAUAUAUUUAUUUAUGUAUGUAUAUAUAUAUAUAUAUUUACGUAUGUCAUUACUACAAAAAAGGCCUUUCUUGACGUUUGUUGUUUUUCUUUCUUGACAUUUUUUUCAAAAAACGUCAAGAAAGGGCUAGUUCCAAAGAUAAAACGUCAAGAAUUUUUACGAAAAGGCGUGGGUAGGUCAAUUUUCAGAUUUCUUGACGUUUAUUAAACAUCAACUAAUAUGUAUUUUUUCUUGACGUUUUAAAAAUGUCAAGAAAUAUCUAUAAAAAUUUUGACGUUUUUAAAACGUCAAGAAUGUUUAUAUAUUCAACAUUCUUCAAAAUUUUCAAACGUCAAGUAAUAUGUACUUUUACUUGACAUUUUAAAACCGUCAAGAAAUAUCUUAAAAAUUCUUGACGUUUUUAAGAAAUUUUUAUAAAAAGCCGGAGAAGAGUUAUUUUUAAAAUUUCUUGAUGUUUUUUAGACGUCAAGUAAGAUCGUUUUUCUUGACAUUUUAAAAACGUCAAGUGUUAUUAAAUAUAUAUUUAUAUAUAUAUAUAUAUAAGAAAAUAUUGGGUUGAAUCCUUCGAAGCCCUAGACUUGUCUCUGCCGCAUUCGAAAAUGCCAAGUUCUCUGUGAGGAUCGCUCACUUCUGCCGUGUUCACCGUCCGUCCGUCCGCAUUCACCACGCCCUCUCCGAAAAUGCGUACUAGAUCCUUCGCUUUCAGUCGUUCACCAUCCACUGAGUACGAGAUCCCUAAGACUUCCGCCAUCUGCCAUCCCUAAUACUCUGAAAUCGUCAUUCGUUGUCCCUCAAAAUUGUCGUCCUUCUGUACGAAAAAGUCGUCCUUCUUUUGAGUCUUCAUUCCCCUUUAUGUCGUCCUUCUGUAUUUAGAGGUUAUACUUCAUUCCCCUAAAACUUCCACUGGUUUCCAUAUUUCAAGAAUUUGAAAUUUUUAUAGGAUAUUGCUAGUGGAAAUUAAGUCAAUUCUAUUUGCUCCCAAACUACCUCCUAAUUAUGCUGUCUGGUUGGGAGAAAUAAAGUCUUUGUCAUAUUUCAAGGUAGUGUAUGUUAACCAACACUUAGUGCAUUUUCGUGUUUAUGAGCUUAUUUUAGUUAAUAUGUUUUUGUAGGAAAAAUAUGAUGUCAAUAUGGCAUAUUAUACGAUGAAAUUGUAGUCGUUUAACACAAAAUUUUGAGGUUCUUUUUCAACUAAUUAUGCUUUAUCUAAUAUAUUUUUCCAAAUCUUAAAGAAGAACUUUUGAUUUCAUUGGACUUUAUCAUUAGAGGCAUUACUAUAUUGGCUGCCUCUCAGUGGGCUAUAGGUUUUCCAAUGGUCAUUUGAGACUGGUUGAUAAUAGCAAAAGUUAGAGCUUGAGAAGAAGGAGCGAAGAAAGUAGUGAAGACAAAAGAAGAAAGAAAGCUGAGUGAAAAAUGAAAAUUGACAAGGUAGAGAUGUGACAAUAACAAACCCUUGAUAAGUAAAAAAGGAUGGUGCCAAGAAAAUUUAAAUAAAAAAAAAUGAAGGUUCUUGCAAGUGUAUUGAGGUCAAUUGUGAUAGAAAGAAAUAGAUAGACAUAGAUAUACAUUUAUUACUGAAUAAAAGAAUAAAAUGUACAAAAUGAUAAUAAUAAACACAAUGCAAGAAUAAGUAAACGAUCGUGCAAUGAAAUAAUAUACAUUAAACGAUCCUAUUAACCGUGAUAAACGACCAUUUAACAACGGUAAAUGAUAAUAUUGAUUAAAAUAAAUUAUCGUGUUGACAUGGGUACACGAUCAUAUAAUAUUGGUGAUCGUAUUGAAUAGUGUAAACAAUUGUCUUGUUAUCGAUACACGAUCGUGUUAAUAUUUGUAAGUGAUUCUAUUGAUAGUGGUAACUGAUCGUGUAAUUCCAUGUAAACUAUCGUCAAAAACUUUAAACUAUCGAUCUUUAUAAUGAAGUACAUAAUUCUUACAUUAAUACUUAAAAUUUGUUGUAAUGACCCAACUUUUCUAACUAAGUUGAAGUCAUUAAUUUUGACAAAGAGACCUUGAUUGACACAAAAUAUAGUAAAAUUCACUUGAAAUCAUACGAUCAAAGAAAACAAACUUAAGUUUGGGUCCUAUUUCAAAUAACCAAAACUUUAAAAGUACUAUUUACAAAACAACAGUUCGUAAACUCAGUUCCAUCACAAAAUUUUUAAACAACCUCAUGUACAAAGGAAAAACAAGAAACAUAAAGCGGAAGCAUUUGAAGGACAUUCCCUUAUGGCAAUCACGUCUCCUUUUUGUCCCUCGUCGGUCUACCUCCUUUGUUACCUUUGCCUGAAAUAGUUAAACAUGAAAGGAUGGGUAUAAACAUACCCAAUAAGAGACUCGCUAUUGGUCCCGUUAGGUGAAAAAGUAACUGUUAACUUCCUAUUGAGGUACCCUGCACAGUCACAAUCUUGUGAUCCCGUAGGAUACACAUAAUCAGUCUAACGCCUCAAAGGACGCAUAAAUCAGUCUAGUGUUCCGCAGAAACACAUAUCAGUCUAAUGCUCCCGAAGGAUGCACAUAUCAGUAUAGUGCUAUCGAAGGAUACACAUAUCAGGUGGUGAUCCCGUAGGACACCUGCAAGGUAACUACCCAAUAGAAAUCUAACAAUUUUCCCCUCAAUCCAUUCUAAUCAUCUUAACACUCAUUCAUAGUACAGUCCAGCUACUUCAACAUAUAAUCCUUUCACUUAACACCCUAAUAGUCAACCUAUCUCACUUUAGCCCAAUGUCCGCCAGUAACAUAUCAAUACAUCAGUCAAUCAAACUAUAUAGUCAUAACACCCCUCAAUUCACCAGUACACAACCAUACUUUAGUAUAACAUACACCCAAUCUAAACGACAAUCACAAGUUCACAUCCACAUUCCAUACAAACACAAUCUACAAUUGUCGUCUUGUCUACAUCCAUACAUAUAUAUAUAUAUAUAUAUAUUCCCAGACAAUCACAAUAUGCAUUCAACAUCAAGUCUACAUCAAUCCAUGUAUAUAUAUAUUUUUUCAGUCAUUCAUAGUAUACAUUCAACACCAAGUCUACAUCCAUACGUGUAUAUAUCGUUUCGACAUCUUUACUCAAUCGGAGGUAACUAUACAGACAGCACAAUUCAAAACUAUAGGUGAGUCCAGUAGUAGAGAAUCCCUUACCUUAUCACCUUACUUAAGCUUCUUUUUCAAACUAAAGUGCAACGAACCGACCUAAACAUAAUUGAAGAGAAAUCAAUCACUUCCACAAACAAUUUAAUCCAUUCAAUUCACUCUAUAUGUAAAUUCCAUAACUUACCCAAAUUGUGGAGAAUCAAAUUCUAAUGGAGACGGAUCGGUGCAACAAAUAACCGAACAAUUCAGAUCUAAACAUACAUGGCGUGACAGAACCGGAGUGACUCGGGCUAACGGUGAUGCGACGAUAGGACAAAAUUUGCUUGACGUUCGGUGUAGGUGGAAGACGGUGGUGAAGUUGAUUGGAGAAGGAAAAGAGAAGGAAGAAAAGAGAUGGUGGUGUGGCCGUAGGUUGAAGAGGAUGAGAAAGGAAGAAGAUGAAUAGGAAAAGAGAAAAAAUAAGAUUAAAUAUUAUAAAUAUAUAUAUAUGAAAUACAAAAAUAAAAGUAGAAUAACGAUCAAAUUUUGAAAAAUGAAAAUUUGGAUAAAGUAAAAUUUGAAAAUAAAGAUUUGAUACAAAUCCAAUAUUUGGAGAAAAAAAAAGUGUGUUAAGAUAAUGUAGGAGAAAAUCAAUAUUUAUGCUAAAAUUUUGCAUAUUUCAAAAUUAGUUACAGUUUAACUAAAAAGCAGGCGAGGAGAUUUUAGGGUUAAUGAAAAUUCAAAACACGUGAAAUGCUCAUGUUUGCUAUUCUUCUAAUAAAAUUUUGCUAUUUUCUCAAAUGAGUGUAAUCCAACAAAAUGAAGUUGUGUGUGUGUGAACAAAAAUGAGGUAAAUAGCUUUGAUGAUGAUGGCAAAUGGGUAAAGAAAAUCUUAUCUUAUUCUUCACUUUUCAUUUAAUUGACAAAAAGUAACCAACCAUAUGAAGGGAAAAACAAAAUGCUCUCUCAGUUACUUUACUCAUUUCUUUGUUCUUUGUGUGGGAGAUAUUUGAAAUGGAGAUGAAGAUCAAAAUGAAAGAGAGAUUAUGCAUACACUGUGAGAAGCACACAGAAAAACUGAAAAUAAAUUGAAAAGAAGAGAGAGAUAAGUCUGAGGGAGAAAUAUUCAUUUCCCUUUCAAAGUGAAUUGCAAAGAAAUUUUCUCAAUUUGAAAAGAAAGGAGAAAUAUACAAAGUCAGCCACCGCUUCUUCUCCCUUCAGUUUGCAGUUUUCGUCUCCCUCUCUUCUAUUAUUAAAAUAAAUAAAUAAAAUAUCACAACCCGACUUAACACAAACUAUUUACUCCAACUUUUUAAACUACAAAUUUAAUUUCUCAACUUUUAAACUAUUUUAAACUUACAAAUCUACUUUAUUCAUUUCUUCAGAUUUAUAUCUAACAAAUAAAAAAAAUCAAAACUUAUAGACACUUAAAACAUAAAAUUGAAAGACCUAUUAAACAAUUGAAAGGUUUAAGGGGUAACUAAACAAACUUUAAAAGUUCUAAGGGAAAGAAUCUUUUGUUUAACUAUUACAGUAAUUAAUUUUGAAAAUAUGUUAUUUUAGAAAAACUACAAGUGUUUGACAACUCUUUAAAAGCUAUUGAAAUACUCUCAAAUUGUAUUUUAAGCAAUUUUAAUAAAAAGAAAGUCUACAUAAAAAAAUUACCCUUUUUAAAGGAACAUUUUUUCUCUAAUCACUCCAAUGGAACUCAAACACGUACUUUAAGUUAAUUCUGGUAUCCAAGAAUCAGUCUCAUCUAACAUAAACAAGAACAUUCAACUUGAUAAAACUUCAUAACCUCAUUUUUACAAUUCUCAAAGUUACUAAAUGAAGGACCAUUCCUAAAACAUACUUACAUCCAACUUUCUCCAUGAAUAAACUUAUCGUCUUUUAUGUACUGAUGAAUAUAGAGAUGGAGCGAUCAGAGCUUGUUUAUGUACCAAAGUAGAGUGAGUUGAGAAAAGAGUGGAUACACAAGGACGAAAUGGCUGGCUGUUGCUUGUUCAAAACUGAAAGUUAGGGUGACCUUGUUUCUCACAGGGACUCAGCAAAUUGAAGGGCCUCCAAGUCUACUUCUUGUCUCAUUAUACAUGCCAUUAGCUAUUCAACGUUGAAAGUCCAUAUCCCUUUUUCUACGGCCACCAAGGCUUCCUCCACGUCUUCCUCACAAGCCACAAAGAUCGUCUACCAUACGUUGUUUACUUUAUCUAGCUCAUGAAUCACCUAAAUUUUCAAGCAUAAUUAAUUUGCCAAAUGAGAGAAAAUAUUAUGUAUAUACUACAAGGAAAUUGUUGGAAUUCACCCUAUCAUAAUUAGAAACAAUAAAAUGUUGCGACCAGAAAACAAUCUAAUCAUAAUUAGAAACAUGGAUGUAUGUAUUUGUACACCAAAUCACAAAAAAUAACUCCAGAUUUCGAUCUAGAGACAAUUAAAAACUUGAACAAAUUUGAUAAUUAAAGAAACACGGAGAUGGCCAUAUGACCCCUUGUGCAUAGACUUUUUACAUUACAUGCUCAAUUCCUAGGAUCAAAACAAACAUAAAUAUUAGAGACUUAAGAAGCACCUACACUCAAGUUUGGCUAGUGUAUCAAUAAACAAUAUGUAUGGAACACUCGGAGAACACGUGUUGAACACUAGUUAGUACAGUAGAUGUGUUAGACAACAAGUAUUCCAAUGCAAUAAAGGUUCAAGAUUGGUUACACACACAUAUUAAACUCUUGGCUUUGAAUAAGUUUUGAGUGAAGGACAAGCUUAUUUUUAAGCAUAUAAAUACAUAAACUUAUUGACUUUGAAUAUUAUAAUAUUUAAUUUCUCAAUAACAACUUUAUUGAAUAGAAUAUGAUUUACAAACUACGAGUUUUAGGACAAAAAAUUCCAACACGGAGGCCUCGAAAGUUUACGUCUAGAUACUGGGUGGUCCGAUUCUGAGUGGUCUCAAAGUUUCUUGCCCACAGAAGCCGAACGGUGAUGCCCCGGACUCGGUUUCUUGGUUUCGUCCGAAAACGCCGAAAGAAAGGCACAAUGGCCUAGAAAGGAACGACCGAACUUAGAACGAAGUCAGAGGCCUCGAAAGUUCACGUCUAGCUACUGGGUGGUCCGAUUCUGAGUGGUCUCGAAGUUUCUUUCCCACAGAAGCCGAACGGUGAUGCCCCGGACUCGGUUUCUUGGUUCCGUCCAAAAACACCGAAAGAAAGGCACAAUGGCCUAGAAAGGAACGACCGGACUUAGAACGGGGUGGAGGCCUCGAAAGUUCACAUCUAGCUACUGGGUGGUCCGAUUCUGAGUGGUCUUCAAGUUUCUUGCCCACAGAAGCCGAACGGUGAUGCCCCGGACUCGGUUUCUUGGUUUGAUCCGAAAACGCCGAAAGAAAGGCACAAUGGCCUAGAAAGGAACGACCGGACUUAGAACGGGGUCGGAGGCCUCGAAAGUUCAUGUGUUGCUACUGGGUGGUCCGAUUCUGAGUGGUCUCGAAGUUUCUUGCCCAUAAAAGCCGAAGGGUGAUGCCCCAGACUCGGUUUCUUGGUUCGGUCCCAAAACGUUGAGAGAAAGGCACAUUGGCUUAGAAAGGAACGACCAGACUUAAAACGGGGUCGGAAGCCUUGAAAGUUCACGUCUGGCUACUGGGUUGUCCGAUUCUAAGUGGUCUCGAAGUUUCUUGCCCACAAAAGCCGAACGGUGAUGCCCUAGACUCGGUUUCUUGGUUCCGUCCCAAAACGCCGAAAGAAAGGCACAAUGGCCUAGAAAGGAACGACCGGACUUAGAACGGGGUCGGAGGCCUCGAAAGUUCAUGUAUUGCUACUGGGUGGUCCGAUUCUGAGUGGUCUCGAAGUUUCUUGCCCACAAAAGCCGAAGGGUGAUACCCCAGACUCGGUUUCUUGGUUACGUCCCAAAACGCCAAAAGAAAGGCACAAUGGCCUAGAAAGGAACGACCAGACUUAAAACGGGGUCGGAGGCCUCGAAAGUUCAUGUCUGGCUACUGGGUUGUCCGAUUCUAAGUGGUCUCGAAGUUUCUUGCCCACAAAAGCCGAACGGUGAUGCCCUAGACUCGGUUUUUGGUUCCGUCCCAAAACGCCGAAAGAAAGGCACAAUGGCCUAGAAAGGAACGAUCGGAUUUCGAACAGGGUCAGAGGCCUCGAAAGUUCACGUCUGGCUACUGGGUGGUCCGAUUCUGAGUGGUCUCGAAGUUUCUUGCCCACAAAAGCCGAACGGUGAUGCCCCAGACUCGGUUUCUUGGUUCCGUCCCAAAACGCCGAAAGAAAGGCACAAUGGCCUAGAAAGGAACGAUCAGACUUAGAACGGGGUCGGAGGCCUCGAAAGUUCACGUCUGGCUACUGGGUGGUCCGAUUCUGAGUGGUCUCGAAGUUUCUUGCCCACAAAAGCCGAACGGUGAUGCCCCAGACUCGGUUUCUUGGUUCCGUCCCAAAACGCCGAAAGAAAGGCACAAUGGCCUAGAAAGGAACGACGGACUUAGAACGGGGUCGGAGGCCUCGAAAGUUCACGUCUGGCUACUGGGUGGUCCGAUUCUGAGUGGUCUCGAAGUUUCUUGCCCAAAAAGCCGAACGGUGAUGCCCCAGACUCGGUUUCUUGGUUCCGUCCCAAAACGCCGAAAGAAAGGCACAAUGGCCUAGAAAGGAACGACCGGACUUAGAACGGGGUCGGAGGCCUCGAAAGUUCACGUGUUGCUACUGGGUGGUCCGAUUCUGAGUGGUCUCGAAGUUUCUUGCCCACAAAAGCCGAACGGUGAUGCCCUAGACUCGGUUUCUUGGUUCCGUCCCAAAACGCCGAAAGAAAGGCACAAUGGCCUAGAAAGGAACGACCGGACUUAGAACGGGGUCGGAGGCCUCGAAAGUUCACGUCUAGCUACUGGGUGGUCCGAUUCUGAGUGGUCUCGAAGUUUCUUGCCCACAAAAGCCGAACGGUGAUGCCUAGACUCGGUUUCUUGGUUCCGUCCCAAAACGCCGAAAGAAAGGCACAAUGGCCUAGAAAGGAACGACCGGACUUAGAACGGGGUCGGAGGCCUCGAAAGUUCACGUCUGGCUACUGGGUGGUCCGAUUCUUAGUGGUCUCGAAGUUUCUUGCCCACAAAAGCCGAACGGUGAUGCCCCAGACUCGGUUUCUUGGUUCCGUCCCAAAACGCCGAAAGAAAGGCACAAUGGCCUAGAAAGGAACGACCGGACUUAGAACGGGGUCGGAGGCCUCGAAAGUUCACGUCUGGCUACUGGGUGGUCCGAUUCUGAGUGGUCUCGAAGUUUCUUGCCCACAAAAGCCGAACGGUGAUGCCCAGACUCGGUUUCUUGGUUCCGUCCCAAAACGCCGAAAGAAAGGCACAAUGGCCUAGAAAGGAACGACCGGACUUAGAACGGGGUCGGAGGCCUCGAAAGUUCACGUCUAGGUACUGGGUGGUCUCGAAGUUUCUUGCCCACAAAAGCCGAACGGUGAUGCCCAGACUCGGUUUCUUGGUUCCGUCCCAAAACGCCGAAAGAAAGGCACAAUGGCCUAGAAAGGAACGACCAGACUUAGAACGGGGUCAGAGGCCUCGAAAGUUCACGUCUAGGUACUGGGUGGUCUCGAAGUUUCUUGCCCACAAAAGCCGAACGGUGAUGCCCUUGACUCGGUUUCUUGGUUCCGUCCCAAAACGCCGAAAGAAAGGCACAAUGGCCUAGAAAGGAACGACCAGACUUAGAACGGGGUCGGAGGCCUCGAAAGUUACUGUCUAGCUACUGGUGGUCCGAUUCUGAGUGGUCUCGAAGUUUCUUGCCUACAAAAGCCGAACGGUGAUGCCUCAGACUCGAUUUCUUGGUUCCGUCCCAAAACGCCGAAAGAAAGGCACAAUGGCCUAGAAAGGAACGACCGGACUUAGAACGGGGUCGGAGGCCUCGAAAGUUCACGUCUAGCUACUGGUGGUCCGAUUCUGAGUGGUCUCGAAGUUUCUUGCCCACAAAAGCCGAACGGUGAUGCCCCAGACUCGGUUUCUUGGUUCCGUCCCAAAACGCCGAAAGAAAGGCACAAUGGCCUAGAAAGGAACGACCGGACUUAGAACGGGGUCGGAGGCCUCGAAAGUUCACGUCUAGCUACUGGGUGGUCCGAUUCUGAGUGGUCUCGAAGUUUCUUGCCCACAAAAGCCGAACGGUGAUGCCCCUGACUCGGUUUCUUGGUUCCGUCCCAAAACGCCGAAAGAAAGGCACAAUGGCCUAGAAAAGGAACGACCGGACUUAGAACGGGGUCGGAGGCCUCGAAAGUUCACGUCUGGCUACUGGGUGGUCCGAUUCUGAGUGGUCUCGAAGUUUCUUGCCCACAAAAGCCGAACGGUGAUGCCCAGACUCGGUUUCUUGGUUCCGUCCCAAAACGCCGAAAGAAAGGCACAAUGGCCUAGAAAGGAACGACCGACUUAGAACGGGUCGGAGGCCUCGAAAGUUCACGUCUGGCUACUGGGUGGUCCGAUUCUGAGUGGUCUCGAAGUUUCUUGCCCACAAAAGCCGAACGGUGAUGCCCAGACUCGGUUUCUUGGUUCCGUCCCAAAACGCCGAAAGAAAGGCACAAUGGCCUAGAAAGGAACGACCGGACUUAGAACGGGUCGGAGGCCUCGAAAGUUCACGUCUAGCUACUGGGUGGUCCGAUUCUGAGUGGUCUCGAAGUUUCUUGCCCACAAAAGCCGAACGGUGAUGCCCCAGACUCGGUUUCUUGGUUCCGUCCCAAAACGCCGAAAGAAAGGCACAAUGGCCUAGAAAGAAAGACCGACUUAGAACGGGGUCGGAGGCCUCGAAAGUUCACGUCUCUACUGGGUGGUCCGAUUCUGAGUGGUCUCGAAGUUUCUUGCCCACAAAACCGAACGGUGAUGCCCCAGACUCGGUUUCUUGGUUCCGUCCCAAAACGCCGAAAGAAAGGCACAAUGGCCUAGAAAGGAACGACCGACUUAGAACGGGGUCGGAGGCCUCGAAAGUUCACGUCUGGCUACUGGGUGGUCCGAUUCUGAGUGGUCUCGAAGUUUCUUCCCACAAAAGCCGAACGGUGAUGCCCAGACUCGGUUUCUUGGUUCCGUCCCAAAACGCCGAAAGAAAGGCACAAUGGCCUAGAAAGGAACGACCGGACUUAGAACGGGGUCGGAGGCCUCGAAAGUUCACGUCUAGCUACUGGGUGGUCCGAUUCUGAUGGUCUCGAAGUUUCUUGCCCACAAAAGCCGAACGGUGAUGCCCAGACUCGGUUUCUUGGUUCCGUCCCAAAACGCCGAAAGAAAGGCACAAUGGCCUAGAAAGAACGACGGACUUAGAACGGGGUCGGAGGCCUCGAAAGUUCACGUCUAGCUACUGGGUGGUCCGAUUCUGAGUGGUCUCGAAGUUUCUUGCCCACAAAAGCCGAACGGUGAUGCCCAGACUCGGUUUCUUGGUUCCGUCCCAAAACGCCGAAAGAAAGGCACAAUGGCCUAGAAAGGAAGACGACUUAGAACGGGGUCGGAGGCCUCGAAAGUUCACGUCUAGCUACUGGGUGGUCCGAUUCUGAGUGGUCUCGAAGUUUCUUGCCCACAAAAGCCGAACGGUGAUGCCCAGACUCGGUUUCUUGGUUCCGUCCCAAAACGCCGAAAGAAAGGCACAAUGGCCUAGAAAGGAACGACCGGACUUAGAACGGGGUCGGAGGCCUCGAAAGUUCACGUCUAGCUACUGGGUGGUCCGAUUCUGAGUGGUCUCGAAGUUUCUUGCCCACAAAAGCCGAACGGUGAUGCCCCAGAUUCGGUUUCUUGGUACCGUCCCAAAACGCCGAAAGAAAGGCACAAUGGUCGGGGAAGAAACGACCGGACUUAGAACGGCGUUGGAGGCCUCGAAAGUUCACGUCUAGCUACUGGGUGGUCCGAUUCUGAGUGGUCUCAAAGUUUCUUGCCCACAAAAGCCGAACGGUGAUGCCCAGACUCGGUUUCUUGGUUUCGUCCUAAAAUGUCGAAAGAAAGGCACAAUGGCCUGGAAAGGAACGACCGGACUUAGAACGGGGCGGAGGCCUCGAAAGUUCACGUCUAGCUACUGGGUGGUCCGAUUCUGAGUGGUCUCGAAGUUUCUUGCCCACAAAAGCCGAACGGUGAUGCCCUAGACUCGGUUUCUUGGUUCCGUCCCAAAACGCCGAAAGAAAGGCACAAUGGCCUAGAAAGGAACGACCGGACUUAGAACGGGUCGGAGGCCUCGAAAGUUCACGUCUAGCUACUGGGUGGUCCGAUUCUGAGUGGUCUCGAAGUUUCUUGCCCACAAAAGCCGAACGGUGAUGCCCCAGACUCGGUUUCUUGGUUCCGUCCCAAAACGCCGAAAGAAAGGCACAAUGGCCUAGAAAGGAACGACCGGACUUAGAACGGGGUCGGAGGCCUCGAAAGUUCACGUCUAGCUACUGGGUGGUCCGAUUCUGAGUGGUCUCGAAGUUUCUUGCCCACAAAAGCCGAACGGUGAUGCCCCAGACUCGGUUUCUUGGUUCCGUCCCAAAACGCCGAAAGAAAGGCACAAUGGCCUAGAAAGGAACGACCGGACUUAGAACGGGGUCGGAGGCCUCGAAAGUUCACGUCUAGCUACUGGGUGGUCCGAUUCUGAGUGGUCUCGAAGUUUCUUGCCCACAAAAGCCGAACGGUGAUGCCCCAGACUCGGUUUCUUGGUUCCGUCCAAAACGCAAAAAAGGCACAAUGGCCUAGAAAGGAACGACCGGACUUAGAACGGGGUCGGAGGCCUCGAAAGUUCACGUCUGGCUACUGGGUGGUCCGAUUCUGAGUGGUCUCGAAGUUUCUUGCCCACAAAAGCCGAACGGUGAUGCCCCAGACUCGGUUUCUUGGUUCCGUCCCAAAACGCCGAAAGAAAGGCACAAUGGCCUAGAAAGGAACGACCGGACUUAGAACGGGGUCGGAGGCCUCGAAAGUUCACGUCUGCUACUGGGUGGUCCGAUUCUGAGUGGUCUCGAAGUUUCUUGCCCACAAAAGCCGAACGGUGAUGCCCCAGACUCGGUUUCUUGGUUCCGUCCCAAAACGCCGAAAGAAAGGCACAAUGGCCUAGAAAGGAACGACCGGACUUAGAACGGGGUCGGAGGCCUCGAAAGUUCACGUCUGGCUACUGGGUGGUCCGAUUCUGAGUGGUCUCGAAGUUUCUUGCCCACAAAAGCCGAACGGUGAUGCCCCAGACUCGGUUUCUUGGUUCCGUCCCAAAACGCCGAAAGAAAGGCACAAUGGCCUAGAAAGGAACGACCGGACUUAGAACGCGGUCGGAGGCCUCGAAAGUUCACGUCUGGCUACUGGGUGGUCCGAUUCUGAGUGGUCUCGAAGUUUCUUGCCCACAAAAGCCGAACGGUGAUGCCCCACUCGGUUUCUUGGUUCCGUCCCAAAACGCCGAAAGAAAGGCACAAUGGCCUAGAAAGGAACGACCGGACUUAGAACGGGGUCGAGGCCUCGAAAGUUCACGUCUGGCUACUGGGUGGUCCGAUUCUGAGUGGUCUCGAAGUUUCUUGCCCACAAAAGCCGAACGGUGAUGCCCAGACUCGGUUUCUUGGUUCCGUCCCAAAACGCCGAAAGAAAGGCACAAUGGCCUAGAAAGGAACGACCACUUAGAACGGGGUCGGAGGCCUCGAAAGUUCACGUCUGGCUACUGGGUGGUCCGAUUCUGAGUGGUCUCGAAGUUUCUUGCCCACAAAAGCCGAACGGUGAUGCCCCAGACUCGGUUUCUUGGUUCCGUCCCAAAACGCCGAAAGAAAGGCACAAUGGCCUAGAAAGGAACGACCGACUUAGAACGGGGUCGGCGGCCUCGAAAGUUCACGUCUGGCUACUGGGUGGUCCGAUUCUGAGUGGUCUCGAAGUUUCUUGCCCACAAAAGCCGAACGGUGAUGCCCCAGACUCGGUUUCUUGGUUCCGUCCCAAAACGCCGAAAGAAAGGCACAAUGGCCUAGAAAGGAACGACCGGACUUAGAACGGGGUCGGCGGCCUCGAAAGUUCACGUCUAGCUACUGGGUGGUCCGAUUCUGAGUGGUCUCGAAGUUUCUUGCCCACAAAAGCCGAACGGUGAUGCCCCAGACUCGGUUUCUUGGUUCCGUCCCAAAACGCCGAAAAAAGGCACAAUGGCCUAGAAAGGAACGACCGGACUUAGAACGGCCUCGAAAGUUCACAUCUAACUACUGGGUGGUCCGAUUCUGAGUGAUCUCGAAGUUUCUUGCCCACAAAAGCCGAACGGUGAUGCCCCAGACUCGGUUUCUUGGUUCCGUCCCAAAACGCCGAAAGAAAGGCACAAUGGCCUAGAAAGGAACGACCGGACUUAGAACGGGGUCGGCGGCCUCGAAAGUUCACGUCUAGCUACUGGGUGGUCCGAUUCUGAGUGGUCUCGAAGUUUUUUGCCCACAAAAGCCGAACGGUGAUGCCCCAGACUCGGUUUCUUGGUUCCGUCCCAAAACGCCGAAAGAAAGGCACAAUGGCCUAGAAAGGAACGACCGGACUUAGAACGGGGUCGGAGGCCUCGAAAGUUCACGUCUAGCUACUGGGUGGUCCGAUUCUGAGUGGUCUCGAAGUUUCUUGCCCACAAAAGCCGAACGGUGAUGCCCCAGACUCGGUUUCUUGGUUCCGUCCCAAAACGCCGAAAGAAAGGCACAGGCCUAGAAAGGAACGACCGGACUUAGAACGGGGUCGGCGGCCUCGAAAGUUCACGUCUAGCUACUGGGUGGUCCGAUUCUGAGUGGUCUCGAAGUUUCUUGCCCAAAAAGCCGAACGGUGAUGCCCCAGACUCGGUUUCUUGGUUCCGUCCCAAAACGCCGAAAGAAAGGCACAAUGGCCUAGAAAGGAACGACCGGACUUAGAACGGGGUCGGAGGCCUCGAAAGUUCACGUCUAGCUACUGGGUGGUCCGAUUCUGAGUGGUCUCGAAGUUUCUUGCCCAAAAAGCCGAACGGUGAUGCCCCAGACUCGGUUUCUUGGUUCCGUCCCAAAACGCCGAAAGAAAGGCACAAUGGCCUAGAAAGAACGACCGGACUUAGAACGGGUCGGAGGCCUCGAAAGUUCACGUCUAGCUACUGGGUGGUCCGAUUCUGAGUGGUCUCGAAGUUUCUUGCCCACAAAAGCCGAACGGUGAUGCCCAGACUCGGUUUCUUGGUUCCGUCCCAAAACGCCGAAAGAAAGGCACAAUGGCCUAGAAAGGAACGACCGGACUUAGAACGGGGUCGGAGGCCUCGAAAGUUCACGUCUAGCUACUGGGUGGUCGAAUUCUGAGUGGUCUCGAAGUUUCUUGCCCACAAAAGCCGAACGGUGAUGCCUAGACUCGGUUUCUUGGUUCCGUCCCAAAACGCCGAAAGAAAGGCACAAUGGCCUAGAAAGGAACGACCGGACUUAGAACGGUCGGAGGUCGAAAGUUCACGUCUAGCUACUGGGUGGUCCGAUUCUGAGUGGUCUCGAAGUUUCUUGCCCACAAAAGCCGAACGGUGAUGCCCCAGACUCGGUUUCUUGGUUCCGUCCCAAAACGCCGAAAGAAAGGCACAAUGGCCUAGAAAGGAACGACCGACUUAGAACGGGGUCGGCGGCCUCGAAAGUUCACGUCUAGCUACUGGGUGGUCCGAUUCUGAGUGGUCUCGAAGUUCUUGCCCACAAAAGCCGAACGGUGAUGCCCCAGACUCGGUUUCUUGGUUCCGUCCCAAAACGCCGAAAGAAAGGCACAAUGGCCUAGAAAGGAACGACCGGACUUAGAACGGGGUCGGCGGCCUCGAAAGUUCACGUCUAGCUACUGGGUGGUCCGAUUCUGAGUGGUCUCGAAGUUUCUUGCCCACAAAAGCCGAACGGUGAUGCCCCAGACUCGGUUUCUUGGUUCCGUCCCAAAACGCCGAAAGAAAGGCACUGUGGCCUAGAAAGGAACGACCGACUUAGAACGGGGUCGGCGGCCUCGAAAGUUCACGUCUAGCUACUGGGUGGUCCGAUUCUGAGUGGUCUCGAAGUUUCUUGCCCACAAAAGCCGAACGGUGAUGCCCCAGACUCGGUUUCUUGGUUCCGUCCCAAAACGCCGAAAGAAAGGCACAGUGGCCUAGAAAGGAACGACCGGACUUAGAACGGGGUCGGCGGCCUCGAAAGUUCACGUCUAGCUACUGGGUGGUCCGAUUCUGAGUGGUCUCGAAGUUUCUUGCCCACAAAAGCCGAACGGUGAUGCCCCAGACUCGGUUUCUUGGUUCCGUCCCAAAACGCGAAAGAAAGGCACAAUGGCCUAGAAAGGAACGACCGACUUAGAACGGGGUCGGAGGCCUCGAAAGUUCACGUCUAGCUACUGGGUGGUCCGAUUCUGAGUGGUCUCGAAGUUUCUUGCCCACAAAAGCCGAACGGUGAUGCCCCAGACUCGGUUUCUUGGUUCCGUCCCAAAACGCCGAAAGAAAGGCACAAUGGCCUAGAAAGGAACGACCAGACUUAGAACGGGGUCGGAGGCCUCGAAAGUUCACGUCUGGCUACUGGGGGUCCGAUUCUGAGCGGUCUCGAAGUUUCUUAGCCACAAAAGCCGGUCGGUGAUGCCCCAGACUCGGUUUCUUGGUUUCGUCCCAAAACGCCGAAAGAAAGGCACAAUGGCCUAGAAAGGAACGACCGGACUUGGAACGCGGUCGGAGGCCUCGAAAUUCACUUGGCUACUGGGGUCCGAUUCUGAGUGGUCUCGAAGUUUCUUGCCACAAAAGCCGAACGAUGAUGCCCAGACUCGGUUUCUUGGUUCCGUCCCAAAACGCCGAAAGAAAGGCACAAUGGCCUAGAAAGGAACGACCGACUUAGAACGGGGUCGGAGGCCUCGAAAGUUCACGUCUAGGCUACUGGUGGUCGAUUCUGAGCGGUCUCGAAGUUUCUUGCCCACAAAAGCCGAACGGUGAUGCCCAGACUCGGUUUCUUGGUUCCGUCCCAAAACGCCGAAAAAAGGCACAAUGGCCUAGAAAGGAACGACCGACUUAGAACGGGGUCGGAGGUCUCGAAAGUUCACGACUGGCUACUGGGUGGUCCGAUUCUGAGUGGUCUCAAAGUUUCUUGCCCACAAAAGCCGAACGGUGAUGCCCCAGACUCGGUUUCUUGGUUCCGUCCCAAAACGCCGAAAGAAAGGCACAAUGGCCUAGAAAGGAACGACCGGACUUAGAACGGGGUCGGAGGCCUCGAAAGUUCACGUCUGGCUACUGGGUGGUCCAAUUCUGAGUGGUCUCGAAGUUUCUUGCCCACAAAAGCCGAACGGUGAUGCCCCAGACUCGGUUUCUUGGUUCCGUCCCAAAACGCCGAAAGAAAGGCACAAUGGCCUAGAAAGGAACGACCGGACUUAGAACGGGGUCGGAGGCCUCGAAAGUUCACGUCUGGCUACUGGGGGGUCCGAUUCUGAGCGGUCUCGAAGUUUCUUGCCCACAAAAGCCGAACGGUGAUGCCCAGACUCGGUUUCUUGGUUUCGUCCCAAAACGCCGAACGAAAGGCACAAUGGCCUAGUAAGGAACGACUGGACUUAGAACGGGGUCGGAGGCCUUGAAACUUCACUUUUGGCUACUGGCGGGUCCGAUUCUCAGCGGUCUCGAAGUUUCUUGCCCACAAAAGCCGACCAAUGAUGCCCCAGACUCGGUUUCUUGGUUCCGUCCCAAAACGCCGAAAGAAAAGCACAAUGGCUUAGAAAGGAACGACCGGAUUUAGAACGCGAUCGGAGGCAUCGAAAGUUCACGUCUGGCUACUGCGUGGUCCGAUUCUGAGCGGUCUCGAAGUUUAUUGCCCACAAAAGCCGAACGGUGAUGCCCUAGACUCGGUUUCUUGGAUCCGUCCCAAAAUGCCGAAAGAAAGGCACAAUGGCCUAGAAAGGAACGACCGGACUUAGAACGGGGUCGUAGGAAUCGAAAGUUUAGGUCUAGCUACUCGAUGGUCCGAUUCUGCGCGGUCUCGAAGUUUCUUGCCCCCAAAUGCCGAACGGUGAUGCCCUAAACUCAGUUUCUUUGUUCUGUCCCAAAACGCCGAAAGAAAGGCACAAUGGGCUAGAAAGGAACGACCGGACUUAGAAUGGGGUCGGAGGCCUUGAAAAUUCACGUCUGGCUACUGGGUGGUCCGAUUCUGAGCGGUCUCGAAGUUUCUUGCCCACAAAUACCGAACGGUGAUGCCCCAGACUCGGUUUCUAUGUUCCGUCCCAAAACGCCAAAAGAAAGGCACAAUGGCCUAGAAAGGAACGACCGGACUUAGAACGAGGUCGGAGGCCUCGAAAGUUCACAUCUGGCUACUGGGGGGUCCGAUUCUAAGUGGUCUCGAAGUUUCUUGCCCACAAAAGCCGAACGCUGAUGCCCCAGACUCGGUUUCUUGGUUUCGUCCAAAACGCCGAAAGAAAGGCAUAGUGGCCUAGAAAGCAACGACCGGACUUAGAACGGCGGCCUCGAAACUUCACGUCUGGCUACUGGGUGGUCCGAUUCUGAGUGGUCUCGAAGUUUCUUGCGCACAAAAGCCGAACGGUGAUGCCCCAGACUCGGUUUCUUGGUUCGUCAAAAAACGCCGAAAGAAAGUCACAAUGGGCUAGAAACGAACGACCGGAUUUAGAACGGGGUCGGAUGCAUCGAAAGUUCACGUCUGGCUACUGGGUGGUCCGAUUCUGAGGGGCCUCGAAGUUUCUUGCCCACAAAGGCCGAACGGUGAUGCCCCAGACUCGGUUUCUUGGUUCCGUCUCAAAACGCCGAAAGAAAGGCACAAUGGCCUAGAAAGGAACGACCAGACUUAGAAUGGGGUCGGAGGCCUCGAAAAUUCACGUCUGGCUACUGGGUGGUCCGGUUCUAAGCGGUCUCGAAGUUUCUUGCCCACAAAUACCGAACGGUGAUGCCCCAAACUCGGUUUCUUGGUUCUGUCCCAAAACGCCGAAAGAAAGGCACAAUGGCCUAGAAAGGAACGACCGGACUUAGAACGGGGUCGGAGGCCUCGAAAGUUCACGUCUGGCUACUGGGUGGUCUGAUUCUGAGUGGUCUCAAAGUUUCUUGCCCACAAAAGUCUAUCGGUAAUGCCCUAGACUCGAUUUAUUGGUUUCGUCCCAAAACGCCGAAAGAAAGGCACAGUGGCCUAGAAAGGAACGACGGGACUUAGAACGAGGUCGGCGGCCUCGAAAGUUCACUUCUGGCUACUGGGUGGUUCGAUUCUGAGCGGUCUCGAAGUUUCUAGCCCACAAAAGCCGAACGGUGAUGCCCUAGACUCGGUUUCUUGGUUCCGUCCUAAAACGCCGAAAGAAAGACACAAUGGCCUAGAAAGGAACGUCGGACUUAGAACGGGGUCGGAGGCCUCAAAAGUUCACGUCUAGCUACUGGGUGGUCCGAUUCUGAGCGGUCUCGAAGCUUCUUGCCCACAAAAGCCGAACGGUGAUGCCCCAUACUCGGUUUCUUGGUUUUGUCCCAAAACGGCGAAAGAAAGGCACAGUGGCCUAGAAAGGAACGACGGGACUUAGAACGGCAGCCUCGAAACUUCACGUCUGGCUACUGGGUGGUCCGAUUCUGAGUGGUCUCGAAGUUUCUUGCCCACAAAAGCUGAACGGUGAUGCCCCAGACUCGGUUUCUUUGUUCCGUCCCAAAACGCCGAAAGAAAGGCACAGUGGCCUAGAAAGAAGGACAAGACUUAAAACCGCGGCCUCGAAAGUUCACGUCUAGCUACUGGGUGGUCCGAUUCUCAGUGGUCUCGAAGUUUCUUGCCCACAAAAGCCGAACGGUGAUGCUCCAGACUCGAUUUCUUGGUUACGUCCCAAAACGCCGAAAGAAAGGCACAAUGCCUAGAAAGGAACGACCUGUUGGAAUUUUUUGUUCUAAAACUCGUAGUUUUUAAAUCAUAUUCUGUUCAAUAAAGUUGUUAUUGAAAAAUUAAAUAUUAUAAUCUUAAAUCCAAUAGAUCAAGGUCCAAGGCUAUUUUUGCAUAAACUUGAACUUUAUGUGUAAACAUAAACGUGGAUCAAGUUCGAGUAUAUAGCCUAAAUAGUCUAUAGUAUAUGAAAUAAAGGUUGGGCGCCUUAUUUAGAGAAACUAUGGAUGCGGGCCACUUUGUAGUUUAAACGAAGUGAUCCUAAUCGUUCAUGUAGAGACAUGAAAGUGCGGGCAUCCUAUGUAAAAUGUUUACAUAAGACUGAACCAUGAAUUAGUCUUUUUUACGUUAUAACACUGUUUACUGUUUAAAACUGACUAUCUCAAUUAUUGAUGACCUAGGUAACUUAGUCUUAAUCCUGAGUUAACUAUGAACUCCUGUUCACACGAGAUUAUACUUAGAUCUGCAUAGGUGAUGGCAGCUCAUCAGCGUUGGCCCAAUAGCCUCCCAAUUCAGGGGUAAGAUCAGGUGGAUAGCUCGGAACAUAGGGUAUAAGAUGGAAUUCACUCCUACCCGCUUUAGGGUUAGUAGAUAGGUUGUUCUCUUAAGCACUGAAUCCAAGUCUUGAACAAGGGGCCCCACCCUCUCAUUGUCCCGAGAGGGAUUAAGUUUAUAGGUUGAACCUUAAACUAGUUGUUCAAUAGUGGAUUAGUGGGACUUAAGGAGCAAGAUGUAAUCUUGGGGGUAAAACGGUAUUUUGACCCAGCCAAGGUUACAAGCAACCUGUGAAGGAUUAACUAACUGAUUAUUGUUUUAUCAAAUGGACACAAAUAUAUCUAUAGUGCCGAAUGCAACUACGGGACUUUAGUGGAAUGACCCGUUAGUUAACGAAUGUUGAUUAACUCGGUUUAAAAGAGUUUAGCUAGUUAAUCUUGAAUCUUUGGAGCCCAUGAUCUUUAGGUCCAUUAGGUUCCUCUGCUAGCUCAUAUGGAUUAAACUUAGAACAGUGUGAUGAAAUAAGUCGAAUUGUUCGAAUUGGGAGAAGAAAGGGAAUCCGACAAAUAUAGUGAUAGUCGUCGGUCUUCUAAUUAGAAAUAGAGCUUUAUGUUUUACAUACUAUAAGUAUGAAUGCGGAUUCAUACUAAGAAACUCGAAAUUGAAGGAAUUGGUCAAAAAAUAGUAAAAAGUCAAAAUGUUGACUUUUGACUUUGAAAAGUCAAACUUUGACCGGCCUUACAUUCAAAUGUGAUUUGAAUUUUGGAAAAAUGAAUGCGGAUUCAUGCUCGGGAGGUUGGAAUUAGUCAAGACGGACAAAAUGAUAAAAAGUCAAAAUAUUGACUUUUGACUAAGAAAAGUCAAAGUUUGACUUUUUGACUAGAAAUAUCUAAUGACCAUUUUACCCUUGGACUAAGUUAGUGGGAAAAUCCAACAUUUUGUUGGAUAAUCCCACUAACUCUUAGUGGGAUAUGUGGCUAUAUGAGAUAUAGACACCUAGCCCACUAAGUUCCACUAAUUGUUAGUGGAACAUUAGGUGUUGAGAUUUGGCAAAUGAAUUGCAUGCAUUUUUGCAUGUAAUUAGGUUAUAAAUAGAGGUGUUUUCAAAUGUUGAAAAAACUUUUGCCUCUUUGAUCAUUUUCAUCAUCUCAACAAAAGAAAAAAGAAACCUUCCAAUACCAUUCUAUCUCCAUUACUUUCUACACCAAAAUUGGGUCCCACAACCCGGUUCUUUGUCUAAAGGAUAGCAGUUGAGUACUAGUGAUGGUCUCAGUCAGAAUUGGUAAGAAGAUAUCAAACCUUUUGAAAGCUUCAAAGGUAAUAUUUCUUAAAACCCUAAUUUGAUUAGUUUAUGGUUACAUAUUAAUUGUGGCAAUUAGGGUAGAAAUUCGAUUCUUUUUCCGAUGUGCAUGACUUAGUUCUAUCACGACCGGACUUAGAACGGGGUCGGCAGCCUCGAAAGUUCACGUCUAGCUACUGGAUGGUCCGAUUCUGAGUGGUCUCGAAGUUUCUUGCCCACAAAAGCCGAACGGUGAUGCCCCAAACUCGGUUUCUUGGUUCCGUCCCAAAACGUCGAAAAAAGGCACAAUGGCCUAGAAAGGAACGACCGGACUUAGAACAGGGUCGGAGGCCUCGAAAGUUCACGUCUGGCUACUAGGUGGUCCGACUCUGAGCAUUCUCAAAGUUUCUUGCCCACAAAAGCCGAACGCUGAUGCCCCAGACUCGGUUUCUUGGUUGCAUCCCAAAACAGCCGAAAGAAAGGCACAGUGGCCUAGAAAGGAACGACGAGAGUUAGAACGGGGUCGGCGGCCUCGAAAGUUCACGUCUAGCUAUUGGGUGGUCCGAUUCUGAGUGGUCUCGAAGUUUCUUACCCACAAAAGCCAAACGGUGAUGCCCCAGACAAGGUUUCUUGGUUGCGUCCCAGAACGCCGAAAGAAAGGCACAAUGGCCUGGAAAUGAACGACCGGACUUAAAACGGGGUCAGAGGCCUCGAAAGUUGUCGUCUGGCUACAUGGUGGUCUGAUUCUGAGUGGUCUCGAAGUUUCUUGCCCACAAAAGCCGAACGGUGAUGCCCCAGACUCGGUUUCUUGGUUCCGUCCCAAAACGCCGAAAGAAAGGCACAAUGGUUUAGAAAGGAACGACCGGAUAUAGAACAGGGUCGGAGGCCUCGAAAGUUCACGUCUGGCUACUGGGUGGUCCAAUUCUGAGUGGUCUCGAAGUUUCUUGUCAACAAAAGCCGAACGGUGAUGCCCCAGACUCGGUUUCUUGGUUCCGUCCCAAAACGUCGAAAGAAAGGCACAAUGGCCUGGAAAGGAACGACCGAACUUAGGAUGGGGUCGGAGGACUCGAAAGUUCACAUCUGGCUACUGGGUGGUCUGAUCUUAGUGGUCUCGAAGUUUCUUGCCCAGAAAAGCCUAACGGUAAUGCCCCAGACUCGGUUUCUUGGUUCCGUCCCAAAACGCCGAAAGAAAGGCACAAUGGCCUAGAAAGGAACGACCGGACUUAGAACGGGGUCGAAGGCCUCGAAAGUUCACGUCUGGCUACUGGGUGGUUCGAUUCUGAGUGGUCUCGAAGUUUCUUGCCCACAAAAGCCGAACGGUGAUGCCCCAGACUCGGUUUCUUGGUCCCGUCCCAAAAACGUCGAAAGAAAGGCACAAUGGCCUAGAAAGGAACGACCGGACUUAGGAUGGGGUCGGAGGCCUCGAAAGUUCACGUCUGGCUACUGGGUGGUCUGAUUCUUAGUGGUCUCGAAGUUUCUUGCCCACAAAAGCCUAACGGUGAUGCCUUAGAGUUGGUUUCUUGGUUCCGUCCCAAAAUGCCGAAAGAAAGGCAUAAUGGCCUAGAAAGGAACGACCGGACUUAGAACGGGGUCGGAGGCCUCAAAAGUUCACGUCAGGCUUCUGGGUGGUCUGAUUUUGAGCGGUCUCGAAGUUUCUUGCCUAGAAAAGCCGAACGGUGAUGCCCCAAACUCGGUUUCUUGGUUCCGUCCCAAAAUGUCAAAAGAAAGGCACAAUGGCGUAGAAAGGAACGACCGGACUUAGAACGGGGUCGGAGGCCUCGAAAGUUCACGUCUGGCUACUGGGUGGUCCGAUUCUGAGUCGUGUCGAAGUUUCCUGCCCACAAAGGCCGAACGAUGAUGCCCCAGACUCGGUUUCUUGGUUCCAUCCCAAAACGCCGAAAGAAAGGCACAAUGGCCUAGAAAGGAACGACCGGACUUAGAACAGGGUCGGAGGCCUCGAAAGUUCACGUCUGGCUACUGGGUGGUCCGAUUCUGAGUGGUCUCGAAGUUUCUUGCCCACAAAAGCCGAACGGUGAUGCCCCAAAUUCUGUUUCUUGGUUCCGUCCCAAAAUGCCGAAAGAAAGGCACAAUGGCCUAGAAAGGAACGAUCGGACUUAGAACGGGGUCGAAGGCCUCGAAAGUUCACGUCUGGCUACUGGGUGGUCCGAUUCUGAGUGGUCUCAAAGUUUCUUGCCCACAAAAGCCGAACGGUGAUGCCCCAGACUCGGUUUCUUGGUUCCAUCCCAAAACGUCGAAAGAAAGGCACAAUAGCCUAGAAAGAAACGACCGGACUUAGAACACGGUCGGAGGCCUCGAAAGUUCACGUCUGGCUACUAGGUCGUCUGAUUCUGAGUGGUCUCGAAGUUUCUUGCCCACAAAAGCCGAACGGUGAUGCCCUACACUCGGUUUCUUUGUUCGGUCCCAAAACGCCGAAAGAAAGGCACAAUGGCCUAGAAAGGAACGACCGGACUCAGAACGGGGUUGGAGGCCUCGAAAGUUCACGUCUGGCUACUGGGUGGUCCGAUUUGAGUGGUCUCGAAGUUUCUUGCCCACAAAAGCCGAACGGUGAUGUCCCAGACUCUGUUUCUUAGUUCCGUCCCAAAACGCCGAAAGAAAGGCACAAUUACUUGGAAAGGAACGACCGGACUUAGAACGGGGUCGAAGGCCUCGUAAGUUCACGUCUAGCUACUGGGUGGUUCGAUUCUGAGUGGUCUCGAAGUUUCUUGCCCACAAAAGCCGAACGGUGAUGCCCUAGACUCGGUUUCUUGGUUCCGUCCCAAAACACCGAAAGAAAAGCACAGUGGCCUAGAAAGGAACGACCGGACUUAGAACGGGGUCGGCGGACAAGAAAGUUCACGUCUAGCUACUGGGUGGUCCGAUUCUGAGUGGUCUCGAAGUUUCUUGCCCACAAAAGCCGAACGGUGAUGCCCAGACUCGGUUUCUUGGUUCCGUCCCAAAACACCGAAAGAAAGGCAAAGUGACCUAGAAAGGAACGACCGGACUUAGAACGGGGUCGGCGGCCUCAAAAGUUUACGUCUAGCUACUGGGUGGUCUGAUUCUGAGUGGUCUCGAAGUUUCUUGCCCACAGAAGCCGAACGGUGAUGCCCCAGACUCGGUUUCUUGGUUCCGUCCCAAAACACCGAAAGAAAGGCACAGUGGCCAAGAACGAUACGGUCGGACUUAGAACGGGGUCGGAGGCCUCAAAAGUUAACGUCUAGCUACUGGGUGGUCCGAUUCUGAGCGGUCUCGAAGUUUCUUGCCCACAAAAGCCGAACGGUGAUGCCCUAGACUCGGUUUCUUGGUUCCGUCCUAAAACGUCGAAAGAAAGGCACAAUGGCCUAGAAAAGAACGGCUGGACUGAGAACGGGGUCGGAGGCCUCGAAAGUUGAUGUCUAGCUACUGGGUGGUCCGAUUCUGAGCGGUCACGAAGUUUCUUGCCCAUAAAAGCCGAACGAUGAUGCCCCAGACUCGGUUUCUUGGUUCCGUCCGAAAACGCCGAAAGAAAGGCAAAGUGUCCUAGAAAGGAAUUGUCGGACUUAGAACGGGGUCGGAGGCCUCGAAAGUUCACGUCUAGCUACUGGGCGGUUCGAUUCUGAGUGAUCUCGAAGUUUGUUGCCCACAAAAGCCGAACGGUGAUGCCCCAGACUCGGUUUCUUGGUUCCGUCGCAAAACGCCGAAAGAAAGGCACAGUGGCCUAGAAAGGAACGGCCGGACUUAGAACAGGGUCGGAGGCCUCGAAAGUUCACGUCUAGCUACUGGGUGGUAUGAUUCUGAGUGGUCUCGAAGUUUCUUGCCCAGAAAAGUCGAACGGUGAUGCCCAAGACUGAUAGAACUAUGUCAUGCACAGCGGAAAAAGAAUCGAAUUUCUACCCUAAUUGCCACAAUUAACAUGUAACCAUAAACUAAUCAAAUUAGGGUUUUAGGAAAUAUUACCUUUGAAGCUUUCAAAAAGCUUGAUAUCUUUUUACCAAUUCAAACCGAGACCACCACUAGUAUUCAACUGCUAUCCUCUAAAUAAAGAACCGGGUUGUGAGACUCAAUUUUGGUGUAAAAAGUAAUGGAGAUAAAAGGGGGUUAGAAGGUUUCUUUUUUUCCUUUGAGUGAGAUGAUGAAAAUGAUAAAAGAGGCAAAAGUCCUUCUACAUUUGAAAACACCUCUAUUUAUAACCUAAUUACAUGAAAAAAUGCAUGCAAUUCAUUUGCCAAAUCUCAACACCUAAUGUUCCACUAACAAUUAGUGGAACUUAGUGGGCUAGGUGUCUAUAUCUCAUAUAGCCACAUAUCCCACUAAGAGUUAGUGGGAUUAUCCAACAAAAUGUUGGAUUUUCCCACUAACUUAGUCCAAGGGUAAAAUGGUCAUUAGAUAUUUCUAGUCAAAAGUCAAACUUUGACUUUUCUUAGUCAAAAGUCAAUAUUUUGACUUUUUACCAUUUUGUCCAUCUUGACUAAUUCCAACCUCCCGAGCAUGAAUCCGCAUUCAUUUUUUCAAAAUUCAAAUCACAUUUGAAUAUAAGGCCGGUCAAAGUUUGACUUUUAAAGUCAAAAGUCAACAUUUUGAGUUUUUACUAUUUUUGACCAAUUCCAUCAAUUCCGAGCUUCUUAGUAUGAAUCCGCAUUCAUACUUAUAGUACGUAAAACAUAAAGCUCUAUUUCUAAUUAGAAGACCGACGACUAGAUCACUAUAUUUGUCGGUUUCCCUUUCUUCUCCCAAUUCGAAAAAUUCGACUUAUUUCAUCACACUGUUCUAAGUUUAAUCCAUAUGAGCUAGCAGAGGAACCUAAUGGACCUAUAGAUCAUGGGCUCCAACGAUUCAAGAUUAACUAGCUAAACUCUUUUAAACCAUGGCUUAGAAAGGAACGGUCGGAUUUAGAACGGGGUCGGAGGCCUCGAAAGUUCACAUCUAGCUACUGGGUGGUCCGAUUCUGAGUGGCCUCGAAGUUUCUAGCCCACAAAAGCCGAACGGUGAUGACCAAGACUCGGUUUCUUGGUUCCGUCCCAAAACGCCGAAAGAGAGGCACAAUGGCAUAGAAAGGAACGAUCGGACUUAGAGUGGGGUCGAAGGCCUCGAAAGUUCACAUCUAGCUACUGGGUGGUCUGAUUCUGAGUGGUCUCGAAGUUUCUUGCCAACAAAAGCCGAACGGUGAUGCCCAGACUCGGUGUCUUGGUUCCGUCCCAAAACGCUGAAAGAAAGGCACAAUGGCCUAGAAAGGAACAGCCGAACUUAGAAGGGGGUCGGAGGCCCCGAAAGUUAACGUCUAGCUACUGGGUGGUCCGAUUCUGAGUGGUCUCAAAGUUUCAUACCCACAAAAGCCGAACAGUGAUGCCCAAGACUCGGUUUCUUGGUUCCGUCCCAAAACACCGAAAGAGAGGCACAAUGGCCUAGAAAGGACUGACCCGACUUAAAACGGGGUCAGAGGCCUCGAAAGUUCACGUCUAGCUACUGGGUGGUCCGAUUCUUAGUGGUCUCGAAGUUUCUUACCCACAAAAGCCGAACGGUGAUGCCCAGACUCGGUUUCUUGGUUCCAUCCCGAAAUGCUGCAAGAAAGGCAUAAUGGCCUCGAAAGCAACGUCCAGACUUAGAAUGGGGUCGGAGGCCUCGAAAGUUCACGUCUAGCUACUGGGUGGUUCGAUUCUAAGUUGUCUCGAAGUUUCUUGCCCACAAAAGCCGAACGGUGAUGCACAAGACUCGGUUUCUUGGUUCCAUCCUAAAACGCCGAAAGAGAGACACAAUGGCAUUCAAAGGAAUGACCGAACUUAGAAUAGAGUCGGAGGCCUCAAAAUUUUACGUCUAGCUACUCGGUGGUCCGAUUCUGAGUGGACUCGAAGUUUCUUGCCCACAAAAGUCGAAAGGUGAUGCCCAAACUCGGUUUCUUGGUUCCGUCUCAAAACGCCGAAAGCAAGGAAAAAUGGCCUCGGAAAGAACGACUAGACUUAGAAUGGGGUCGAAGGCCUCGAAAGUUCACAUCUAGCUACUAGGUGGUCCGAUUCUGAGUGGCCUCGAAGUUUCUUGCCCACAAAAGCCGAACGGUGAUGCCCCAGACUCGGUUUCUUGGUUCCGUCCCAAAACGCCGAAGGGAGGCAAAAUGGCGUCGAAAGGAACGACCGGGUUUAUAACGAGGUCGGAGGCCUCGAAAGUUUACGUCUAGCUACUCGGUGGUCCGAUUAUGAGUGGUUUCGAUUUUUCUUGCCCACAAAAGUCGAAAGGUGAUGCCCAGACUCGGUUUCUUGGUUUCAUCCCAAAACGCCGAAAAAAAGGCAUAAUGGCCUCGAAAGGAACGACCAGACUUAGAACGGGGUCGGAGGCCUUGAAAGUUCACGUCUAGCUACUGGGUGGUUCGAUUCUGAGUGGUCUCGAAGUUUCUUGCCCACAAAAAUCAAGUGGUGAUGCCCCAGACUCGGUUUCUUGGUUCCAGCCAAAAAGGCCGAAGAGAGGCACAAUGGCCUAGAAAGGAACGACCGGCAUUAGAACGGGGUUGGUAGCCUCGAAAGUUCACGUCUAGCUACUAGGUGGUCCGAUUCUGAGUGGUCUCGAAGUUUCUUACCCACAAAAGUCGAACGGUAAUGCCCCAGUCUCGGUUUCUCGGUUACGUCCCAAAAUGCCGAAAGAAGGCACAUAGGCCUAGAAAGGAACGACCGGACUCAGAAGGGGGUCAGAGACCCCGAAAGUUCACGUCUAGCUACUGGGUGGUCCGAUUCUGAGUGGUCUCGAAGUUUCUUGCCUACAAACGCCGAACGGUGAUGCCCAGACUCAGUUUCUUGGUUUCGUCCCAAAACGCCGAAAGAAAGGCACAAUGGCCUAGAAAGGAAUGGCCGGACUUAGAAAGGGGUCGGAGGCCCCGAAAGUUCACUUAUAGCUACUGGGUGGUCCGAUUCUGAGUGGUCUCGAAGUUUCUUGCCCACAAAAGACGAACGGUGAUGCCCAAGACUCGGUUUCUUGGUUCCGUCCCAAAAUGCCGGAAGAAAGGCACAAUGCCCUAGAAAGGAACGACUGGACUUAGAACGGGGUCGCAGGCCCCGAAAAUUCAUGUCUAGCUACUGGAUGGUCCGAUUCUGAGAGGUCUUGAAGUUUCUUGCCCACAAAAGCCGAACGGUGAUGCCCGAGACUCGGUUUGUUGUUUCUGUCCCAAAACGCCGAAAGAAAAGCACAAUGGCUUAGAAAGGAACGACCGGACUUAGAAUAGGGUCGGAGGCCUCGAAAGUUCACGUCUAGCUACUGGGUGGUUUGAUUCUGAGUGAUCUCGAAGUUUCUUGCCCACAAAAGCCGAACGGUGAUGCCUAGACUCGGUUUCUUUGUUUCGUGCCAAAACGCCGAAAGAGAGGCACAAUGGCCUAGGAAGGAACGACUGAACUUACAACGAGGUCGGAGGCUCCAAAAGUUCACGUCUAGCUACUCGGUGGUCCGAUUCUGAGUGGUCUGAAAAUUCUUGCCCACAAAAGCUGAACGGUUAUGCCCAGACUCGGUUUCUUGGUUCCGUCCCAAAACGCCAAAAGAAAGGUACAAUGUCCUAGAAAGGAACGACCGAACUUAGAACGGGGUCGGAGGCCUCGAAAGUUCACGUCUAGCAAACUGGACGAUCCGAUUCUAAGUGGUCUUGAAGUUUCUUGCCCACAAAAGCCGAACGGUGAUGCCCUAGACUUGGUUUCUUGGUUCCGUCAAAAAAUGCCGAAAGAGAGGCACAAUGGCGUAGAAAGUAGCGACCGGACUUAGAACGGGGUCGGAGGCCUCGAAAGUUCUCGUCUAACUACUUGGUGGUUCGAUUCUGAGUGGUCUCAAAGUUUCUUACCCACAAAAGCCGAACGGUGAUGGCCCAGACUCGGUUUCUUGGUUCCGUCCCAAAACGUCGAAAUAAAGGCACAAUGACCUAGAAAGGAACGACCAGAAUUAGAACGGGGUCGGAGGCCUCGAAUGUUCACGUCUAGCUACUGGGUGGUUCGAUUCUAAGUGGUCUCAAAGUUUCUUGCCCACAAAAGCCGAAUGAUGAUGCCCCAAAUUCGGUUUCUUGGUUCCGUCCAAAAACGCCGAAAGAGUGGCACAAUGGCCUAGAAAGGAACGACCAAACUUAGAACGGGUUUGGAGGGCUCGAAAGUUCAUGUCUAGCUACUCGGUGGCUCGAUUCUGAUUGGUCUCGAUGUUUUUUGCCCAUAAAAGCCGGACGGUGAUGUUCCAGACUCGGUUCUUGGUUCCGUCCCAAAACGUCGAAAGAGAGGCACAAUGGUUUAGAAAGGAACGACCAAACAUAGAACGGAGUCGAAGUUCUCGAAAGUUCAUGUCUAGCUACUGGGUGGUCCGAUUCUGAGUGGUCUCGAAGUUUCUUACCCUCAAAAGCCAAACGGUGAUGCCCAGACUCGGUUUCUUGGUUCCUUGCCAAAACGGCGAAAGAGAGGCACAAUGGCCUAGAAAGGAACGACCGGACUUAGAAUGGGGUCGGAGUGCUCGAAAGUUCACGUCUAGCUACUGGGUGGUUCGAUUCUGAGUGGUGUCGAAGUUUCUUUACCACAAAAGCUUAACGGUGAUGCCCAAGACUCGGUUUCUUGGUUCCGUCCCAAAACGCCGAAAGAAAGGCACAAUGGCCUAGAAAGGAACGACCGGACUUAGAACUUGGUCGGAGGCCUCAAAAGUUCACGUCUAGCUACUGGAUGGUCCGAUUCUGAGUGGUGUCGAAGUCUCUUUCCCACAAAAGCCGAACGGUGAUGCCCAGACUCAGUUUCUUGGUUCCGUCCAAAAACGCCGAAAGAAGGGCACAAUGGCCUAGAAAGGAACGACCGAACUCAGAAUGGUGUCGGAGGCCUCGAAAGUUCACGUCUAGCUACUAGGUGGUCCGAUUCUGAGUGGUCUCAAAGUUUCGUGUCCACAAAAGCCGAACGGUGAUGCCCAGACUCAGUUUCUUGGUUCCGUCCAAAAACGCCAAAAGAAGGGCACAAUGGCCUAGAAAGGAACGACCGAACUCAGAACGGGGUCGGAGGCCUCGAAAGUUCACGUCUAGCUAUUGGGUGGUCCGAUUCUGAGUGGUCUCAAAGUUUCGUGUCCACAAAAGUCGAACGGUGAUGCCCAGACUCGGUUUCUUAGUUCCGUUCAAAACGCCAAAGAGAGGCACAAUGGCCUAGAAAGAAACGACCCGACUUAGAACGGGGUCGGAGGCCUCGAAAGUUCACAUCUAGCUACUGGGUGGUCCGAUUCUGGGUGAUCUCGAAGUUUCUUUCCUACGAAAGCCGAACGGUGAUGCCCUAGACUCGGUUUCUCGGUUCCGUCUCAAAAUGCCAAAGAAAGGCACAAUUUCCUAGAAAGGAACGACCAGACUUAGAACGAGGUCAGAGGCCUCGAAAGUUCACAUCUAGCUCUUGAGUGGUCCGAUUCUGAGUGUUCUCAAAGUUUCUUGCCCAAGAGAGCCGAACGGUGAUGACCCAGACUCGGUUUCUCGGUUCCGUCCCAAAACGCUGAAGAAAGGCACAAUGGCCUAGAAAGGAACGGUCGGACUUAGAACGGGGUCGGAGGCCUCGAAAGAUCACAUCUAGCUACUGGGUGGUCCAAUUCUGAGUGAUCUCGAAGUUUCUUGCCCACGAAAGCUGAAUGGUGAUGCCCCAGACUCGAAUUCUUGGUUCCGUCCCAAAACGCCGAAGAAAGGCACAAUGGCCUAAAAAGGAACGACCGGGCUCAGAACGAGGUCGGAGGCCCUGAAAGUUCACAUCUAACCACUAGGCGGUCCAAUUCCGAGUGAUCUCGAAGUUUCUUGCCCUCAAAAGCCAAACGGUGACGCCCCAUACUCGUUUUCUUGGUUUCAUCCUAAAACGCGAAAGAAAGGCAUAAUGGCCUUGAAAGGAACGACCGGACUCAGAACGGGGUCGGAGGCCCCGAGCGUUCAUAUCUAACCACUGGGCGGUCCAAUUCUGAGUGAUAUCGAAGUUUCUUGCCCGCAAAAGCCGAACGGUGAUGCCCCAUACUCGGUUUAUUGGUUUCGUCCCAAAACCCUAAAGAAAGGCACAAUGGCCUCGAAAGGAACGACAAUACUUUGAACGGGGUAGGAGGCCUCGAAAGUUUAUAUCUAACCACUGGGCGGUCCGAUUCUGAGUGAUCUCGAAGUUUCUUGCCCACAAAAGAUGAACGGUGGUGGCCCAUACUCGGUUUCUUGGUUUCGUCCCAAAACGUCGAAGAAAGGCACGAUGGCCUAGAAAGGAGCGACUGGACUCAGAACAAGGUCGGUGGCCCUGAAAGUUCACAUCAAACCACUGGGCGGUCUGAUUCUAUGUGGUCUCGAAUUUUCUUGCCCACAAAAGCCGAACGGUGAUGCCCCACACUCAGUUUCUUGGUUCCGUCCUAAAACGUCGAAGAAAGUCACGAUGGCCUAGAAAGGAACUACCGGACUCAGAACGGGGUCGGAGGCCUCGAAGUUCACAUCUAACCACUGGGCGGUCCAAUUCUGAGUGAUCCCAAAGUUUCUUGCCCACAAAAGUCAAACGUUGAUGCCCCAUACUCGGUGUCUUGGUUGCAUCCCAAAACGCCGAAGAAAGGCACAAUGGCCUAGAAAGCAACGACUGGACUCAGAACGGGGUCGGAGGCCCCAAGAGUUCACAUCUAACCACUAGGCGGUCUGAUUCUGAGUGAUCUCGAAGUUUCUUGCCCACAAAAGCAGAACGGUGAUGCCCCAUACUCGGUUUCUUGGUUCCAUCCCAAAACCCCGAAGAAAGGCACAAUGGCCUAAAAAGGAACGACCGGGCUCAGAACGGGGUCGGAGGCCCUGAAAGUUUACAUCUAACCACUAGGCGGUCCAAUUCUGAGUGAUCUCAAAGUUUCUUGCCCUCAAAAGCCGAACGGUGAUGCCCAUACUCAUUUUCUUGGUUUCAUCCUAAAACGCGAAAGAAAGGCAGAAUGGCCUCGAAAGGAACGACCGGACUCAGAACGGGGUCGGAGGCCCCGAGCGUUCACAUCUAACCAUUGGGCGGUCCAAUUCUGAGUGAUAUCGAAGUUUCUUGCCCACAAAAGCUGAACGGUGAUGCCCCAUACUCGGUUUCUUGGUUUCUUCCCAAAACGCCGAAGAAAGGCACAAUGGCUUAAAAAAGGAACGAUCAGAGUCAGAACGGGGUCGGAGGCCCCGAAAGUUCACAUCUAACCACUGGACGGUCCGAUUCCGAAUGAUCUCAAAGUUUCUUGCCCACAAAAGCCGAUUGGUGAUGCCCCAAACUCGAUUUCUUGGUUCCGUCCCAAAACGUCGAAGAAAGCCACAAUAGCCUAGAAAGGAACGACCGGAAUAAGAAUGGGGUCGGAGGCCUCGAGAGUUCACAUCUAACCACUGGGCGGUCCGAUCCUGAGUGAUCUCGAAGUUUCUUCCCCACAAAAGCUGAACGGUGAUACCCCAUACUAGGUUUCUUUGUUCAGUCCCAAAACGCCGAAGAAAGGCACAAUGGCCUAAAAAGGAUUGACCGGGCUCAGAACGGGGUCAGAGGCCCCGAAAGUUCACAUCAAACCACUGGGCGGUCUGAUUCUUAGUGAUCUCGAAGUUUCUUACCCACAAAACCCGAAGGGUGAUGCCCCAUACUCGGUUCUUGGUUUCGUCCCAAAACGCUGAAGAAAGGCACAAUGGCCUAGAAAGGAACGACCAGACUCAAAACGGGGUCGGAGGCCACGAAAGUUUACAUCUAACAACUGGGCGGUUCGAUUAUGAGUGAUCUAGAAGUUUCUUGCCAACAAAAGCCGAACGUUGAUGCCCAAUACUCGGUUUCUUCGUUCCGUCCCAAAACGCCGAAGAAAGGCACAAUGGCCUAGAAAAGGAACGACCGGACUGAAUGGGGUCGCAGGCCUCGAAAGUUCACAUCUAACCACUGGUCAGUCCGAUUCUGAGUGAUCUCGAACUUUCUUACCCACAAAAGCCGAACGGUGAUGCCCCAUACUCGGUUUCUUGAUUUCUCCCAAAACGCUGAAGAAAGGCACAAGGCCUAGAAAAGAACGACCAGACUCAGAACAGGUCGGACGACCCGAAAGUUCACAUCUAACCACUGGAUGGUCCGAUUCUGAGUGAUCUCGAAGUUUUUUGCCCACAAAAGUGGAACGAUGAUGCCCCAUACUCGAUUUCUUGGUUCCGUUCCAAAACGCGAAAGAAAGGCACAAUGGCCUAGAGAGGAACGACCGGACUCAAAACGGGGUCGGAGGCCCCGAGAGUUUACAUUUAACCACUAGACGGUUCGAUUCUGAGUGAUCUUGAAGUUUCUUGCCACAAAAGCCGAACGGUGAUGCCGCAUACUCGGUUUCUUGGUUUCAUCCCAAAACGCCGAAGAAAGGCACAAUAGCCUAGAAAGGAUAGACCGGACUCAGAACGGGGUCGGAGGCUCCUGAAAGUUCACAUCUAACCACUAGACGGUCCGAUUCCUAGUGAUCUCGAAGUUUAUUGCCGACAAAAGCCGAACGGUGAUGCCCCAUACUCGAUUUCUUGGUUACGUCCCAAAAUGUCGAAGAAAGGCACAAUGGCCUAGAAAGGAACGACCGGACUUAGAACAGAGUCGGAGGCCUCGAAAGUUCACGUCUAGCUACUGGGUGGUCCGAUUCUGAGUGGUCUCGAAGUUUCUUGCCCACAAAAGCCGAACGGUGAUGCCCCAGACUCGGUUUCUUGGUUCCAUCCCAAAACGCCGAAAGAAAGGCACAAUGGCCUAGAAAGGAACGCUCGAACUUAGAACGGGGUCGGAGGCUCCGAGAGUUCACAUCUAACCACUGGACGGUCCGCUCUGAGUGAUCACGAAGUUUCUUCCCCACAAAAGUCGAACGGUGAUGCCCCAUACUCGGUUUCUUUGUUCCGUCCCAAAACGCCGAAGAAAGGCACAAUGGCCUAAAAAGGAAAGACCGGGCUCAAAACGGGGUCGGAGGCCCUGAAAGUUCACAUCUAACCACUGGGCGGUCCGAUUCUGAGUGAUCUCGAAGUUUCUUGCCCACAAAAGCCGAAUGGUGAUGCCCAGACGCGGUUUCUUGGUUCCGUACCAAAACGCCGAAGAAAGGUACAAUGGCCUAGAAAGGAACUACUAGACUCAGAACGGGGUUGAGGCCUCCAAAGUUCACAUCUAACCACUCUGCCGUCCGAUUCUAAGUGAUCUCGAAGUUUCUUGCCCCCAAAAUCCGAACGUAUGGCCCAUACUCGGUUUCUUGGUUCCGUCCCAAAACGCCGAAGAAAGGCACAAUUGCCUAGAAAGGAACGACCGGACUAAGAACGGGGUCGGAGGACUCGAGAGUUCACAUCUAACCACUGGGCGGUCCGAUUCUGAGUGAUCUCGAAGUUUCUUCCCCACAAAAGCCGAACGGUGAUGCCCCAUACUAGGUUUCUUUGUUCAGUCCCAAAACGCCGAAGAAAGGAACAAUGGCCUAAAAAGGAACGACCGGGCUUAGAACGGGGUCGGAGGCCCCGAAAGUUCACAUCAAACCAUUGGGCGGUCCGAUUCGGAGUGAUCUCGAAGUUUCUUGCCCUCAAAAGCCGAACGGUGAUGCCCCAGACGCGAUUUCUUGGUUCCGUACCAAAACGCCGAAGAAAGGCAUAAUGGCCUAGAAAGGAACUACCAGAAUAAGAACAGAGUCGGAGGCCUCCAAAGGUUACAUCUAACCACUGGGCGGUCCGAUUCUGAGUGAUCUCGAAGUUUCUUGCCCACAAAACCCGAACUAUGAUGCCCCAUACUCGGUUUCUUGGUUCCAUCCCAAAACACUGAAGAAAGGCACAAUGGCCUAGAAAGGAACGACCGGACUCAGAACGGGGUCGGACGCCUCCAAAGUUCACAUCUAACCACUGGGGCGUCCGAUUUUGAGUGAUCUCGAAGUUUCUUGUCCACAAAACCCGAACGGUGAUGCCCCAUACUCGGUUUCUUGGUUGCGUCCCAAAACGCCGAAGAAAGGCACAAUUGCCUAGAAUGGAACGACCAGACUAAGAACGGGGUCGGAGGACUCGAGAGUUCACAUCUAACCACUAGGCGGGUCGAUUCUGAGUGAUCUCGAUGUUUCUUCCCCACAAAAGCCGAACGGUGAUGCCCCAUAGUAGGUUUCUUUGUUCAGUCCCAAAACGCCGAAGAAAGGCACAAUGGCCUAAAAAGGAACGACCGGGCUCAGAACGGGGUUGGAGGCCGCAAAAGUUAACACCAAACCAUUGGGCGGUCCGAUUCGGAGUGAUCUCGAAGUUUCUUGCCCACAAAAGCCGAACAGUGAUGCCCGGACGCGGUUUCUUGGUUCCGUACCAAAACACCGAAGAAAGGCACAAUGGCCUAGAAAGGAACUACCAGACUCAGAACGGGGUCGAGGCCUCCAAAGUUCACAUCUAACUACUGGGCGGUCCGUUUCUGAGUGAUCUCGAAGUUUCUUGCCCACAAAAGCCGAACGGUGAUGCCCCACACUCGGUUUCUUGGUUCCGUCCCAAAACGCCGAAGAAAGGCACAUUUGCCUAGACAGGAACGACCGGACUAAGAACGGGGUCGGAGGACUCGAGAGGUCACAUCUAACCACUGGGCGGUCCGAUUCUAAGUGAUCUCGAAGUUUCUUCCCCACAAAAGCCGAACGGUGAUGCCCCAUACUAGGUUUCUUUGUUCAGUCCCAAAACGCCGAAGAAAGGCACAAUGGCCUAAAAAGGAACGACCGGGCUCAGAACGGGAUUGGAGGCCCCGAAAGUUAACAUCAAACCAUUGGGCGGUCCGAUUCGGAAUGAUCUCGAAGUUUCUUGCCCACAAAAGCCGAACAGUGAUGCCUCGGACGCGGUUUCUUGGUUCCGUACCAAAACGCCGAAGAAAGGCACAAUGGCCUAGAAAGGAACUACCAGACUCAGAACGGGGUCGAUGCACCAUAGUUCACAUCUAACCACUGGGCGGUCUGAUUCUGAGUGAUCUCGAAGUUUCUUGCCCACAAAACCCGAACGGUGAUGCCCCAUACUCGGUUUCUUGGUUCCGUCCCAAAACGCCGAAGAAAGGCACAAUUGCCUAGAAAGGAACGACCAGACUAAGAACAGGGUCGGAGGACUCGAGAGUUCAAAUCUAACCAUUGGGCGAUCCGAUUCUGAGUGAUCUCGAAGUUUCUUCCCCACAAAAGCCGAACGGUGAUGCCCCAUACUAGGUUUCAUUGUUCAGUCCCAAAACGCCGAAGAAAGGCACAAUGGCCUAAAAAGGAACGACCGGGCUCAGAACGGGGUCGGAGGCCCCGAAAGUUAACAUCAAACCAUUGGGCGGUCCGAUUCGGAGUGAUCUCGAAGUUUCUUGCCCACAAAAGCCGAACGGUGAUGCCCCAGACGCGGUUUCUUGGUUCUGUACCAAAACACCGAAGAAUGGCACAAUGGCCUAGAAAGGAACUACCAGACUCAGAACGGGGUCGGAGGCCUCGAAAGUUCACAUCUAACCACUGGGCGGUCCGAUUCUGAAUGAUCUUGAACUGUCUUCCCCACAAAAGCCGAACGGUGAUGCCCCAUACUCGGUUUCUUGGUUCCGUCCCAAAACGCCAAAGAAAGGCACAAUGGCCUAGAAAGGAACGACCGGACUCAGAACGGGGUCGGACGCCUCUAAAGUUCACAUCUAACCACUGGCCCGUCCGAUUCUGAGUGAUCUCGAAGUUUCUUGCCCACAAAACCCGAACGGUGAUGCCCCAUACUCGGUUUCUUGGUUCCGUCCCAAAACGCUGAAUAAAGGCACAAUGGCCCAGAAAGGAACGACCGGACUCAGAACGGGGUCGGACGCCUCCAAAGUUCACAUCUAACCACUGGGCCGUCCAAUUCUGAGUGAUCUCAAAGUUUCUUCCCCACAAAACCCGAACGAUGAUGCCCCAUACUCGGUUUCUUGGUUCCGUCCCAAAAUGCCGAAGAAAGGCACAAUUGCCUAGAAUGGAACGAUCGGACUAAGAACGGGGUCGGAGGACUCGAGAGUUCACAUCUAACCACUGGGCGGCAGUCCGAUUCUGAGUGAUCUCGAAGUUUCUUCCCCACAAAAGCCAAACGGUGAUGCCCCAUACUAGGUUUUUUGUUCAGUCCCAAAACGCCGAAGAAAGGCACAAUGGCCUAAAAAGGAACGACCGGGCUCAGAACGGGGUCGGAGGCCCCGAAAGUUAACAUCAAACCAUUGGGUGGUCCGAUUCGGAGUGAUCUCAAAGUUUCUUGCCCACAAAAGCCAAACGGUGAUGCCCCAGACGCGGUUUCUUGGUUUCGUACCAAAACGCCGAAGAAAGGCACAAUGGCCUAGAAAGGAACUACCAGACUUAGAACGGGGUCGGAGGCCUCGAAAGUUCACAUCUAACCACUGGGCGGUCCAAUUCUGAAUGAUCUCGAACUGUCUUCCCCACAAAAGCCGAACGGUGAUGCCCCAUACUAGGUUUCUUUGUUCAGUCCCAAAACGCCGAAGAAAGGCACAAUGGCCUAAAAAGGAACGACCGGGCUCAGAACGGGGUCGGAGGCCCCGAAAGUUAACAUUAAACCAUUGGGCGGUCCGAUUCGGAGUGAUCUCGAAGUUUCUUCCCCAUAAAAGCCGAACGGUGAUGCCCCAGACGCGGUUUCUUGGUUUCGUACCAAAACGCCGAAGAAAGGCACAAUGGCCUAGAAAGGAACUACCAGACUCAGAACGGAGUCGGAGGCCUCCAAAGGUUACAUCUAACCACUGGGCAGUCCGAUUCUGAGUGAUCUCGAAGUUUCUUGCCCACAAAACCCGAACGGUGAUGCCCCAUACUCGGUUUCUUGGUUCCGUCCCAAAACACCGAAGAAAGGCACAAUGGCCUAGAAAGGAACGAUCGGACUCAGAACGGGGUCGGACGCCUCGAAAGUUCACAUCUAACCACUGGGCGGUCCGAUUCUGAAUGAUCUUAAACUUUCUUGCCCACAAUAGCCGAACGGUGAUGUCCCAUACUCGGUUUCUUGGUUUCGUCCCAAAACGACGAAGAAAGGCACAAUGGCGUAGAAAGGAACGACCGGACUCAGAAUAGGUCGGAGGCCCCGAAAGUUCACAUCUAACCACUUGACGGUCCAAUUCUGAGUGAUCUCGAAGUUUUUUGCCCACAAAAGCCAAACGGUGAUGCCCCAAACUCGAUUUCUUGUUCCGUCCCAAAACGCAGAAGAAAGGCACAAUGGCCUAGAAAGGAACGAACGGACUCAGAACGGGGUCGGACGCCCCGAGAGUUCAUAUCUAACCACUGGGCGGUCUGAUUCUGAGUGAUCUCGAAGUUUUUUGCCCACAAAAGCCGAACGGUGAUGCCGCAUACUCCGUUUCUUGGUUUCGUCCCAAAACGCCGAAGAAAGGCACAAUGGCCUAAAAAGGAACGACCGGACUCAGAACGGGGUCGGAGGCCCCGAAAGUUCACAUCUAACCACUGGACGGUCCGAUUCUUAGUGAUCUCGAAGUUUCUUGCCCACAAAAGCCGAACGGUGAUGCCCCAUACUCGAUUUCUUGGUUCCGUUCCAAAACGCCAAAGAAAGGCACAAUGGCCUAGAAAGGAACGACCGGACUAAGAACGGGGUCGGAGGCCCCGAGAGUUCACAUCUAACCACUAGGCGGUCCAAUUCCGAGUGAUCUCGAAGUUUCUUGCCCACAAAAGCCGAACGGUGAUGCCCCUAAAACAGUUUACAUAGGAUGCCCCCACUUUCAUGUCUCUACAUGAACGAUUAGGAUCACCUCGUUUGUACUACAAAGUGGGCCGCAUCCAUAGUUUCUCUAAAUAAAGCACCCAACCUUUAUUCAUAUACUAUAGACUAUUUAGGCUAUAUAUACUCGAACUUGAUCCACGUUUAUGUUUACACAUAAAGUUCAAGUUUAUUCAAAAAAUAGCCUUGUAACUUGAUUUAUUGGAUUUAGGAUUAUAAUAUUUAAUUUCUCAAUAAUAACUUUAUUGAAACAGAAUAUGAUUACAAACUACGAGUUUUAGGACAAAAAAUUCCAAGAAACUCCCACUUGGACUAAAACUCCUAGUGGUAUGAGAGAAACUAGGCACAUGGCCAAUAAGUCUCCCACUUGUCCUAGCUUACAAACAUCGUAGACCUAAACUGUGUAGGUGACCCUCAAACACUUUAGCCGUGAGGGCUUUUGUAAAAGGAUCAGCAAUGUUUGGCUGAGAAGAAAUCUGGGUUACUACAACGUCACCACGAUGUACAAUUUCCCUGAUAAGAUGGUACUUGCGUUCAAUAUGCUUUCCUCUUUUAUGGCUUCUAGGUUCUCUUGAAUUUGCAACUGCACCACUGUUGUCACAGUAUAAAGUGAUUGGUAGAUGCAUAUUUGGAACGACUUCCAAUUAUGUCAAGAAUUUUCUUAGCCAUACUACUUCUUUUUUGCCUUCACAAGCCGCUACGUAUUCAGCUUCCAUUGUGGAAUCAGCUAUACAAGUUUGCUUUAUGCUUCUCCAAACUACUGCUCCUCCAUUUAGAGUAAAUACUGAUCCUGAUGUAGACUUUCUAGCAUCUUUAUCAGUUUGGAAAUCUGAAUCAGUGUAUCCAGUAAGGAUCAGAUCCUUUGUACCAUACAUGAGAAUGUAGUCUUUUGUUCUUCGAAGAUAUUUUAGAAUGUUUUUAACGGCUGUCCAGUGAUCACGUCCAGGAUUGGAUUGAUACCUACUGACCAUCCCUACUGAAUAGCAAAUGUCAAGUCUAGUACAUAACAUUGCAUACAUUAAACUUCCAACAGCGGAAGCAUAGGGAAUAUUUCUCAUAUCCUCAACUUCUUGAGGUGUCUUAGAACAUUGUUCCUUUGACAAAUGAAUUCCAUAUCUGUACGGCAGCAGACCCUUUUUGUAAUUCUGCAUUUUAUAUCUAGACAACAUUUUGUCUAUGUAAGAUGCUAGAGACAUGGCUAGUGUUUUGUUCUUACGGUUUCGAAUAAUUUGGAUUCCGAGAACGUAUUGUGCAUCUCCAGAUCUUUCAUUUGAAAUUACAUAGCUAGCCAUUUGUUCUUGAUCUUGUUCUAUAAACCCCUCUGGUUGAGACAUAUAGAUACUCUCUUCAAGAUUACCGUUCAAAAAAGCUGUCUUGACAUCCAUAUGCCAAAUUUCAUAAUCAUAAAAAGUGGCGAUGGAUAAGAGUAUUCUAAAUGACUUUACCGGUUUGGUCUCGUUUUCUCUUGUAGAUCCAUUUACAACCAAUAGGUUUUACGUCAUUUGGUUGAUCUACCAGAGUCCGGACAGAAUUAAAGUACAUAGACUCCAUUUCGAGGUCCAUGGCUUUGAUCCAUUGGUCACGAUCUACAUCUUUCAUUGCCUGUUUAUAGGUUAAUGGAUCCUCUAUGCCAUCGUCAGGUAUGACAACUUGAGUUUCAAUUAAACCCAAAUAGCGAUCAGGCUGAUGAACAACCCUCCCACUACGUCGAGGCUCUCUCAACUGUUGAGAAGGAUGUGAUUGACCAGAUUUCCUAGUCUUAUCAACUACUUUAGUGGAUGAACUAGGUUUAUCUAUAACACUUUUGGAAAUUUCUUUUAAUACUAGUUUACUACGAGGUUGAUGAUCCCUGAUGUUGUCUUCCUCUAAGAAUGUGGCAUUUUUUGACACAAAUAUUUUAUUUUCUUGAGGAUCAUAAAACAAACCACCUCUUGAUUCUUUUGGAUAACCUAUGAAAAAGCAUAAUUUUGAACGAUGUUCCAAUUUCUUAGGAUUUUGUACCAACACGUGUGCUGGACAACCCCCAAUUCUAAAAUAACGUAAACUUCCUUUACGCCCUUUCCAUAACUCAUAAGGUGUUUCUGAAACACUUUUAGAGAGAACAUUAUUCAAAAUAUAAGCAGCUGUUUCUAAAGCAUAUCCCCAAAAAGAAUCUGGCAUCUGAGAAAAACUCAUCAUAGAGCGAACCAUGUCUAACAAGGUCCAGUUUCUUCUUUCUGAUACACCGUUCUGUUGAGGCGUACUAGGUGCAGAGAGUUGUGACUGGAUUCCAUUUUCUAUUAAAUAGUCUUGGAAUCGUAAGUCCAUAUACUCUCCACCUCGAUCUGAUCGAAGUAUUUUUAUUGUUUUACCAAAUUUGUUUUCUACUUCAGCCUUAUAUUCUUUGAACAUUUCAAGACUAUUAGACUUAUGGUGUAUUAGGUAAAUAUGACCAUACCUUGAAUAAUCAUCAAUGAAGCUAAUGAAAUAUUCAUAUCCACCUCGAGCUUUGACAUUCAGUGGUCCACAAAGGUCCGAAUGUACGAGCUCUAAGGGUCCUUUGGCUCUAAGACCUUUUCCAGUAAAAGAUCUCUUGGUCAUUUUUCCUUCAAGACAAGAUUCACAAGGAGGUAAAGAGUUAUCUUCUAACUGACUUAGAAGCCCACUUUUAACCAAUCUCCCAAUCCUGUUGAGAUUUAUGUGACCAAGUCUUAAGUGCCAUAAAUAGGCAUUAGAAGAAACUUUUUGUCUUUUAUUUGAGUUUCAGCUGUUCUGAAUAUUUCAGUAUUUAAGACAAAAUUUGCUCUAGUUGGUCUUAACUUAUAUAAGUUGUCUUCAAGUAUGGCAGAACAAACUAGAAUACCUUUAUAGAAAACGAACGCUUCAUUAAUUUCAAAAGAUAUUCUAUAAAUUUGUUCCAAAAUACAAGAGAUAGAUAUUAAAUUUCUUUUCAUUUGAGGUACAUAUAAGACAUUCUUAAGUAUGACAUAUCUAUCUCUAAAAAACAACUUUAAAUCUCUUCACUGCUGAAGCUGAGACCAUCUCUCCUGUUCCAACCUUGAGAGUGAUCUCGCCUUCUGAAAGCUUUUUCCAAGAACUAUUUUCCUGAAAUGAGAAGCAAAUAUGGUUAGUGGCUCCUGAAUCUAGUAUCCAGGUACAAUUUUCAUAUUCCACUAAACAUGUUUCUACAACUAGUAAAUCAUAUUUACCUUGUGUUUCCUUCUCUGCCUUUUUUUCUGCAAGGUAUUUUGGGCAUGUUCUUAACGAGUGCCCGUUUUGGCCACAAUGGUAACACUUACCUUUUUCUGCACCUUUCUUACCCUUGUUCUGUUUGGGAGUCUUUCCCUUUCCCUUCUUUUUAUUUGAGCAUUAGGUUUUGAGGGUCCAGCUUUGGUUUUAGAGGACGAUCCUCUUAUAAAUUUUCUUUUUGUGGUAGCAACAUUUGCUUCCACUUGUUUUCCUUUACCCAUAGUAAGGUUUUGGAUUCGCUGGAGUUCAUUCAGAAGGGUUGUCAAGCUAAAUUCUAUCUUGUUCAAAGACGCAUUCGUUUGGAAUGGAAUGAAGCUCUUCGGAAGAGACUCUAAGAUAAAACUAACUUGAUUAACCUCUUCGAUGGGACCACCAUUCACUUCAGCGAUGUUGAAGUGCAUCAUCAUGUCCAGAACAUGUUCUCUAACAGAGGUCCCUUCCUUCAUACGCUUAGUGUAAAUGUAUUUGACUGCCUCGUGUCUUAAGGACCAUUCUGGUUGCCCAAACAUUCCCCUUAAUGAAUCCAUAAUCUCUUUAGCCGUGGCUAAGGAUUCAUGUUUCUUUGCCAAUACAUCAGACAUGCUGGCAAGAAUGUAGACACGGGCUUUUUCAUUAGCUUUUAUCCAUCGAUCAUAUGCAUCCCGACUAGUUCGGUUAGCAUUAGAGGCAGGGUUUUGAGGACAUUCCUCAGUUAAGACAAAUCUUAAAUCGUCAACCACUAGUAUUGUGUUAAGAUUUGAUUUCCAAGCCGCAUAAUUAUCGCCAUUAAGUUUUUCGGAAGCUAAAAGUUGAACUAUUGAGCUAUUCAUGCUGAAAAACAAACAUAUUCUUUUUAGGAAAAAACUAUAAUCAUAAAAAAUAUCCAAUCUAAUUUAGCAAUUACUAAUAAUGUACCCUUUCAUUAUUUGUAUUUUGCAACAAUAUUUCAAAGGUUUAGAACAACCUUCUCCGAAGGGUAGUUGAUUAUUCCUCCUUUGAACCAAGACAAUCUUGACUAGAUGCUAUCUCUAGAAUAACUGCUUAUUCUUUAUAGCACUUAGUUAUCGCUACUUUAGUCAAAAUAUACUAACAACUUAGUAAUUCUUGUGAGUGUUACCCACCAUUUUCAGACUUCAUAGAUUAGAAUCAUUUAUGAAAACUAAUCUAAGAAAACCUAUCCAGAUUUGGAGUUCGCGGUGUUCUGAAUCCUAUAAUACAACCCUCCGAAGGGAACGUCGCUCCAGGGCAGACAAGUAGGCAUAUUAUAGAAAUCUCACGGUGCGACCUAAUGGAAGAGACCGUGGGAUGUGCUGCCACAAAUCCCUCACCCACUUACUAUGAACUACUUCCCCUAUUCACCUUGAUUUUGAUCCAUGCAAACACUCUCCGAAGGGAGUCUGCUCCUAUGCACAGCACAAAGCCCUGCAUGGACCUCAUAGUGUGAACUCUUAGGGACACUAGAGCUAAAAUACAUUUAUUUUUCUCUAGUUGAAGUGUUCUAAAGAAGAAAAAAAAUAGGGUAAUCCAAGCUUCAAGAUUUAUAUUUAGGCUAACUUAAACAAAUCUUUAAGUCUAGAUAAAACGUCCAAGUAUAACCAUUAUACAGGAUUUUAACCUAUGAUGUCUAGGUGAUAAACCAUUUUUAUUACCUCACACCUCUCACGAAUGCUCAUAAAACUAGGUUAACUAGGCUAAAAAAUUGAUUACGAUCUCCAGGUAGGAGGUGUUCCAUAAACCGUCAACUUAAGAACAUCCAGCCUUAGUCAUCUUAUCUGACUUGUUGACAAGAUUGAACCAGGUGAGCCUUUUGUAAAAACAAUAAUUAAUUAAUUUUAGACUUAAUCAAUCAUUUUAUCAAUAUAUAACCUUAUAAAAACAAUCAAUUAAUAUGGAUUUUAAUUUAUUUAACUUUAAUUAAAUCAUAUUUAAUUUUUAAUUUAAUUAAAUCAUAUUUAAUUAAAUUAAAUCAAACAAUAAUUAAUUAAUUUGAUUAAAUCAUAUUUAAUCAAGAAUAACUUAAUUAAUUAAAUAAUUAAUUAAUCAUAUUAAUUAAUUUCCUUAUUAAUCAAUUAACAUGCAUACAAUACAAUAUAACCUUUAUAUCAUACAUUUUAAUGCAUGAACAUGUUAACCUAUGGUUGGAUUUUAAAUCUAUAUGACAUUCAAAAUGCACAUACAAAUUUAAAGUAAUUUAAUCAUACAUCACAUGCAUAAAUAAAAAAAACACUCUAAAAUGGACUGAUUUUUGGCUCCUAAAUUAAGCUAAGUACUAAAUUAUUACAUAAUUAAUUUGGUGUAGUACAUAACCACUCCCAAAAACUUCGAACCGGCCCAAAAACCAAAUUUAUUGGCUUGAACCGGGCCAAUUAACUAAACAGGCCCAGGCGCACACAGGUCAGGCGCAGGCGGGUCGCGAAGCGGGUCAAGGCUGGGUUUUCGGGUCUGUGACCUUCUUUUCUUCAUUUUUUUUUACUUCUCUCACCCAGUUGAACCAAUUACAGCCUAACUUCAACUCUAAUGACUUUUUUUUAUUUUAAAAAAAUUACAAACACUUUGCAACAAUAAAAAUAAGCCAUUAACAAGGCUAAUUACAAUAAUUAGAAAAAAAAUGUUGGAUUUUCCCACUAACUUAGUCCAAGGGUAAAAUGGUCAUUAGAUAUUUCUAGUCAAAAGUCAAACUUUGACUUUUCUUAAUCAAAAGUCAAUAUUUUGACUUUUUACAAUUUUGUCCGUCUUGACUAAUUCCAACCUCCCGAACAUGAAUCCGCAUUCAUUUGUCCAAAAUUCCAAUCACAUUUGAAUAUAAGGGCGGUCAAAGUUUGACUUUUUUUGACCAAUUCCAUCAAUUCCGAGCUUCUUAGUAUGAAUUCGCAUUCAUACUUAUAGUAUGUAAAACAUAAAGCUCUAUUUCUAAUUAGAAGACCGACGACUAUAUCACUAUAUUUGUCGGUUUCCCUUUCUUCUCCCAAUUCGAACAAUUCGACUUAUUUUAUCACCAUGUUCUAAGUUUAAUCCAUAUGAGCUAGCAGAGGAACCUAAUGGACCUAUAGAUCAUGGGCUCCAACGAUUCAAGAUUAACUAGCUAAACUCUUUUAAACCGAGUUAAUCAACAUUCGUUAACUAACGGGUCAUUCCACUAAAGUCCCGUAGUUGCACUCCCCUAACUAUAGAUAUAUUUGUGUCCAUUUGAUAAAACCAUAAUCAGUAAGUUAAUCCUUCACAGGUUGCUCAUAACCUUGGCUGGGUCAAAAUACCGUUUUACCCCCAAGAUUACAUCUUGCUCCUUAAGUCCCACUAAUCCACUAUUGAACAAUUGGUUUAACCUUCAACCUAUAAACUUCAUCCCUCUCGGGCCAAUGAGAGGGUGGGGCCCCUUGUUCAAGACUUGGAUUCAGUGCUUAAGAGAACAACCUAUCUACUAACCCUAAAGCGGGUAGGAGUGAAUUCCAUCUUGUACCCUAUGUUCCCAACUAUCCACCCGAUCUUACCCCUGAAAUGGGAGGCUUAUUGGGCCAACGAUGAAGAGCUACUGGGUGGUCCGAUUCUGAGUGAUCUCAAAGUUUCUUGCCCACAAAAGCCGAACGGUGAUGCCCUAGACUCGGUUUCUUGGUUCCGUCCCAAAACGCCGAAGAAAGGCACAAUCGCCUAGAAAGGAACGACCGGACCCAGACUCGGUUUCUUGGUUCCGUCCCAAAAUGUCGAAGAAAGGCACAAUGACCUAGAAAGGAACGACCGGAGUAAGAACGGGUCGGAUGACCCAAAAGUGCACAUCUAACCACUAGGUGGUCCGAUUCUUAGUGAUCUCGAAGUUUCUUGCCCUCAAAAGCUAAACGGUGAUGCCCCAUACCCGGUUUUUUUGUUCCGUCGCAAAACUCCCAAGAAAGGCACAAUGGCCUAGAAAGCAACGACCGGACUCAGAACGGGGUCGAAGGCCUCAAAAGUUCACAUCUAACCUCUGGGCGGUCUGAUUCUGAGUGAUCUCGAAGUUUCUUGCACACAAAAGCCGAACGGUGAUGCCCCAUACCCGAUUUCUUUUGUUCCGUCGCGAAACAACCACGAAAGGCACAAUGGCCUAGAAAGGAACGACCAGCCUUAGAACGGGGUCGAAGGCCUCGAAAGUUCACAGCUAACCACUGAGCAGUCUGAUUCUGAGUGAUCUCGAAGUUUCUUGCCCACAAAUACCGAACGGUGAUGCCCCAUACCUGGUUUCUUGUUUCCGUAGCAAAACGGCCAAGAAAGGGACAGUGGCCUAGAAUGCAACGACCGGACUCAAAACAGGGUCGGAGGCCUCGAAAGUUCACAUCUAACCACUGGGCGGUCAGAUUAUGAGUGAUCUCGAAGUUUCUUGCCCACAAAAGCUGAACGGUUAUGCCCUAGACUCGGUUUCUUGGUUCCGUCGCAAAACGCCGAAGAAAGGCACAACGGCCUAGAAAGGAACGAGCAGACUCAGAACGGGGUCGAAGCCCCCAGAAGUUUACAUCUAACCAUUGGGCGGUCUGAUUCUGAGUGAUCUCGAAGUUUCUUGCCCACAAAAGUCGAACGAAGAUGUCCUAGACUCGGUUUUUUGGUUUUGUCCACAAACGCCGAAGAAAGGCACAAUGGCCUAGAAAGGAACGACUGAUCUCAGAACGGGGUCCGAGGCGUCGAAAGUUCACAUCUAACCACUGAGCGGUCCGAUUCUGAGUGAUCUCGAAGUUUCUUGCUCACAAAAGGUGAACGGUGAUGCCCCAGACUCGGUUUCUUGGUUCCGUCCCAAAAUGUCGAAGAAAGUCAAAAUGGCUUAGAAAGGAACGACCAGACUCAGAACGGGGUCGGAGGCCUCGAAAGUUCACAUGUAACCACUGGGCGGUCUGAUUCUGAGUUAUCUUGAAUAUUCUUGCCCACAAAAGCCGAACGGUGAUGCCCCAGAGUCGGUUUCUUGGUUUCGUCCCAAAAUGCCGAAGAAAGGCACAAUGACCUAGAGAGGAACGGCCGGACUCAGAACGGGGUCCGAGGCCUCGAAAGUUCACAUGUAACCACUGGGCGGUCUGAUUCUGAGUGAUCUCGAAGUUUCUUGCCCACAAAAGCCGAACGGUGAUGCCCCAGACUCGGUUUCUUGGUUCCGUCCCAAAACGCCGAAGAAAGGCACAAUGGCCUAGAAGGAAACGACCGGACUUAGAAUGGGGUUGGAGUCCUUGAAAGUUCAUAUCUAACCACUGAGCGGUCCGAUUCUAAGUGAUCUCAAAAUUUCAAGCCCACAAAAAGCGAAAGGUGUUGUCCCAGACUCGGUUUCUUGGUUCCGUCCUAAAACGCCGACGAAAGGCACAAUGGCCUAGAAAGGAACGUCUGGACUCAGAACGGGGUCCGAGGCCUCGAAAGUUCACAUCUAACCAUUGGGCGGUCCGAUUCUGAGUGAUCUUAAAGUUUCUUGUCGACAAAAGCUGAACGGUGAUGCCUCAGACUCGGUUUCUUGGUUCCAUCCCAAAACGACAAAGAAAGGCACAAUGGCUUAGAAAGGAACGACCGGACUCAGACAGGGGUCGGAGUCCUUGAAAGUUCACAUCUAGCCACUGGGCGGUCCGAUUCUGAGUGAUCUCGAAGUUUCUUGCCCACAAAAGGUGAACGGUGAUGCUCCAGACUCGGUUUCUUGGUUCCGUCUCAAAACGUUGAAGAAAGCCACAGUGGCCGAGAAAGGAACGACCGGACGCAGACAGGGGUCGGAGUCCUCGAAAGUUCACAUCUAGCCACUGGGCGGUCCGAUUCUGAGUGAUCUCGAAGUUGCUUGCCCACAAAAGCCGAACGAUGAUGCCCUAGACUCGGUUUGUUGGUUUCGUCUCAAAACAUCGAAGAAAGGGACAAUGGCCUAGAAAGGAACGGCCGAACUCAGAACGGGGUCCGAGGUCUCGAAAAUUCACAUCUAACCACUGGGCGGUCUGAUUCUGAGUGAUCUUGAAUAUUCUUGCCCACAAAAGCCGAACGGUGAUGCCCCAGACUCGGUUUCUUGGUUUCGUCCCAAAAUGCCGAAGAAAGGCACAAUGACCUAGAAAGGAACGGCCGGACUCAGAACGGUGUCGGAGGCCUCAAAAGUUCACAUCUAACCACUGGACGGUCCGAUUCUGAGUGAUCUCAAAGUUUCUUGCCUACAAAAGCCGAACGGUGAUGGCCCAUACUCGGUUUCUUGGUUCCGUCUACAAACGCCGAAGAAAGGCACAAUGGCCUAGAAAGGAACGACCGAACUCAGAACGGGGUUCGAGGCCUCGAAAGUUCACAUCUAACCAGUGGGCGGUCCGUUUCUGAGUGAUCUCGAAGUUUCUUGGCCACAACAACCGAACGGUGAUGCCCAGACUCCGUUUCUUGGUUCCGUCCCAAAACGCCAAAGAAAGGCACAAUGGCUUAGAAAGGAACGACCGGACUCAGACAGGGGUCGGAAACCUUGAAAGUUCACAUCUAGCCACUGGGCGGUCCGAUUCUUAGUGAUCUCGAUGUUUCGUACCCACAAAAGGCGAACGGUGAUGCCCUAGACUCAGUUUCUUGGUUCCGUCCCAAAACGCCGGAGAAAGGCAUAAUGGCCUAGGAAGGAACGACCAGACUCAGAACGGGGUCGGAGGCCUCGAAAGUUCACAUCUAACCACUGGGCGGUCGUAUUCUGAGUGAUCUUGAAGUUUCUUGCCCACAAAAGCCGAACGGUGAUGACCCAGACUCGGUUUCUUGGUUCCGUCCCAAAACGCCGACGAAAGGCACAAUGGCCUAGAAAGGAACGACCGGACUCAGACAGGGGUCAGAGUCCUCAAAAGUUCACAUCUAGCCACUGGACGGUCUGAUUCUGAGUGAUCUCGAAGUUUCUUGCCCACAAAAGUUGAACGAUGAUGCCCUAGACUCAGUUUCUUGGUUCCGUCCCAAAACGUCGAAGAAAGGCACAAUGGCCUAGAAAGGAACGGCCGGACUCAAAACGGGGUUGGAGGCCUCGAAACUUCACAUCUAACCACUGGGCGGCGUCUGAUGCUGAGUGAUCUCAAAGUUUCUUGCCGACAAAAGCCGAACGGUGAUGCCCCAGACUCGGUUUCUUGGUUCCGUCCCAAAACGUCGAAGAAAGGCACAAUGACCUAGAAAGGAACGACCAGACUCAGAACGGGGUCGGAGGCCUCGAAAGUUCACAUCUAACCACUGGACGGUCCGAUUUGAGUGAUCUCGAAGAGUCUUGCCCACAAAAGCCGAACGGUGAUGCCCUUGACUCGGUUUCUUGGUUCCGUCCCAAUCGUUUCGACAUCUUUACGCAAUCGGAGGUAACUAUACAGACAGGACAAUUCAGAACUAUAGGUGAGUCCAACAGUAGAGAAUCCCUUACCUUAUAACCUUACUUAAGCUUAUUUUUCAAACUAAUGUGCAACGAACCGACCUAAACAUAAUUGAAGAGAAAUCAAUCACUUCUACAAACAAUUUAAUCCAUUCAAUUCACUCUAUAUGUAAAUUCCAUAACUUACCCAAAUUGUGGAGAAUCAAAUUCUAACGGAGACGGAUCGGUGCAACAAAUAACCGAUCAAUUCAAAUCUAAACAUACAUGACGUGACGGAACCAGAGUGACUCGGUCUAACGGUGAUGCGACGAUAGGACAAAAUUUGCUUGACGUUCGGUGUAGGUGGAAGACAGUGAUGAAGUUGAUUGGAGAAUGAAAAGAGAAGGAAGAAAAGAGACAGUGGUGUGGCCGUAGGUUGAAGAGGAAGAGAAAGGAAGAAGAUGAAUAGGAAAAGAGAAAAAAUAAGAUUAAAUAUUAUAAAUAUAUAUAUAUAUAUAUAUAUGAAAUACAAAAAUAAAAGUAGAAUAACGAUGAAAUUUUGAAAAAUGAAAAUUUGGAUAAAGUAAAAUUUGAAAAUAAAGAUUUGAUACAAAUCCAAUAUUUGGAGGAAAAAAAAGUGUGUUAAGAUAAUGUAGGAGAAAAUCAAUAUUUAUGCUAAAAUUUUGCAUAUUUCAAAAUUAGUUACAGUUUAACUAAAAAGCAGGCGAGGAGAUUUUAGGGUUAAUGAAAAUUCAAAACACGUGAAAUGCUCAUGUUUGCUAUUCUUCUAAUAAAAUUUUGCUAUUUUCUCAAAUGAGUGUAAUCCAACAAAAUGAAGUUGUGUGUGUGUGAACAAAAAUGAGGUAAAUAGCUUUGAUGAUGAUGGCAAAUGGGUAAAGAAAAUCUUAUCUUAUUCUUCACUUUUCAUUUAAUUGACAAAAAGUAACCAACCAUAUGAAGGGAAAAACAAAAUGCUCUCUCAGUUACUUUACUCAUUUCUUUGUUCUUUGUGUGGGAGAUAUUUGAAAUGGAGAUGAAGAUCAAAAUGAAAGAGAGAUUAUGCAUACACUGUGAGAAGCACACAGAAAAAUUGAAAAUAAAUUGAGAAGAAGAGAGAGAUAAGCCUGAGGGAGAAAUAUUCAUGUAACGCCCCAAACUUGAAGGUAAAUUAUUUUGAGAGAAUUAUUUCGAUUUGUUCAAGAUUUUUUUUUUUAAAUAUGUUAAAGGGGAGAAGGAAGAUUUGAAAAUGUAUUAAUAUAAUUAAAUAUGUAUAUGUAUUUAAUUAUAUUUUUAUUAUUAUAUUUAUUUUACAUUUUAUUAAAUAAAAGAAAAGAAAAUGAAAAUUUUAAAUAUAUAUAUAUAUAUUUAUUUUAUAUUUUUUAUUAUAUUUAUUUUAUAUAUUUUUUAAAUAAAAAGAAAAGAAAAUGAAAAUUUCUUUUUUCCCUUUUCUUCUUCCGCCCAGCGCCGCGACCCUCCCUUCCGUUCCCCAUCUCCGUUCGCGAAGCAACCUUGCAGCAGUCGUCCCGCGUGACUCUCCGUUCGUCUGUUUCCGUCUCCAUUCACCGAAGCCGAACCCAACCGCCACCCUCUCUUUUCUCCUUCGGAUCGAAACCGCCGCGCCCAUCCACCUGUAACUGUCGUGCCUCCCCGCUCACAACCGUCGUCCAGAUCUGCAUCGCCGAGCCGUCCAGGUCCUCGCUGCCGCUCGUGCUUCACCCUUGCAGUUCGCAGUAACCCAGAUCCGUCGCUGCAACCGUCGGCCGGUUCGUGAAGCCCUGCCGCGCAACCUCUGUUUCCAGCCGCCGCCCAUUUCGUUCUCCUCUGUUUUCUGCACUGCCGCGCGACUCUCCGACCGCGUCUGUCUUCACCUCCGUGAAGCCGUCGAUGCAUACAUCUUGUGAAGCCCGGUCGCGCCGCGUCAGAUCGUCGAUCGAUUUUGAGGCAGCCGCCACGUCUCCUUUGGCCGACCGCUGACCGACCCACACUUAGGAUUUUUGCUGCGAGUUCGACAGUCGUGCGUUGAGGUGUUGGGAGUAACGUUGGGCUCCCUUAAAUUCACAACCAAUAUAUGAAUUGUUGAGGGUUCAGUUCGCCAAUACUUCGGUGAGUUGGAACUUACGUUGAGGAAAGUAAGUGAGAUAUGUAUCUUGAAAGUAAUCGAAUUUUUGUAUUGUAUUGCUUAGGAUUGUUUCGAGGACGUUAGUAUAUUAAGGAGCUUCCCUAACUUUAAGGUAAGGGAUUUUCUACUUGACUCACUUAUGAUUGUGAAUUGUAUGUCUGUAUGAUUGUCUCUGACUGAGUAAAGAUGUUGAGAUGAUAUAUAUAUAUACACGUAUGGAUGUAGAUUCGGUGUUGAAUGUAUACUGUGGAUUGACUGAAAAUAUAUAUAUACAUAUGGAUUGAAGUGGACUUAGUGUUGAAUGCAUAUUGUGAUUGUCUUGGAUAUAUAUAUAUAUAUAUGUGUGUGUGUGUGGAUGUGGACAGGACGAAAAUUGUAGAUUGUGUUUGUAUGAGAUGCAGAUGUGAACUUGUGAUUGUCGUUUAGACUGGGUGUACGUUACGCUAAAGUAUGACUGUGUGCUGGUGAACUGAGGGGUGUAUUGACUGUAUAGUUUGAUUGACUGACGUAUUAGUAUGUUAUUGACAGACAUAUGACUUGAUAGAACUAAGUCAUGCACAGCGGAAAAAGAAUCGAAUUUCUACCCUAAUUGCCACAAUUAACAUCUAACCAUAAACUAAUCAAAUUAGGGUUUUAAGAAGUAUUACCUUUGAAGCUUUCAAAAGGUUUGAUGUCUUCUUACCAAUUCUACCCGAGACCACCACUAGUACUCAACUGCUAUCCUCUAGACAAAGAACGGGUUGUGGGACCCAAUUUUGGUGUAGAAAGUAAUGGAGAUAAAAUGAGAUUGGAAGCUUUCUUUUUUCUUUUGUUGAGAUUAUGAAAAUGAUAAAAGAGGCAAAAAGUCCUUCAACAUUUGAAAACAUCUCUAUUUAUAGCCUAAUUACAUGCAAAAAUGCAUGCAAUUCAAUUGCCAAAUCUCAACACCUAAUAUUCCACUAACAAUUAGUGGAACUUAGUGGGCUAGGUGUCUAUAUCUCAUAUAGCCACAUAUCCCACUAAGAGUUAGUGGGAUUAUCCAACAAAAUGUUGGAUUUUCCCACUAACUUAGUCCAAGGGUAAAAUGGUCAUUAGAUUUUUCUAGUCAAAAGUCAAACUUUGACUUUUCUAAGUCAAAAGUCAAUAUUUUGACUCUUUACCAUUUUGUCCGUCUUGACUAAUUCCAACCUCCGCGAGCAUGAAUCCGCAUUCAUUUUUCCAAAAUUCAAAUCACAAUUUGAAUAUAAGGCCGGUCAAAGUUUGACUUUUCAAAGUCAAAAGUCAACAUUUUGACUUUUACUAUUUUUGACCAAUUCCGAGCUUCUUAGUAUGAAUCCGCAUUCAUACUUAUAGUAUGUAAAACAUUAAAGCUCUAUUUCUAAUUAGAAGACCGACGAUUAUAUCACUGUAUAUGUCGGUUUUCCUUUCUUCUCCCUAUUCGAACAAUUCGACUUAUUUCAUCACACUGUUCUAAGUUUAAUCCAUAUGAGCUAGCAGAGGAACGCUAAUGGACCUAUAGAUCAUGGGCUCCAACGAUUCAAGAUUAACUAGCUAAACUCUUUAAAACCGAGUUAAUCAACAUUCGUUAACUAACGGGUCAUUCCACUAAAGUCCCGUAGUUGCACUCCCCUCACUAUAGAUAUAUUUGUGUCCAUUUGAUAAAACCAUAAUCAGUAAGUUAAUCCUUCACAGGUUGCUCGUAACCUUGGCUGGGUCAAAAUACCGUUUUACCCCCAAGAUUACAUCUUGCUCCUUAAGUCCCACUAAUCCACUAUUGAACAAUUGGUUUAAGGUUCAACCUAUAAACUUAAUCCCUCUCGGGCCAAUGAGAGGGUGGGGCCCCUUGUUCAAGACUUGGAUUCAGUGCUUAAGAGAGCAACCUAUCUACUAACCCUAAAGCGGGUAGGAGUGAAUUCCAUCUUGUACCCUAUGUUCCCAGCUAUCCACCCGAUCUUACCCCUGAAAUGGGAGGCUUAUUGGGCCAACGCUGAUGAGCUGCCCUCACCUAUGCAGAUCUAAGGAUAAUCUCGUUAUGGACAGGAGUUCAUAGUUAACUCAGGAUUAAGACUAAGUUACCUAGGUCAUCAAUAAUUGAGAUAGUCAGUUUUAAACAGUAAACGGUGUUAUAACGUAAAAAUGACUAAUUCAUGGUUCAGUCUUAUGUAAACAUUUUACAUAGGAUGCCCCCACUUUCAUGUCUCUACAUGAACGAUUAGGAUCACAUCGUUUGUACUACAAAGUGGGCCGCAUUCAUAGUCUCUCAAAAUAAGGCGCCCAACCUUUAUUUCAUAUACUAUAGACUAUUUAGGCUAUAUACUCGAACUUGAUCCACGUUUAUGUUUACACAUAAAGUUCAAGUUUAUUCAAAAAAUAGCCUUGGAACUUUGAUUUAUUGGAUUUAAGAUUAUAAUAUUUAAUUUCUCAAUAACAACUUUAUUGAAUAGAAUAUGAUUUACAAACUACGAGUUUUAGGACAAAAAAUUCCAACAUGACUAAAGUGAGAUAAGUUGAUUGUUAGGACGUUGAGAGAAAGAACUUUAUAUUUUGAAGUAACUGAAAGAUGGAUUGAAUGGAAUGAGGGGAAAAUUGUUAGCUUUUAUUGGGAUGUGUGCCUUGUAGGUGUCCCACGGGAUCACCAAUUUAUUCUGCACCUUCGGGAGCAUUAGACUGAUAUGUGUUUCUGCAGAACACUAGACUGGUAUGUACGUCCCUCGGGGCGUUAGACUGAAAUGUGCAUCACGACUGUACAGGGUGUCCCAAUAGAAUGUUAACAAUUUAUUUUCCCCUGACGGGACCAGUAGAGGGUCUCUUACUGAGUAUUGUUAUACUCACCCUUCUUAUGUUUAAUUUUCAGGCAAAGGAAAUAAAGGUGGCAAAUCGACGAGGGGCAGGAAGGAAGCGUGAUUGCCAUAGGAAACGUGUCAUUUUGCUUCCGCUUAUGGUUUCUUUUGAGGUUUUAAGAUGUUGUAUUGAAAUUUAGUUUACAAACUUUUAUUUGUAAAUAGUAUUAUUUUUAAGUUUUUUUUUUUUAUAUUAGAAAAUCAGGCCUGACUUAAAGUUGUUUUUAAAUUGGCUUACGUUUCAUUUUGUAUCAACCAAAGUCUUUUGUCAAAAAUUAAUUGACCUCGACUUACCUAGAAAAGUUGGGUCGUUACAAUUCAUAUUCCUUUUUCAAAGGGAAUUGCAAAGAAAUUUUCUCAAAUUGAAAAGAAAGGAGAAAUAUACAAAUUCAGCCACCGCUUCUUCUCCCUUCAGUUUGCAGUUUUCGUCUCCCUCUCUUCUAUUAUUAAAAUAAAUAAAUAAAAUAUCACAACCCGACUUAACACAAACUAUUUACUCCAACUUUUUAAACCACAAAUUUAAUUUCUCAACUUUUAAACUAUUUUAAACUUACAAAUCUACUUUAUUCAUUUCUUCAGAUUUAUAUCUAACAAAUAAAAAAAAUCAAAAUUUAUAGACACUUAAAACAUAAAAUUGAAAGACCUAUUAAACAAUUGAAAGGUUUAAGAGGUAACUAGACAAACUUUAAAAGUUUAAGGGAAAGAAUCUUUUGUUUAACUAUUACAGUAAUUAAUUUUGAAAAUAUGUUAUUUUAGAAAAACUACAAGUGUUUGACAACUCUUUGAAAGCUAUUGAAAUACUCUCAAAUUGUAUUUUAAGCAAUUUUAAUAAAAGAAAGUCUACAUAAAAAAAUACCCUUUUUAAAGGAACAUUUUUUCUCUAAUCACUCCAAUGGAACUCAAACACGUACUUCAAGUUAAUUCUGGUAUCCAAGAAUCAGUCUCAUCCAACAUAAACAAGAACAUUCAACUUGAUAGAACUUCAUUACCUCAUAUUUACAAUUCCCAAAGUUACUAAAUGAAGGACCAUUCCUAAAACAUACUUACAUCCAACUUUCUCCAUGAAUAAACUUAUCGUCUUUUAUGUACUGAUGAAUAUAGAGAUGGAGCGAUCAGAGUUUGUUUAUGUACCAAAUUAGAGUGAGUUGAGAAAAGAGUGGAUUUACACAAGGACGAAAUGGCUGGCUGCUGCUUGUUCAAAAUUGAAAGUUAGGGUGACCUUGUUUCUCAUAGGGACUCAGCAAAUUGAGGGGCCUCCAAGUCUACUUCUUGUCUCAUUAUACAUGCCAUUAGCCAUUCAACGUUGAAAGUCCAUAUCCCUUUUUCUACGCCACCAAGGCUUCCUCCACGUCUUCCUCACAAGCCACAAAGCUCGUCUUCCAUACGUUGUUUACUUUAUCUAGCUCAUGAAUCACCUAAAUUUUCAAGCAUAAUGAAUUUGCCAAAUGAGAGAAAAAAUUAUGUAUAUACUACAAGGAAAUUGCAAGUAUUCACCCUAUCAAAAAAUAUUAAACAAAUUCUUGUUCUAGUCCCUAAAAUUUUUCAUCUUUUCCCAACUUUCAAAAUGCUUCCUAUGAGAUAUAUUCCAAUCACAUAUAGCAGAAAUGACCGAUGAGUAUUGGAUAAAUGGAUAUUAAUUGAUAAAAUAAUUUAUAAAAUACUAAAACCGUUAGUUGGCUACGUUUUGGAAGCUCGAUGACUAAAAUGGAUGUUUUGAAAGUUCUAAGGCUAAAAUGGAAUUUAAAUCAACAUAAUAGUAAGUUCAAGAUCAAAGACAAGCUAAACAAUAAAAUGUUGCGAGCAGAAAACAAUCUAAUCAUAAUUAGAAACAUGGAUGUAUGUAUUUGUACACCAAAUCACAAAAAAUAACUCCAGAUUUCGAUCUAGAGACAAUUAAAAACUUGAACAAAUUUGAUAAUUAAAGAAACACGGAGAUGGCCAUAUGACCCCUUGUGCAUAGACUUUUUACAAUACAUGCUCAAUUCCUAGGAUCAAAACAAACAUAAAUAUUAAAGACUUAAGAAAGCACAUACACCUAAGUUUGGCUAGUGUAUCAAUAAACAAUAUGUAUGGAACACUCGGAGAACACGUGUUGAACACUAGUUAGUACAGUAGAUGUGUUAGACAACAAGUAUUCCAAUGCAAUAAAGGUCAAGAUUGGUCACACACACAUAUUAAACUCUUGGCUUUGAAUAAGUUUUGAGUGAAGGACAAGCUUAUUUUUAAGCAUAUAAAUACAUAAACUUAUUGACUUUGAAUUUCUAUAUAAAUAUGAUACAUACUUUUUAAAUUAUAUAUAUUAAAACUGUGUUCUAGCACUAUCCUACAUUUUUAAGAAAAAAAUGACACGUCACCAUGUCUAUGAUUUAUUGACCCAUGUCUAGAAUUCGUAUACGUGCUUGUUUUUUGAGAACUUCACGUCUUCAUUAGAUGGGAGGAUAGCCAUAUUAUAGUGGUUGUAUAUGUAAUAUAGAGAACCAAACCUAGUACUCGAGAUUUGUACAAUAACAGAGAACUUACAUUUCCACCGGCUGACUUGACUAUCAGGGAUAGAGUUUUAGGUGGUGGUUGAGCGUGAGCUGAUAUGCAAACAUCAUACCCUUCAAAUAAAGCUCAAGAACAUGCUUUUGCCCUGAGAACUACAACUUUUAGGCUGGCUCGAUACUUCGAUAUGUAGUCAUCAUCAUUUAGUAUGUAAGGCAACUCGUCUGCAGAUCCAUAAGGAAUUAAUCAAUCACAAAAAUUAGGUAGGAUGAAAAACAUAAGUGGAAGAAAAUACAUUACGCUUUGAUACUAGCAAGCCAUUCGAACUUACCAACAAAUCUGCCUUCCCGGUAGCUUUCCUUUAACAAACUGGAGGAGACAAUCCAAGCUCUGAGUAAUUUGCAAUUAACAUGCAAUUUUAGUAACAAGAUAUAGUAAAAAUUAUGAGCAAGAGCACACUGACACGCUUGAAGCCACAUGGUAAUGCAUAUGCUCGAUAAUCAUUGAGAACAUUAACAGGAGAAAAUAAAGUUAAGAACAGUAGCUUGAAGAAGAAAAAACAUUCUACAACAUAAAAUCUUCAAAAACACAUUGCUUAAAAUCAAGUUUACUAAUAUAAAAGGUAAGAUAUUACGUUCCACUCUCCACACUAUUGAAGUUCAACAUUUCACAUGAAAGAAAUGAAAUACUACUCUCAAAUAUAACUAAAAAUGCAUAAAUGGGUAAAGAAAAAGCAUAGAGAAAUGCAAAAGAAUCCUUGGCUUUGAUAUAUUGAAAGGUAAAGAAUAUCAACCAUAGAUGCCCGGGAGAAGAACUCCUACAAAUACACACUUAACGCAGAUUAUCAUUCGCUAACAUGAGACCUUCUAGAGUUAUUCUGUUAGGAUACUUCCUAACAAGAACAAGUUCUUAAUUUAUUAUAAUGAACUAUAAGAAAAUACAAGAUAAAACCAAGUAUAAGGCACUUGGAACCUCCCUCUUGAGUACUCUCACCCAAGCCCUAGAUCACUCCCCAGAAUUCUCCCCUCACUUACCCUCCCUCCAUUUAUAAUAAGAUGUAACCACACUUACAUAAUAACUACUAGUAACUUUCUAAAUAUCUAAUUACCCUUAUACCCCUAACCUUAUACUAAUCUAGGUAUCUAACAUUACCCGAUCCUUCAAAACACCUUGUCCUCAAGGUGUGCUUACAAACAUGAUCAAGGCCCCUUUCUCUUUUUUUCUCUUUUUAAUUGCAAACAAUCCCCAGCAUUCUGCUCUUCAAUGUUGAAAAAGAAAUCCUCCCCUUCGGCUUUGAAAAACUCUCGAUUCCAAUAAGGUCCAUUGACUUCAGCCUACAAAGCAGCCCAAUGUACUUGAAUUUUCCUUUUCCAUAACACAUUGUCUUAGUUAACCCUUUGCAUAUCACCAACAAGUGUUUAAUUUUCAAACCCUUCAUCUCUAGUGGGCUAGGCCAUAAUCAAAUUGUUGCGUCAAGAUCAAAAUCAUACUGCCACCGGUUUCAUUCCUAGGACCCACCUACAUACACGUUUUUCUUCCCUCCUAUUUUUGGAACUCUCCACCCACUUCAUCUACAAAAUGAUGUGCCCCCAAUGUUUUAUUUAGAAUAAGUUGAAGCUCAUUUAGAGAAAGUUGAAGCCCACUUGAAAUAGUAAAACCCAAGAUUGUUCCUUUUGUCCUAAUCCUCUUUCCUACCAAUUUCUACCACGUCAUUGGCACCAUCAUGUGUGCAUCAACUUCUUCCUCGUCACGUGAUUCACCCCUAUUCCAGACCACCUUCUCGAGCCUCUGUAGACCGAUAACUGUCGGCUUCUUCUUUCUCCAUUGCAACCAGCCAUUUUGUGUUUCUGUGAGCAACAAAUUUUUCUUCACUCGAGUCUUCAUUUCGAGCCUCACAGGUAAUCAUCAUCGACCUUCCUCUAUAGUUUCUUCUUGGUCACUCUUUGCCAUCCUCUUCACCUUUGUUGUAUAACCGUUGCAAUCGCGUUUUCCUCGAUUCUUCUAUGGAUUCAGCAACUUCUUGGAGUCCAUCGAUUUAUGGACCUGAAGAUUCCAAUCCAUUCUAAAUAAACACAAUUCAGAUCAGUGCCACUGAACACAGGCAUUUCAACCUUCUUGAAUUUGCUAUGAUCGUUUGAGUUUUCAUCCCUUUCAAACUUGUUUGUUUUACCUUCUACCUUGAUUUCCUUCAAUGUCUUACCUCCACCUUCGAUGAUACUCUCAAUCGUUGGUCCUUUGCUCGACAAUCCUUCCAUUCUUCCGGAGAUUGUCGAAUAAAAAGAACUUGACUUGGACCCUCUACUUCUCUCGAGCACGAACGACGGCAGCCUCUACUUCUUUGGAAUAUUUUGUCCCCUUUCUCCCUCCUCUUUCCUCCCUUUUAUUUUGCUUUACUAACAAACUAAUGGGAAAGAUCUCCUCCGAUAUUCUCUCCUCCUAUAAUCUCUCAUAUAUUCUUGUGUGGGUCAAUAUUACCCUUUUUAAUUCUCCUACUAUACUUAAAUAAUAUUGGAGACCAGAAUUCUCCCCACUUACCCUCCCUCCAUUUAUAAUAACAUGUAACCACCCUAGUUACCACACUUACAUAAUAACUACUAGUAACCACACUUACACAAUAACUACUAGUAACUUUCUAAAUAUCUAAUUACCCUUAUACCCCAACCCUAUACUAAUCUAGGUAUCUAACAAAUUCCAUAACAUAAUGUAUUAGGGGAAGAAGGAAAUCGAGGAUAAAAACACUAGCUAGCCAACAAAUAUCUUUCAUUAGUGAGCUUGAGCCAUUUUACACGUAAAAUGGGAAAAGUAAGCCUGCAACCCAAAUUAGCCUAAUGGUUGUCUUAACAACCACUACCCACCAUCACGAUAGAAACAACUGAAAAGGAAGAGCAUGAUACAAUCCAACUCAAACAUAAGAAUUGAUUUUGAUGUUUAACUAAAAGUAAACAGGCAGUAGAAUAAGAAACUAUGCCCUUUUAGAUUUAAAAGGUUCACAACAAUUUCCAGCCUAAGCACAACUACGAGGCAAUGGAAAAAUAACGGCAAAGGCCUUGUGUGCAUGGAAUUGCUAACUUUGGUGCAAAUGAGAUGAUUAUCGGUAUUCAAAGGCCAAAAGGACACAUAGAAGAGUGUUCGUCUAAGGUUGCAAGACUAACCCUAAAAAGAGAGCAAUACAAAAAUUUAGAGUUUUCCGCACUUUUCCUGUAAUGACAUGAGUGCUUGUACUCCCAUCAGCAGUGAGAGAACCACCAAGCUCCUCAAUCAUCUGAAUCAGAAAACAACUGCAUAUUAGAGCAGUCACAAUUUGGAAUAAAUAGAACUUUUUAUUGUUAGAAUCUUAGAAUAUUUACGAAAAGUUUAUGGGAAUAUUUUUCUUAAUUCCUAAAUAUUUUCCUUUUUUAUUCCUCUGUAUAUUCUAUUUAUUCUCCCUUGUACCUAUUGUAUUUUUCAUCAGAAAAUAAUAAGAAGAAAAAUAUAGUGGUUUUUCUCCUGGUACACAGGUUUCCACGUAAAGUUGUGUGUUUGUUUGUCUCCCUUUCAAUAUGGUAUCCGAGCAGGUGGUCCAAGAAGGUCUUGUCUUCAAGCCUCGCAUUGUCGUUUCCUCCCCAAUUAAAAUCCAUUUCCAGUUGUUGGGCCUUUCAAAUAUUUCAAGCCCACAAGUGAGGAGAGUGUUGGUGAUAUAUAAUUGAAUUUUCUUUCUUUUUUUAAAAAAGGAUACGAGUCUCACUAUUAUUAAUAUAAAGAAAGACACAAAGCUCAAUGUACAUGAGGAUUAUACACAGAGCAAAAGAGGAGAGGGAAGAUCAACAGGCGUAUUCGGGCAUCUCAAACUAGGUUGACACCCCCUUAGUGCCCUCAAAACAUCCAAAAAGCGACAACACAAGAUCAAAACAAAAAGCCACAAAAACAAAGACAAAGAAAAUGAUAAAAAGAAUCUUUCCAAAGAAAAAUCAUAAUCAAAGGCAGCAUGCUGAGAACAAAGAAGAAUAAACCUUGAUUGGUUGAGCAAAAACUGUUUAAAAGCAGAGGGCUGAUCUGAAAGUCCUGAUCAUCGAAGACUUCAAAAUGGGGAUGCUGUAAAGGCUGGCCAAUAUAACACAAUAUCCUACAUCGAAGAUCUUCUUUUGCAUUACAUUUUCUAAAAUUUCCAAUCCACUCUGUUAAAGGCCUUUUCAAGGUAUAAUUUAAUGAUCCAUCUUUUCUUUUUUCGGAUACUAUAGACCUCCAUAGUUUCUUUUGCUAUUAAAAUAGGAUCCAAGAUUUGGCACUCUUCCAGAAAGCCACAUUGUAAUGGAGAAGUAUGUUAGGAUUCUAACAAUAAAACACAAAAUAUCCUAACCAAAUGGCUAAAUAGAGGCAUCACUCUGUAAAUCUUUAUUUAUGUAAAAGCCAAAACACAUUCAACAGUAGUAGAUAUGAAAAAUAAAGGAAGAACAACAUAGAAAACUUACCCAGCUUCUUUAUACGGGGCUGGAUACCCUCAGGCUACAGCAGCCUUUACUCUCCUUGAAAUAACCAAAAAAGACCUAGCCUCCCCUACCCCAACAUUACAUAUUUAUACCUCUCUCUCUCAUCCCUCCUGGCAGGCCCCACCUGCACGAUCCUCUCCCAUUAUUCUCUCAUCAUUGGUUGCUAAGGAAUUUCUCUUUCUACCCUUCCUUUUAUAGGUAUAGAUAAUAGGAGAUCUUACAAAGUAAUACCUGGCCUGACUUUCUUUAAUCUUUCUGCGAGAACCUUUCCAAACAACUUAUAAAUUAAUGUUGAAACAACUUAUGAGCCACACUGUAAUGACCUUCCUUCUCUUGACCGAACUUCAAUAAUCGACAACUUAUAUUUAUCCACAUAAUCAGCAAAACUCUUAAUUUGCCACUACCUUCAAACAAAGACCCAGCCAAUUCCUUUUGAACUCCAUAGUGCCUUUAUAAUACAACUGGCAAUCUCUUCUCUUUUGGUCUCUGGAAUCAAUGCUCUAUCUGGAUUAGCUUUCUUCAAAAUAUUUUUAAUAGCCAAUUGUUUCGAAUAGCCCAUGAAUCCUCUAGUGUUCCAUGAUAUAAUCUCCAUCUUUGCUACCUCUGCCUUAUAUCAAUUCAUUUCACAUGCUGCCAAGAAAGGAACCAACUCUUGAGGGGGAAGGAUACUUACACUGGUGACUGAUUCAACUUCCAUGAAUUCAUCUUCUAGGUUCUCAACUUUUUUUAGACAAGAAGUAUCUUGCACAAAAUUAAAGAAUGAACCAGAAAGUUUGGAGGAGGAUUGAGAAAAUUUAUUACUUAAGGAGGAAGGCAGUACUGACCUUUUGCCAACUGAAUUUGGAAUUUGUAUCUUCACACAACUUUCCUCUAAUAAAUCAGAAUUAGCCAAGCUCAUCCAAAUGUUGCGAAAAGAAGUUCUCCCUUUGGUAUAGGUCUUGAGGUGCUUAGAAAAAUUUCUGGCAUGAAAUGGAAUAGCUUUCAUUGCAGAUGAUAUUUUAGUCUUGGGAGAGGCUGGUAAUUUUGGUUGAGAACUGAAAACAGGAGAUGGCCCGCAAGUGAAGUUCCUUGAUGGAGGAGAGGACUCUGAUUCUUCCUCCAAUUCGUCAGAAUACCAAAAGCCAUUGGAAUUCUGAUUAAUAAAAUUCUUGGGGCCUACCAUCUGUGUGUCAGCUUUUAAAAUGUCUGCAGAUACAUUAAGUUUGAAACAAUCUGGUUGGGGAGGGCUAGGUGAGCUGUUUUUUGAGAUAAUAAAAUGUCGGCUGGCUGCCUUUUCUUCUUUCGAGGUCUGUUUUUCUCUCUUUUCUGUUGAAGUCUUUUCCCCUUCUAAGUACGUGGAGAUGCCAACUAUACCCAAAUUUGAAUUUUUCCUUCUGAAAAUUAUUUUUUCCGGCGAGGAUUCAAGGGCUGAAACUCUUUCCGGUCGAACAAGGUUUUCUUCUUCAUCACCCAACUUCCUAAGUACUUCGAAAGGAUUUCUUGAGAUGGAUGGGGCAUUCUGUUUGAGAAAAUUCAGGUAUCUGGGAGACCAUCACUUUGGAGCCCUUCAUCUAACAUCACUGAAUUUAUUCUACAUAAAUCAAUAGGAUUGGAAAAAUCACUUUGAAAUAGAUCAGAUUGGAUUAUUACAGGAGCUUCUAUGGGUUCAAAAUCCCCAAAAUUAAGGGAAAAAUUUCCUCAGUUCUCACUCUUUAAUUCUAUAGUUGCAGAAUCCGCAAAGAUUUUUCCGAACUUUAAUUCUUGCUUCAGAGAACUUGAUCAGAUUGAGUGUUUCUAAGAUUAUACUUUCUAGUCCACCAAAGUAGCUUAAGGCUAUAAUUGAAUUUUCUUUCAACCACCAGCUUAAACUUUUUGGUGAAUCGGUAGUUUAAUAUUUAUAUUAAUAUUUUAUAAAAAAAGUAUACAGCUAAUGCCAUAUAAAAUAAAUAAAGAAAUACUAUAAAAUCUACAUCCAUAAAAUAUGCAUGUGAACACAUAUCAGAAGAUGGAUAUUCGUAAGUUAGAAAGACCGAUAACAAAAUGUCAUAAUUAAACAACAGCAUUAAUAUUAUGGGUAGUUUCAAGCUUCAUUUGUCUAUUCUAGGUAGGGAUAUUGAAUAACUCUUAAGAAUAAUAUAAAGAUUGAAUCCCUAAACUUCAGGUGCUUGCUAGUAUACAACCUAAAAGUUCAACAGUUAAAGAAACUGAUUAAUCAUUUUUGGCAGGAUGUCAGAUUCGCCUUUUGAAAGCCUACAUGAGUAGAGCCAGCCAAAUAAGCCAAGCAAGAUAUGCCUCUUAAGGAAUAUGGAGAAGUUCAGUGACUGGGUAUGUAUAUGAUAAGCCUUAACCUCAAUUUUAUUUAUCAAUAAUGGAGGGAAGGAAUCAGAAGCUUCUCUAGCUCUUCAGAAUUGAGGUCCUCUGAUGCCACAUUUACACUUCCAAAUUCUUGACAAAAAUUUUGUGUACACUGAUUGGUUGGAUUUUUAGGAUAAAUACUUGAUAAAAUUUCAUGCUUUGAAUUGGCUAAAGAGCAUCCUUGAGAGCAGGUAUCGUAUACAUCACUUUUAGGAUCAAGAUUUUUGUUAGAGUGGGAAUGGAAAUGGUCCAGAUUGACUCCUUUUACUUUCUUUGACGUCAGGGAAGAAAGUGAUGCUUCCCAAACUCUCUUUGCGCUAUGUUUAGAGCAAGAACAAUGUGUCUCAUCCAAAUUACCAAGAGUAUUGGAUAAUUUUGCAAUACUAGCUGUCGUGUUGUUCUCUAUUUCUGCUAAAGAAACUGGACCGUUGUUGUCAUGCACUGCAUCCUGGUUUAAAUAAACCGUUAUGAGAUAAUUAAGCAACAUAUGGAGAAUAAUUUGAAUUGUACUAUCUUGUGGAACAAAACCUGAAUUACACAUACCCUGAAUUUCAUUUUCUUCUCCAAGGGGCACUAAAGUUACAAACUCGUCAUGUUGAAAAUUCAAAUUUUGAAUGGUAUGCUGAUCAGUUGCAUUUGAAACGUUGCAACCUCGAUUGGCAACACUGAUUCUUGCAACACUGAUUCUUUAAGAACGUCUUUAAGUUAUGGGGAGUUCCAUCAAGCAUUGUGAGUGACAGGGAUGGUAGAUUCAUUGGUACUCUCUGGACCGAACUAUUCGCCUUCUUGGGGACACGCCUAAAUAUAUCCUUAAGCUGCCAUCCUCAGACGAAUGGCCAAACUGAAGGAUUCAAUUGUAUGCUUAAGGAAUAUCUACUACAUUUUGUUGAUUUUGGACAAAAGAAUUGGGCCUAGUUGAUGGAUGUGGCUCAAGUUUUGAGCGGAAGACCAACUCUUCAUAGAGUUUAAAGCAAAGCAAAUUUGAUUUAGAGGACAUCAACAUCAGCAUCUCACCAGAAAAUACGAAGGGCUGUGGAAGUUCUGAAGAAAAUUGGAAAUUCAUCCUAUAGGGUAUCGUUGCCUGCAUGGAUAAAAAAUCAUCUAGUAGCUCAUGUGAGCAACUUGAAACCUUACCAUCAAGAUCCAGAUGACCAGUAGUGCAACAAUGGUGUAUGGUCAUCUAGUGACCUAAAGCAGAAAGACAAUAAAGAAAUGGAAGAAAUCCUUCCUAAGAGAGUGAGGAAGGGUAUACCCAUGAAGAAGAUACAUGAAUUCCUACUGAAGUGAAAGAACCUCCAUGUGGAAGAAACACGUUAGGAAUGUGCUGAAGACCUUGGAGCGUGAAAGAAGAAGAUCGAGGAAUUCUAGCUUCGCCAAUCGACAGGGACGUCAAUUGUUUAAGUGGGGAAGAAUGUAACAAGCAUGCUUGUCCAGGGCGCUGUUUACUUAUGGCCGCAUGCCCAAACACCCCCAAUUUACAUUGUUUUCAUGUUUUGUAUUUAGUUUUACUUUUUGCUUUCCUUUUUAUGUCAUAAACCUUGGGUGUGACUUGGCUUUUUCUUAUGCAAGCCUACCAGAACUAAAAAAGUCUAAAAUGUACUAUAGAUGGGACAUAGUAGUUGAAUCCCUGCCCAAGCCUUGUUGCACUCUUCGCAAUCAAAGUUUUUCUUUGCAAUUGACAGUCUUCAAUGCUUGCUUUAACGAUAUUUUCAUUGAAUUUCUUUCUUCUCACGUUUUAUAAAACAUUUUCUCAAGAACCUGAAGAGAGGCUACAUCGUAUCAUGUGUUUGUCUGUGGUUUUUGGAUUUUGAUCAGCUAACUUGUUGUCUACGUAAAACAAGUGCAACAUAAUCGCGCCUCUCGUGUUUGAAAGCUCGCGAUUGUGACACAAGAAAAUGCACUAGCCAAGAAUGCACAUGAGGAGGGCUAUACGAAAUGCCAAGCACGCAACCAAGUGAGGUUCACAAUGUGCUUGUGUGUGAGGUUAGCACGCGGGCAUGCCCAACACGCAUGAAAAGCCUCUUGUGAGAUCACACACAGUAGCCAGCGCCCAACCAAGGCCCUGCCACCCACCCAUUCGUGUCAGGCAGUGUCAUAUUGCGUGUUGAGCUAUUGGUAAUUUUUUGAGUUUUUUAAGUAUACUUUUGAUAUUUUCUUGGCAAAAGAUAAUUAAUUGUACUAUUUUACCAUUAUUUCAAGACAUGAGAAGAUCAUACAAAUUUAUAAACCAAGGAUUUGAGCUUGUAUCUGUGAGUGGAAAAUGUUUUAUUUAAAGUGAUUUCAAGCAUGUUCUUAAGUCAUGAUUUAUGACGGAUUUAUGAUAAAAUAUUUAAGUUAUGUUAUGAAAAGUCUUUCAAGCGUGUUAUUGUUUAAAGGUAUUUAUUCUAGCAUAUUGUUUACUCUUCAAAAUGCAUAAUAUUCAAAAUGUUUUCCCACUUUCUAGGUAGAGAUCGUGUCCUCUAAGCCUAACUUGUUGCUACCUGUCUACUGAAGGAUUUCAUUUUGUUAUCGUAUGUGUCAUGUUAUUUUGUACUAAUGAUAAAUUAGUCUUUUGUGCUAUCAGACUUAGGCUUUUGGGAAGGUUUUAUAAGGUUUUGUUCUAGAUAAAGAAGAUUACGUUUUUUCUAUGUAAAACUUGUCUAAGGUUGUUAAAUGAAAAAGGUUUAGCCCAAUUGGUUUUAGUAAAACUUAUGUGUUAUGUUUCCGCUAUUGUUUAGAGUUUAAACGUUCAAGCUAAGGGUCAAAUGGUGUCGUUCUUGACGUGGGUGCUAUCGAUUGGCUUCACGCCAUAUCUCGAGCCACGCAAGUAGGUGCUCAUGGUGGGGGGUGAUAGCCUAAGUUGGCUUAUUAACGGUUAAAAUGUAAACAUGUCCAUAAGAAAAUAGUCGGCAAGGCCCAUGUGGACCGACUGGUAAAGGUUGAAGAGCAAAUGCUCUACCUAAUGAAAGUUCCUAACUCAAUUCGCUUCUUGGAAACCCGCCUUGAAGAAAUUUUUUAGAAAGCUGAUGCUAUUAAUUAAACCACCACCCAAAAUCUUAAGCUAGUGAUUAAAAGUAAAUUUAAUUAUAUAUCACUAACAAUCCCCCACUUAUGGGUUCGAAAUAUCUAAAAGGUCCAACAAGUGAACAUCAAUUUUAAUUGGGAAGGAAACACCAAUACAGGGACUUGAACAUAAGACCUUUUGGACCACCUGCUCUAAUACCAUAUUAAACCCCAAAUUCACCCAAAAGCUUAAGCUAGUGGUUGAAGGUAAAUUUAAUUAUAUAUUACCAAAGUAUGAGGUUUCAUCACAAUACCAAUUGGCAAUGAGAGGAGUAGCUCAUCUAUUUUAUAAGGAGUCUAAGUUUCCUUGGUUUUUCAAUUGUGGGAACAUGCCCCUUCAAGAUGGUGCCUCUUUGGUUUCACCUAUCUUGAACCAAAUAUCCGUUUAGGCUUAAUGAGCUCUAAUACCAUAUUGAAAGCAAUAUAUACGAAACCAAAGCUUACGUGAAAACGUAAGAAUCGAAAGAAAAGCAUUGUGUUUGUAGUUUUAUUAUUUUUAUGAUAAUUACAGACGUACAAUUGGUGGUUUAAUAUAUAUCACUAACACUAUUGCUGCAAUGAUCGAUCAUCUCGAUGGAUUACCCAUUUAAGAGUUGUUGACAAGAGUUGACACUCUAGAAUCAAAAGUUGUAAGAACUAGAUGUUGUAAUAAAUGUCCUAAAACUCGUUGUAAUCAUAAUCUAUUCAUUAAAGUCGUUAUUGAUACUAUAAUCUUAAAGCCAAUAAACUAAGGACCCGAGUUAUUAUUAAGUAAACUUGAACUUUAUGUAGAGACAUAAAAGUUGAUCAAGUUUAAGUAUAGAGCCUAAAUAGUAUAGAUUGUACGAAUACAGUUAGGCACCUUAUUCCAGGACACAAUGAAUGCAGUCUGCUUUGUAUUUAGUAUAAACGAUGUGAUCCUAAAUCCUAGAGACAUGAAAGUGUGGACAUCCUAUGUAAAGAGUUUACAAAAGACUAGAACCAUGAAAUAGUCACUUUUAAGUUAUAACAUCGUUAACUUUGAAAAACUUACUAUUUCAUUGAUAGAUAUCAAAUAUAACUUAAUCUUAAUACUGAGCUAACUAUAAGCUUCUGUUCUCACCAGCAUGCUUGUUUAAGGCGUUGUUUAUCUAUGGCCACAUGCCCAAAUACCCCCAAAUCACCUUUUCUUUAUGUCUUGUAUUUAGUUUAGUCUAUUGCUUUCCUUUUUAUGUCAUAGACCUAGGGUGUGAGGUGUCACACAUUUUCAUUUGCAAACCUGUCAAAGCUCAAAAAGUCUAAAUUGUACUAUAGAAGAGAGACCCAAUAGUUGAAUCCCCAACCAUGUCUUAUCGUAUUCUUUAUAAUCAAAUUUUUAUUUGCAUUGAAAGUCUUCAACGCAUUCUUUAAUGAUGUUUUUAAUGAUAUUCUCUCUCACAUUUUAUAAAACAAUUUUUUCAAGAACGGGAAGGGAGGUUAUAUCAUAUCGUGAGUUUGUUCGUGAUUUUCAGAUUUUACAUGACUGACUUAUUGACUGAGCAAAACAAGUGUUCUACAAUUGCCGUUCCAUGUUUGAAAGAUUGCGAUUGUGGCACGCAGAGUGUCACAAGUGUGCUUGUCCAAGGCAUUAUUUUCCUAUGGUCCGCAUGCUCGAAUAUCCUCAAACCAUUUUCUUUUAUGCUUUGUACUUAGUUUAGUCAACUGCUUUCUUUUGUUGUCACCGACCUAAGGUGCGUCGUUUCGCAAUUUUCAUAUGCAAGGUUGUCAAUGCUAAAAAAGUUUAAGAUGUAUUGUAGGGGAGGCAUGGUAAUUGAAUCCCCAACUAAGCCUAUUUGUGAUUUUUGCAAAUCUAAGCUUUCUUUGCAAUUGACAAUAUUCAAUUUUUUCUUUAAGGAUGUUAUCAUUGUUUUUCUUUAUCUCUCACGUUUUAUAAAACCAAUUUCUCUCAAAAGAUGAAGCGAGGCUACAUCGUACAACAAGUUUUGUCCACAACUUUCAAAUUUCACAAGGUUGCCUUGUUCAUCAAUUUAGAACAAGUGUUGCACAAUCACCCGUCCCGUAUUUGAAAAGUUGCAUUUUGUGACAAGUGGUAUUAAAGCUUUUAGCUCCUUGGCUAAGCGAGAUGCAAUUAUGUCGACAAUGAAACAACUAUCAAAGUUGCAAUCUGAGCGACUGACUGAGAUUGAAGAGGAAUUCUUGGAUAUGAAAGAAUUGCCAAACGAAGUAAGAUUUCUCCAGACCUAACUUGAGAUGUUUAAAGAAAAAGUCAGAGAACUAGACGCAUUGAAUGCCUAAAUAGACAAACUACCCAUAAAUGAAUUGGCGCUGAGGGUUGAUUCGUUAGAACAUAAAACCACCAAAGUAGGUAGUUUUGAACGUGGAAGUAGCUCUUCAAGUUCUAUCGCACAAAUGGAAGAGCGUGUCGAAGAGUUUGACUUUUGACAAGCUCCAACAUAAUCAGUUAUAUUUCAAGAAAGAGAAAAGUGUUUUUGCUAAAUAGCGUAUCAAUUUUCUGGGUCACAUCAUCGAAUGUAGAAAGAUUUGAAUGGACGAACAUAAGUUGUGAGCUAUUAAGGAGUGGAGAGCCCCCACUUCCGUGAAAGAGUUACGUUUCAUCCUUCAAUAUAUUCUAAAAUAGGGUUCACCUACUAUCCUCAAGAUUCAGUACCGGAGAAAGAAAUAGAUGGAAAAAGAAAUGGGCUUGGUAAUUUUUUUUUCUAUGUAAAUAAGAAAAAGAAAUCCAAUUUGGUACAAGAGCCCAAAUUCAAUAGCCAGCCCAUCAAAUGAGGUCAACGACCCUAUUUAUAAGGAUUUUCCAUGCAAAAUUGCAUGUCCAUGGAAUACUAAAGCCCAACAACUCAAAGCUCUAUUUCUAAUAUGAAAUUCGAUGGCUAUAACACAUAUACUUGUCAGUUUCUCUCUCUUCUCCCAAUUCGAACAAUUCGACUUAUUCCAUCACACUAUUUUAAGUUUAUUCCAUAUGAGCUAGCAAGGGAAACUAAUGGACCUAUAUAUCAUGGACUCCAAUGAUUCAAGAUUAAUUGACAAAUUCUUAUAGACUGAGUUAAUCAACAUUCGUUAACUAACGGGUCAUUCAUGUAUGUACUGGAACGAUUCAGAAUCACCUCGUUUGUACUAACUACAAAGCGGGCGGCAUCCACAGUUUCUCUGAAAAAAUCUGGGUUACUACAACGUCACCACGAUGUACAAUUUUCCUGAUAAGAUGGUACUUACGUUCGAUAUGUUUUCCCCGUUUACGGCUUUUAGGUUCUCUUGAAUUUGCAACUGCACCACUGUUGUGACAGUAUAAAGUGAUUGAUAGAUGCAUAUUUGGAACGACUUUCAGAUCUGUCAAGAAUUUUCUUAGCCAUAAUGCUUCUGUUGUUGCUUCAAAAGUUGCUACGUAUUCUACCUCCAUUGUGGAAUCAACUAUACAAGUUUGUUUUAUGCUUCUCCAAACUACUACUCUUCUAUUUAGAGUGAAUACUAAUCCUGAUGUAGACUUUCUAGCAUCUUUAUCAGUUUGAAAAUCAUAAUGAGUGUAUCCAGUAAGGAUCAAAUCUUUUGUACCAUACACGAGAAUGUAGUGUUUUGUUCUUCAAAGAUAUUUUAGAACAUUCUUAACGGUUGUCCAGUGAUCACGUCCAAGAUUGGACUGAUAUCUACUGACCAUCCCUACUAAGUACAAAUGUCAGAUCUAGUACACAACAUUGCAUAUAUCAAACUUCCAACAGCGGAAGCAAGGAAAUUUUCUCAUAUCCUCAAUUUCUUGAGGUGUCUUAGGACAUUGUUCCUUUGACAAAUGAAUUCCGUAGAUGUAUAAUAGCAUACCCUUUUUGGAAUUCUACAUUUUAUAUCUAGACAACAUUUUGUCUAUAUAAGAUGCUUGAGACAUGGCUAGUGUUUUGUUCUUGCAGUUCUGUACAAUUUGGAUCUUAAGAAUGUAUUGUGCAUUUCCCAGAACUUUCAUUUGAAAUUGCAUAGCUAGCCAUUUCUUGAUAUUAGUAUGAAAUCCUAUGUCCUUUUCCAAUAAGUAGAAUAUCAUCUACAUACAAGACUAAGAAUACUACAAUGGAAUUGACGACCUUUUUUGUAAACAUAAGGUUCGUCAACCUUUUGUAUCAAAGCCAUAAGAUUUGAUCAUAGUAUCAAAUCUUAUAUUCCAGGAUCUAGAUGUUUGUUUUAAUCCAUAAAUGGAUUUUUGAAUCUUACAAACCUUUUGUUAUUGAUCUUGAUCUAUAAACUCUCUAAUUGAGUAAUAUAGAUACUCUCUUCAAGAUUGUCAUUCAAAAAAAGUUGUCUUGACAUCCAUCUGCCAAAUUUCAUAAUCAUAAAACGUGUCGAUGCAUAAGACUAUUCUAAUUGACUUUAGCAUGGCAACGAUAGAGAAAGUUUCUUCAUAGUCUAUGUUAGAAAGAGACAUGCAUAGUGGAAAAAUGGAAUACAAAAUUACCCUAAUUGCACCUAUUUAACUUGCAACCCUAAAUUAAAAGAAUUAGGGUUUAGGAAAUAUUAUACCUUUGUAUCUAUUCGAAUAUGAACGUCUAUACCUCUCACAAAAUUCCAAAAGUUUUUGAAACCAAAAUGUAACACCUUAAACUUAGGAUUUGGAAUUCGUAUCUCCAGCAUUCUCUACAUCCUCUGCGACCUGGCAGCAUCAUCCUUACUAUUCUUAAAAACUUAUUAGAAUGAAAUUCCUCUUCACAAACCAACACGAAAUCUUUCAGCAUGCUUUUCCUCACUCACAUGCAUCCUAGGAAAAUUUCCAAGAGGUCACCCAACAUAGAAUUUCUUCAAGCUAAGCACGCUUAACUCUGAAGUCCCUAUAAUCGAGCCACAAAAAAAAAAAGGUUCACAUUGUUGGUAUAGGUAUAAGUUUAAUUCUUUUCAGUCUUUCUUAACAUGACUUUCAUGUCCUCAAGGUGCACCUUGUCGGUAUACUUGUUGAUUUCUCUCUCUUCUCUCAAUUCGAACAAUUCGACUUAUUCCAUCACAAUGUUCUAAGUUUAUUCCAUAUGAACUAGCAGGGAAACCUAAUGGACUUAUAUAUCAUGGGCUCCAACGAUUCAAGAUUAACUGGUUAAACUCUUUUAGACCGAGUUAAUCAACAUUCGUAAACUAACGGGUCAUUCCACUAAAGUCUCGCAGUUGCACUCCCCUCACUAUAGAUAUAUUCUUGUCCAUUUAAUAUAACCAUGAUCAAUAAGUUUAAUCCUUCACAUGUUAUUCGUAACCUCGAAUGGAUCAAAUUACUGUUUUAUCCUUGAGACUACAUCUUAUUUCUUAAGUCUCAUUGAUCCACUAUUGAACAAUUGGUUUAAGGUCCAACCUAUAAACUUAAUCCCUCUCAGGCUAAUGUGAGGGUGGGGCCCCUUGUUCAAGACUUGGAUUCAGUGCUUAAGAGAACAACCUAUCUACUAAUCUAAAACAGGUAGAAGUGAAUUUUGUCUUGCAUCCUAUGUUCCCAGCCAUUCAUCUGAUCUUACCCUUGAAAUAGGAGGCUUAUUGGGAGAACGUUGAUGAGAUACCCUCACCUAUGCAGAUGUAACCCUAAAACAAGUAGAAGUGAAUUCAGUCUUAUGUAAGUACUUUACAGUGCUUAAGAGAACAACCUAUCUACUAACCCUAAAACAGGUAGAAGUGAAUUCUGUCUUGCAUCCUAUGUUCCCAGCCAUUCAUCCGAUCUUACCCUUGAAAUGAGAGGCUUAUUGGGAGAACGUUGAUGAGAUACCCUCACCUAUGCAAAUGUAAGGAUAAUCUCAUGUGAACUGGAGUUCAUAGUUAGCUUAGGAUUAAGAUUAAGCUACCUAAGUCAUCAAUAAACGAAAUAGUCAGUUCUAAACAGUAAACGGUGUUAUAACGUAAAAGUGACUAUUUCAUGGAUCAGUCUUAUGUAAGUACUUUACAUAGGAUGCCCCCACUUUCAUGUCUCUACAUGAACAAUUUAGGAUCACCUCGUUUGUACUAAUUACAAAGCGGGUCACAUCCGUAGUUUCUCUAAAUAAGGCACUAUAGACUAUUUAGGCUAUAUACUCGAAUUUGAUCCGCUUUUAUGUCUCGACAUAAAGUUCAAAUGUAUUAAAAAAUAGCAUUAAGACUUAGUUUAUUGGAUUUAAGAUUAUAAUUUUAAAUUUUUCAAUAACGAUUUUAUUGAACUGAAUAUGAUAACAAACUACGAGUUUUAGGACAUAAAAUCCCAACAUAUGUAUUUUUGCCUCUAAUAAUAAUGUUGAAAGAUGUUUGUUGUGGUUUCAUAUGGGUGAUAUCUCUUCUGGUUGGACAUAGUCAGGUUUUGUAAUGGGUGACUUUAACGAUAUCAAAAUGCAUUUUGAGGCUUUUGAUAGGUCUUCUGUUCCUAUGGAUAUGGAGGAGUUCGAUAUGGCUAUUUGUGAGGCUUAUUUAGUUGAACCUAUACAUAGGGUAACUGGUUCACCUGGACUAGAAAGGUUCAUGGGUUGGUUUGAUAAAACGGUUUAAUCGUAUUCUGGUUAAUGGUGUUGGAUUACUGCAUGGCCUUCGGGUAUUUCUGAUCACUCCCCUCUUAUUUUAUCCCAACUUUUAGCAGAGACAGUGGGUAGUUUCUUUUUGUUUCUUCAACCAUUGGGUUGAGGAUUCUUUGUUUAUUGAUAUUGUCUCUUCGAUUUAGAGUCGCCAUGUAGGAGUUUCUCUGAUUGUGAGUUUCGUGAGAAAUUUACAUAACCACAAGCCUACCCUCCAUAGACAGUUUGGUAAGCACAUUAGAGCCUAAGUGAGGAGGUUCGUAUUGCUAAAGAGUCCAUGGAUAAAGCUCAGAGAAAGGUUGGGCAAAAUCCUAUGUCUGAUGUUUUGAGUCGCCAAGCAGGUCUUGCCAUUUUGGCCUUUUGGACGGCUGUUAGAUUGGAGGAAGCCUUCAUGUGUUAGAAGUCCAAGAGGUUUGUGAGUUGCCUUAGAACUUGUGUUACCUCCUCGAUGUUCUCCAUUAUGAUUAAUGGCUCUUUCAAGGGUUUUUUAAUGGGAGGAAAGGUUUGCGGUAGGGUGAUCCUUUAUCUCCUUUCCUUUUUAUCGUGGUGAUGGAGGUCCUCUCUCGUAUGUUGAAUCGGCCUCCUCCGAGCUAUCAGUUUCACAGGCAUUGUGAGAAGGUUAGCUUAACUCAUCUGACCUUUGCUAAUGAUCUUAUGAUUUUUUGUGCUGCUGAUGAUUCCUCUUUGAGUUUUAUUAACGAGACUAUUCGAAAGUUUGGUGAUCUCUCGGGGCUAUUUACUAAUCUUAGUAAAAUUUCUAUGUUUGUUGUAGGGGUUAAUAGUGAUGAUGUUUAUCGUUUGACUACCAGUUUGGGUUUUGUCCUCAGGCAUCUCCCUGUUCGUUAUCUUGGGCUUCCUUUACUUUCUGGGAGGUUACGACCUACUGAUUGUGCUCUCUUAUUCAACGUAUUACUAGUCAGAUUCAUUCUUGGUUUGCUAGAGUUUUAUCAUUUGCAGGUAGAUUGCAACUGGUUCGAUAUGUGCUUGAUAAUCUUCAGGUUUACUAGGCUAACGUGUUUGUGCUGCCUGUGAGUGUGCAUCAUGAGGUUGAUAAAAUCUUGAGGUCUUAUCUUUGGAGGGGUAAGGAGGAAGGUAGAGGAGGUGUUAAGGUGGCGUGGGCUGAGGUGUGUUCCUUUUGAGGAGGGUGGUCUUACUAUUCUUGAUGGGUCUUCUUAGAAUGUUGUGAGUACUAUGAAGAAUCUUUGGUUGUUGCUGACUAGUUCGAGUUUUCUAUGGGUUGCUUGGGUGGAGGCUUAUAUUCAUAAAGGAAGGUCAUUGUGGGAGGUCGAUUCUUGUGUUGGUCGGUCUUGGUGUCUUUGCGCUAUCAUGUGUAAACAAGAUAGUCUAAAAGAGCAUGUUCAGAUGGAGGUUGGGGAUGGUAGGCAUUGUAAACUGUGCCUGGAUCCGUGGUUGAAGGGUGGUCCUAUCCUUCAACAAGUUGGUGAGAGAGCGCUUUAUAAUGUAACGAGUAGAUAGGAGGCUAGGCUCUCUAAGUUUAUUGGUUCGAAAGGGGAGUGGAGGUGGUCGAGGGUGGAUUUUGAUUUGAUUAAUUUAUGGGAUAGGGUUCAAGUUGUAAGUUCGUGUCCUAAUGUUGGUGAUAGGUAGGUUUGGGUUCUUGGUCGUCAUAGUGGUUUUUUGAUUGCUAGUGCAUGGGAUACUAUUCAUUCUCGUAGUGUUAAGGUUCGUUGGACAGGUUUCUUGUGGGGUGGGGAUUGAGAGUCUCGUUAUCAUUUGUUUUUUCAUGUCCUUUUGGGUGUGAUAUUUAGUCUCGGGUCCUUUAGGUUAUGGCUUCCUCUCACAGGAUUGGGUAUUGGGGGGUUGAGUUGUUUGGGUUUGUCAUUAGAGUAUUGGUAAGGGUGUGAGAAGGAAGUUGUGGUAUGUUCUCUGGUGUGCUACGAUUUAUUUUAUGUGAAAGGAGCAUAAUCAUUGUCUCCAUGGUGGUCAAGCUCGUUUGCUCAUUGUUCUGUUUCAGCUUAUUCCAUAUUGUAUCAGUGCUCGUGUUGUUUAUUUGCGUGAGGAUGCUUAUGGUAUUAUUUAGCUUGUUUUGUUUUGAUUUUUGUUUUAUCUGCUUGUUCUCGGGCUGUGGGGUUGUUUGGACUUUUUAUGUUUUUGUUGCUCUUAAUUUUGUUGGGUUUAUUAUUGUUCUUUCUUUUGAUACUCUGGAUUCUUCCUGUUUUUGUGAGCAUUGUUCGCUCUUGUGAGGUCAUCCUUGUUAUAUUAUGAUAUUAACUUUUCAAAAAAAAAAAAGAUAAUGCAAUUCAACUUUAGAUAGAAACAUGAUUCAAAUUUUCAUUUCAAGAAAAUACAAGGGGACAGAACUCAAGGAUUAUGUGGAUCACAAAACUUGAAUUACUAGAAUCUAAAUUUCCAUAUGUUAGAUAUCAUCAGAAGCAGUUAGACCAAAAGUUAAUUAUCAAUAUGUUAGUUCACAGGAACUGCAUAAUCAAGCACAUAAACAUCCACAUUGUCAUUCAUUGUAGGCAGCUUUGAUACACAAAAAAUAUGGAUAUUUUCAGAAGUUCAAGCAUACACAAAAAACAUAUCCUUGUCAGAAAAUAGCCAACUAAGAAAGAGAAGUUCAAGAUUUAUAUACAAAGUGCAGCUGCAAAAGGACAAGCAAGAUGCCAGAAUCUAUAUAUAUAUGCAGUCGGAUAUUAAUUGGCAAGUACUAACAGCAAAGGUACCAAAAUAAAACUGUAUCAAUUUAUCUUGUCUAAAACUAAACAGUAUAUGUAAAUCUUGCAAACAAACAAGUUUUUUGAAUCAAAACUGUCAAAAGAUUUUGAUUCAAGUGAUAAGUGGAUUGUGAUCUUUUGUGUCACCCAUCCAUUCCUCCUGUUUUAACCAUUUAAAUCAAUAAAUAAUUUUAUGUUCAAACAUAAGUUGGACAACCUUUGUUAAAGAACUGCUUCCCAAAACAAAUAGCAUUAACCACCCUUUUUUAAUUCAACACAUGGGAAUAGAGAUCGAAUCUCUAAUUUUUUGGUCUAAGGUACCUUUCCUAAACUUGUCGAAUUCCAUUUUCUACACCAACUUUAAUUCGACCUCCCACGAAUUCUCUUCUUCUAAGGAUUAACUUUUCUCUAAGGCUCUGCACUCUACUAAAAAGCCUUGAUCUUCUUCCCCCCAAUGUUUUCAUAAACUUCUUAAGACAGACCUUGGCCUUGGUUAGGCUCGGAUCUCCUUGGAUUAUCACCUUCUUCCCCUGAUAUGUAAAUGUUAACAUCAGAUUCUUCCAAUUCACUCCAGUCGUUCCCAAGGAAUACAAUCACUGCAUUCCAAGUAUGGCAACUACCCUCCCAACUUCAAGGAUAAAAACUCAUUCACUACCUUCUAGUCUCCCAGCAUUAACUCAACAUCUUCACAAAUUACCUUCCCUUUGACUACAGUGCCCGAGCCCAAAAUGACUCCAUAAUUUGACGUUUCUCUUGUACUCAGUUACAACUCUUUCACUAUUUUUUUCUGAAAUGAAAUUGCGUGUGACUCCACAAUCAAUUAGUAUUAUAGCCACCUUCCCUUGUAUCAUCUCUUUUACCUUCAUUUUCCCUAGGUUGGAUAAUCCCACCACAUAAUUAAUGGAUAAUUCCACCAUCAUUUGACUCUCCUCUACGAUCUCAGGGGCAUUCAAUUCUUUCUGAUCAAUUCCUCCUUCUUCAAUAAUUUCAUACUCCUCGCCUUCUUCCUUCACAACAAUCAUUCGCAAUUCCCUUUGCUCUUUCAUCUUGCAUUUGUGGUCAUGAGAAUAUUUCUCAUUACAGGAAAGCACAAUCCCUUCUUUCUAGAUUGAAAUUCAGCAUCAAAUAAGCGCUUCGUCUGUCCCUCUUUCCGUACUUCCUCUUUUGUUGUUCCUCGUAGAGUAAUAGUUCUCAUCGGCCAAUUCAUUCCUCCUUUACUUUCUUCUGUAUUCGCAAUGGUAUUAGCCUUGGUGCUAUUAUGGGAGUUUAUCACCUUUUCUCCAGAAUAUCCAAAAAGAUUUGCUUCCUGACGUAUAUCUUCCUUGUUCUCUACCUUUUGCGCAAUUCGUAUCAUUUGUGCUAAUCCCUUCGACUCACAUAAAUCCAUCUCGCCUAGAUCCACAGUUUCAAUCCGACAUAAAUGUCUCUUUACCACCUUCUCUAAUAGGUCCGACAAAGGAGCUACGCACUUAUCGAAUAAAUUUUGAUAUUCCUUUAUCGUUGUCUUUUGUUGAAUUUGCAAGAACCUUACAUACAACGAUUCCUCCUAACGGAUCGAAAUCGCACCAAUAAUCUUUCCUUCAUAUUCACCCAAUCUACAAAGUUCUCUCGUUCUUCUUGAGAACGGUAAAAGUUCAAUGCUAGUCCCUCAAAACUAAUAGUGGAUACAGUCAUUUUCUCAAAUUCAGUAAGUUUAUGAAUGUUCAAAUACCUCUCUACGCAAAACAGCCAAGAAUCGGGAUCAUCUCCAUUGAAUAUCGACAUCUCCACCUUCUUAAACUUAUUGCAGUCACUAUUACUUUCAUCAUCUAUUUUCUUUCCUUCCUUCCCUGUUUCGUUCUCCCAUCUUGGUCACCCUUCGCCUUCGUCCACAUUCUUCGUCGAUGAAUUGUGCAUUGUUGUCGAUUCCAUAAUUCGUAACAUCAUCUGAUUCUACCUCUCCAUAUUUUUGGAUAUUUUGGCCAACGUCUUUUCGAUCACCAGUAUCUUACUAAUCUCUUUCUUAAUGUCUUGUAUUUCCUGGUCAAACGUCUCCAUCUCUUCGAUCCGAGUCUGAACCAUUUGCAUUCUUCUUGCCCGAGAUCAAUGCUCUGAUACCAAUUUGAUGGAAACCACUCUUGGAAUGAAAUUGCUACUAUAUUAUUAAUGAUAGAAUAGGAAUGAAAUCCUAAUUACAUUAUGAAAUCCCACUCCUGUUAUCCUCUCUCUCAAGGAAGAAUAGAAAUUCACUUUCUCAAACAAAACCUAACUUUCCCGCCCACGAUUACUUUUUAUUUAUACUAACAAUAAGGUAACUAACCCUCACAUGCUAUUCAUGUGCACGUGAUAUAUUUUUUUUAAUUUCUUUGUCCCUCUUCCGCUGUACAGAUGUAAUAUAGGGGUCUAUCAGAUUCCUCCUCUUUUCAAAGCCUCCAAUCAAACUCAAUGCUAAGUUUGACUGCUCCCUUCAGAGUGACGACCCUCAUUUUCCCCCUUCCGUGGUUUGGGGAGGAUUCCUCCUCUUUUUAAAGCCCUCAAUCAAACUUGAUGCUAUGUUUAGAACGCUAAGAAUAGGUGGUCUAGUUUUGGUUAGGCCAAAAGUGAAAUUUUCCCCCAAAAGCACUAAUAGUUAGGGAACUCAACACAUUCUACUUGACUUAUUCGACUUGACUCUCUAAUUUUUAUGAGCUUUUUUCAAUGCAUAUUGCAUAUGUUUUUUUAUAGUUGUUGAUUGUCUCACAUUUUUAUGGUUUGCAUUUACAAGCCUCUUUUUUCUUUCUUUGGUAUGAAAUAUGGUAAUAGGCCUUGCUAGAACCGGUGGGGUAAUCUCUCUAUGGUUCUACACUUAGUUUCAAAGUUUGAUUACUCCCUUCGAAGUGACAACAAGCCUCGUUUUCCCCUAUUGUGGAUCAGAGAGGAUUCCUCCUCUUUUCAAAGCCCUCAAUCAAACUCAAUGCUAAGUUUAACUGCUCCAUUCGAAGUGACAACAAGCCUUGUUUUCCCCUAUUGUGGAUCAGAGAGAAUUCCUCCUCUUUUCAAAGCCCUCAAUCAAACUCAAUUAGAGUAAAAAAGGAAAAAUUUUCAUCUCGGGCGCGUGUACCUCACACGCGUCUCUCUAGGAUUUCCAAGUUCUCUCACUCGGGUGGUGAAGGAGGCGAACGGCUGGUGAGUGCUGCGGUCAGCAAGGGAUCAAAUUCGAAGGUAAUUCGUUCGGUUUUGGCAGAUUGAAUGUGAAAACUAAUGUCAUUUGGUAUCCAUUUCGAAAUUGAUUACAAUUGAUCAAUUGAACCAUUACGAAUGAUAUUCGUUUUGAUUCGGGAGAAUUAACGUCUGUCUAGAAAUUGUUUAAAUCGAUUUCCAAGCUGAAUUGAUUUGAACUAUCUUGAAAGUAUUGCGUGUGGUACGAAUCGAUUUAUUGGCUAUCAGUUCUGGGUUUGAAGACCGUGAUUUAAUUCACUCGCUGAAGGGAUCUCACAUGAAUCUCCUCGGUUGAAUUUCAAUUCUUUUUGAGUUCAUUCGUGUUCCCAGAUUGGGCCGAAAAGAUCAUCACGGGUGUUGGGUUGAUGUCCUAAGCAUGAAACGAUGAAGAAAUUAUCCAGUGACAUUGAGGAGGUGAAGAAACUGUGAUGUCAAGCCUUCAACGCGUACAUGAUAUGGCGGCGAACGACCGAAGGGCGGCGACUGCAAAGGCUGACCUAAUUUCUGUGAGGAAGAAAUGGUCGGACAUGAGUGGACCCGAACCGGUUUACGUGAACCGUGAAACAUAUAAAAACUAAAAUACAGGAAAUGGACCGAGCGGAGAUGGUCCCAUGAAGAUUGUUGGCCCAAAUGUGGGCCGAUUGUUUUGAAUGAAAACGUGAUGAAGCCAGUGAGCCGGUAAAGGGGCUGAAGCCGAAUGGUGUGGACACAUUUACGAAUGGAAUUGGUCAUGGAUUUCUGGUUGAUGGGCCAUCGUUGAAUGAUGGGCCGCCCAUCUCACUCGAAACUGGAUCUCACAGAAGGAGUGCUUACCUGCUGGUGCUUCAAGUGUUCAGCAUGUUGGGCAAAUUGCAACAGCCGAAGGAUAUGGACCUGGGCUGGAUGCUAUUGCAAGUGCCCCAAAGAUUGGGCCGGUUGAUGGGCAUUUGAAUGAUGGGCCAGCCAUUAGAGAAUCGUUUGGUAUUAAUUCAAAUGGUGGGCCGCCUGUUUCGAUUCGUGGGCAUGAGGUGCAGGCAAAAAUUCAUGGGCUUCCUUAUUUGGCUCAACAAGAGGUUUCUCUAUGACCUAUACACCUCUGACUACCGUGGGAGAGAAAAUUGUGGUGACCCCGUUUGAAGAAGUUAUUAGUCAAGGAGUUAGAGUGUGGGAGAACUCCCUCGUCAGCCAAUUAAUUGAUGCAAAAUUGUUGUAUCUAGUCAUCUAUCGUCUUAUAGAGAAGAUUUGGGGUAGAAUUGAAAUGCCAACAAUUACUCUGAUGGAGAAUGGGCUCAUCUGCUUUCAAUUCAAACAUCUGAAGUCGAUAGAGUGGAUCUUAUCCCGUGGCCCAUGGCACCUUGGAGGCAAACCUAUGCUCCUCCGCAAAUGGACUCCAGGUAUAGUUCCUGAAUCCUUUGUCUUUGAUUCAGUUCAUGUUUUGAUAAAGUUAGGGAGGAUUCCGUUGGAGCUAUGGACGGAUGCUGGUUUGGCUGUGGUAGCGAGUGCAAUAGGAAAACCUCUUUCAGUUGAUCUUGCUACUAAAGAGAGGCGUCGUCUUUCUUAUGCCCGUAUAUGUGUGGAAUUGAAUGUGGACAGUAUUAUGCCUGCCGAAGUAACAGUCAACCUUAGAGGAGAGGAAUUUAUUGUAACUGUCACUUAUGAGUGGAAACCGAAAAAAUGUAACUUGUGUCGAUCUUUUGGACACUCGCAGAACACCUGCCCUAAGAAAAGAGGCAAUGAAGAUAGUAAAAAGGAAGCUGCAAGUAAAGAGGUUCCUGUUAAAGAGGUUGUUCCUACUAAAGAGGUGGUUCCAAUUUGUGGGGAGUAUGAAGAUGUUGUGUUGGAAUCCUUCCAACACAUGGAAGAAGGAGAAAUUAUUACCCAUAAACUGCCUGAAAAGGUGGAGGUAAAUUGGGAGGAAUUUACCCCAGUUGACAGGAAAAAUAGGGGAAUGAUCUCUAUUUGGGACAGAGGGAAAAGGGCGGAAGUGAGUAUCACUAACUCCUUUAACAACCUCAUGGAGGUGGAUAAAGGAGAUAAAUGGCCUUUAUCUAUAGUGGAUGCCUCCCCUCCUCCCUUACGAGUAGAUGACUCUUCUAUGGUCCUUUUGAGUACUGCAGGUGAUGUAAUUCCUAUGGAGAGGCGGCUCCCAUACGACCUCAUGGUUAGUUGGUGUACGUGGAACGUGCGGGGCCUUAAUAGCCCUAUAAAGUGUAGAGCGGUGAAGGACUUCUUAGCUGUGUCUACGGUGGGUUUCUGUUGCAUCCUGGAGACUAGAGUUCGAGAGGAGAACUUUGUCUCGAUAUCUAGAAGAUUUGUGAUUCGUGGGGGUUCAUUAGUAACUACAGCGAUAGUGGAGCAGGUCGAAUGUGGAUUAUGUGGAAACGUAACAGUUUUGUGUUCACGACUAACGAGGUUGUCGACCAGUUUAUUUUUGGUGUAAUAACAGAUUUGAUCUCUGGGGAGAAGGUAGAGGUUCUGUGUGUGUAUGCCUAUAAUAGUAACAUCGAGAGACGUGUUUUAUGGAGGCAAAUGGCUGAGAUCUCUGCUGGUUGGAGAGGACCGGGUAUGGUCUUGGGUGAUUUUAACACCAUCAGACUCCAGUCUGAAGCAUUCGGGGGUGCUCCGAACGUGGGGGAUAUGGAGGAGUUUGACAUGGCUAUUCGAGAGGCGGACCUUGUUGAACACGCGGUCCAGGGGAACUGGUUUACUUGGACUAGUAAGAUACAUGGUCGGGUUUGAUGAGAAGAGACUUGAUCGUAUCCUAGUGAAUGAUGAGGGGCUUAGUACAUGGCCUAACAUGAGGGUUAACGUCCUCCCGUGGGGUAUUUCUGAUCAUUCUCCCAUACUUGUCUAUCCCAGUAAUCAGCGAAGCCAACAAGUGGUCUCUUUUCGUUUCUUUAACCAUUGGGUUCAAGAAGCGUCCUUUAUGGAUGUUGUGUCCUCUGCUUGGACCAAAGAUACUAGAGUUUCUCCAAUUGUGAAUAUUGUGAGGAACUUAAGAAAUCUCAAGUCGAUUCUUCGCAGACAUUUUGGUAGGCAUAUCCGGACCAUCAGUGAGGAUGUUCGUCUUGCCAAUGAUACCAUGGACCGAGCUGAAAGAGAGAUGGAGACGAACUCUCUGUCGGAGGAGGCGAGUAAUCACGCGAGCUUAGCCACGGUAAACUUUUGGAAAGCGGUUAGAGUGGAGGAAGCCGCUAUGCGUCAGAAGUCGCGAACCAGAUGGUUGAAGCUAGAUGACCAGAAUACUGCCUUUUUUCAUCGAUCUGUUCGAUCAAGGCAGAGCAGCAAUGCUUUGAGAUCAGUUAUUGACCCAGAUGGAAAUCGGUUGACUAACCAUGAUCAGGUGACUCAGGUGGUAGUGAAUUAUUUCAAAGAUAGUCUGGGUUCUCAGAAUAUUAGCUAUGGAGAGCUCUCUACUAGUAUUGAGGAGAUUGUUCAGUUUAGAUGGACUGAGGAGUGUUGUCAGGCCCUCCAGUCGCCUAUUGGCAGGGAGGAAGUGAGACGUGUUCUGUUCUCCAUGGAUGGUGGAAAGGCUCCAGGCCCUGAUGGGUAUUCAGUUGGCUUCUUCAAAGGAGCUUGGACGGUGGUUGGAGAGGGUUUCUGUGAUGUCGUCUUACACUUCUUUGAGACCAAUUACUUCCCUCAAGGGGUGAAUACGACUGCUAUUACACUUAUUCCUAAAAGGAAUGGUGCUGAUCGAUUGGAGGAUUUCAGCCCUAUAUCUUGUUGCAGCGUUAUUUAUAAGUGCAUUUCAAGAAUAUUGGCAGAUAGGCUUCGUGUGUGGCUUCCUUCUUUUGUUAGUGGAAAUCAGCCAGCUUUCAUCCCUGGGAGGAGUAUUAUUGACAAUAUUCUUCUUUGUCAGGAGCUUGUAGGGGCAUACCAUUUGCACAGAGGUAAACCUCGGUGCACUAUGAAGGUUGACCUCCAAAAAGCUUAUGAUUAUGUUAAUUGGGAUUUCCUCUUUGGCCUGCUGAUUGCCAUAGGUACGCCUUUAAGAUUUGUGAGUUGGGUUCGAGCGUGUGUGACCUCUCUGAUGUUCUCCAUUAUGAUUAAUGGAUCGUUGGAAGGUUUUUUCCAUGGGAGGAAAGGACUUAGACAAGGUGACCUUUUAUCCCCGUUCUUAUUUGUGAUGGUCAUGGAGGUGCUUUCUCGCAUGUUGAACAGCCUACCUCAGAAUUUUCAAUUCCACUAGUUUUGUGAGAAGGUCAGAUUAACUCAUCUUACUUUUGUAGAUGACCUGAUGAUCUUUUGUACUGCUGAUAAUCAUUCUAUGAGUUUCAUAAAAGAGACUAUUAAGAGGUUUGGUGAGCUUUCGGGACUGUUUGCUAAUCUUGCUAAAAGCUUAAUUUUUCUUGUGGGGGUUAAUAGUUCGAAAGCCUCUCGGCUUGCUGCUAACAUGGGUUUUUCCAUUGGUCAUCUCCCUGUUCGUUAUCUUGGGCUUCCUCUCCUCUCUAGAAGAUUGCGGAGCUCUGAUUGUGAUCCCCUUAUUCAGCGUAUUACCAGUCGUAUUCGGUCUUGGUCUGCUAGAGUGUUAUCUUUUGCAGGUAGACUUCAGCUUGUUCGCUCAGUCCUUAGGAGCCUUCAGGUUUAUUGGGCUAGUGUGUUCAUGCUUCCUAUGAAAGUCCACAGAGACGUUGAUAAGAUCUUGAGGGCUUAUUUGUGGAGAGGUAACGAGGAGGGAAGAGGUGGUGCUAAAGUUGCCUGGGAUGAGGUUUGUCUUCCUUUUGAUGAAGGAGGUCUUGAUAUUCGCGAUGGAUCUUCUUGGAAUAUAGCAAGCACGUUGAAGAUAUUAUGGUUGCUACUUGUUAAAUCUGGUAGUUUAUGGGUUGCUUGGGUGGAAUCUUAUAUCCUUAAAGGGAGAUCGCUCUUGGAGAUCGAUGCUGGGGUGAGUCGAUCUUGGUGCUUUAGGGAAAUCUUGCGUAAGCGGGAUAUCCUUAAAGAUCAUGUUAAGAUGGAGGUGGGCAAUGGAAGGAAGUGUAGAGUGUGGUUGGUUCCAUGGAUUCAGGGUGGGCCGAUUAUCCAGCAGUUUGGGGAGAGGGUGAUCUAUGAUGCAGGUAGUCGGUGGGAUGCGAGGCUGGUGGAUUUCAUGGGUCGGGAUGGUGAUUGAAGGUGGCCGCUUGUUUCUUUGGAUUUGAUGGACAUUUGGGAUAGGGUUCAGGGAGUGAGGCCGAGUCCGAGUGUUGAGGAUAGGUGGGUCUGGGUGCCGGGGAGUCAUGAUAGUUUUUUAUCACCAGUGCGUGGGAGACUAUUCGUCCUCAUAGUAGUAGGGUUGGUUGGUCGGGUUUACUAUGGGGUGGGGGAAAUAUUCCUAAGCACUCCUUUUGUGCUUGGUUGGCCAUCAGGGAUAGGUUGGGUACUAGAGAUAGGUUAAGUCGGUGGGAUAGGUCGAUUCCUUUAUCGCGUUUGCUUUGUGGAGGGAACUAUGAGUCUCGUGAUCAUUUGUUUUUUUCUUGUCAUUUUGGGUGGGAGGUUUGGUCGAGGAUCCUUUUGCUUAUGUCAUCUUCUCAUAGAAUCGGUUAUUGGGAAGAGUGUGAGGAGAAAACUGUGGCGCCUUCUCUGGUGUGCUACAAUUUAUUUCAUUUGGCAGGAGCGAAAUCAUCGUCUUCAUGGAGUUGCUAUUCGGGAGCCUAUGGUUGUAUUCCAGCUCANNNNNNNNNNNNNNNNNNNNNNNNNNNNNNNNNNNNNNNNNNNNNNNNNNNNNNNNNNNNNNNNNNNNNNNNNNNNNNNNNNNNNNNNNNNNNNNNNNNNNNNNNNNNNNNNNNNNNNNNNNNNNNNNNNNNNNNNNNNNNNNNNNNNNNNNNNNNNNNNNNNNNNNNNNNNNNNNNNNNNNNNNNNNNNNNNNNNNNNNNNNNNNNNNNNNNNNNNNNNNNNNNNNNNNNNNNNNNNNNNNNNNNNNNNNNNNNNNNNNNNNNNNNNNNNNNNNNNNNNNNNNNNNNNNNNNNNNNNNNNNNNNNNNNNNNNNNNNNNNNNNNNNNNNNNNNNNNNNNNNNNNNNNNNNNNNNNNNNNNNNNNNNNNNNNNNNNNNNNNNNNNNNNNNNNNNNNNNNNNNNNNNNNNNNNNNNNNNNNNNNNNNNNNNNNNNNNNNNNNNNNNNNNNNNNNNNNNNNNNNNNNNNNNNNNNNNNNNNNNNNNNNNNNNNNNNNNNNNNNCUAAAGAAAACCAAAAUAAAAAAAUAUAAAGUUAGAAGCAAUUUGAAGGACAUUUCCCUAUGGCAGUUUCGCGGAAAAAGAUUAAACAUAAAAGGGUGAGUAUAAACAUACCCAGUAAGGGACCCACUACUGAUCCUGUUAGAAGAAAAAUAAAAUUGUUAACUUCCUAUUGGAGGUGCCCUGCACUUUAAAAGUCUUGUGAUCAUGUAGGAAUACACAUAAUCAGUCCAAUGCCCUAAAGGACACAAAUAUUAGUCUAGUGCUCUGCAGAAAGCACAUGUCAGUCUAGUGCUCUCGAAGAAUGCACAUGUCAGUCUAUUGCUCUCGAAGAAUGCACAUGUCAUUCUAGUGCUCUCGAAGAAUGCACAAGGUGGUGAUCCUGUAGGACACCUGCAAGGCACACUACCAAUCGACAAAGCUAACAAUUUUCCCUUAGUCCAUUAUAAACAUUUAAUCAAUCCAUUCCUAGUAUAGUCAAACUACUCCAUCAUAUCAUCAAUCCAACUUAACACACUUACGUUCAAUCUAUUCAAUCUAUCACAAAAUCAGUUGAUACUAUAACAACACACCAGACAGUCAAGAUAUAUAUAUAUACAUAACACCUUUCUCAGUUUACAAAUACAUUAUCCAUCGUAUCUACUUCUAUACCAGUAAGUUUACAAACACUAACUGUUGAGUUUCUACAGUAGAUUCUUGAAGAUGUGACUCUUGAACAGAUGGAUUCUCAUGGAUGAUCACAUGUUUGUUAUUUUGAUGGUCAUCAUUCUUGUCCAGAUUGUGAUGACUAGAAUCAUCACGAAGAUCAUCAUACAUGUUGUUAAUAUCAUCAAACAAUUGAUUCUGAUUCUAGUAUAGAAAGAAAAAAGGAUAAUAAAAAAAAUAGUUACAAAAUGAUCGUGUAUCCUUAAGCAAACAAUCGUGUAGAAUAUCUAAACGGUUGUUUUACCAAGGGUGAUCGAUAUUUUAGAUGGGAUAUGCGAUCGUUCAUAUGUGAUAUGUGAUCGUGUAAAGAUAUAUCAAACCUUUGUUCUGUCAGAAGUCGUGCUAAGAAGAGUUGAAAGCUUGUAAUAAGAUCCAUCAAAACUGAAAGAUUUUACAUCAACACGUUCCUGACACAGUAAUGCAGUAUCAAUGAGCAUCAAAUUACGUGAGAUACGUAUUAGAAAAUAUCUAACUGCUCAGUUAAUUUUUUAUGGACAUCAAAUCACCUUUUUUCAAGCUUAAGGAAGGAAAUGUCGGCACUAUAUAUGUCAGAGUUGUGCAUUGCAAUGGAAGUGCCAAACGAGGUGAUACAUGUGUGUCUUUCUGGGAUGUAAAUGCCACUCCCCGACUAGGACCAACAUAGUCUUAGGGAGAAAGCAUGCUAGGAAUUGGAGUUGUGUCCUCAAUUUCUUCAAGGGACUUGAGCAUUUCUUCUUACACUAGAAUGUCUCCUGUUCAGAGAGUUUAUAGGAUUUCUCAAGGCCAUUUUUGCAUACUUAACAGCUCUUGACAACGGUAGAGAGUCUAACUCUACACUUUCAGGGGUUCCAACUCCACCACUCGCUGAGCCAAAGAUAGAGACGAAUCAUUAAUGAUCCAGUAAGCAACAUGAAACCUUGUAAUUUUGGGGUCAACGGUAGUCCCUCCCAUUACUAGCUCAACACUCAAACGGAGUCUCCUGUAUAAAAUAUAAAAUAAUACAGACACAAAUAGUGAAUGAAAUCUUGUGACGUAACAAACACAAAUUUUAGGUAUACUGCAAUUUGACUAAAUAUUGAACAAGAAAACCCAAGGGAAUACACAAAAAUCCAACGUUUUUAGGGUCAAUUUGGAAAAUGGCAAAACUACUUUUUCUUUUCAAUUUUAGCAAACAACAUUUUUUGCGCGUGCAUGGUAUUUUAUAAAAUACCAAAAUAUUCACCUUCUCCAACUAUAAUUAUUUUGUUUUUACGUUAUAAUUAAUUUAUGUUAUGUAUUUAUCAACUUUUAAUUAAUUUUUACUUGAAAUAGAUACAUCAACUCAUAUCAUAACUUUUCUCUUAAAAUCUCAGGACUCAAUUAAUUAAUUCAACAUUUUAAUAACAUUAUUCAAUCUUAUUAAUUUCAAAAUAAUCUAAUUGAAUUUGAAUUUCAAAAUAACCAAAUUGAAUUUCAAAAUUCAAAAUUAUUAUUUUUUAGAAUUUGAGAAUCUCAACGAUAGAUUUUAUAUUAAAAUAACCUUAUCUCAAAAUAAUUUUAAUGACUUGAAUAUCAAGAUAAUUAAAUUAUUAUUUUAAAAUUGGAAGAAAAGCACAAAAAGCGCACAAGCCCACUCACGUACACACGCACGCGCGCGUAUACGCACACACACGCACACGCACACGCACAAAAGUGCACACGUGGACACUCACACCCACGCACACGUAGACACACACACCCACGCACACGUGGACACGCGCAUACGCACACACGUACGCACUCACGCACACGCACGCACACACGCACAUAUGCACAAAGAUGUAUAAAUGAAUUAAAAUUAAAAAAUAACUACAAUAAUUAUGUUUAGAAAGACUUUUAAACCAUGUUCAUUUGACUUAAUAACGUUAAUUAAAUUAUAAUUUCUAUCAAUAUUUUUAAAAGUGUCAUUAGUGUAAUUAUUUCAAUAUAAUGCAGUCUUAUCCAAUUUUACGAACAAAAAACAAGUCGAAUAUGUACCAGUAGAUGACACUCUUUGUCAUAAGAGAUAUAGCAACGUUUUUAUGGGUCAUUUUGAAAAAUGGCAAAACUACUUUUUCUUUUAAAUUUUAGCAAAUAGAAUUUUUUACACGUGUCCAUGAUAUUUUAUAAAAUACCAAAAUAUUCACCUUCUCAAACAGUAAUUAUUUCGUUUCUACGUUGUAAUUAAUUUAUGUUAUGCAUUUAUUAGCUUUUAAUUAUUUUUUACCUGAAAAAGAUACAUCCUUUUUUCUUAAUAUCUCGGGACUCAACUAAUUGAUUCAAGAUUUUAAUUUUAUUCAAUCUUACUAAUUUCAAAAUAACCUAAUUAAAUUUCAAUUUAAAAAUAAAAAAAUUAUUAUUUUUCGAAAUUUGAGAAUCUCAACGAUAGAUUUUGUAUCAAAAAUAACUUUAAUUGAAUUUCAAAAUUAAAAAAUAUUAACUUGUUCGCACACAAGCACACACAGACACGUGCACAACGCACGCACACGCACGCACACACACUCAUCCACACACGCACACUCACACGCACAUAUGCACACACGCACAAAGAUGUGUAAAUUAAUUAAAGUUAAAAAACAAAUACAUUAAUUAUGUUUAGAAAGAGUUUUAAACCAUGUUCAUUUGGCUUAAUAACAUUGAUUAAAUUAUAAUUUCUAUCAAUAUUGGCUUAAAAGUGUCAUUCGUGUAAUUAUUUCAAUAUAAUGCGGUCUUAUCCAAUUUUACCAACAAAAAACAAAUCGAAUAUGGAUCAGUAGAUCUACACUCUUUGUCAUAAGAGACAUAACAACGUUUUUAGGGGUCAUUUUGAAAAAUGACAAAACUACUUUUUCCUUUGAAUUUUAGCAACUAGCAUUUUUUGCACGUGCAUGGUAUUUUAUAAAAUACCAAAAUAUCAACAUUCUUCAACUGUAAUUAUUUCGUCUCUACAUUGUAAUUAAUUUAUGUUAUGCAUUUCUCAGCUUUUAAUUAUCUUUUACUUGAAAUAGAUACAUCAACUCAUAUCAUAAUAUUUUUCUUAAUAUCUCGAGACUCAACUAAUUAAUUCAACAUAUUAAUAACUUUAUUCAAUCAUACUAAUUUCAAAAUAACCUAAUUGAAUUUGAAUUUCAAAAUAACAAAAUUAUUAUUUUUUGGAAUUUGAGAGUCUCAACGAUAGAUUUUGUAUUAAAAUAACCUUAAUUGAAUUUCAAAAUUAAAAAAUAUCAACCUGUUCACUAUCUUUAUCUCAAAAUAACAUUAAUGCCUUAAAUAUCAAGAUAAUUAAAUUAUUAUUUUAAAAUUGGAAGAAACUCAACAUUAAAAAAUAUUAACUUGUUCGGACACAAGCAUAGAAGCACUGCGCACACACGUACACAUGCACACUUACACACACGCGUGCACACGCACACCUACACACAGACACCCACAGAUGCACGAACCCACGCACACACACAUGCACAAGCGCACGCACGCACACACACACCUAUCCACACGCACACAAGCACAUACACAUGCACAAACGCACACACGUGUACGCACAAACCUUAUCUCAAAAUAGUUCCUAUUUUUGCUGACAGUUUAUUUUUUGCCAUCGAUAGAGGAUCUUCCAAUAGACCUACGUGACGGUGUGUGUUGACAGCUUAAUUUGUUGGCAAAAGAAAAGUUGAUUAGUUUUUGAAGAUUUACUGACGAUAUUUGUCAUCGACAAAGGGUAAAUUUCUUGGAGUGCAUGUACAUCAAACAUAUCAAAUUUGUUAAGUUUACCAAUGAAGUAUAACAAGUUUAUUAGUGGUGUAUCACGUGUAUCAAACUUAUAAGUGAAGUCUUUAAGUGUAUCAAACUAAUCAAGUGUAUCAAGGUCUCAGGGGUAUCAAGUGUAUCAAGAAGAAUCAAGUGUAACGAGAAGUAUUAUGUGGAACGAGAAGUAUUAUGUGUAUGAAGAUGUUUCAAGUGUGUAUCAAAAAGUAUCGAGUGUAUCAAUGAGUACCGAGUGCAUGAAUUGUAUCUAUCAAAUGUAUCAAGUGUAUCAGUAAGAAGUAUCAAGUGUAUCAAGGGGUAUUAGGUGUAUCAGACGUGUAUAAGGUGUAUCAAAUAUACAUCAAUAACGAGGGCAUUUGUGACAUUUUACCUCUUGAUGUGUGAGUUGGUCUUUGUUUUUGUCAUUUUCUCAAAUAAUAAAGUAUGUGUUCUAUGGACUUAAUUAUUAUAACUUAUUUUGCCAUUUUCGCAAGUGUCCCUUAAUUGUAAUACAUGUAUAUGUGACAUAAUCUAAUCAAACUAACUCAUAAAUGGACUUAAUGUAUCAAGAGGUAUUAGGUGUAUCAGACGUGUAUAAGGUGUAUCAAAUGUACAUCAAUAACGAGGGCUUUGUGACAUUUUACCUCUUGAUGUGUGAGUUGGUCUUUGUUUUUGUCACUUUCUCAAAUAAUAAGGUAUGUGUUCUAUGGACUUAAUUAUUAUAACUUAUUUUGCCAUUUUUGCAAGUGUCCCUUAAUUGUAAUACAUGUAUAUGUGACAUAAUAUAAUCAAACUAACUCAUAAAUGGACUUAAUCUAUCUCAUGGACCACGAAUUCUUCAAUUACUUGCAAAUUUGGUGAGUUCCUUCAAAUGGUGGGCGGAGAGCUUAAUUUUGAGAGAGAGGAAAAGUCGUGAAGAGUAUUUGCGAGAGAGGGGGAACGUCGCCAGAGAGCAUUUGCGAGAGAGCUAAAGACACGACGAUGUGGAUGAAGUAAGGUUUUUUUCGGUCAUUGUUCACAAGUGGGAUGAAAGCUUCGAAUUAUUUGUUUUAAAUCAAAAACGUAUGAUUGAAGGAAAACAUUGAUUUUUUAUUAGGGUAAUUUUUAAUGACACAUAAUUUAUGCCAUUAUUUACAAUGCCAAAAUUUUGUCAAGAAAACUCAAUUUGUGUCACAAAAAAUUUUGUAUUUUUAUUUUUAACGACACAUUUUAUUCCCUCAUAUCCCUUUUUCUUGAUUUCAAGUGUCAUUAAAACUUAUAUUUCUAAAUAAAUUUAUUCGACGAAAGUGGCUAGAUUGGUGGGUUUGACGGCGAAGGCUUGUUGUGGGAGCAACGACAACAGUGGUUGGAGUGUGGAAUCGACGACGGCAAGUGGCAAAAAAUUGGAGGGCAAGGGUUCUUCAUAACGACUCGGUAGCCCACUUCGAAUUUUUUUGAAAUUUGAGGUUUUUUCAUUUGAAAAUUUUUUUAAUGACAAAAAAAUUGUCGUUAAUUAAUGACGCAAAAAUUGUGUUGAAAUAAAUUAAAUUGUGUCAAUAUGAUUGUUUUAAGAAAUAAUCCAUAUUUUUAUUUUCAACAACACAAUGUACCUCAUCCCACCUCUUUUUUCUUUUAUUUUCAACGACACAAUGUCUUGAUUAAAAUCCAUUUUUCUAGUAGUGACUGAAAAAAAAACUGGACAAAAUCAUAAUAUCUUUGAUAAUUAAAUCACCAGUUGGUUUGAACAUAUAUAAUCUUGGAUCUAUUCUAUUAUGAUAUGACCAUGGUACAUCAUGAACAUACAUUGACUAAAAAACUUAAAUUGAUGAGUGAAUGUAAUAAAUUUAAUAUUAAUUAUAUGAUCAAUACUUUACACAUGUAUAUUGGUAUAUCAGUCAAUAACAGUAGUAAGACAAAUUAUAAAAUAUAAGGAUAAAAGUCCUACACAUGCAUGUAUGGUAUACUCUCUUGAUAGCAAAAUGCAUUUAUGUCAACUCAUGUUUGAAUGCAUUUAUGUAGGAAAUUCAAUAAAAUAAUUAAGAAACCUUGCAAUAUGUGAGAGAUAUACGAACUUCAAACAAAUUUUACAAGUUUCAGCAAAAAUUUGAAACAACUUUUAAAGUUUAAGCAAAAAGUAACCGUAGGUAGGAAGGGGAGCAAAAGUGGGGUCUCGAAUUAAUUCUGAAAAAUUAGUAGGCUUUCAAAAUUUAGGUUCUAGAAGUAGAAUUAUUGCAGAAAAAUAAAUAAUUGCAUCAUUCAAAUUGAAUCAAACAUAUCAGGAUGUUAUAUUCUCCACAACGUAUAAUGGAGUAUAAACAUAAAGUUUCUAUAUACAAAGCUAUGUAUCUCUACCCUUGACUUCUCUUUCUCUCUUUCUACCUUUUUUAUCCUUUCUUUCUCCCAUUCACUCAAUACACUUGCAAGAACCUUCAUUUUUUUUGUAUUUAAAUUUUCUUGGCACCAUCCUUUUUUUAAUUAUCAAGGCUUUGUUAUUGUGUACCAGUAUUGUGUCGUGCCUCCUUCACUUCUCAUCAUCAUUUUCAUGUCACAUCUCUACCUUGUCAAUUUUCGUUUUUCACUCAGCUUUCUUUCUUCUUUUGUCUUCACUACUUUCUUCGCUCCUUCUUCUCAAGCUCUAACUUUUGCUAUUAUCAACCAGUCUCAAAUGACCAUUGGAAAACCUAUCGCCCACUGAGAGGCAGCCAAUAUAGUAAUGCCUCUAAUGAUAAACUCCAAUGAAAUCAAAAGUUCUUCUUUAAGGUUUGGAAAAAUAUAUUAGAUAAACUCGGACGUGGUGAACGCGGUGAACGCAGACGUGGUGAACGCGGACGGAUGGACGGUAAACACGGCAGAAGUUAGAGAUCCUCAGAGAGAACUUUGCAUUUUCGAAUGCGGUAAAGACAAGUCUAGGGCUUCGAAGGAUUCUUCUUUCUAUCCAAACAGUCCAAAGUAAGCCAGUUAUGGAGGGAGGAAUACACAUUAGAGAGCUCAGUUAUGGAUGGAGGAAUACACAACUUUUUCUCAUGGUCAUUUUCCUCGUGGGCAUUCUCUUCAUGUUUCUUCUUAUUCCGACUAAAAUACAAGCACAAAUUAUUCUUUGCCUUCGUAUAGGUUUGUUUGAAGAAGAUUAAAAAAGUCCUUAAUUUAUCUCGACACUUCCAAAACCAGAAUAUAAUACCCGUGCUACAUAAAUCCCUCUUUCCAAAUAGUCGAACAUGAACUAUCCAUGCAUAUCUUGGAAUAAACAAGAGAAACCCUAACUAAACUCAAAUAGAAAAUACGCUGCAAUCUAAAAUAUACUUAAAGAAACAAAAAGAAGUUUUAAUGCUGUGGGUUUUUUACUGAUCUUCUUCAACAACAAAAUAACUCAACGCCACAGUUCAAUUUUUCCUUCCACGAAUUGGGUUUUUAAAGAGUUUUCACCGCGAAUUUAUCUUUUUUGGUUCGACAAGUAACAACAUGUGAAUCCCCAAAUGCAAGGUUUUAUUAAAAAAUAAAAAUAUAAUUUUUUUAAAAGUAUUAUAAUACCUAAUUUUUUUUUUAUAUAUUUAUAACCUAAUUUUCUGUCAUUGCAUACUUGUAAGAAGUUAAGAUAACGAAUUAUUUUCAAUAUAGAAAGGCUAAUUGUAAGAAGUUGUUAAUGAAGUGUCCAAAUGCAUUAUGGUAAUAUUGGGUGCAGAUUGUUUGGAAGUUUUAUCCGUGUGCUGUGAAGCACCACAGAGUUGAAGCAUAUGAAACCAGUGUUUAUCUGACAAAAAAUAGUGUCAUGAUCAUUGCCUUUCCAUUCCAUAAAUUUAUGGAUAGCAGAAGAAAGAGAACUCUCAACACAUGAAUCACCAUAAAGACACACAUGACAACAUUAUUUUGGAUGAAGUUCUAAUAUUGCAACCAUGGAGGAAAAAUCAGCAAAUCUUAAAUAGAUGUAGUAGUCCAAAUGAUAAAAGUUUGUCUCAAGAUAAUAUUUCAGUAACUGCAGAUGCAUUGUGCUGAACCUAACCUCUUGUGUUUCAUGGUAAUGAACAAGGACAAUGUGUUCAAAGGUCCUGAACAAAAAGCAGAAGCAAGUCAUAAAUUAUAUAAGUAGAACACGAUAUACUGCCACUGUCUAAUUUCAUUUUUCUUUGCUUGUGGCAUGAUGGGGAUAGACCCCACUGAAACAACUGGUAGCAAGCAAUAACAUACUUAUCUAGGAGCCAAUAACACCGGCGAACAAAGGUUGGGCUAUCUAGUCCGUGGGCAUAGUAUACAUGUAUCCUUUCUACAUUACCAACCUGCUGAAGAGAAAGAAAAGAUUAUCAAAGCACACAUUUCCUUGGUUAUUAAGGUUGUAAAAGAAUGAAAAUUACCAUAAAUCUAAACAUAGUUAAUAUUAGACCAUUGAACAACCUAUAGAUUCAAAAGGAAAGACUCAAACCACCAAUAGACUGGUUAAUCAUUUAAAAUGAUCUCCAACAACAUGAUACGCAGUAUAUCGUGCUAGAUCCAUAAUUACCACAUGUGGACUUUAUGGUAAUUUCAUUGAUGAUACGCAGCUAGUAGGCAAGAUUAUGAAAUGAAGACGGUAUGUGAGACGAUUGAAAAGAUCAAGAUGAUAAAAUUAUAGGGAUUUGAAUUUAUAUCUUUAGAACACCAGAGUCAAAUGCUUAAGAUGAUUAACUGUGUUAAAUUUAACUCUAUAAUAUAUAAAUUAUUAGCAAAAACAGUAGAAAUUUCUUAAAAUUUGUAGAGAGAACAUAUAAAUUAUAUUAUAGAGAAAGAGCAUCUGAAUUAUAUUCUACAGAAACACGAGCCCAUAGCAUAUCUACUGAGUAGCAAUGACAGUGAAAAAGGGAAUAGUAAGUAACUAAUCUCAUAAACCCCUUUCUCACAUCUAACCAAGUUCUUUCACAACAUGCAAAAGCAUCAAAAUAUUUAAGAAAACUUCCAAUAUUGCAUUUGGAACUCAUUGAUUGACUUCAACGUUUAAGAGUCAUAAAAGACACAGCUUACUUUCUCACCUGUCACCACUAAGCCUAUGGCAACAUCUUUUUAUAAGAUAUUCAGCUAAUCUUUAGAUUGUUUACCGAAUAAUCGUCUAUUGUUUUGUAAUUGAUCCCACCAAGCGCUUGUGCCACCUUGAAGUUUGAGAGCAACUAAUCGAACCUUCUUGUGUUCGGGUAUAUUGGCAUAGUCGAAAAAAUUUUCUACGUUCUUGAUCCAAUCAAGAAACUUCUCCACGUCCAUUUGACCAUUGAAGGUAGGGAGAUCCACUUUCAUAUGUAUUUCUUGAUCUUCUUGAAAGUAUGGUCGAAGUCCAAGCCUUUGUUGAGGUUCUUGAUGAAUGUUCAGCAAGUUGUCUUUAUCGGAAGAGUCAUAAUCGUUUAAGAAAUUUCCAAGUACGUUGUUUCCAUACAAUCGAUUAUUGUGGAUGUGAGUAGGUUGAUUUCUUAGUAGUUCUUGGUUUACAACAGGGUUUAUUGGUUUUUCUUGUCUUUCUUGUUUGCUGCAAUUGGGUUUCUUGGGGCUGAAUUGCUUCUUCUAAAGGUUGGACAUGAAAUUGGGUAAAAAGGUUUGUUAAUUCUACUAACGAUUGUUGUAUAUUCGACUGCCCUUUUCGAAGUUCUUCAAUAGCUUGUUCUACCAACUGCAAGCGUUGGUUGAAGGAGGCUUCCGCGUCCAUGGAUAAGAGUGGUAGGAUCCAAGUUUUUUUAAGGGAAGAGUGAGCUAGGAUCACGCUCUGAUACCAAUUGAUGCAGUAAUUGCAAAGCUAGAAAUCUUUAUGUAUAAUGCCUCUUUUUUUUAUGUCUUAUUAAUGAAAAUGAGAAGCUUUUUCAUAGGCUGGAGAUUACAAGAGUUGUUAAACUAACUUGGGGUUGAGUUAGUUUAACUUGGAGUUGAGUUAGUUAUAACUAACUCAAGAUACAAAAUUGGUAAUUCAAAUAACUAAUCCUAAACUAUAAAAAUGGUACUUCAAACCCCUCCUCUAGGAUAAAACUCAAGAAACAUCAAGAAGGGAGAUGUUCUACAUCAAAGUGUAGAGAACGAUUCAAAAUCCUUGGUGAAAGGAAUGAAUGUUAACUAAUGUGUGUUUAUGUGAAAUUGUUAUGUUAUGAGUAUGUUAAGGAUAAAGAAAGGUUUAUGCGAGAUAAAAUUAUUUGAUGUUGUUUAUGCGAAAUGAUGUUUAUGAAAAGGUAUUGCGAACGGGUCUUUGUUUAUGAAAAGGUAUUAUGAAAAUUAUUUUCCUAUUAACUCAUAUUCUCUUUUUUUAUCAAGUCCUUGCUAGAGAAAGUGGACUUUGAGUUGUUGGACUUUAGUAUUGCAUGGACAUACAAUUUUGAAUGAAAAAUCCUUAUAAAUGGGGCCUUUGAACUCAUUUGAUGGGUUGGCUAUUAUAUUUGGGCUUUCACACCAAAUGGAAUUUCUUUUUCUUAUUUACUUAAAAAAAAAAGAAAAUUUACCACGCCCAUUUUUUUUCAUCUAUUUCUCUCGUCCGGUUCUUUCAUCCAACGGGUCCCACAACUCGAUUAUGAGUCUAGAGGAUACUAAGUCAAACUUAGUGGUUGUUCGAAUAAAACGCAGCUUCAAAUGUAAGUAUUCUAAAAACCUUAUUUUUUGGUUUAAUCUCGUUAACUAAGCCCAAUUAGGGUAGAAUUUCGAUUCUUUUUCUGUUGUGCAUGUCUUAGUUCUAUCAGUAACUCCUUUCAGGGUGAUAGCUCUCAUCAGCAGACUUUCCAUUGCUGGUUUCUUCCUUAGUCAUCAUUGUAUUGUUGUUUUCCACAAUAGAUAGGGUGAGUUGCAGUUUUACAUGAAAUGCACUGCUCAACCCACACUCUUUUCUCACUAGUUCCUUAUUCUCAAUCUUCAACGCAAAUUUCAUCAUCUGGGCCAACCCAAUCGGUUCCACGGUUUCCACUUCCAUUUUUAUUCAUGGGCUAAGCCCAAUCAUCAAAGUCUCCUCUAACACUACCGUUUGAAGAAAUGCUACCAGAGCUAAAUAUCGAUCAAAUCGGUUGCGGUAUUCUUCUACAUUCAUUUUCUGUUUGAUUGAGAAAAAUCUUCCAACCAAAGUUCCUUCUCGAAUUGAUCGAAACUGUACAAGCAUUCGUUCUUUCAGGUCAGCCCAAUUCUUAAAAACUUCCAACUCUUCUUGUGCUUGGUACCAAUCCAAUGCCAGAUCAUCAAAACUAAUAACGCCUGUGGUUAAUUUCUCUGAAUCGGUAAGAUCAUGUAUCUUAAAGAAGCGAUAGGCUCUAAAUGUGAGACCCAUUUCUAAUUUGAGUAAUGAAGUAAAAUUUGGCUAGGUAUUAAGAAUUUGGCGUUUGAAUAAAUCAACGAAAAGGAUUAAGCGAUAAAAAAAUUUAUGGUUAAGUAUACGUUAUUGCGAUUCAGGGUAGUUCGCGAAGGAAGUUGUGCGACCCAUUUCUAAUUUGAGUAAGGAAGUAAAAUUCGACUAAGAAUUAAGAAGUUGGUGUUCAAAUAAAUCAAUGGAAAGAUUAAGUGAUAAGAUCUUUUACGGUUAAGUAUACUUUUUUGCGAUAAGUGGGUAGUUCGCGAAAGAAGUUGUGCGAUAAUGUAACACCCCGAACUCUAAGGUAAUUAAUUUAAUCGAACCAUUCGAUAUUUUUACUCUUAAUUUUUGUUCGACGUCAUUUUUUUUUUGUCUUAAAAAAAAGUGUUGGAAAAGUCUUUCAUAAUAAUAUAUUAUUAUUAUUAUUAUUAUUAAUUAGCAUAAAAAAAAGGAAAAGAAAAAUUAAAAUAUCUUUUUCCUCUCUCCCCUCUCUCACGCGUGCGACACCCCUCUCUCCAUCUUUUUCUUCUUCUCUUUCCUGUACCCUAACCCAGCCGACCAUCAUCUUCUCCCCUUCCCUUGCCGUUCAGAUCCAUGGCCUCCGCCCACCGCCGCGUGACCCUCUGCCCAGCCCCGCCGCGUGACCUCUGUCUCCGUCGAAGCCAAGUCCAGCCGUCGUCCAUUCCUUUCCUCUCUUCUUCUCCAUUCGUGAAGCCCAGUCGCCGCGUCAGAUCGUUGAUCGAUUUUGAGGCAGCGCGCACGCCUCCUUCUAGCCGCGCGUUUCCUCUUCUUCCAGCAACAUGUUUUUUCUUCUAACCGCGAUUCACAAACCGAUGGUUUUUGUUUAGAAUCGAUUGCCGCUGCCCCUAUUUUUACUGAGAUCCGUCGAAGUAUUGUUGGUAAGAUUGAAGUUAUGAAAUUGUAGUCGUUUUCAAAACAAUUUAAGUAUGGGUUGUGAUGUUUUCAAGGUGUUCAAACGUUACGGAUGGGUUAAUUGACUAAUUUGAUAAAUUAUUCUUGAAGGUGUGAAAGGUAACCUUGGAUCACUUAAAUUCACAACCAAUUUGUGAAUUUUGAUUUCGUUUGCCCUUAUUUGGAUUGUUUCGUGGACGAUAGUUGAUUAAGGGAGCUUCCCUAACUUUGAGGUAAGGGACUUUCUACUGGACUCACCUAAAGUUUUUGAGUUGUGUUGGACUGUAUGGAUGAUGAUUAAGAUGUACACGUUUGGUUGCAGACUAAAUGUUUAGUGUAUGUUGUAUUUGACUGGAAACAUAUAUAUAAAUACAUUGAUGUGUGAAUUGAUGUGGAUUGCCGAAAGUAUACAUGUGAAUGACUGAAAUUAUGCUUAUGUGUACAUGAUGAUAUUAAUAGAUUGUUGUAUAAAGAUUUGGAUGUGAACUAGUGAAUUUGUUUCGGUUGAAUGUGAUUAUACUGAACUGUGGUUUGCGCUGGUAAAAAUGAGGGGUGUUGUGACUUUGUUGUUUACUUGACAGAUGUAUUAAAAUGUUAUCAACGACCUUCGAACUUAAGUGAGAUAGGUUGACUGUUAGAAUGUUGAGUGAAAAACUUUAUAUUUUGAAGUAACUGAAAGAUGUCAUAAAUUACCGUAAAGAUGGUUAGAAUGGAUUGAGGGGAAAAAUUGUUAGUUUUAUUGGGAUGUAUGCCUUGUAGGUGUCCUACGGGAUCACCAAUUUUUAUGCGACCUUCGGGAGCAUUAGACUGAUAUGUGUUUCUGCAGAACACUAGACUGAAAUGUACGUCCCUCGGGCGUUAGACUGAAAUGUGCAUCCUACGGGAUCACAAGACUGCGACUGUACAGGGUGUCCCAAUAGAAUGUUAACAAUUUAUUUUCCCCUGACGGACCAGUAGAGGGUCUCUUACUGGGUAUUUUUAUACUCACCCUCCUUAUGUUUAAUUUUUCAGGCAAAGGUAAUAAAGGCAGCAAACCGGCGAGGGGCAGGAAGGAAGCGUGACCGCCACAGGGGACACUUUAAAAUUUUGCUUCCGCUUAGUGAUUUAUAGUAUUAUUUGUAUUCGAACGUGAGACUGUUUAGAAAAUUUUGAAGUUUUAAAGUAUUCAAAGAUUUGAAACUUUUUAGUUUUAAAUUUUCAUGUGAAUUUUAGUAAUUUAAAACUGGGCCCAAACAAACAAAAUAAAUUUUGUUCUUUUGAGGUUUUAAAUUUUAAUUAACCAAGGUCUUUUGUCAAAAGUUAAUGACCUCGACUUAGGUAAAAAGUUGGGUCGUUACAGAUAAGAAGCGAAAAAGUCUUUGCGUAAGUUAAGAAAUGAAAGUUUUGAGUGUUAGACUAGGAGUUUUGGGUGGUCUUCGCGAGAAGAACCAAGUGUUUCGUGGAGAAGAAGUCUACGAGGAAGCCUUGGAGUUUAAGUUCGUGAUAAGAGUUUUAUGCGAGUAAAAGUUGGUUAGUUCAGGUGGAACGUUUCUUAUAAUAAAAAUAUAAUCAAGCGAUAAGGUUAUUCACGAGAAAUGUUAAGUGGUUGAAUUUAUUCACGGUUUGGGUUAGGCGGGGAGCAAGGUUUGUAAAGAAAAUGUCAAAUCUGAUUUGACAUGGGUUAACAUGUAAGAUUAAGGAUUUGAGCAUGACUAAGUUAGUAUAAGGAUCUAUAAAAUAGGAGAAUUUAGGUAACUAAGGAGGGGAUGACGAGAGUUUUGUUGAAAUGUUAAAGUGUUGUUGGUUUAGCCACGCGAAAAGAUGGUUGUGAGAAGGACUUCUUUAGUGAAGUUUGGUGAGUGCUUUUCAGUCAAAAGAAUUUAUGUUAAGAAACUUUAUUACGAUUUCUCUUUACUGAUUUGAAAGAAGAAUUCAGAUGAGAAUGUUUCAGAAAGAUUUCUACGAAAAGUUAUGUUUUCAAGCAUUAUUUAUAAUAUUAAAGCUUGAUUUGAUGACUAUGAUUUCAAUACUAUGUUUCUUUGAGAUGAUGCUAACUUUUGUGUGCACAUAAAGAGUGAAGGCCACCAUGGAGUGUACGAACUACAUGGUAAUAAGAAGCUGACUUAUGCAUUGAAAUGAGCGUAUAAAGCUUAGCGGUAUAGCAACAAAGACGAAUUUGUAUGUUCUCAGAUGUUGAUACAGUAGUCUAAACGCGAGGUAAUGAGACCAAGCGUAGAGAACGAUUCGGGAUCCUUGACAAAAUGAAAUGAUUUUUUAAGCAUAAAGAAAGGUUUAUUCGAAAUGAAAUAAUUUUUCGGUAUAUUUAAAUGAUUUGAUAUUAUUUUUUACAAAAUGAUUAUGAAAAGGUAUUGUGAAAGGUUUUCAUAAAACCUUAAAGGAUUUAAAAAAAAGUGGACCAUUCAACUUAAUUCCCAUCCACUAUCCUCUUGUCCAACAUGAAACUUUAUCUUAGUAAAACUUCUUGAUCCACUAUUUUACAAAAAUAUUCAAAACAAUACCAUACUACACCAAAUGUGAUAUUUUGGUAACACUUAAAAUGGUCAGAAAUACCAUUUUCCUGACUUUUUUUCAUCGACCAUUAAAGAAAAAGUAUAGAUGAUGUUUCACAAAAACUUCCAAACCAUUGUGUUAGUUAUCGUUUUGGAUGAGGGUUGGGGUAGAGCAUCAAUACUCAAACGUUGUUAAGAAUUAAGACCUAAGACUUGAAAACGAAAUCGCCUGCCUGGUUGACAACAACAACAUCCCACUAGAGUGCACAAUGAUGAUUUAUUGCAUUAAGAAGAAGAUGGCAGUUAACCUUAGCGCCAUAAUCAGAACCUCAAUCCUCCCUUUGAUGAAAGCACCUAAAGGUGUCAUGCCUUUCCCCUCUACCACAUUGAAGCUCUUUGUCUAACACUACAAGAAAUGAGGACUCUCUCGAUGCAUAAAAUCAUUGGGAGAUAUAUAAAAAGCGUCAGAAAAGGCUUUUCUGACGCACUAAUAUACGUCGGAACACAAGUGAGGAAAAAUGUAUCGGGAGAGGAACUCCCGAUGCACAAUGUUGUGCGUUGAGGGUUUCUAGACAUCUUCCGACGUUGUAUGAACGUCGAAGAUGUUGUCAAUAUAGCAUCGAGAGAUGUCUAGGAACCAUGCGUCGGGAGAUCCUUUUUUUUUAAAAAAAAUAACUUCAUUUAAUUCCUAAAUUCAAAUUGAAAAUUUUAAAUUCAAACUCAACUUCAACACUUCAACCUCAACUUCAACACUUCAAUCUCAACUUCAACACUUCAAAUUCAAAUUUCUAAAACCUACAACUAAUUCAAAAUUCUAACAACACUUGAAAUUAAAUUUCAUUACUAAAACUUACAACUAAUUCAAAAUCUAAAUACUAAAACUAAUUUGAAAUCUAAAAUCUAACACCUAAAACAAAUUUGAAAUCUAAAUACUAAAACUAAUUAACUAAAACAAAACAAUAACUAAACUAAACCACUUACCGAUGGCGACGACGACGGACGACAACAGGGACGACAAUGGUGAUGACAAUGCCCUCUUCUUCUCAAUCUUCCUCUCGGUCUCCCUCUCCCUCUCUCAUUUUCUUUCUCUUUAUGUUUCCUUUAUGUAAAGAAUGGAGUUAAAAAAGACAGAGAACUCCUGACGCACGACGAAAACGUCGGGAAUAGCACCCUAUUCAUGACCUGAUUUGUUAAACGUCAGAAAUCCCUAAACAUAUUCCCACGCGAUUAAUGAUACGUCGGGAAUCCCUAAAUCUAUUCUCAACGUUGCUGCCACCACGUAAGAGGAAGGCGUUACAUACAAUUAAUGAUCUGCCCUUCCUCCGACGGUUCCUAAGCUUUUAGCUUUUCUGCAAUCACCCCUUAUGCAUGUUCUCAGGCGAAUCUCAACCAAACCAUAACACUCCAUCAAAAUAAAGAAGAAGAGAGACACCUCAAAACCUUAAAUAAAGUUAAGGGAGAAGAAUGGAAUGACAGAGAAGAAGAAGAGGCUUCUCCGCUGCCACCACUACUCAAGAGGAGAAAUGUCCACGAUGACGCGUCUAACUCGUAUAAAAAGGAAAAAAGUCGAAAGCUAGACGUGGCCAUCGACCCUAAACCUCUUGCAAUCUGACCCCUAACUCUCUCAUUGCCUCCUCCAAAAUCCAAAUCCUUCAAUUCCAGUCCUCAUCCAAAAAUUGAAACUCCCCCUCAUCAAUCUUACCCAAGUCCUCUCGCAUGUCUAUUAUCCUCUCACCAAAUCCCCAUCAUUAUAACAACAUCCUUCACCUCACGACCUGACCGAACAAGCCCUUACCCGAUCAAAAGGGCAUUGUUAGCGAAGAAGAAUUCCUUAGGGUUGAGGAGGAAGACCUGCAUCACAUUCCUCUCCCUCCGCACACUACUAUACGUAAUUCCAAGGAGGAAGACUUACAUCUCGCGUGUAAACACCGAUACCCAAUAAUCCUUAAUUCAUCUAAAGAACUCAAUAGGACAUUAGGGGUUGAUGUUAGGAGAAAGAUGGUUUAAGUUGGAUAGUUUAGUUGAAGUGUUAUGGAAGAUGUGUUAAUAUUUUUAAGAUGAUAAAAGAAAAGUGUCAUCGUAACAAAGAAAGGCCUAAAGGGUGUUCGAAAAUUGGCUAAGUGUUGGCUAGGGCAUGUUGCAUACUCUAGGCGGCCAAAAGUGUCAAGCGAACCUCUAAAGAGACAUGUUGGGUGGCCAAAGGUUGAGAUGUGGUAUGGCCGAAAGGUGUCAAGACAACCUCUAUAAGACAAGGCUAUAUGACCAAGGGUAUGCGCUAGGCAAGGAAGCUAAGCAUCUAGGAAAUGUCAAGAAACUCUAAAGAAGUUAGAACGUGGAUAAGGAAUGUCAUGCAACAAAGAGGUGGGCUAUGUGGACAUAGGUCAUGCGGCCAAUGGGGCAAUUCAACCAAAUGCUAGUCAAGAUGGCAUGGUUUGUUGAAGGCAUUGAGGGAUGUUUGGGAGAUUAGGCGAGAAAAAAAAGUCUUAGGCAUUCUUGGCAGUAAGAAUUUACUAAAGAACCCUCAUAGAAAAAGGGAUAUGCGUCCAAGGAUGAGGUAAGAUGUGCGGUAGAGUACAAGUGGACAACAUACAAGAUACCUAAGUUUUGCCAAAUAAGUGUCUUGCAUGAGUUGGAAAGUGGCAAGUAUGGGCGUAAGAGGUGAGAAAAAAAGGUUCAACCAAAGAGCAUGCAAGGAUCACUAUAUGUACAACUUUGGACGAAUUAUGUUAACAAUCAACUUGUGUUAAUUGGGUAACUCUACUUCGAAAAUCUCCUAAAUUGAGUGUAGUAUCAAGAGAAAGGCUACCAAGAAGAAAGGCAUUGAAGUGAAGAAAGACUCAAAGGUCAUUUUCAAAAAAAAAAAAAAAAAAAACUUGAACAAUGUAGAGUAUUUUGAGCUACAUAACUCAAUACUUGGAAUUUGUUAGUGACACUUUGUGGUAAGCUAGUGAAGACAUUCUAAGUAAGUUUGUAGAAGGAAUCUUAUUGAUUUAAGCUUCAAAGUCGAGUUAAGUUUCUGUAGAAAAAUCAUAUUUCUAGACAAGGCCAUGGGUGGGUUGAUUGCCAGAUGACAAGGUGAGAUGAGCGUGUGUUUUGAGCGAAAGAGGUUAUUUAGGCUUGGGACAUGCAAGAAGCAUGUCCUGGCAUGAUCAAGCAGCCUGAGCCACGCGUCAUUACACACUCUAUUAUGAAAGUUGAGUAUAUUGCUACUUGUGAAGCAGCAAAAGAAGCAGUUUUGGUGAGGAAGUUCUUGCAUAAUUUGGAAGUUGUUCCAAACAUGAACAUGCCCCAUCACUUUAUAUUGUGAUAAUAGUGGGGCAUAUUACUAAUCCAUUUACAAAGACUCUCAUGGCUAAAGUGUUCGAGGGUCUUCUAGAAAGUCUAGAUCUGCGAGUUAUGUACAUUAGGUAAUCUAGGAAAAGUGGCAGAUGUGUAAUGGGUAUGAGGAUGCCCUAGUUUAUUGUAUUUGUAUAUACACAUUUUAUGUAAUACACUUGUACAUUUUACCAUUUUCAAUGUUAGAGGAUUACUUUAUUAUGAACAUCCCAAAGAGACGAGAGUUUUAGUCCAAGUGGGAGUUUGUUGGAAUUUAUGUCCUAAAACUCGUAGAUUGUAAAUAUAAUCCAUUGACCAUUGUUAAUAAAGUGUUAUUAUUGUAAUAAUUGUUAUUGAUUAUAUUAUUAGUUUUGUCUUAAUAACUCAAAUCCAAUAAACUAACAUCCUAAACUGUUUAAUAAGUAUUGAAUAGUAUGUAGAGACAUACAGGGAUCAAUGUUCGAGAUCAGCUUAAAGGGUCUAUAGUAUACGGAUAAGACUGGGUACCUUUAUCCUGGUAACAUUAUGAAUACGACUCACUUUGUAUUUGAUACAAAUACAAUGAUCCAAUGUGUUCAUGUAGUUGACAUGCGAGUGAAGGUAUCCUAUGCAAUGAGAUUGCAAUAGACUAGACUGUGAAAUAGUAACCACGUGUUACUACAUUAACUAGUUAGGUUUCUAUUUCACUAGGAUGACCUAGAUAACUUAGUCUUAAUCUUGAGUGUAUUAUGAACUCAAUGAUCUUGGAUGAAUUUGACUUCAAAUACAAACUUGGAUUCCACAACCUAAACCAAAAUAAAAUAAUAUAUCAUGUUAAGAUGGAUUCACAUAGCAACAUUUUAUCAAAUGGUUGCAAUGUUUCAAAUAAGCAACAAUUAAAAUUCACAUAUCGAUUUGGCAUCUAUAAAUAUACAAACUAAAAAGUACCUAAAUGUCAAUUAUUUACCCAAUAAGGCUAACUAAGUAACCAACGUCUAAUAUGUUUUGCAAUGAAAAAGGUUGCCAUAUUGUUAAUUUGGCCAUAUUGUGAAGGCAACCUCUUAGAUGUGUUUGUGAGAAAGGAAAGAAAUACCAAAAUAAGUAUGGACUAAGAUAGUAUCAAAUAAAGUUAAAGUUGAAUUUUAAAGCUCUAUUUUUUUCAAGAUAGAGAAAUUUCAGCUAAAGAGGAAAACACUAAGGACAACCAAGCAAAAAAGUCUAACAAAUAUCAAAAGAGAACAUGCAGGAAAGAAAGAAUGUAAAUAAGGUUUUAUCCGCACCAAGCAAAAAAGUCUAACAAGUAUCAAAAGCUUCAUAAGUUGUACUAGAAUUCAAAGCUCUAAACUCUAAAGAAUGUAAAUUUCUUUGAAGAAAUUUGUGUAUAAAGGUCACACAGUUGAAAAUUCAAUACCUUUUCAAGAAUGUUGUUGAGAAGAUUAUUGUGAUGAAUCUUUGAAUCCAAAUUAUGGAGACAAGAUAAAUAAAUGAGUUCUGAUUCUAACUGACUGAAUGAGAGUUUAGAAAAUAAGAACAUUGGAGUUGAAUUAUCAGCAUUUAUUUUAAUCAAACUUACGAUAGCAAACCAAAUUAUAGAGAAAGAUCAAAUGCUAGGAUAAAGGAAUAAUCUUACAUUUGGUGAGUUCCCAAAUGUUGUGGUAGUCAGAGAGUUAUUCCACUCGAAUUGUCUUAGACAAGAGGCUUCCAUUCAGCAAGUACUGGUGAGAAUUAAAGUGGAAUGACAAACUUAAAAACACGUAAUCUUUAACAAACUUUUCCGACUUUUUGCAAUUAUUUUUUAACACAAGAUAUCAAAACACACUUAAAAACCAUAACAACCAAUUACCAUAAAACGGUGUCCAAUAACAAUAAUUGGGUCAACCCAAACAUCAUCAAAUUCUUGGGAAAGGUUGUGGACUAGACCUUCACCAUCUUGCCCCUAAAACAAGUUAAAGCUUAAGGAAAGAACACAGUAGAAACAAAAAUCAUAAACUCAUCAGUUAGAUAGUAUUGGUGGUCAAAACCUCAAGGUCUCACUUCUUCCAUUUUAUAUUACCAAAUUUGAAAAUGAUUUUUAAUAUAUGAUCAUUACUUGAAACAUGUUGGUGUACAAGUGUGAAUGAAACUAAAUCAAGUUUGUGUUUUAUGUUAUUGUUUUUGACAGUAUAUUUAUGUGCUAUGCAAUCCAUGAGAGUAUAUUUAUGUGCUAUGCAAUCUAGAAGGGGGAAUGCAACUAUACCCAAUUCAUAAUUGUAUUUGGAACACUAAUGAUUUUAGCACAAAUUCCAUCUUUCCAUUCUCUAAGACAUAUAAACCUUAUCUCCCUGACUCUAUACCUUGGCUAUAGUGCUCUUGCAACAUAUUAAAAUUCUCGUAAAUAAAAAUUCAUACACAAUUUAAAUUAAAUUAAACAUCAAGACCCAUGACGAAGAUGAAUCUCUGUUCAUUUUUCUUUUUAUUAACAAACAAAAGUUUUUAGGUCCACUUCUUUCAACAACCUCCUCAAGGAUCCUUAAUUAUCUCUUUCCAAGUUCAUAACCACUCUAGUCAUGCAAAGAUUAAGGUUCAUGGCCAAUCAACAAUUAAUCUGUGAUUAAGAUAUUAUGAACGUUAUUCACAUAAAAACAUGAAAAGAUAAGAGCAAAUAAUCAGAUGCAUUACAAAGAAUAAUUCAUAAACUUUGUCUACAUCUAUCCCUAGGAUUAAGAGUUUAGCUCCCCAUACUUCACAAUCUAAAACACAAAACUCAAUACAAUACCCAUAACAAAAAUUCAAGGAGAAGAAAAAGAAAACGAAGAAGAAAAGCUAGUGAUUCGUAUUAUUAUAAUACUGUGUAUAACAGUAUGUGUUUUUUAAUAUUCUCUGUUUCCAGCUCCAGUGUACCAAAAUAUUAUCACAAACUCCACAAUCCUUCUCUUUCCAAUCCCUAAACUAACCAAUGAAUCAUAUUUGCACGCUUGGUAGCCUUGUUCAAAAUAUUAUAUAUUACAAUUAUAAUAACUUAUAUCCCCCCUUUUCAAGCCUAAAAUGCAAAACCUUUCUUCCAUUCUCUAAGGCACAUUUCCUCUUCUUUAAUUUUGCAUUCCAAUUUUAAAUAACAAAUUACAAAUUUUAAUCACAAAGGAAAAAAGGAAAAUUAUUACCUUUAGAAAGGGAAGAAAAUGAAUGAGUAACCAUGAAGGAUUUGGAAACGAAUAGAGGUUUAGCGAAAGUGGAAUGCGACAGAAGGACGGUGAACGUGUUUACUCAUUUUCAAACAGAGAAUGUGUUUACACAUUUCGAACGGUGAACAGACAGACGCAAAUCAACGAAGGUGAAGGGAACGCAAAGCAGACGAACGGUGACGGACGAUGAACGCAAAUGAAUUAAGGUGAACGCUGAUGAACGCAAAGGGAAGUCUUUUUCGGCGAUGAACGCAGAUGAAUGCACAAAUGAACGCGAAGGGAAGGUUAGGUGAACGACGCUUUUGAUUUCGGGUGGAGAAGGGACAAAGUCGCGGCGAAUUAGGUUUAAUUAAGAAAAUGGGAAGUGAUCUAAUUGAAACGUUGCGUUUUGUAAAAGAAUAUUCACACAAUAAUUUUUUAGAAAUUUCUUGAUGUUUUUAAAGACUCAAAAACAAAUUAAAAUUUCUUGAAGUUUUUAAAAACAUCAAUGAUUUUUUAGAAUUAUCUUGACGUUUUAAAAACGUCAAGAAUUUUUUAUAAAUUUCUUGAUGUUUUUAAAAAUGUCAAGAACUUUUUAGAAUUAUCUCAACAUUUUAAAAACGUUAAGAAUUUUUUAUAAAUUUCUUGACGUUUUUAAAACGUCGAGGAAAACUAUAUAUUAUUGACGUUUAAAAAACGUCAAGAAUGUUGAAUUCAUAAACAUUCUUGACGUUUUUUAAACGUCAAGAAAAAAUACAUCUUACUUGACGUUUAAUAAACGUCAAGAAAGUUGAAAAUUGGCCUUUCAUAAAAAUUCUUGAGGUUUUUUUAUUUAAAAACGUCAAGAAAGGAAAACUACAACCGUCAAGAGAGCCUAUUUUUGUAGUAGUGAUUUUGGGGACAAGACUGAGUGGGGAGUUGGGAUUAUAAUUAAACAAAAUAGAAUUCACUCAUUUCCUACUUUAGGGUAAGUAGAUGAAUGUUAGCUUAAAUGGUGGCUCCAAAACUUGGACAAAGGGUUCGUACCCUCUCUAUGACAUGAGAGGGGUUUUUGUUUAUUAGUAGGACCAUAAACAAGUUGUUCAUUAGAGGAGCACUGGUUUUUAAGGAUUAGAGGUAACAUAGGGGUAAAGGUAAAUUGAUCCAACUGGUGUUACAAACACUCGUGAAGGACUAACUUACUAUUAUUGGUCUAUAUCCGUGGACACAGACAUAUAUUUUUAGUGAGAAGAGUUCAGUUGUGAGUCUUUAAUGGAGUGUACACACAGCUAACGAAUAUUGAUUAAUGUGGUUAAUGAGUUUAGCCAAUUAAUCUUAGAUCGUUGUAGCUUUUGAUAUGUAGAUCCAUUAGGUCCCUUUCCUAGCUCGUAAAGGGUAAUGAGAUUUAUUUAUAUUGGUUGUAAUUUAAAAUGUUUAAAUUUAACUUGGGAAUUAGUAUAAUGUAUAGUGAUACAUUAUAAUAUAAAGUUUAUCAAACUUUACUAUAUAAAUUUAACUUUGGGGAUGAUUCAAAAUUAAUUUAUGAGAGAUAAAAUAUUUGAAUGAGUUCAAAUAUUAAUUUAAUGUGAAUUGGAUUCAUAUUAAAAUUAUUGAGAGAAACUUAUUUUGAAUAUGAUUCAAAUUUAAUUUAAGUUAAAUAUAAGAUAAAUAAUUUAGUGUUAUUAGUUAAUUGGAGAAUUAAUUAAUAGUUUAGUUUAAUAUUAUUUAAUUAAAUUCGAUUUCAUUAAUUAUUAACUAAUUGAUUAAUGUUUAAUUAAUCAGUAGAUUUGAAAUAUAUCUAUUAAUUUAAUUAUUUUAAAUUAAUAGAAUCUCAUGGUUCUCUUCUACUUCAUUUUCUAUUCCUAGAAGGAAAGAGAGUUAUAAUAUCUAGAAGAAAACAAUUUUCUUAAAAAAAUGAAUUAAUAAAAAAAAAAAAAAUAAGGCUAACGCUAUUGCUCUUUGCAAAAAGAAAAGAGUUUCUGUCAAAUAUCUCUAAACUUUUUCCCAUCCCAAUUGGUUCCACAAACCAAUCUCAUCCAGAGGUACUCUUUGCAAUUUAAGCUCUCUUUGCAAUGGACAAUCUUCAAAGUUUUUUUUAACGAUGUUUCCAAUGCUUUCCUUUCUCUCUCAUGUUUAAUAAAACCAAUUUCUCGUAAAACCUGUAGGGAGGCUACAUCGUAUCGAAUUUCAUACAACUGACGUGUUCAUCGAGUUACAACAAGUGCCGCACAAUUGUCUGUUCUGUGUUUGGAAAGUUGUGAUUGUGACACGCUGCACAUGAGGUUAGAAUGAGACAUGGCAAGGCAAGCCCUACGCGCGCCUGCCAACUUCUGCCACAAUAUUUUGUACGCAAGCUAAUGUCUUUGGGCUGUUUUUGUGGUUUUUGGAAAUUUUAAGCAAAGUUUUGAUAUUUUAGAUCUGAAGGAGAUAGAACAAGUUUAUAAGCCAAGGGUCCAAGCUACUCUCGAUAAGUGACAAAAAUGAGUUUAAAGUUGAUUUCUAAACAUGAAUUUACUAUCAAAUGUUUCAAGCAUGCUUUGAUGUUUGAAUAUUUGAGGAUACUGACUUAUAAUGUAUUUCCAAAGCAUGAAUUUAGAAACAUUUUGGUAAACAUGUUUUUAUUGAUGAAUUUACUAAUGAAAAUUAUAAGCAAUCAUGAUUGUGCUAAGUUUUCAAAAUGUUUAAGCUUGAAAAUAAUAUUAGCAUGUUUUAGUCUAUACCUAAAAUAUUCUAAGAUAUAUAGCAACCCUUCGGGAGAGAUUUUCUUGUGCAUAGAGGUCAUUUGAUUUGGAUAUUCAGUAAAUACCUAGCUUUCCAUCAUUGGUAUUAGAUAAGAGAUGAAGACUUCUAAAGAUGCUUAGUUUCCCAUCUCAAGGGACGAGACCCUGUACGAAUGCCUAGUUUCCAUCUCAUUUGUAGUUAUAACGAGAUAGGGCACAAUUGAUGCCUAGAGUUUCAUCUCGUAAGUAUCAUAUCACGGGAUAGGGCUUCUAUGCCUAGUUUAUUGUUUUUCAUCUCGACGAUUCUAGGUAUAGCAACUGAGAGGGAAGUUUGAGAUAAGUUGUUUGAGUUUGAUUUCAUUUAUGUUAAGAGUUAAUUGUUAAAUACUUGUUAUUUCAAAACGAUGUUUUAUAACACAAUCACUCAUUGGGCUAUUUAGCUCACUCUUUGGAUAAAUAUCCCCAUAUGGAUUACGUUGUUUGGAAAAUUAAACUGUGCUUUAGUACUUCAAGAAAACUUCCCUCCCAUGUCCUCUCACCUCAUGUCUGCCCCAUUUGUGUUGAUAACAUGAAAAAUAUUUAGCACCUUUUAAUUGACUAUGUCUUUGUAUCGAAAUGUUGGUUCCGUCUUCUCCAAACAUUCAAUAUUUGUUGGGAUUUUUUGCUCAAUCAAGGCUUAUUCUUCUUUGUUCUCGACCUGCUACCUAUGAUUUAUGAUUUUGUUUUGGACAUAUUAUUUUAUCAUUUUGUUUGGUUUUAUUUUGUGGCUUUUGUUUGUUUUUUUUUUUUUUUUUUUUUUUUUGAAAAGGAGACAACCUCUUUAUUAAUAUUAAAAUAAUAAUAAUAAUUAGACAAAAGCUCAUAGUACAAGAGAGUUAUACAAGGAACAUGUAACUAAAGAUGCUUUUGUUUUGCUUUUGAUUUUGAUCUUGUGUUGUCGCUUUUUGGAUGUGAUGAGGGCGCUAAGGGGUGACUCAACUAGUUGAGAUGUCCAGGUGCGUCUGUUGAUCCUCCAUCCUAUUGCUCUUUGUAUAAUCCUCAUGACAUUGAACUUUGUCUCUUCAUUUUUCAAUAUUAAUAAUGGUGAGACUCAUAUCCUUUUUUUUAAAAAAAAACAAUAUGGGUUAAUUUAAUAAAAGUGUUGCUAGCAGAGAUUUGGUUGAGCACAACCAACACAUUUCCAUGAUAACAAAAGGGAUUUGCGUGGUGAAAAUAGAUCUAUUAGAUCUCUUGGAGCAAUAAAAAAGAAAUAAGAUCUUUAUGUGAAAGUCGAACUUUUUUUUUAUGGAGCCUUGUGAAGAAAGGCCUUUACUUUUGGGCAACAUUGGAAUUGGGGCAUGGUUGUGCACUUAUUAUCAAAAGUUAUCCCCUAACCAUCAAACUGGUUCACUGUUGCGAAAUGGUGGGUUAGUUUAGGACAUGUCAUUAUUCUCGAACCUUCAGAUAAAUCUCCUUAUCUUAGGGAAUUAAAAGUUGUUCAACACAGGCUUGAAACAUACAUGUAUAGGGCUUCUGUAUUUUCCGAUAAGGAGCCAAUGAUUGAUUAUAUAUUGGUCUGUUUUGCAAAGGGAAAGAUUUCCCUAACACGUAUUGUAAAAAAAUAUGUAGUUGGCUAGUAGUGAAAAGUUAGCAAGGCUAUUCAUGUUUCUCUUGGUGUUCCCUCUCACUCAUCUUGAAGCUUAUUGUGGGCAUUUUGUCAACUUACUGUGGGUUUCUUUUGUAUUUUGUUUUAAUUAAUUACUUCGUACUUAUUUUACAUUUUAGUUUUCAUUAGUGCGCCCUGGAUAGAGGAUUUUGUUUAGCUCGUUGUUAUUGUUGAUAAAAUUAAAAUGCCAACGAUUACAAUUCUUGAGAACGAACUCAUCUGUUUCCAAUUCAGAUGCCCAAAACUUGUUGAAUGGAUCCUAUCUCGUUGAUCGCGACAUCUUGCUGGCAAAAGUAUGCUCCUCCGUAAAUGGACUCCAGGUAUUGUCUCUAAAUCCUUUGUUUUUUAUUAUGUUCCUAUAUGGAUUAAACUAGGUAGGAUUCCAAUGGAGUUAUGGACAGAUGUCAGAUUGACUGUUGUGGCUAGUGUUAUAGGCAAACCUCUAUCUUUAGAUCUAGCUACUAAGGAAAGACGAAGGUUGUCACAUGCUUGAGUAUGUGUUGAAUCAAAUGUGGACUCUCCUAUGCCUGCUGAAUUUACAAUUCACCUUAGGGGAGAGAAUUUUGUUAUGGCUGUGAAUUAUGAGUGGAAGCCUCGAAGGUGUAAUUUGUGCCGGUCUUUUGGGCAUUCUAGUGGUAAGUGUCCUAAGAUUGUGGAAAACAAAGUUCAUCGAGAGGAGGAUGUGAGCAAGGUGGUUUCAAACAAAGAGGAGGAACGGACAAUUAUGUCUUGUUGAUGUGGUGUUAGACUUUAAAUAGUUGGAGGAAAGUAAGACUAAUAGCUCCACCAUUAGGCAUAUUAAGGAAAAGGAGGUAGGUAAUCGAGAUGAAAUUACUCGUUAUUAGAAAGAAAAGAGAGUUGGUUUAUGUUCGAGAGAAGGGUAAACGUGUGGAUGUGAUUAUGCCUAACUCUUUUGGCAGCCUUAUGAAGUUGGGUGAGGGAGACAAGUGGACCUUAUCUAUAGUGGAUGACUCCCCUCCCCCCUUACAAGUGGAUGAUACCACUAUUGUUAUUAAGCGUAUGUUAUUAAUCACCUUAAGAUAAUUUCAAAAUAUAAAUAUAUUUUUAGUAUAAGUCCUCACGUUUGACUCUAGACUCACCAAUCAACCUUAUUUGGAUAUUAAGAAUAUGACAAAAUUAGUGAUAUUAGAUGACUAUCAAACGAUAAUCAUAGGGUUAUCAACUUUUAAAUUUACUACUUUUAAAAUUUAGAAAAUGUAGUGACAUGAGUCAUGUGAUUAUAAAUGUUUUUGUUAUUUUUGCAGGGUUCCAAAGAAAAAAGAAAAAAGUAAGAUGUGAUUGAUAAUAUGUGAAAAAAGGAAAAAAAAUUAAAGAAAUAUAACUCGAUAUAUCUAAUUUGUUUAAAAACGACCCCAUUUGUAAUUUUUCUUUUCAAAAGUCACACAACAUCUUUUUGGAAAGUUUUUUUAGAGAAGCAUGCCAAUACCUUCAUCCUACGUAUAUAGAUGUAUUUAUGAAUAAUUUUUAAAAGUUCAAAACAAUUUUUUUUAACAUUUCAAAGUUUAAGGUUAUUUUUUUACACAAACUACAAAAUUCAAAAGAAUUUUUUUUUUGUAAUUUAACUAAAUACUGUUGUAUGUAUAUGAGAAAGAAAAUGUUUAAGGUGGCGUACUUCGAGAACCAAUUGAUUAUAACCAAGAUGCCUCAAAGUCGUUCACCUUUGGGAUGUGUAAUAAAAUCCAUGGAUUUCGCACAUUCAGGGAAUUUCAAUGUGUUCGACUAACUUUCCAAAGUUACUUUCUCUACUAAAGCCUGAAGCCCCGUAUGCUGCAAGAAUCAGUGUUGCGAAUCGAGGUUGCAACGUUUCAAAUGCAACUGAUCAGUAUACCAUUCAAAAUUUGAAUUUUCAACAUGACGAGUUUGUAACUUUAGUGCCCCUUGGAGAAGAAAAUGAAAUUCAGGGUAUGUGUAAUUCAGGUUCUGUUCCACAAGAUAGUACAAUUUAAAUUAUUCUCCAUAUGUUGCUUAAUUAUCUCAUAACGGUUUAUUUAAACCAGGAUGCAGUGCAUGACAGCAACGGUCCAGUUUCUUUAGCAGAAAUAGAGAACAACACGACAGCUAGUAUUGCAAAAUUAUCCAAUACUCUUGGUAAUUUGGAUGAGACACAUUGUUCUUGCUCUAAACAUAGCGCAAAGAGAGUUUGGGAAGCAUCACUUUCUUCCCUGACGUCAAAGAAAGUAAAAGGAGUCAAUCUGGACCAUUUCCAUUCCCACUCUAACAAAAAUCUUGAUCCUAAAAGUGAUGUAUACGAUACCUGCUCUCAAGGAUGCUCUUUAGCCAAUUCAAAGCAUGAAAUUUUAUCAAGUAUUUAUCCUAAAAAUCCAACCAAUCAGUGUACACAAAAUUUUUGUCAAGAAUUUGGAAGUGUAAAUGUGGCAUCAGAGGACCUCAAUUCUGAAGAGCUAGAGAAGCUUCUGAUUCCUUCCCUCCAUUAUUGAUAAAUAAAAUUGAGGUUAAGGCUUAUCAUAUACAUACCCAGUCACUGAACUUCUCCAUAUUCCUUAAUAGGCAUAUCUUGCUUGGCUUAUUUGGCUGGCUCUACUCAUGUAGGCUUUCAAAAGGCGAAUCUGACAUCCUGCCAAAAAUGAUUAAUCAGUUUCUUUAACUGUUGAACUUUUAGGUUGUAUACUAGCAAGCACCUGAAGUUUAGGGAUUCAAUCUUUAUAUUAUUCUUAAGAGUUAUUCAAUAUCCCUACCUAGAAUAGACAAAUGAAGCUUGAAACUACCCAUAAUAUUAAUGUUGUUGUUUAAUUAUGACAUUUUGUUAUCGGUCUUUCUAACUUACGAAUAUCCAUCUUCUGAUAUGUGUUCACAUGCAUAUUUUAUGGAUGUAGAUUUUAUAGUAUUUCUUUAUUUAUUUUAUAUGGCAUUAGCUGUAUACUUUUUUUAUAAAAUAUUAAUAUAAAUAUUAAACUACCGAUUCACCAAAAAGUUUAAGCUGGUGGUUGAAAGAAAAUUCAAUUAUAGCCUUAAGCUACUUUGGUGGACUAGAAAGUAUAAUCUUAGAAACACUCAAUCUGAUCAAGUUCUCUGAAGCAAGAAUUAAAGUUCGGAAAAAUCUUUGCGGAUUCUGCAACUAUAGAAUUAAAGAGUGAGAACUGAGGAAAUUUUUCCCUUAAUUUUGGGGAUUUUGAACCCAUAGAAGCUCCUGUAAUAAUCCAAUCUGAUCUAUUUCAAAGUGAUUUUUCCAAUCCUAUUGAUUUAUGUAGAAUAAAUUCAGUGAUUUUAGAUGAAGGGCUCCAAAGUGAUGGUCUCCCAGAUACCUGAAUUUUCUCAAACAGAAUGCCCCAUCCAUCUCAAGAAAUCCUUUCGAAGCACUUAGGAAGUUGGGUGAUGAAGAAGAAAACCUUGUUCGACCGGAAAGAGUUUCAGCCCUUGAAUCCUCGCGGAAAAAAUAAUUUUCAGAAGGCAAAAUUCAAAUUUGGGUAUAGUUGGCAUCUCCACGUACUUAGAAGGGGAAAAGACUUCAACAAAAAGAGAGAAAACAGACCUCGAAAGAAGAAAAGGCAGCCAGCCGACAUUUUAUUAUCUCAAAAAACAGCUCACCUAGCCCUCCCCAACCAGAUUGUUUCAAACUUAAUGUAUCUGCAGACAUUUUAAAAGCUGACACACAGAUGGUAGGCCCCAAGAAUUUUAUUAAUCAGAAUUCCAAUGGCUUUUGGUAUUCUGACGAAUUGAGGAAGAAUCAGAGUCCUCUCCUCCAUCAAGGAACUUCACUUGCGGGCCAUCUCCUGUUUUCAGUUCUCAACCAAAAUUACCAGCCUCUCCCAAGACUAAAAUAUCAUCUAAUGAAAGCUAUUCCAUUUCAUGCCAGAAAUUUUUCUAAGCACCUCAAGACCUAUACCAAAGGGAGAACUUCUUUUCGCAACAUUUGGAUGAGCUUGGCUAAUUCUGAUUUAUUAGAGGAAAGUUGUGUGAAGAUACAAAUUCCAAAUUCAGUUGGCAAAAGGUCAGUACUGCCUUCCUCCUUAAGUAAUAAAUUUUCUCAAUCCUCCUCCAAACUUUCUGGUUCAUUCUUUAAUUUUGUGCAAGAUACUUCUUGUCUAAAAAAAGUUGAGAACCUAGAAGAUGAAUUCAUGGAAGUUGAAUCAGUCACCAGUGUAAGUAUCCUUCCCCCAAGAGUUGGUUCCUUUCUUGGCAGCAUGUGAAAUUGAAUUGAUAUAAGGCAGAGGUAGCAAAGAUGGAGAUUAUAUCAUGGAACACUAGAGGAUUCAUGGGCCAUUCGAAACAAUUGGCUAUUAAAAAUAUUUUGAAGAAAGCUAAUCCAGAUAGAGCAUUGAUUCCGGAGACCAAAAGAGAAGAGAUUGCCAGUUGUAUUAUAAAGGCACUAUGGAGUUCAAAAGGAAUUGGCUGGGUCUUUGUUUGAAGCUAGUGGCAAAUUAAGAGUUUUUGAUUAUGUGGAUAAAUAUAAGUUGUCGAUUAUUGAAGUUCGGUCAAGAGAAGGAAGGUCAUUACAGUGUGGCUCAUAAGUUGUUUCAACAUUAAUUUAUAAGUUGUUUGGAAAGGUUCUCGCAGAAAGAUUAAAGAAAGUCAGGCCAGGUAUUACUUUGUAAGACCUCCUAUUAUCUAUACCUAUAAAAGGAAGGGUAGAAAGAGAAAUUCCUUAGCAACCAAUGAUGAGAGAAUAAUGGGAGAGGAUCGUGCAGGUGGGGCCUGCCAGGAGGGAUGAGAGAGAGAGGUAUAAAUAUGUAAUGUUGGGGUAGGGGAGGCUAGGUCUUUUUUGGUUAUUUCAAGGAGAGUAAAGGUGCUGUAGCCUGAGGGUAUCCAGCCCCGUAUAAAGAAGCUGGGUAAGUUUUCUAUGUUGUUCUUCCUUUAUUUUUCAUAUCUACUACUGUUGAAUGUGUUUUGGCUUUUACAUAAAUAAAGAUUUACAGAGUGCUGCCUCUGUUUAGCCAUUUGGUUAGGAUAUUUUGUGUUUUAUUGUUAGAAUCCUAACAUACUUCUCCAUUACAAUGUGGCUUUCUGGAAGAGUGCCAAAUCUUGGAUCCUAUUUUAAUAGCAAAAGAAACUAUGGAGGUCUAUAGUAUCCGAAAAAAGAAAAGAUGGAUCAUUAAAUUAUACCUUGAAAAGGCCUUUAACAGAGUGGAUUGGAAAUUUUAGAAAAUGUAAUGCAAAAGAAGAUCUUCGAUGUAGGAUAUUGUGUUAUAUUGGCCAGCCUUUACAGCAUCCCCAUUUUGAAGUCUUUGAUGAUCAGGACUUUCGGAUCAGCCUCUGCUUCAAACAGUUUUUGCUCAACCAAUCAAGGCUUAUUCUUCUUUGUUCUCAGCAUGCUGCCUUUGAUUAUGAUUUUUCUUUGGAAAGAUUCUUUUUAUCAUUUUGUUUGUCUUUGUUUUUGUGGCUUUUUGUUUUGAUCUUGUGUUGUCGCUUUUUGGAUGUUUUGAGGGCACUAAGGGGGUGUCAACCUAGUUUGAGAUGCCCGGAUGCGCCUGUUGAUCUUCCCUCUCCUCUUUUGCUCUGUGUACAAUCCUCAUGUACAUUGAGCUUUGUGUCUUUCUUUAUAUUAAUAAUAGUGAGACUCGUAUCCUUUUUUAAAAAAAGAAAGAAAAUUCAAUUAUAUAUCACCAACACUCUCCUCACUUGUGGGCUUGAAAUAUUUGAAAGGCCCAACAACUGGAAAUGGAUUUUAAUUGGGGAGGAAACGACAAUGCGAGGCUUGAACACAAGACCUUCUUGGACCACCUGCUCGGAUACCAUAUUGAAAGGGAGACAAACAAACACAAAACUUUACAUGGAAACCUGUGUACCAUAAGAAAAACCACUAUAUUUUUCUUCUUAUUAUUUUCUGAUGAAAAAUACAAUAGGUACAAGGGAGAAUAAAUAGAAUAUACAGAGGAAUAAAAAAGGAAAAUAUUUAGGAAUUAAGAAAAAUAUUCCCAUAAACUUUUCAUAAAUAUUCUAAGAUUCUAACAAUAAAAAGUUCUAUUUAUUCCAAAUUGUGACUGCUCUAAUAUGCAGUUCUUUUCUGAUUCAGAUGAUUGAGGAGCUUGGUGGUUCUCUCACUGCUGAUGGGAGUACAAGCACUCAUGUCAUUACAGGAAAAGUGCGGAAAACUCUAAAUUUUUGUAUUGCUCUCUUUUUAGGGUUAGUCUUGCAACCUUAGACGAACACUCUUCUAUGUGUCCUUUUGGCCUUUGAAUAUCGAUAAUCAUCUCAUUUGCACCAAAGUUAGCAAUUCCAUGCACACAAGGCCUUUGCCGUUAUUUUUCCAUUGCCUCGUAGUUGUGCUUAGGCUGGAAAUUGUUGUGAACCUUCUAAAUCUAAAAGGGCAUAGUUUCUUAUUCUACUGCCUGUUUACUUUUAGUUAAACAUCAAAAUCAAUUCUUAUGUUUGAGUUGGAUUGUAUCAUGCUCUUCCUUUUCAGUUGUUUCUAUCUAUGUGUCCUUAAGGCAUCACCGUUCGGCUUUCGUAGGAAAGAAACUUCGAGAUCAUCUAGAAUCGGACCACCCAGUAGCUAGAUGUGAACUUUCGAGGCCUCCGACCCCGUUCUAAGUCGGGUCGUUUCUUUCUAGGCCAUUGUGCCUCUCUUCGGCGUUUUGAACGGAACCAACAAACCGAGUCUGGGGCAUCACCGUUCGACUUUUGUGGACACAAAACUUAGAGACCACUCAGAAUCGGACCACCCAGUAGCUAGAGGUGAACUUUCGAGGCCAUUAUGCCUUUCUUUCGCCGUUUCGGGACGGAACCAAGAAACCGAGUAUGGGGCAUCACCGUUCGGCUUUUGUGGGUAAGAAACUUCGAGACCACUCAGAAUCGGACCACCCAAUAGCUAGACGUGAACUUUCGAGGCCUCUGACCCCAUUUUAACUCCGGUCAGUCCUUUCUAGGCCAUUGUGCCUCUCUUUCGGUGUUUUGGGACGGAACCAAGAAACCGAGUCUUGGGCAUCACUGUUCGGCUUUUGUGGGUAAGAAACUUUGAGACCACUCAGAAUCGGACCACCCAGUAGCUAGACGUGAACUUUCGGGGCCUCCGACCCCCUUCUGAGUCUGAUCGUUCCUUUCUAGGCCAUUGUGCCUUCUUUCGGCGUUUUGGAACGGAACCGAGAAACCGAGAAUAGGGCAUCACCGUUCGGUUUUUGUGGGCAAAAAACUUAGAGACCACUCAGAAUCGGACCACCCAGUAGCUAGACGUGAACUUUCGGGGCCUCCGACCCUCUUCUGAGUCUGAUCGUUCCUUUCUAGGCCAUUGUGCCUUCUUUCGGCGUUUUGGAACGGAACCGAGAAACCGAGACUAGGGCAUCACCAUUCGGUUUUUGUGGGCAAAAAACUUAGAGACCACUCAGAAUCGGACCACCCAGUAGCUAGAUGUAAACUUUCGGGGCCUCCGACCCCCUUCUAAGUCCGGCUGUUCCUUUCUAGGCCAUUGUGCCUUUCUUUCGGCGUUUUGGGACGGAACCAAGACACCGAGUCUGGGGCAUCACCGUUCGGCUUUUGUUGGCAAGAAACAUCGAGACCACUCAGAAUUGGACCACCCAGUAGCUAGAUGUGAACUUUCUAGGCCUCUGACCCCGUUCUAAGUCUGGUCGUUCCUUUCUAGGCCAUUGGGCCUCUCUUCGGUGUUUUGUGACGGAACCAAGAAACCGAGUCUUGGUCAUCACCGUUCGGCUUUUGUGGGCAAGAAACUUGGGAGGCCACUCAGAAUCGAACCACCGAGUAGCUAGAUGUGAACUUUCGAGGCCUCUGACCCCGUCCUAAGUCCGGUCAUUCCUUUCUAGGCCAUUAGGCCUCUCUUUGGUGUUUUGGGACGGAAUCAAGAAACCGAGUCUGGGGCAUCACAGUUCAGCUUUUGUGGGUAAGAAACUUCGAGACCACUAAGAAUCGGACCACCAAGUAGCUAGACGUGAACUUUCGAGGCCUCUGACCCCGUUUUAACUUCGGUCAGUCCUUUCUAGGCCAUUGUGCCUCUCUUUCGGUGUUUUGGGACGGAACCGAGAAACCGAGAAUAGGGCAUCACCGUUCGGUUUUUGUGGGCAAAAAACUUAGAGACCACUCAGAAUCGGACCACCCAGUAGCUAGACGUGAACUUUCGGGCCUCCGACCCCCUUCUGAGUCUGAUCGUUCCUUUCUAGGCCAUUGUGCCUUCUUUCGGCGUUUUGGAACAGAACCGAGAAACCGAGACUAGGGCAUCACCGUUCGGUUUUUGUGGGCAUAAAACUUAGAGACCACUCAGAAUCGGACCACCCAGUAGCUAGAUGUGAACUUUUGGGGCCUCCGACCCCCUUCUAAGUCCGGCUGUUCCUUUCUAGGCCAUUGUGCCUUUCUUUCGGCGUUUUGGGACGGAACCAAGACACCGAGUCUGGGGCAUCACCGUUCGGCUUUUGUUGGCAAGAAACAUCAAGACCACUCAGAAUUGGACCACCCAGUAGCUAGAUGUGAACUUUCUAGGCCUCUGACCCCGUUCUAAGUCUGGUCGUUCCUUUCUAGGCCAUUGGGCCUCUCUUCGGUGUUUUGUGACGGAACCAAGAAACCGAGUCUUGGUCAUCACCGUUCGGCUUUUGUGGGCAAGAAACUUCAAGGCCACUCAGAAUCGGACCACCGAGUAGCUAGAUGUGAACUUUCGAGGCCUCUGACCCCGUUCUAAGUCCGGUCAUUCCUUUCUAGGCCAUUAGGCCUCUCUUUGGUGUUUUGGGACGGAAUCAAGAAACCGAGUCUGGGGCAUCACCGUUCGGCUUUUGUGGGUAAGAAACUUCGAGACCACUCAGAAUCGAACCACCCCGUAGCUAGACGUGAACUUUCGGGGCCUCCGACCCCGUUCUAAGUCUGGCCGUUCCUUUCUAGGCCAUUGUGCCUUUCUUUUGGCGUUUUGGGACGGAACCAAGACACCGAGUCUGGGGCAUCACCGCUCGGCUUUUGUGGGUAAGAAACUUCGAGACCACUCAGAAUCGGACCACCUAGUCGCUAGACGUGAACUUUAUGGGCCUCCGACCCCUUUCUAAGUCUGACCAUUCCUUUCUAGGCCAUUGUGCCUUUCUUUCGGCGUUUUAGGACGGAACCAAGAAACUGAGUCUGGGGCAUCACCGUUAGGCGUUUGUGGGCAAGAAACUUCAAGAACACUCAGAAUCGGACCACGCAGUAGCUAGACGUGAACUUUUGGGGACUCCGACCUCCUUCUGAGUCCGAUCGUUCCUUUCUAGGCCUAUGUGCCUUCUUUCGGCGUUUUGGGACGGAACCCAGAAACCGAGACUGGGACAUAACUGUUCGACUUUUGUGGGUAAGAAACUUCGAGACAACUUAGAAUCGGACCACCCAGUAGCUAGACGUGAACUUUCGAGGCCUCCGACCUCGUUCUAAGUCCGGUCGUUCCUUUCUAGGCCACUUUGCCUUUCUUUCGGCGUUUUGGGACGGAACCAAGAAACCGAGUCUGGGCAUCACCGUUCGGCUUUUGUGGGCAAGAAACUUCGAGACCACUCAGAAUCGGACCACCCAGUAGCUAGACGUAAACUUUCGAGGCCUCCGACCCCGUUCUAAAUCCGACCGUUCCUUUCUAAGCCAUUGUGCCUUUCUUUCGGCGUUUUGGGACGGAACCAAGAAACUGAGUCUGGGCAUCACCGUUCGUCUUUUGUGGGCAAGAAACUUCGAGACCACUAAGAACCGGACCACCCAGUAGCUAGACGUAAACUUUCGAGGCCUCCGACCCCGUUCUAAGUCCUGCCGUUCCUUUCUAGGCCAUUGUGCCUUUCUUUCGACGUUUUAGGACGGAACCAAGAAACCGAGUCUGGAGCAUCACCGUUCAGAUUUUGUGUGCGAGAAACUUCGAGACCAAUCAGAAUCGGACCACCCAAUAGCUAGACGUGAACUUUCGAGGCCUCCGACCCCGUUCUAAGUCCGACCGUUCCUUUCUAGGCCAUUGUGCCUUUCUUUUGGCGUUUUGGGACGGAACCAAGAAAUCGAGUCUGGGGCAUCAGCGUUCGACUUUUGUGGGCAAGAAACUUCAAGACCACUCAGAAUCGGACCACCUAGUAGCUAGACGUGAAAUUUCGAGGCCUCCGACCCCGUUCUAAGUCCGGUCGUUCCUUUGUAGGCCAUUGUCUACAUUCUUGCCAGCAUGUCUGAUGUAUUGGCAAAGAAACAUGAAUCCUUAGCCACGGCUAAAGAGAUUAUGGAUUCAUUAAGGGGAAUGUUUGGGCAACCAGAAUGGUCAUUAAGACACGAGGCAGUCAAAAAUAUUUACACUAAGCGUAUGAAGGAAGGGACCUCUGUUAGAGAACAUGUUCUGGACGUGAUGAUGCACUUCAACAUCGCUGAAGUGAAUGGUGGUCCCAUCGAAGAGGUUAAUCAAGUUAGUUUUAUCUUAGAGUCUCUUCCAAAGAGCUUCAUUCCAUUCCAAACGAAUGCGUCUUUGAACAAGAUAGAAUUUAACUUGACAACCCUUCUGAAUGAACUCCAGCGAUUCCAAAACCUUACUAUGGGUAAAGGAAAACAAGUGGAAGCAAAUGUUGCUACCACAAAAAGAAAAUUUAUAAGAGGAUCGUCCUCUAAAACCAAAGCUGGACCCUCAAAACCUAAUGCUCAAAUAAAAAAGAAGGGAAAGGGAAAGACUCCCAAACAGAACAAGGGUAAGAAAGGUGCAGAAAAAGGUAAGUGUUACCAUUGUGGCCAAAACGGGCACUGGUUAAGAAACUGCCCAAAAUACCUUGCAGAAAAAAAGGCAGAGAAGGAAACACAAGGUAAAUAUGAUUUACUAGUUGUAGAAACAUGUUUAGUGGAAUAUGAAAAUUGUACCUGGAUACUAGAUUCAGGAGCCACUAACCAUAUUUGCUUCUCAUUUCAGGAAAAUAGUUCUUGGAAAAAGCUUUCAGAAGGCGAGAUCACUCUCAAGGUUGGAACAGGAGAGAUGGUCUCAGCUUCAGCAGUGGGAGAUUUAAAGUUGUUUUUUAGAGAUAGAUAUGUCAUACUUAAGAAUGUCUUAUAUGUACCUCAAAUGAAAAGAAAUUUAAUAUCUAUCUCUUGUAUUUUGGAACAAAUGUAUAGAAUAUCUUUUGAAAUUAAUGAAGCGUUCGUUUUCUAUAAAGGUAUUCUAGUUUGUUCUGCUAUACUUGAAGACAACUUAUAUAAGUUAAGACCAACUAGAGCAAAUUUUGUCUUAAAUACUGAAAUAUUCAGAACAGCUGAAACUCAGAAUAAAAGACAAAAAGUUUCUUCUAAUGCCUAUUUAUGGCACUUAAGACUUGGUCACAUAAAUCUCAAUAGGAUUGGGAGAUUGGUUAAAAGUGGGCUUCUAAGUCCGUUAGAAGAUAACUCUUUACCUCCUUGUGAAUCUUGUCUUGAAGGAAAAAUGACCAAGAGAUCUUUUACUGGAAAAGGUCUAAGAGCCAAAGGACCCUUAGAGCUCGUACAUUCGGACCUUUGUGGACCAAUGAAUGUCAAAGAGGUGGAUAUGAAAUAUUUCAUUAGCUUCAUUGAUGAUUAUUCAAGGUAUGGUCAUAUUUACCUAAUACAUCAUAAGUCUAAUAGUCUUGAAAAGUUCAAAGAAUAUAAGGCUGAAGUAGAAAACGAAUUAGGUAAAACAAUAAAAAUACUUCGAUCAGAUCGAGGUGGAGAGUAUAUGGACUUACGAUUCCGAGACUAUUUAAUAGAAAAUGGAAUCCAGUCACAACUCUCUGCACCUAGUACACCUCAACAGAACGGUGUAUCAGAAAGAAGAAACCGGACCUUGUUAGACAUGGUUCGCUCUAUGAUGUUUUUCUCAGAUGUCAGAUUCUUUUUGGGGAUAUGCUUUAGAAACAGCUGCUUAUAUUUUGAAUAAUGUUCCCUCUAAAAGUGUUUCAGAAACACCUUAUGAGCUAUGGAAAGGGCGUAAAGGCAGUUUACGUCAUUUUAGAAUUUGGGGUUGUCCAGCACACGUGUUGGUACAAAAUCCAAAAAUUGGAACAUCGUUCAAAAUUAUGCUUUUUUAUAGGUUAUCCAAAAGAAUCAAGAGGUGGUUUGUUUUAUGAUCCUCAAGAAAAUAAAAUAUUUGUGUCAACAAAUGCCACAUUCUUAGAGGAAGACCACAUCAGGGAUCAUCAACCUCGUAGUAAACUAGUAUUAAAAGAAAUUUCCAAAAGUGCUAUAGAUAAACCUAGUUCAUCCACUAAGGUAGUUGAUAAGACUAGGAAAUCUGGACAAUCACAUCCUUCUCAACAGUUGAGAGAGCCUCGACGUAGUGGGAGGGUUGUUCAUCAGCCUGAUCGCUAUUUGGGUUUAAUUGAAACUUAAGUCGUCAUACCUGACAAUGGCAUAGAGGAUCCAUUAACCUAUAAACAGGCAAUGAAAGAUGUAGAUCGUAACCAAUGGAUCAAAGCCAUGGACCUCGAAAUGGAGUCUAUGUACUUUAAUUCUGUCUGGACUCUAGUAGAUCAACCAAAUGACGUAAAACCUAUUGGUUGUAAAUGGAUCUACAAGAGAAAACGAGACCAUGCCGGUAAAGUACAGACUUUUAAGGCUCGACUUGUGGCAAAGGGUUAUACCUAGAGAGAGGGAGUAGACUAUGAGGAAACUUUCUCUCCUGUUGCCAUGUUAAAGUCAAUUAGAAUACUCUUAUCCAUCGCCACUUUUUAUGAUUAUGAAAUUUGGCAGAUGGAUGUCAAGACAGCUUUUUUGAAUGGUAAUCUUGAAGAGAGUAUCUAUAUGUCUCAACCAGAGGGGUUUAUAGAACAAGAUCAAGAACAAAAGGUUUGUAAGCUUAAAAAAUCCAUUUAUGGAUUAAAACAAGCUUCUAGAUCCUGGAAUAUAAGAUUUGAUACUGCGAUCAAAUCUUAUGGCUUUGAACAAAAUGUUGACGAGCCUUGUGUUUACAAAAAGGUCGUCAAUUCCAUUAUAGCAUUUUUAGUCUUAUAUGUAGAUGAUAUUCUACUUAUUGGAAAUGACGUAGGAUAUCUUACUAAUAUCAAGAAAUGGCUAGCUAUGCAAUUUCAAAUGAAAGAUCUGGGAGAUGCACAAUACAUUCUCGGAAUCCAAAUUGUUCGAAACCGUAAGAACAAAACACAAGCCAUGUCUCAAGCAUCUUACAUAGACAAAAUGUUGUCUAGAUAUAAAAUGCAGAAUUCCAAAAAGGGUCUGCUGCCGUACAUAUAUGGAAUUCAUUUGUCAAAAGAAAAAUGUCCUAAGACACCUCAAGAAGUUGAGGAUAUGAGAAAUAUUCCCUAUGCUUCAGCUGUUGGAAGUUUAAUGUAUGCAAUGUUAUGUACUAGACCUGACAUUUGCUACUCAGUAGGGAUGGUCAGUAGGUAUCAAUCCAAUCCUGGACGUGAUCACUGGACAGCCGUUAAAAACAUUCUAAAAUAUCUUCGAAGAACAAAAGACUACAUGCUCAUGUAUGGUACAAAGGAUCUGAUCCUUACUGGAUACACUGAUUCAGAUUUCCAAGCUGAUAAAGAUGCUAGAAAGUCUACAUCAGGAUCAGUAUUUACUCUAAAUGGAGGAGCAGUAGUUUGGAGAAGCAUAAAGCAAACUUGUAUAGCUGAUUCCACAAUUGAAGUUGAAUACGUAGCGGCUUGUGAAGCAGCAAAAGAAGCUAUAUGGCUAAGAAAAUUCUUGACAGAUUUGGAAGUCGUUCCAAAUAUGCAUCUACCAAUCACUUUAUACUGUGACAACAGUGGUGCAGUUGCAAAUUCAAGAGAACCUAGAAGUCAUAAAAGAGAAAAGCAUAUUGAACACAAGUACCAUCUUAUCAGGGAAAUUAUACAUCGUGGUGACGUUGUAGUAACCCAGAUUUCUUCUCAGCAAAACAUUGCUGAUCCUUUUACAAAAGCCCUCACGGCUAAAGUGUUUGAGGGUCAACUACACAGUUUAGGUCUACGAUGUUUGUAAACUAGGACAAGUGGGAGACUUAUUGGCCAAGUGCCCUAGUUUCAUAUCUAUUCUCUCACACCACAUCUCUCACACCACUAGGAAUUUUAGUCCAAGUGGGAGUUUGUUGGAAUUUUUUGUCCUAAAACUCGUAGUUUGUAAAUCAUAUUCUGUUCAAUAAAGUUGUUAUUGAGAAAUUAAAUAUUAUAAUCUUAAAUCCAAUAAAUCAAGUUCCAAGGCUAUUUUUGAAUAAACUUGAACUUUAUGUGUAAACAUAAACGUGGAUCAAGUUCGAGUACAUAGCCUAAAUAGUCUAUAGUAUAUGAAAUAAAGGUUGGGCGCCUUAUAUAGAGAAACUAUGGAUGCGACCCACUUUGUAGUACAAACGAGGUGAUCCUAAUCGUUCAUGUAGAGACAUGAAAGUGGGGGCAUCCUAUGUAAAAUGUUUACAUCAGACUGAACCAUGAAUUAGUCUUUUUUACGUUAUAACAUCGUUUACUGUUUAAAACUGACUAUCUCAAUUAUUGAUGACCUAGGUAACUUAGUCUUAAUCCUGAGUUAACUAUGAACUCCUGUUCACACGAGAUUAUCCUUAGAUCUGCAUAGGUGAGGGCAGCUCAUCAUCGUUGGCCCAAUAAGCCUCUCAUUUCAAGGGUAAGAUCGGGUGGAUAGCUGGGAACAUAGGGUACAAGAUGGAAUUCACUCCUACCCGCUUUAGGGUUAGUAGAUAGGUUGUUCUCUUAAGCACUGAAUCCAAGUCUUGAACAAGGGGCCCUACCCUCUCAUUGGCCCGAGAGGGAUUAAGUUUAUAGGUUGAACCUUAAACCAAUUGUUCAAUAGUGGAUUAGCGGGACUUAAGGAGCAAGAUGUAAUCUUGGGGGUAAAACGGUAUUUUGACCCAGCCAAGGUUACGAGCAACCUGUGAAGGAUUAACUUACUGAUUAUGGUUUUAUCAAAUGGACACAAAUAUAUCUAUAGGUCCAUUAGGUUCCUCUGCUAGCUCAUAUGGAUUAAACUUAGAACAGUGUGAUGAAAUAAGUCGAAUUUUUCGAAUUGGGAGAAGAAAGGGAAACCGACAAAUAUAGUGAUAUAGUCGUCGGUCUUCUAAUUAGAAAUAGAGGUUUAUGUUUUACACACUAUAAGUAUGAAUGCGGAUUCAUACUAAGAAGCUCGAAAUUGAUGGAAUUGGUCAAAAAUAGUAAAAAGUCAAAAUGUUGACUUUUGACUUUGAAAAGUCAAACUUUGACCGGCCUUAUAUUCAAAUGUGAUUUGAAUUUUGGAAAAAUGAAUGCGGAUUCAUGCUCGGGAGGUUGGAAUUAGUCAAGAUGGACAAAAUGGUAAAAAGUCAAAAUAUUGACUUUUGACUAAGAAAAGUCAAAGUUUGACUUUUGACUAGAAAUAUCUAAUGACCAUUUUACCCUUGGACUAAGUUAGUGGGAAAAUCCAACAUUUUUUUCGAUAAUCCCACUAACUCUUAGUGGGAUAUGUGGCUAUAUAAGAUAUAGACACCUAGCCCACUAAGUUCCACUAAUUGUUAGUGGAACAUUAGGUGUUGAGAUUUGGCAAAUGAAUUGCAUGCAUUUUUGCAUGUAAUUAGGUUAUAAAUAGAGGUGUUUUCAAAUGUAGAAGGACUUUUGCCUCUUUUAUCAUUUUCAUCAUCUCAGUCAAAGGAAUAAAAGAUACCUUCUAACCCCCUUUUAUCUCCAUUACUUUCUACACCAAAAUUGAGUCUCACAACCCAAGUUCUUUAUUUAGAGGAUAGCGGUUGAGUACUAGUGGUGGUCUCGGUUUGAAUUGGUAAAAAGAUAUCAAACUUUUUGAAAGCUUCAAAGGUAAUAUUUCCUAAACCCUAAUUUGAUUAGUUUAUGGUUACAUGUUAAUUGUGGCAAUUAUGGUAGAAAUUCGAUUCUUUUUCCGCUGUGCAUGACUUAGUUCUAUCAGUCUGGGGCAUCACCGUUCGACUUUUGUGGGCAAGAAACAUCGAGACCACUCAGAAUCGGACCACCCAGUAGCUAGACGUGAACUUUUGAGGCCUCCGACCCUGUUCUAAGUCCGGCCAUUCCUUUCUAGGCCACUAUGUCUUUCUUUCGGCGUUUUGCGACGGAACCAAGAAACCAAGUCUAGGGCAUCACCGUUCGGCUUUUGUGGGCAAGAAACUUCGAGACCGCUCAGAAUCGGACCACCCAGUAGCUAGACGUCAACUUUUGAGGCCUCCGACCUCGUUCUCAGUACGGCCGUUCCUUUCUAGGCCACUGUGCCGUUCUUUCGGCGUUUUGGGACGGAACCAAGAAACCGAGUCUAGGGCAUCACCGUUCGGGUUUUGUCGGCAAGAAACUUCGAGACCGCUCAGAAUCGGACCACCCAGUAGCUAGACGUGAACUUUCGAGACCUCCGACCGCGUUCUAAGUCCGGCCGUUCCUUUCUAAGCCACUACGCCUUUCUUUCGGAGUUUUGGGACGGAACCAAGAAACCGAGUCUUGGGCAUCACCGUUCGGCUUUUUUUGGCAAGAAACUUGGAGACCGCUCAGAAUCGGACCACCUAGUAGCUAGACGUUAACUUUUGAGGCCUCCGACCCCGUUCUAAGUCUGACCGUUCCGUUCUAGGCCACUCUGGCUUUCUUUCGACGUUUUGGGACGAACCAAGAAACUGAGUCUGGGCAUCACCGUUCGGCUUUUUUGGGCAAGAAACUUAGAGACCGCUCAGAAUCGGACCACCCAGUAGCUAGACGUUAACUUUUGAGGCCUCCGACCCCGUUCUAAGUCCGACCGUUCCGUUCUAGGCCACUGUGCCUUUCUUUCGGCGUUUUGGGACGAAACCAAGAAUUCGAGUCUGGGCAUCACCGUUCGGCUUCUGUGGGCAAGAAACUUCGAGACCGCUCAGAAUCGGACCACCCAGUAGCUAGACGUUAACUUUUGAGGCCUCCGACCCCGUUCUAAGUCUGACCGUUCCGUUUUAAGCCACUGUGCCUUUCUUUCGGCGUUUUGGGACGAAACCAAGAAUUCGAGUCUGGGGCAUCACCGUUCGGCUUCUGCAGGCAAGAAACUUCGAGAUCGCUCAGAAUCGGACCACUCAGUAGCUAGACGUGAACUUUCGAGGCCUCCGACCCCGUUCUAAGUCUGGCCGUUCCUUUCUAAGCCACUGUGCCUUUCUUUCGGCAUUUUGGGAUGAAACCAAGAAGUCGAGUCUAGGCAUCACCGUUCGGCUUUUUUGGUCAAGAAAUUUGGAGAUCGCUCAGAAUCGGACAACCCAGUAGCUAGACGUUAACUUUUGAGGCCUCCGACCCCGUUCUAAGUCCGACCGUUCCAUUCUAGGCCACUGUGCCUUUCUUUUGGCGUUUUAGGACGAAACCAAGAAUUCGAGUCUAGGGCAUCACCGUUCGGCUUUUGUGGGCAAGAAACUUUGAGACCACGCAGAAUCGGACCACCCAGUAGCUAGACGUGAACUUUCGAGGCCUCCGACGCCGUUCUAAGUCCGGUCGUUCCUUCCUAGGCCAUUGUGCCUUUCUUUCGGCCUUUUGGGACGAAACCAAGAAACCGAGUCUGGGCAUCCCCGUUCGGCUUUUUUGGGCAAGAAACUCUUAGACGACUCAGAAUCGGACCACCCAGUAGCUAGACGUGAACUUUCGAGGCCGACCGCGCGUUCUAAGUUAGUCCAGUCGUUCCUUUCUAGGCCAUUGUGCCUUUGUUUCGGUUUUGGGACGAAGAAGAAACCGAGUAUGGGGCAUCACCGUAAGGCUUUUGUGGCAAGAAACUCUGAGACGACUCAGAAUCGGAACACCCAGUAGCUAGACGUGAACUUCGAGGCCUCCCGACGCCGUUCUAAGUCUGGGUCGUUCCUUUCUAGGCCAUUGUACCUUUCUUUGGCGUUUUGGAAGGAACCAAGAACCGAGUCUGGGCAUCACCGAGUUCGGCUUUUUGUGGCAAGAAACUUCGAGACCGCUCAGAAUCGGACCACCUAGUAGCUAGACGUGAACUUUCGAGGCCUCCGACCCCGUCUUAUGUUCGGUCGUUCCUUUCUAGGCCAUUGUAUCUUUCUUUCGGCUUUUGGGACGGAACCAAGAAACCGAGUCUGGGGCAUCACCGUUCGGCUUUUCUGGGCAAGAAACUUCGAGACCACUCAGAAUCGGACCACCCAGUAGGUAGACGUAAACUUUCGAAGCCUCCGACCCCGUUCUAAGUCUGGUCGUUCCUUUCUAGGCCAUUGUGCUUUCUUUCGGGGUUUUGGGACGGAACCAAGAAACCGAGUCUGGGCAUCACCGUUCGGCUUUUGUGGGCAAGAAACUUCGAGACGCUCAGAAUCGGACCACCUAGUAGCUAGACGUGAACUUUCGAGGCUCGACCCCGUUCUAAGUUCGGUCGUUCCUUUCUAGGCCAUUGUAUCUUUCUUUCGGCUUUGGGACGGAACCAAGAAACCGAGUCUGGGGCAUCACGUUCGGCUUUUCUGGGCAAGAAACUUCGAGACCACUCAGAAUCGGAACCCAGUAGCUAGACGUAAACUUUCGAAGCCUCCGACCCCGUUCUAAGUCCGGUCGUUCCUUUCUAGGCCAUUGUGCCUUUCUUUCGGGGUUUUGGGACGGAACCAAGAAACCGAGUCUGGGGCAUCACCGUAAGGCUUUUGUGAGCAAGAAACUUCGAGACCACUCAAAAUCAGACCACCCAGUAGCUAGACGUGAACUUUCGAGGCCUCCGACUUCGUUCUAAGUCCGGUCGUUCCUUUCUAGGCCAUUGUGCCUUUCCUUCGGCGUUUUGGACGGAACAAGAAACUGUCUGAGGCAUCACGUUCGGCUUUUGUGGGCAAGAGACUUCGAGACCACUCAGAAUCGGACCACGUAGCUAGACGUGAACUUUCGAGGCCUCCGACCCGUUCUAAGUCCUGUCUUUCCUUUCUAGGCAUUGUGCUUUCUUUCGACGUUUUGGGACGGAACCAAGAGACCGAUUCUGGGCAUCACCGUUCGGCUUUUGUGGGCAAGAAACUUCGAGACCACUCAGAAUCGGACACUAGUAGCUAGACAUGAACUUUCGAGGCUCGACCGUUCUAAGUUCGGUCGUUCCUUUCUAGGCCAUUGUAUCUUUCUUUCGGCUUUUGGGACGGAACCAAGAAACCGAGUAUGGGGCAUCACCGUUCGGCUUUUCUGGGCAAGAAACUUCGAGACCACUCAAAAUCGGACCACCCAGUAGCUAGACGUAAACUUUCAAAGCCUCUGACCCCGUUCUAAGUCCGGUCGUUCCUUUCUAGGCCAUUGUGCCUUUCUUUCGGGGUUUUGGGACGGAACCAAGAAACCGAGUCUAGGGCAUCACCGUAAGGCUUUUGUGGGCAAGAAACUUCGAGACCACUCAAAAUCGGACCACCCAGUAGCUAGACGUGAACUUUCGAGGCCUCCGACUCGUUCUAAGUCCGAUCGUUCCUUUCUAGGCCAUUGUGCCUUUCUUUCGGCGUUUUGGGACGGAACAUGAAAGAGUCUGGGGAUCACCGUUCGGCUUUUGUGGCCAGAAACUUCGAGACCACUCAGAAUCGGACAACCUAGUAGCUAGACGUGAACUUUCGAGGCCUCCGACUUCGUUCUAAGUCCGCUCGUUCCUUUCUAGGCCAUUGUGCCUUUCCUUCGGCGUUUUGGAACGGAACCAAGAAACAGAUUCUGAGGCAUCACCGUUCGGCUUUUGUGGUCAAGAAUCUUCGAGACCACUCAGAAUCGGACCACUCAGUAGCUAGACGUGAACUUUCAAGGCCUUCGACCGAGUUCUAAGUCCGGUCGUUCCAGACCAUUGUGCCUUUCUUUUGGCAUUUUGGGACGAAACCAAGAAACCGAGUCUGGAGCAUCACCGUUCGGCUUUUGUGGGCAAGAAACUUCGAGACCACUCAGAAUCGGACCACCCAGUAGCUAGACGUGAACUUUCAAGGCCUUCGACCCCGUUCUAAGUCCGGUCUUUCCUUUCUCGGCCAUUGUGCCUUUCUUUCGGCGUUUUGGGACGAAACCAAGAAACCGAGUCUGGGGCAUCACCGUUCGGCUUUUGUUGGCAAGGAACUUUGAGACAACUCAGAAUCAGACCACCCAGUAGCCAGACGUGAACUUUCGAGGCCUCCGACCCCGUUCUAUGUCCGGUCGUUCCUUUCUAGGCCAUUGUGCCUUUCUUUCGGCGUUUUGGGACGAAACCAAGAAACCGAGUCUGGGGCAUCACCGUUCGGCUUUUGUUGGCAAGAAACUUCGAGAUCACCCAGUACCUAGACGUAAACUUUCGAGGCCUCCGACCCAAUUCUAAGUCCGGUCCUUCCUUUCUACGCCAUUGUGCUUUUCUUUCGGCGUUUUGGGACGGAACCAAGAAACCGAGUCUGGGGCAUCACCGUUCAGCUUUUGUGGGCAAGAAAAUUCGAGAUCACCCAGUACCUAGACGUGAACUUUCGAGGCCUCCGACCCCAUUCUAAGUCCGGUCGUUCCUUUCUAGGCCAUUGUGCCUUUCUUUCGACGUUUUGGGACGGAACCAAGAAACCGAGUCUGGGUCAUCACCGUUUGGCUUUUGUGGGCAAGAAACUUCGAGAUCACCCAGUACCUAAACGUGAACUUUUGAGGUCUCCGACCCCGUUCUAAGUCCGGUCGUUCCUUUCUAGGCCAUGGUGCCUUUCUUUCGGCGUUUUGGGACGGAACCAAGAAACUGAGUCUGUCGCAUCACCGUUCGGCUUUUGUGGGCAAGAAACUUCUGUUGGAAUUUUUUGUCCUAAAACUCGUAGUUUGUAAAUCAUAUUCUGUUCAAUAAAGUUGUUAUUGAGAAAUUAAAUAUUAUAAUCUUAAAUCCAAUAAAUCAAGUUCCAAGGCUAUUUUUUGAAUAAACUUGAACUUUAUGUGUAAACAUAAACGUGGAUCAAGUUCGAGUAUAUAGCCUAAAUAGUCUAUAGUAUAUGAAAUAAAGGUUGGGCGCCUUAUUUAGAGAAACUAUGAUGCGGCCACUUUGUAGUACAAACGAGGUGAUCCUAAUCGUUCAUGUAGAGACAUGAAAGUGGGGGCAUCCUAUGUAAAAUGUUUACAUAAGUCUGAACCAUGAAUUAGUCUUUUUUACGUUAUAACACCGUUUACUGUUUAAAACUGACUAUCUCAAUUAUUGAUGACCUAGGUAACUUAAUCUUAAUCCUGAGUUAACUAUCAACUCCUGUUCACACGAGAUUAUCCUUAGAUCUGCAUAGGUGAGGGCAGCUUAUCAGCGUUGGCCCAAUAAGCCUCCCAUUUCAGGGGUAAGAUCGGUUGGAUAGCUGGGAAAAUAGGGUACAAGAUGGAAUUCACUCCUACCCGUUUUAGGGUUAGUAGAUAGGUUGUUCUCUUAAGCACUAAAUCCAAGUCUUGAACAAGGGCCCCACCCUCUCAUUGGCCCGAGAGGGGUUAAGUUUAUAGGUUGAACCUUAAACCAAUUGUUCAAUAGAUUAGUGGGACUUAAGGAGCAAGAUGUAAUCUUGGGGGUAAAACGGUAUUUUGACCCAGCCAAGGUUACGAGCAACCUGUGAAGGAUUAACUUACUGAUUAUGGUUUUAUCAAAUGGACACAAAUAUAUCUAUAGUGAGGGAGUGCAACUAUGGGACUUUAGUGGAAUGACCCGUUAGUUAACGAAUGUUGAUUAACUCGUUUAAAAGAGUUCAUCUAGUUAAUCUUGAAUCGUUGGAGCCCAUGAUCUAUAGGUCCAUUAGGUUCUCUGCUAGCUCAUAUGGAUUAAACUUAGAACAGUGUGAUGAAAUAAGUCGAAUUGUUCGAAUUGGGAGAAGAAAGGGAAACGACAAAUAUAGUGAUAUAGUCGUCGAUCUUCUAAUUAGAAAUAGAUUUAUGUUUUACAUACUAUAAGUAUGAAUGCAGAUUCAUACUAAGAAGCUCGGAAUUGAUGGAAUUGGUCAAAAAUAGUAAAAAGUCAAAAUGUUGACUUUUGACUUUGAAAAGUCAAACUUUGACCGGUCUUAUAUUCAAAUGUGAUUUGAAUUUUGGAAAAAUGAAUGCGGAUUCAUGCUCGGGAGGUUGGAAAUAUCUAAUGAGCAUUUUACCCUUGGACUAAGUUAGUGGGAAAAUCCAACAUUUUGUUGGAUAAUCCCACUAACUCUUAGUGGGAUAUGUGGCUAUAUGAGAUAUGGACACCUAGCCACUAAGUUCCACUAAUUGUUAGUGGAACAUUAGGUGUUGAGAUUUGGCAAAUGAAUUGCAUGCAUUUUUGCAUGUAAUUAGGUUAUAAAUAGAGGUGUUUUCAAAUGUUGAAAAGACUUUUUCCUCUUUUUAUCAUUUUCAUCAUCUCAACAAAAGAAAAAAAAACCUUCAAAUCCAUUUUAUCUCCAUUUCUUUCUACACCAAAAUUGGGUCCCACAACCCGGUUCUUUGUCUAGAGGAUAGCAGUUGAGUACUAGUGGUGGUCUCGGUUAGAAUUGGUAAGAAGAUAUCAAACUUUUGAAAGCUUCAAAGGUAAUAUUUCUUAAAACCCUAAUUUGAUUAGUUUAUGGUUACAUGUUAAUUGUGGCAAUUAGGGUAGAAAUUCGAUUCUUUUUCCGCUGUGCAUGACUUAGUUCUAUCAUGUGGUAUCAGAGCAUGCUUCAUUUUUACCCAAUUGCAGGUGGUGGGUUCAUAUUCAUAUUUAUUAGAUAAAUUUUGGUUUGAACUAAAAUGGAUAUAUUAUGAUUUUGGCUCUAGAUUAAGUGUUUUUGUUCUAAUUAUUGUAAUUAGCCUUGUUAAUGGCUUAUUUUUAUUGUUGCAAAGUGUUUGUAAUUUUUUUAAAAUAAAAAAAGUCAUUAGAGUUGAAGUUAGGCUGUAACUUGUUCAACCGGGUGAGAGAAUUGAAAAAAAUGAAGAAAAGAAGGUCACAGACCCGAAAACCCGGCCUUGACCCGCUUCGCGACCGCCUGCGCCGACGACUGUGUGCGCCUGGGCUUGUUUAGUUAAUUGGGCCGGUUCAAGCAAUAAAUUUGGUUUUUGGGCCGGUUCAAGCUGUUUCGGUUGGUUUUUCAGUCGGUUCGAAGUUUUUGGGAGUGGUUCUGUACUACACAAAUUAAUUAUGUAAUAAUUUAAUACUUAGCUUAAUUUAGGAGCCAAAAAUUAGUCAUUUUAGGGUGUUUUUUUUAUUUAUGCAUGUGAUGUAUGAUUAAAUUACUUUAAAUUUGUAUGUGCAUUUUGAAUGUCAUAUAGAUUUAAAAUCCCACCAUAGGUUAACAUGUUCAUGCAUUAAAAUGUAUGAUAUAAAGGUUAUAUUGUAUUGUAUGCAUGUUAAUUGAUUAAUAUGGAAUUAAUUAAUAUGAUUAAUUAAUUAAGUUAUUAUUGAUUAAAUAUGAUUUAAUCAAAUUAAUUAAUUAUUGUUUGAUUUAAUUUAAUUAAAUUAAAAAUUAAAUAUGAUUUAAUUAAAUUAAAAAUUAAAUAUGAUUUAAUUAAAUUAAAAAUUAAAUAUGAUUUAAUUAAAGUUAAAUAAAUUAAAAUCCAUAUUAAUUGAUUGUUUUUAUAAGGUUAUAUAUUGAUAAAAUGAUUGAUUAAGUCUAAAAGUUUUUAUAAGUGUUAUAAAAUAAAUUAGACUUUUAAAAUCAAUAACAAAGAUUAAAUGCAUGCUCACUUAGGUUAAACAUAUCUUCCAUUUUUCAUAGAAAUAGGUCGAUAUUUGUAAAACUGGUUACAAAGGCUCACCUGGUUCAAUCUUGUCAACAAGUCAGAUAAGAUGACUAAGGCUGGAGGUUCUUAAGUUGACGGUUUACGGAACACCUCCUACCUGGAGAUCGUAAUCAGUUCUUGAGCCUAGUUAACCUAGUUUUAUGAGCAUUUGUGAGAGGUGUGAGGUAAUAAAAAUGAUUUAUCACCUAGACAUCAUAGGUUAAAAUCCUGUAUCCAAUCACAUCCUUCUUAACAGUUGAGAGAGCCUUGACGUAGUGGGAGGGUUGUUCAUCAGUCGAGGCUCUCUCAACUGUUAAGAAGGAUGUGAUUGACCAGAUUUCCUAGUCUUAUCAACUACUUUAGUGGAUGAACUAGGUUUAUCUAUAGCACUUUUGGAAAUUUCAUUUAAUACUAGUUUACUACGAGGUUGAUGAUUCCUGAUGUGGUCUUCCUCUAAGAAUGUGGCAUUUGUUGACACAAUUAUUUUAUUUUCUUGAGGUUCAUAAAACAAACCACCUCUUGAUUCUUUUGGAUAACCUAUGAAAAAGCAUAAUUUUGAACGAUGUUCCAAUUUCUUAGGAUUUUGCACCAACACGUGUGUUGGACAACCCCAAAUUCUAAAUUGACGUAAACUUCCUUUACGCCAUUUCCAUAGCUCAUAAGGUGUUUCUGAAACACUUUUAGAGGGAACAUUAUUCAAAAUAUAAAUAGCUAUUUCUAAAGCAUAACCCCAAAAAGAAUCUGGCAUCUGAGCAAAACUCAUCAUAGAGCGAACCAUGUCUAAGAAGGUUCGGUUUCUUCUUUCUGAUACACCGUUCUGUUGCAGUGCACUAGGUGUAGAGAGUUGUGACUGGAUUCCAUUUUCUAUCAAAUAGUCUUGGAAUCGUAAGUCCAUAUACUCUCCACCUUGAUUUGAUCGAAGUAUUUUUAUUGUUUUACCUAAUUCCUUUUCUACUACAGCCUUAUAUUCUUUGAACUUUUCAAGACUAUUAGACUUAUGAUGUAUUAGGUAAAUAUGACCAUACUUGAAUAAUCAUCAAUGAAGCUGAUGAAAUAUUCAUAUCACUCGAGCUUUGAUAUUCACUGGUCCACAAAGGUCCGAAUGUACGAGCUCUAAGAGUCCUUUGGCUCUAGACCUUUUCCAGUAAAAGAUCUCUUGGUCAUUUUUCCUUCAAGACAAGAUUCACAAGGAGGUAAAGAGUUAUCUUCUAACCGACUUAGAAGCCACUUUUAACCAAUCUUCCAAUCCUAUUGAGAUUUAUGUGACCAAGUCUUAAGUACCAUAAAUAGGCAUUAGAAGAAAUUUUUUGUCUUUUAUUCUGAGUUUCAGCUGUUUUGAAUAUUUCAGUAUUUAAGACAAAAUUUGCUCUGGUUGGUCUUAACUUAUAUAAGUUGUCUUCAAGUAUGGCAGUACAAACUAGAAUACCUUUAUAGAAAACGAAUGCUUCAUUAAUUUCAAAAGAUAUUCUAUACAUUUGUUCCAAAAUACAAGAGAUAGAUAUUAAAUUUCUUCUCAUUUGAGGUACAUAUAAGACAUUCUUAAGUAUGACAUAUCUAUCUUUAAAAAACAACUUUAAAUCUCCCACUGCUCUAGCUGAGACCAUCUCUCCUGUUCCAACCUUGAGAGUGAUCUCGCCUUCUGAAAGCUUUUUCCAAGAACUAUUUUCCUGAAAUGAGAAGCAAAUAUGGUUAGUGGCUCAUGAAUCUAGUAUCCAGGUACAAUUUUCAUAUUCCACUAAACAUGUUUCUACAACUAGUAAAUCAUAUUUACCUUGUGUUUCCUUCUCUGCCUUUUUUUUCUGCAAGGUAUUUUGGGCAGUUUCUUAACCAGUGCCCGUUUUGGCCACAAUGGUAACACUUAUCUUUUUCUGCACCUUUCUUACCCUUGUUCUGUUUGAGAGUCUUUCCCUUGUAAAUUUUCUUUUUAUUGUAGCAACAUUUGCUUCCACUUGUUUUCCUUUACCCACAGUAAGGUUUUGGAAUCGCUGGAGUUCAUUCAGAAGGGUUGUCAGGUUAAAUUCUAUCUUGUUUAAAGACGAAUUCGUUUGGAAUGGAAUGAAGCUCUUCGGAAGAGACUCUAAGAUAAAGCUAACUUGAUUAACCUCUUCGAUGGGACCACCAUUUACUUCAACGAUGUUGAAGUGCAUCAUCAUGUCCAGAACAUGUUCUCUAACAGAGGUUCUUCCUUCAUACGCUUAGUGUAAAUGUAUUUGACUGUCUCGUGUCUUAAGGACCAUUCUGGUUGCCCAAACAUUCCCCUUAAUGAAUCCAUAAUCUCUUUAGCCGUGGCUAAGGAUUCAUGUUUCUUUGCCAAUACAUCAGACAUGCUGGCAAGAAUGUAGACAGGGGCUUUUUCAUUAGCUUUUAUCCAUCGAUCAUAUGCAUCCCGACUAGUUCGGUUAGCAUUAGAGGCAGGGUUUUGAGGACAUUCCUCAGUUAAGACAAAUCUUAAAUCGUCAACCAUUAGUAUUGUGUUAAGAUUUGAUUUCCAAGCCGCAUAAUUAUCGCCAUUAAGUUUUUCGGAAGCUAAAAGUUGAACUAUUGAGCUAUUUAUGCUGAAAAACAAACAUAUUCUUUUUAGGAAAAAACUAUAAUCAUAAAAAUAUCCAAUCUAAUUUAGCAAUUUACUAAUAAUGUACCCUUUCAUUAUUUGUAUUUUGCAACAAUAUUUCAAAGGUUUAGAACAACCUUCUCCGAAGGGUAGUUGGUUAUUCCUCCUUUGAACCAAGACAAUCUUGACUAGAUACUAUCUCUAGAAUAAUUGCUUAUUCUUUAUAGCACUUAGUUAUCGCUACUUUAGUCGAGAAUAUACUAACAACUUAGUAAUUCUUGUAAGUGUUACCUACCAUUUUCAGAUUUCAUAGAUUAGAAUCAUUUAUGAAAACUAAUCUAAGAAAACCUAUCCAGAUUUGGAGUUCGCGGUGUUUCGAAUCCUAUAAUACAACCCUCCGAAAGGAACGUCGCUCCAAGGCAGACAAGUAGGCAUAUUAUAGAAAUCUCACGGUGCGACCUAAUGGAAGAGACCGUGGGAUGUGCUGCCACAUAUCCCUCACCCACUUACUAUGAACUACUUCCCCUAUUCACCUUGAUUUUGAUCCAUGCAAACACUCUCCGAAGGGAGUCCGCUCCUAUGCACGGCACAAAGCCCUGCAUGGACCUCACGGUGUGAAUCUUAGGACACUAGAGCUAAAAUACAUUAUUUUUCUCUAGCUGAAGUGUUCUAUUUUAAUCAAGAAUAACUUAAUUAUUAAACAAUUAAUUAAUCAUAUUAAUUAAUUUCCAUAUUAAUCAAUUAACAUGCAUACAAUACAAUAUAACCAUUAUAUCAUACUUUUAAUGCAUGAAUAUGUUAACCUAUGGUGGGAUUUUAAAUCUAUAUGACAUUCAAAAUGCACAUACAAAUUUAAAGUAAUUAAAUCAUACAUCACAUGCAUAAAUUAAUAAAAAAAAACACCCUAAAAUAGACUGAUUUUUGGCUCCUAAAUUAAGCUAAGUACUAAAUUAUUAUAUAAUUAAUUUGGUGUAGUAUAGAACUACUCCCAAAAACUUCGAACCGGCUGAAAAACCAACAAAAACAGCUUGAACCGGCCCAAAAAAAAUUUAUUGGGCUUGAACAGGCCCAAUUAACCAAACAGGCCCAGGCGCACACGGGUCGGGCGCAUGGACGCAAGCGGGUGUGCGGGCGCAGGCGAGCGCAAGAAGGCGCGGCGGGCGCAGGAGGCCGUGCGGGCGCAGACGAACGCGCGGGUUGCUGGCGGGUCGAAGUCGGGUUUUCGGUCUGUGACCUUCUUUACCUUUUUUUUUAAUUCUCUCACCCGGUUGAACCAAUUACAGCCUAACUUCAACUCUAAUGACUUUUUUUAAAAAAAAAUUACAAACACUUUGCAAUAAUAAAAAUAAGCCAUUAACGAGGCUAAUUACAAUAAUUAGAACAAAAAACACUUAAUCUAUAGCCAAAAUCAUAAUAUAUCCAUUUUAGUUCAAACCAAAAUUUAUCUAAUAAAUAUGAAACCACAUGCAAUUGGGUAAAAAUGAAGCAUGCUCUGAUACCACAUGAUAGAACUAAGUCAUGCACAGCGGAAAAAGAAUCGAAUUUCUACCCUAAUUGCCACAAUUAACAUGUAACCAUAAACUAAUCAAAUUAGGGUUUUAGGAAAUAUUACCUUUGAAGCUUUCAAAAAGUUUGAUAUCUUCUUACCAAUUCAAACCGAGACCACCACUAGUACUCAACUGCUAUCCUCUAAAAAAGAAUCGGGUUGUGGGACCCAAUUUUGUGUAGAAAGUAAUGGAGAUAAAAGGGGGUUAGAAGGUUUCUUUUUUUUUUUGGUUGAGAUGAUGAAAAUGAUAAAAGAGGCAAAAGUCCUUCAACAUUUGAAAACACCUCUAUUUAUAACCUAAUUACAUGCAUUUUUGCAUGUAAUUCAUUUGUCAAAUCUCAACACCUAAUGUUCCACUAACAAUUAGUGGAACUUAGUGGGCUAGGUGUCUAUAUCUCAUAUAGCCACAUAUCCCACUAAGAUUUAGUGGGAUUAUCCAACAAAAUGUUGGAUUUUCCCACUAACUUAGUCCAAGGGUAAAAUGGUCAUUAGAUAUUUCUAGUCAAAAGUCAAACUUUGACUUUUCUAAGUCAAAAGUCAAUAUUUUGACUUUUUACCAUUUUGUCCAUCUUGACUAAUUCCAACCUCCCGAGCAUGAAUCCACAUUCAUUUUUCCAAAAUUCAAAUCACAUUUGAAUAUAAGGUCGGUCAAAGUUUGACUUUUCAAAGUCAAAAGUCAACAUUUUGACUUUUUACAAUUUUUGACCAAUUCCAUCAAUUCCGAGCUUCUUAGUAUGAAUCCGCAUUCAUACUUAUAGUAUGAAAAACAUGAAGCUCCUUUUCUAAUUAGAAGACCGACGACUAUAUCAAUACUUGUCGGUUUCUCUUUCUUCUCCCAAUUCGAACAAUUCGACUUAUUUCAUCACACAGUUCUAAGUUUAAUCCAUAUGAGCUAGUAGAGGAAACCUAAUGGACCUAUAGAUCAUGGGCUCCAACGAUUCAAGAUUAACUAGCUAAACUCUUUUAGACAGAGUUAAUCAACAUUCGUUAACUAACGGGUCAUUCCACUAAAGUCCCGUAGUUGCACUCCCUCACUAUAGAUAUAUUUGUGUCCAUUUGAUAAAACCAUAAUCGGUAAGUUAAUCCUUCACAGAUUGCUCGUAACCUUGGCUGGGUUAAAAUACCGUUUUACCCCAAGAUUACAUCUUGCUCCUUAAGUCCCACUAAUCCACUAUUGAACAAUUGGUUUAAGGUUCAACCUAUAAACUUAAUUUCUCUCGGCCAAUGAGAGGGUGGGGCCCCUUGUUCAAGACUUGGAUUCAGUGCUUAAGAGAACAACCUAUCUACUAACCCUAAAGCGGGUAGGAGUGAAUUUCAUCUUGUACCCUAUGUUCCCAGCUAUCCACUCGAUCUUACCCUUGAAAUGGGAGGCUUAUUGGGCCAACGCUGAUGAGCUGCCCUCACCUAUGCAGAUCUAAGGAUAAUCUCGUGUGAACAGGAGUUCAUAGUUAACUCAGGAUUAAGGCUAAGUUACCUAGGUCAUCAAUAAUUGAGAUAGUCAGUUUUAAACAGUAAACGGUGUUAUAACGUAAAAAAGACUAAUUCAUGGUUCAGUCUUAUGUAAACACUUUACAUAGGAUGCCCCCACUUUCAUGUCUCUACAUGAACGAUUAGGAUCACCUCGUUUGUACUACAAAGUGGGCCGCAUCCAUAGUUUCUCUAAAUAAGGCGCCCAACCUUUAUUUCAUAUACUAUAGACUAUUUAGGCUAUAUACUCGAACUUGAUCCACGUUUAUGUUUACACAUAAAGUUCAAGUUUAUUCAAAAAUAGCCUUGGAACUUGAUUUAUUGGAUUUAAGAUUAUAAUAUUUAAUUUCUCAAUAACAACUUUAUUGAAGAGAAUAUGAUUACAAACUACGAGUUUUAGGCAACAAAUUCCAACAACAAGCACGUAUACGAAUUCUAGACAUGGGUCAAUAAAUCAUAGACAUGGUGACGUGUCAUUUUUUUCUAAAAAAUAUAGGAUAGUGCUAGAACACAGUUUUAAUAUAUAUAAUUUAAAAAGUAUGUAUCAUAUUUAUAUAGAAAUUCAAAGUCAAUAAGUUUAUGUAUUUAUAUGCUUAAAAAUAAGCUUGUCCUUCACUCAAAACUUAUUCAAAGCCAAGAGUUUAAUAUGUGUGUGUGACCAAUCUUGACCUUUAUUGCAUUGGAAUACUUGUUGUCUAACACAUCUACUGUACUAACUAGUGUUCAACACGUGUUCUCCGAGUGUUCCAUACAUAUUGUUUAUUGAUACACUAGCCAAACUUGAGUGUAUGUGCUUCUUAAGUCUCUAAUAUUUAUGUUUGUUUUGAUCCUAGGAAUUGAGCAUGUAAUGUAAAAAGUCUAUGCACGGGGUCAUAUGGCCAUCUCCGUGUUUCUUUAAUUAUCAAAUUUGUUCAAGUUUUUAAUUGUCUCUAGAUCGAAAUCUGGAGUUAUUUUUUGUGAUUUGGUGUACAAAUACAUACAUCCAUGUUUCUAAUUAUGAUUAGAUUGUUUUCUGGUCGCAACAUUUUAUUGUUUCUAAUUAUGAUAGGGUGAAUUCUUGCAAUUUCCUUGUAGUAUAUACAUAAUUUUUUCUCUCAUUUGGCAAAUUCAUUAUGCUUGAAAAUUUAGGUGAUUCAUGAGCUAGAUAAAGUAAACAACGUAUGGUAGACGAUCUUUGUGGCUUGUGAGGAAGACGUGGAGGAAGCCUUGGUGGCCGUAGAAAAAGGGAUAUGGACUUUCAACGUUGAAUGGCUAAUGGCAUGUAUAAUGAGACAAGAAGUAGACUUGGAGGCCCUUCAAUUUGCUGAGUCCCUAUGAGAAACAAGGUCACCCUAACUUUCAGUUUUGAACAAGCAACAGCCAGCCAUUUCGUCCUUGUGUAUCCACUCUUUUCUCAACUCACUCUAAUUUGGUACAUAAACAAACUCUGAUCGCUCCAUCUCUAUAUUCAUCAGUACAUAAAAGACGAUAAGUUUAUUCAUGGAGAAAGUUGGAUGUAAGUAUGUUUUAGGAAUGGUCCUUCAUUUAGUAACUUUGGGAAUUGUAAAAAUGAGGUUAUGAAGUUUUAUCAAGUUGAAUGUUCUUGUUUAUGUUAGAUGAGACUGAUUCUUGGAUACCAGAAUUAACUUAAAGUACGUGUUUGAGUUCCAUUGGAGUGAUUAGAGAAAAAAUGUUCCUUUAAAAAGGGUAAUUUUUUUAUGUAGACUUUCUUUUUAUUAAAAUUGCUUAAAAUACAAUUUGAGAGUAUUUCAAUAGCUUUUAAAGAGUUGUCAAACACUUGUAGUUUUUCUAAAAUAACAUAUUUUCAAAAUUAAUUACUGUAAUAGUUAAACAAAAGAUUCUUUCCCUUAGAACUUUUAAAGUUUGUUUAGUUACCCCUUAAACCUUUCAAUUGUUUAAUAGGUCUUUCAAUUUUAUGUUUUAAGUGUCUAUAAGUUUUGAUUUUUUUUAUUUGUUAGAUAUAAAUCUGAAGAAAUGAAUAAAGUAGAUUUGUAAGUUUAAAAUAGUUUAAAAGUUGAGAAAUUAAAUUUGUAGUUUAAAAAGUUGGAGUAAAUAGUUUGUGUUAAGUCGGGUUGUGAUAUUUUAUUUAUUUAUUUUAAUAAUAGAAGAGAGGGAGACGAAAACUGCAAACUGAAGGGAGAAGAAGCGGUGGCUGACUUUGUAUAUUUCUCCUUUCUUUUCAAAUUGAGAAAAUUUCUUUGCAAUUCACUUUGAAAGGAAAUGAAUAUUUCUCCCUCAGACUUAUCUCUCUCUCUUCUUUUCAAUUUAUUUUCAAUUUUUCUGUGUGCUUCUCACAGUGUAUGCAUAAUCUCUCUUUCAUUUUGAUCUUCAUCUCCAUUUCAAAUAUCUCCCACACAAAGAACAAAGAAAUGAGUAAAGUAACUGAGAGAGCAUUUUGUUUUUCCCUUCAUAUGGUUGGUUACUUUUUGUCAAUUAAAUGAAAAGUGAAGAAUAAGAUAAGAUUUUCUUUACCCAUUUGCCAUCAUCAUCAAAGCUAUUUACCUCAUUUUUGUUCACACACACAACUUCAUUUUGUUGGAUUACACUCAUUUGAGAAAAUAGCAAAAUUUUAUUAGAAGAAUAGCAAACAUGAGCAUUUCACGUGUUUUGAAUUUUCAUUAACCCUAAAAUCUCCUCGCCUGCUUUUUAGUUAAACUGUAACUAAUUUUGAAAUAUGCAAAAUUUUAGCAUAAAUAUUGAUUUUCUCCUACAUUAUCUUAACACACUUUUUUUUUCUCCAAAUAUUGGAUUUGUAUCAAAUCUUUAUUUUCAAAUUUUACUUUAUCCAAAUUUUCAUUUUUCAAAAUUUCAUCGUUAUUCUACUUUUAUUUUUGUAUUUCAUAUAUAUAUAUUUAUAAUAUUUAAUCUUAUUUUUUCUCUUUUCCUAUUCAUCUUCUUCCUUUCUCAUCCUCUUCAACCUACGGCCACACCACCAUCUCUUUUCUUCCUUCUCUUUUCCUUCUCCAAUCAACUUCACCACCGUCUUCCACCUACACCGAACGUCAAGCAAAUUUUGUCCUAUCGUCGCAUCACCGUUAGCCCGAGUCACUCCGGUUCUGUCACGCCAUGUAUGUUUAGAUCUGAAUUGUUCGGUUAUUUGUUGCACCGAUCCGUCUCCGUUAGAAUUUGAUUCUCCACAAUUUGGGUAAGUUAUGGAAUUUACAUAUAGAGUGAAUUGAAUGGAUUAAAUUGUUUGUGGAAGUGAUUGAUUUCUCUUCAAUUAUGUUUAGGUCGGUUCGUUGCACUUUAGUUUGAAAAAGAAGCUUAAGUAAGGUGAUAAGGUAAGGGAUUCUCUACUACUGGACUCACCUAUAGUUUUGAAUUGUGCUGUCUGUAUAGUUACCUCCGAUUGAGUAAAGAUGUCGAAACGAUAUAUACACGUAUGGAUGUAGACUUGGUGUUGAAUGUAUACUGUGAAUGACUGAAAAAAUAUAUAUACAUGGAUUGAUGUAGACUUGAUGUUGAAUGCAUAUUGUGAUUGUCUGGGAAUAUAUAUAUAUAUAUGUAUGGAUGUAGACAGGACGACAAUUGUAGAUUGUGUUUGUAUGGAAUGUGGAUGUGAACUUGUGAUUGUCGUUUAGAUUGGGUGUAUGUUAUACUAAAGUAUGGUUGUGUACUGGUGAAUUGAGGGGUGUUAUGACUAUAUAGUUUGAUUGACUGAUGUAUUGAUAUGUUACUGGCGGACAUUGGGCUAAAGUGAGAUAGGUUGACUAUUAGGGUGUUAAGUGAAAGGAUUAUAUGUUGAAGUAGCUGGACUGUACUAUGAAUGAGUGUUAAGAUGUUUAGAAUGGAUUGAGGGGAAAAUUGUUAGAUUUCUAUUGGGUAGUUACCUUGCAGGUGUCCUACGGGAUCACCACCUGAUAUGUGCAUCCUUCGAUAGCACUAGACUGAUAUGUGCAUCCUUCGGGAGCAUUAGACUGAUAUGUGUUUCUGCGGAACACUAGACUGAUUUAUGCGUCCUUUGAGGCGUUAGACUGAUUAUGUGUAUCCUACGGGAUCACAAGAUUGUGACUGUGCAGGGUACCCAAUAGGAAGUUAACAGUUACUUUUUCCCCUAACGGGACCAAUAGCGAGUCUCUUAUUGGGUAUGUUUAUACCCAUCCUUUCAUGUUUAACUAUUUCAGGCAAAGGUAACAAAGGAGGUAGACCGACGAGGGACAAAAAGGAGACGUGAUUGCCAUAAGGGAAUGUCCUUCAAAUGCUUCCGCUUUAUGUUUCUUGUUUUUCCUUUGUACAUGAGGUUGUUUAAAAAUUUUGUGAUGGAACUGAGUUUACGAACUGUUGUUUUGUAAAUAGUACUUUUAAAGUUUUGGUUAUUUGAAAUAGGACCCGAACUUAAGUUUGUUUUCUUUGAUCGUAUGAUUUCAAGUGAAUUUUACUAUAUUUGUGUCAAUCAAGGUCUCUUUGUCAAAAUUAAUGACUUCAACUUAGUUAGAAAAGUUGGGUCGUUACAACAAAUUUUAAGUAUUAAUGUAAGAAUUAUGUACUUCAUUAUAAAGAUCGAUAGUUUAAAGUUUUUGACGAUAGUUUACAUGGAAUUACACGAUCAGUUACCACUAUCAAUAGAAUCACUUACAAAUAUUAACACGAUCGUGUACCGAUAACAAGACGAUUGUUUACACUAUUCAAUACGAUCACCAAUAUCAUAUGAUCGUGUACCCAUGUCAACACGAUAAUUUAUUUUAAUCAAUAUUAUCAUUUACCGUUGUUAAAUGGUCGUUUAUCACGGUUAAUAGGAUCGUUUAAUGUAUAUUAUUUCAUUGCACGAUCGUUUACUUAUUCUUGCAUUGUGUUUAUUAUUAUCAUUUUGUACAUUUUAUUCUUUUAUUCAGUAAUAAAUGUAUAUCUAUGUCUAUCUAUUUCUUUCUAUCACAAUUAAAUACUUAAUUUUUUUUUUUACAGAUUAUAAUGUCUUUUCCUAUUGUUGUUUUUUAUUGAGGUCAAUGGAAUGGAUGUAAUAUUUAUGAGAAUUACUUAGUUGCUGAAAUUUUGGUAGAUGUCCGAGUCAGCUUUAAUUCUCUAGUUGAUUUAAUAUGUGAACAGAUUCAAUUGGAUGGAUAAGUAGAAUUAUCUGUUUUACUUGAUUUUGGUAAAAGCAAGGUCCAACUGUGGUGCCAGUAAAGAAAGACAAUGAUGUGGCUUGGUAUUUAUCUUUUGCUAAAGAUGCAACUAAUAUACAUCCAUUAGUUGCUCAUGUAACUGUUGAUUUUUUUAGAAGGUCUUCUUCUUCUUAGAGAACUACCUGUAGCUACCAUGCUUAGUUCAAUUAGAGAUGUAUUGCAAAAGUGGUUUGAUGAAAGAAGUAAAGCUACUUUUACAAUGAAGAGUUGUUUGACUUCUUGGGCUGAGAACGUGUUGCAUUUAGAAUAACAUGAAAAGUCAAGAAUUUUAUUGGUAAGGUUUUUUUUUUUUUUUAAUGUUUGUAUCUCAGGUAGAUAUAAAUAGACUGCUAUUUUUGUCCAUCCGAUAGAGAAAUAUAACAAUUUAUGUGUGCUUGUUUCAGAUAGAUAGAGAUAGAUAGCUAUCAAUGUCUAUUUGUCUCUAUUUGUGCAUGCUUUUUUUUUUUUUAAUUUUUCUAUAUUUGUUUUAUGUAUUAGGUUGAUCCAAUUAGUAUGACUGAAUACAAAGUAAUGGAUGAUACAAAAUGAUAAUGUGAUUUAUUUAUAUUGGUUCUAAUUUGAAAUAUUCAAAUUUACUUUGGAAAUUAGUAUAAUUAGUAUAAUAUAUAGUGAUACAUUAUAAUAUAAAGUUUAUAUGUUAAUGAAACUUUAUUAUAUAAAUUUAAUUUUAGAUAAAGUUCAAAAUUAAUUUAUGAGAGAUAAAAUAUUUGAAUGAGUUCAAAUAUUAAUUUAAUGUGGAUUUGUUUCAUAUUAAAAUUAUUAAUUAUGAGAUAAAGUUAUAUUUGAAUAUGAUUCAAAUUUAACUGAAUUUAACUUAAGUUAAAUAUAAAAUAUUUAAUUUAGUUAUUAAUUAAUAGUUUAGUUUAAUAUUAUUUAAUUAAAUUAAUAUAAAACUAUAAGGUAUUGGAGAGAUAUUCAUUCAAUAAGAUUUAAAUGAAAUAUUAAUUAAAUAUGAUUUAAUUAAUUAUUAACUAAUUGAUUAAUGGUUAAUUAGUCAGUUGAUUUGAAACUUCUAUUAAUUUAAUAUUUUUUAAGUUAAUAGAAUCCUAUGAUUUUCUCCUACCCCGUCUCCUACUCAAUGAAAGAAAGAGAGUUAUAAAUAUGUAGAAGAAAAACAGCUUUUCUUAACCAAAAUAAAAUUGUUCUUUUCUGCAAAAUAGAUUGUAACGACCUAAUUUUUGAAUUAAGCUGAAGUUAUUACUUUAAGACUAUAUUCGUCCUUUAACCAUAAGACUUUAUAAUUUAAAAAAAUAUAUUUUUUAACAACAUUAAAGAGUUUUUAUUCGGGCUCUAUUUCAAAUAAAAUUUUGAAAGUGUAAAAGUAUCGAUAAUAAAGAAAGUUCAAGAACAUAAAAGUCGUUCAAUCAUGAAACCCAAAACAGUCUAAAUUACUAAAGAAAACCAAAAUAAAAAAAAUAUAAAGUAGAAGCAAUUUGAAGGACAUUUCCCUAUGGCAGUUUCGCGGAAAAAGAUUAAACAUAAAAGAGUGAGUAUAAACAUACCCAGUAAGAGACCCACUACUGAUCCUGUUAGAAGAAAAAUAAAAUUGUUAACUUCCUAUUGGAGGUGCCCUGCACUUUAAAAGUCUUGUGAUCAUGUAGGAAUACACAUAAUCAGUCCAAUGCCCUAAAGGACACAAAUAUUAGUCUAGUGCUCUGCAGAAAGCACAUGUCAGUCUAGUGCUCUCGAACAAAUGCACAUGUCAGUCUAUUGCUCUCGAAGAAUGCACAUGUCAUUCUAGUGCUCUCGAAGAAUGCACAACAGGUGGUGAUCCCGUAGGACACCUGCAAGGCACACUACCCAAUCGACAAAGCUAACAAUUUUCCCUUAGUCCGUUAUAAACAUUUAAUCAAUCCAUUCCUAGUAUAGUCAAACUACUCCAUCAUAUCAUCAAUCCAACUUAACACACUUACGUUCAAUCUAUUCAAUCUAUCACAAAAUCAGUUGAUACUAUAACAACACACCAGACAGUCAAGAUAUAUAUAUAUACAUAACACCUUUCUCAGUUUACAAAUACAUUAUCCAUCGUAUCUACUUCUAUACCAGUCUGGCAUAAUAUACAUUUGUCAUCAUAUCUACUUCUACAUAUAUUGGUAAACCAUACUAAGUCCAGAGAUCCAAACAGUCAACACAUUUCAAAACUUUCAAAGAGUCCAGUAAUAGAAACCCCUUACUUUAAUGUUACUCAAAUUUCUCGAACGAAGGAAACCUAAUAAGAAUAUGGAACUCAAUUACUUUCACAAUACUUUCUUUCAUUUAAUUUCCUCAACGUAAAUUCUAGCUUACCAAAGUAUUGGCGAAUCGAACUCCAACAAAUCUACAAUUUAGUUGUGAAUCCAAAGAACUCAAACGCUACCUUCAAGAAUCAAUUAACAAUUUAACUAAUUAUCCAAAACUACAACCCAAGGAUAAUUACAAUGUAAAACCACCACACUCACCAAUACAACUUACCACAAAAAUCCCAAAAAUUAGAGUAAAAUGGGGGCAACAACUUCGAAUAACUAGAAUCGACGCGUGUAAUAGAUCAGAUCUAAUCAACAAACGAAAAACAAACUUCAGCUUACAACCCAUGGCUGGAAGGUGAAGAGCCGCGCGACGGCACUUCGACAGACGCGACGGGCUCAAGUCUGGUCGACGACUGCUUCAACUAAGUAACAACGCCGGUGAGAUGAUAGGUCAAUCGGUGACGUUCCUCGUCACCUGGAGCAGAAUGUGGUGGCGCGAACGUCAAAGGAGCUACGCGCGAAUGAAUCACAACUUGGCUGGAAAACAGAGGUGAGACGCGAUGCCGAGAGUUCGAACUCACGACGAACGGUGCUUCGACUUCAACGGAGACAAAGAGAUCGGUGACGACGUGGCCGGCUGACGUCCAAGAGUAAUAUAAAAUGGCUAAGGGAGGCAGGUGGCGGUGGGCACGGGGAAGAGGAAGAGUGAAGGAGAAAGAGAUGGGGUUGCACGUGAAUCAAUAAAGAAUUGAUAUUUUAAAUUAAUAAUAACAUUAAUUCUAUUAUUAUUAUUUAACCUUUAGUAUUAGUAUAUUUUUUUAUAAAAGCCCCCUUCACUUCCUGCUAAAUCCACACGACAACCAAAUUCCUUAAAAUUUAAAAAAUUUAGCUUGAGAGAAAUACCUUGAUAUUGGGGGUGUUACAUAGUUUCUCUCUAAAUUUUUUUUUCAUUCCAAUUGUUUUCUUCAAACCAAUCUCAUCUUCGAAGAUAGGAAGGUCUCCAACGGGUGGUGUCCCAAUUCGGUGGAUUAUAGAUUCAGAGACGUCAACAAGAGUAAGUUCUAUGUAUCUUUUAAUUUAAAAGCAUACUUAGUUCUUUAUUUAGAACUUUGAUUCUAAAUAUUGUCAAUGUACUGGUAUUUUGGAAUUUUCAAAUUAAAAUUGAUGAAUGGUUUUGUAAAGUCUUUCACUGCCAAGAGCUUUUAUCCCUUUAGGGCACACAUACCAAUUAAACUAAUGCAAGACCUUUGCCAGUAGUUAAUGGUAGCAUCUCACAAAGUGGAAGUGGUUGGCUUACCAACGGAAGAUUUUCAAUCAUUUCUAGCAGUCCCUUUUCUGUUUGAGUAUGACCUUCCAUAUUUUCUGCUAUAUUACUUAUAGUUAAUAUCAAAUGUGCAUCUCUGCCAUCUAUGCUAAUAUCACUGCCUGAUUGCUCUUGAUGUUGAUUUGCGUUGUUCAUUUUUGUUCCCUACACAGAAAAGAAAAAAAAUUGUUUUUAUUUAUAUUCUAAGCAAUUUUAAACAAUAUAAAGCAGUAACUAAUGAAUUAAACACUAACUGUUGAGUUUCUACAAUAGAUUCUUGAAGAUGUGACUCUUGAACAGAUGGAUUCUCAUGGAUGAUCACAUGUUUGUUAUUUUGAUGGUCAUCAUUCUUGUCCAGAUUGUGAUGACUAGAAUCAUCACGAAGAUCAUCAUACAUGUUGUUAAUAUCAUCAAACAAUUGAUUUUGAUUCUAGUAUAAAAAGAAAAAAGGAUAAUAAAAAAAAUAGUUACAAAAUGAUCGUGUAUCCUUAAGCAAACAAUCGUGUAGAAUAUCUAAACGGUUGUUUUACCAAGGGUGAUCGAUAUUUCAGGUGGGAUAUGCGAUCGUUCAUAUGUGAUAUGCGAUCGUGUAAAGAUAUAUCAAACCUUUGUUCUGUCAGAAGUCGUGCUAAGAAGAGUUGAAAGCUUGUAAUAAGAUCCAUCAAAACUGAAAGAUUUUACAUCAACACGUUCUGACACAGUAAUGCAGUAUCAAUGAGCAUCAAAUUACGUGAGAUACGUAUUAGAAAAUAUCUAACUGCUCAGUUAAUUUUUUAUGGACAUCAAAUCACCUUUUUUCAAGCUUAAGGAAGGAAAUGUCGGCACUAUAUAUGUAAAGAUCAAAGGUAAAAUAUAUAUAUACAUACAUUUUUUUAUAUAUUUUAUAUAUUUUUAUUUUAAUAUUAAUUUAAAUAAAAAAAAAUUCUUUAUUAUAUAUUUUUUUCUUUCUUUUCUUUUUUUCUUUUCUUUUCUUUUUCUUUUCUUUUCUCUCUUCUCCUUCCUCCCCGUGCGCCCUUCCCCUUCUCCCCGUUCGUAGCCCAGUAACCGCCGACCUCCAUUCCUCUUCUUCUUCCGUUCGCAGCAGCCGUCGACCGCCACAUGACCGCUGCCUAGUCCAGAUCUGCGUCGCAGCCCAGCAACCGCCGCCCCUAUUUCCUUCUUCCGCCGUGUGCUGCGACUCCCACCGAUCCUUUCCCAUCCGUUUUCUUCCCGCCGCAGCCAGCCGCCGAUCCUUUCUUUUCCGUUUUCUUCCCGCCACAGUCCAACCGCAGCCCGCGCGCCGAUCUGCCGUCUCCAUCUCCGGUUCGCGAAGCAACCUUGCAGCAGUCGUCCCGCGUGCCGAUCUGCCGUCUCCAUUGCCGAUUCUGUCUCCGUCGAAGCCAAGGCCGCCGCGUGAACCAGUAACCGCCACGCUCCCCGCUCACAACCGCCGCUCCACCUGCUAUCGACGUCGGCCGAGUAGUUGCUGUAACCAUUCAGAUUUGCUGUCUGUUCGGGACGGUUUCCAUCCGUGAAGCCCAGCCGCCACGUCUGAUUUGGCCGACCGCUGACCGACCCAUACUUAAGAUUUUUGCUGCGAGUUCGACAUUCGUGUGUUGAGGUGUUGGGAGUAACGUUAGGCUCCCUUACAUUCACAACCAGAUUGUGAAUUGUUAAAGGUUCAGUUCGCCAUUAUAUCGGUGAGUUGAAACUUACGUUGAGGAAAAUAAGUGGGAUAUGUAUCGUGAAAGUAAUUGAAUUUUGUGUUGUUAUGCUUAGGAUUGUUUCGAGGACGUUAGUGAUUAAGGAGCUUCCCUAACUUUGAGGUAAGGGAUUUUCUACUAGACUCAAUUGUGAUUGUGAACUGUAUGUGUGUUGAAUGUAUACUGUGGUUUGACUGAAAAUAUAUAUGAAUGCAUAUGAAUUGAAGUAGACUUAACGUCGAAUGUAUAUCGUGAUUGUCAUGGAAUAUAUAUAUAAGUGUGUGUAUGUGGACAGGACGAAGAUUGUAGAUUGUGUUUGUAUGAGAUACAGAUGUGAACUUGUGAUUUUCGUUUAGAUUGGGUGUACGUUACGCUAAAGUAUGACUGUGUGCUAGUGAACUGAGGGUGUGUUGACUGUAUAGUUUGAUUGAUUGACGUAUUAGUAUAUUAUUGACAGACAUAUGACUAAAGUAAAAUAAGUUGACUGUUAGGACGUUGAGAGAAAGAACCUUGUGUUUUGAAGUAACUGAAAGAUGGAUUGAAUGGAAUGAGGGGAAAAUUGUUAGCUUGUAUUGUGAUGUGUACCUUGUAGGUGUCCCACGGGAUCACCAAUUUAUUGUGCACCUUCGGGAGCAUUAGACUGAUAUGUGUUUCUGCAGAACACUAGACUGAUAUGUACGUCCCUCGGGGCGUUAGACUGAGAUGUGUAUCCUACAGGAUCACAAACUGCGACUGUACAGGGUGUCCCAAUAGAACGUUAACAAUUUAUUUUCCCCUGACGGGACCAGUAGAGGGUCUCUUACUGAGUAUUUAAAUACUCACCCUUCUUAUGUUUAAUUUUCAGGCAAAGGUAAUAAAGGCGGCAAACCGGCGAGGGGCAGGAAGGAAGCGUGAUCCAUAGGAAAUAUGUUGUUUGCUUCCGCUUAUGGGUUCUUGUGAGGUUUAAGAUGAAUUGAAAUUUUGACAAACGUUUAUUGUAAAUAGUAUUGUUUUUAUGUUUUCUUGAAUGUUUGAAAUUCAGGCCUGACUUAAAGAUGUUUUUAAAUUAGUUUACGUUUCAUUUUAUAUUAAUCAAAGUCUUUAAUUUGUUAAAAUUUAACGACCUCGACUUACUUAGAAAAGUUGGGUCGUUACAAUAUAUGUCAGAGUUGUGCAUUGCAAUGGAAGUGCCAACACGAGGUGAUACAUGUGUGUCUUUCUGGGAUGUAAAUGCCACUCCCCGACUAGGACCAGCAUAGUCUUAGGGAGAAAGCAUGCUAGGAAUUGGAGUUGUGUCCUCAAUUUCUUCAAGGACUUGAGCAUUUCUUCUUACACUAGAAUGUCUCCAGUUUAGAGAGUUUAUAGGAUUUCUCAAGGCCAUUUUUGCAUACUUAAUAGCUCUUGACAACGGUAGAGAGUCUAAAUCUACACUUUCAGGGGGUUCCAACUCCACCACUUGAUGAGCCAAAGAUAGAGAAGAAUCAUUAAUGAUCCAGUAAGCAACAUGAAACCUUGUAAUUUUGGGGUUAACGGUAGUCCCUCCCAUUACUAGCUCAACACUUAAACGGAGUCUCCUCUAUAAAAUAUAAAAUAAUACAGACACAAAUAGUGAAUGAAAUCUUGUGACGUAACAAACACAAAUUUUAUGUAUACUGCAAUUUGACUAAAUAUUGAACAAGAAAGCCCAAGGGAAUACACAAAAAUCCAACGUUUUUAGGGGUCAAUUUGAAAAAUGGCAAAACUACUUUUUCUUUUCAAUUUUAGCAAACAACAUUUUUUGCACGUGCAUGGUAUUUUAUAAAAUACCAAAAUAUUCACCUUCUCCAACUAUAACUAUUUUGUUUUUACAUUGUAAUUAAUUUAUGUUAUGUAUUUAUCAUCUUUUAAUUAAUUUUUACUUGAAAUAGAUACAUCAACUCAUAUCAUAACUUUUCUCUUAAAAUCUCGGGACUCAACUAAUUGAUUCAAGACUACAUUAAUUAUGUUUAGAAAGAGCUUAAAAGUGUCAUUCGUUUAAUUAUUUCAAUAUAAUGCGGUCUUAUCCAAUUUUACCAACAAAAAACAAAUCGAAUAUGGAUCAGUAGAUCUACACUCUUUGUCAUAAAAGACAUAACAACAUUUUUAGGGGUCAUUUUAAAAAAUGUCAAAACUACUUUUUCCUUUGAAUUUUAGCAACUAGCAUUUUUUGCACGUGCAUGGUAUUUUAUAAAAUACCUAAAUAUCAACAUUCUUCAACUGUAAUUAUUUCGUUUCUACAUUGUAAUUAAUUUAUGUUAUGCAUUUAUCAGCUUUUAAUUAUCUUUUACUUGAAAUAGAUACAUCAACUCAUAUCCUAAUAUUUUUCUUAAUAUCUCGAGACUCAACUAAUUAAUUCAAGAUAUUAAUAACUUUAUUUAAUCAUACUAAUUUCAAAAUAACCUAAUUGAAUUUGAAUUUCAAAAUAACAAAAUUGAAUUUCAAAAUAACAAAAUUAUUAUUUUUCGGAAUUUGAGAGUCUCAACGAUAGAUUUUGUAUUAAAAUAACCUUAAUUGAAUUUCAAAAUUAAAAAAUAUCAACCUGUUCACUAUCUUUAUCUCAAAAUAACAUUAAUGCCUUGAAUAUCUAGAUAAUUAAAUUAUUAUUUUAAAAUUGGAAGAAACUCAACAUUAAAAAAUAUUAACUUGUUUGCACACAAGCAUAGAAGCACUGCGCACACACGUACACAUGCACACUUACACACACGCGCGCACACGCACACCUACACACAGACACCCACAAACGCACGAACGCACGCACACACACAUGCACACGCUCACGUAUGCACACACACACCUAUCCACACGCGCACAAGCACACACACAUGCACAAACGCACACACGCGUACGCACAAACGCACACACGUAAACACAUAAGCACACGCGCACAAACACGCACGUGCGAGCACACCCACACACCCAAGCACACACGCAAUAGCCCGCGCACACACACGCACGCACAAACACAUACAAACAUGCACACACCCACACACACAUGCACACGGACACUCGCACGAACGCACACACAUACACAUACGCACACCUACCUAAACGCGCACACGUACACACGCACAUAUGCAUAAAGAUGUAUAAAUGAGUUAAAAUUAAAAAACAACUACAUUAAUUGUGUUUAGAAGGACUUUUAAACCAUGUUCAUUUGACUUAAUAACAUUAAUUAAACUAUAAUUUCUAUCAAUAUUGGCUUAAAAGUGUCAUUCGUGUAAUUAUUUCAAUAUAAUGCGAUUUUAUCCAAUUAUAUUAGCAACAAACAGGUCGAAUAUGAACCAGUAGAUAUACACUCUGUCAUAAGAGAUAUAGCAACAUUUUUAUGGGUCAUUUUGAAAAAUGACAAAACUAUUUUUUUUUUUAAUUUUAGCAAAUAACAUUUUUUGCACGUGCAUAAUAUUUUAUAAAAUACCAAAAUAUCCACAGUCUCCAACUAAAAUUAUUUUUUUUCUAUGUUGUAAUUAAUUUAUAUUAUGCAUUUAUCAGCUUUUAAUUAUUUUUUACCUGAAAAAGAUACAUAAACUCAUAUCAUACUUUUUUCUUAAUAUCUCGGGACUCAACUAAUGGAUUCAAGACUUUAACUUUAUUUAAUCUACUAAUUUCAAAAUAACCUAAUUGAAUUUGAAUUUCAAAAUAGCAAAAUUAUUAUUUUUCAGAAUUUGAUAAUCUCAGCAAUAGAUUUUGUAUCAAAAUAACUUUAAUUGAAUUUCAAAAUUAAAAAAUAUCAACUUAUUCACUAUCUUUAUCUCACAAUAAUAUUAAUGGCUUGAAUAUCAAGAUAAUUAAAUUAUUGUUUUAAAAUUGGGAGAAACUCAACAUUAAAAAAUAUCAACUUAUUCACACACAAUCACACGCGCAUACACAUACAUACACUUGCACGCGCGUGCACUCAUACACGCACACACACACACGUGCACACACGACGACACACACACACACAAACGUAGCACACACACACCAAACCGCACGCACACAAAUGCACACACACUCACCUACUCACGUACACAUGUAUGUGCGCAUACACACACCCAAGCACACGUGGACAUGCGCACACGUGAGCGCACACACACACGAGCGCACACACACGCACACUGAUGGUUCAAUUUCAUCGAUAGUUCCUAUUUUUGCUGACAGUUUAUUUUUUGCCAUCGAUAGAGGAUCUUCCGACAGACCUACGUGACAGUGUGUGUGACAGCUUAAUUUCGUUGGCAAAUGAAAAGUCGAUUAGUUUUUGAAGAUUUACUACGAUAUUUGUCAUCGACAAAGGGUAAAUUUCUUGUAGUGCAUGUACAUCAAACAUAUCAAAUUUGUUAAGUGUACCAAUGAAGUAUAACAAGUUUAUUAGUGGUGUAUCAAGUGUAUCAAACUUAUAAGUGAAGUCUUUAAGUGUAUCAAACUAAUCAAGUGUAUCAAGGCCUCAGGGUAUCAAGUGUAUCAAGAAGAAUCAAGUGUAACGAGAAGUAUUAUGUGUAUGAAGAUGUUUCAGGUGUGUAUCAAAAAGUAUCGAGUGUAUCAAUGAGUACCGAGUGCAUGAAUUGUAUCUAUCAAAUGUAUCAAGUGUAUCAGUAAGAAGUAUCAAGUGUAUCAAGGGGUAUUAGGUGUAUCAACGUGUAUAAGGUGUAUCAAAUGUACAUCAAUAACAAGGGCAUUUGUGACAUUUUACCUCUUGAUGUGUGAGUUGGUCUUUGUUUUUGUCAUUUUCUCAAAUAAUAAAGUAUGUGUUCUAUGGACUUAAUUAUUAUAACUUAUUUUGCCAUUUUCGCAAGUGUCCCUUAAUUGUAAUACAUGUAUAUCUAUCAAAUGUAUCAAGUGUAUCAGUAAGAAGUAUCAAGUGUAUCAAGGGUAUUAGGUGUAUCAGACGUGUAUAAGGUGUAUCAAAUGUACAUCAAUAACAAGGGCAUUUGUGACAUUUACCUCUUGAUGUGUGAGUGCUGGUCUUUGUUUUUGUCACUUUCUCAAAUAAUAAAGUAUGUGUUCUAUGGACUUAAUUAUUAUAACUUAUUUUGCCAUUUUCGCAAGUGUCCCUUAAUUGUAAUACAUGUAUAUGUGACAUAAUCUAAUCAAACUAACUCAUAAAUGGACUUAAUCGAUCUCAUGGACCACGAAUUCUUCAAUUACUUGCAAAUUUGGUGAGUUCCUUCAAACGGUGGGUGGAGAGCUUAAUUUUGAGAGAGAGGAAAAGUCGUGAAGAGUAUUUGCGAGAGAGGGGGGAACGUCGCCAGAGAGCAUUUGCGAGAGAGCUAAAGACAACGACGAUGUGGGAUGAAGUAAGGUUUUUUUCGGUUGUUGUUCACAAGUGGGAUGAAAGCUUCGAAUUAUUUGUUUUAAAUCAAAAAGCGUAUGAUUGAAGGAAAACAUUGAUUUUUUAUUAGGGUAAUUUUUAAUGACACAUAAUUUAUGUCAUUAAUUAACAAUGCGAAAAUUUUGUCAAGAAAACUCAAUUUGUGUCACGAAAUGAUAACUUUCGCCUUGUUCCAAUAACCUUAUUUUGCCUUGCUCCUCUAUCUCUUGCAAUGUACACAUAAAGCUUUGGCAAUUUUACCAAAGUGGGAAGCAGCUAAGGGGACGAAGGUAUAUUCGGAGAGAGAUUGUUAAACAAUUGUAAAAAGUAAGCCCAAGAAGAGAGGUCCAAUAAAAUUCAGCCACCUCUCACAUAGUAAUUGAAAUAGUCUAGCAACUUCAACCAUUUCCCUCACAGAGAAGAAGAAGACCAUAGCCACUCGAGGCUUUUGCACAGACAAACACCAAGAAGAUGUGUUCGGUUCGUAUCUGUGCUAAGCGCGUCGUUGUUGACGCCAGGCAUCACACCUUGGAAAGGCUCUCUUCCAUUAUAUAUAGCCAAAGAACUUCCGAAUUAUUGAAAAUAAAUAUUUUCAACAGUUUUAUAUUCUCCUUUAAUUUAUAUUCACUUUUGUUAGAAGCUAUUUCUUCUUCAUUUUUCUCACGAAAAUCACAUAAUUUAUUUACUGUUCUUGUAAAUGUGUAAUGAUUAUUUUAUCAUUUCAUGUGAACAAUAUGAUUUUGUUACCAUUUACUCUCUUUGCUUUUUACUAUUGAAAUCUCCCUAACUAUAAACUAAUUGCACAAUUUUGCUCCUAAUAUACGAUCAUGUAGCAACCUAUAAGCCAAGAGUAAAAACAAGAAUCAAUUGAAGAGGGAAUAUAUUGAUAUAUAUCACCCUGGAAGAUGAAAUACACAUGGAAGAGGGAAUAAGUUGAUACAAAAACUAAUCACCAUUCAUCAUAUAUGAACAAAAUAUGUAAUGAAAUGCUUGGAAUGAAACAUGAUGAAAUAAUUUUCAUUAGAAUAAAAUAAAGGGUAAGAAAAUGUAUCCAUACCUUCGGAUGGUAUUCAGAAACAAUCACCAUAGGCAAAUUCUGAGUAACGACACCAAAAAACUGAACUACUUUAGGAUGACGGAUCUUUUCCAAUAAUGUCAACUCAUAUUUGAAUGCAUUUAUGUAGGAAAUUCAAUAAAAUAAUUAAGAAACCUUGCAAUAUGUGAGAGAUAUACGAACUUCAAACAAAUUUUACAAGUUUCAGCAAAAAUUUUCAAACAACUUUUAAAGUUUAAGCAAAAAGUAACCGUAGGUAGGAAGGGAGAAAAAAGUGGGUCUCGAAUUAAUUCUGAAAAAUUAGUAGGCUUUCAAAAUUUAGGUUCUAGAAGUAGAAUUAUUGCAGAAAAAUAAAUAAUGCAUCAUUCAAAUUGAAUCAAACAUAUCAGGAUGUUAUAUUCUCCACAACGUAUAUAAUGGAGUAUAAAACAUAAAGUUUCUAUAUACAAAGCUAUGUAUCUCUACCCUUGACUUCUCUUUCUCUCUUUCUACCUUUUUUAUCCUUUCUUUCUCCCAUUCACUCAAUACACUUGCAAGAACCUUCAUUUUUUUGUAUUUAAAUUUUCUUGGCACCAUCCUUUUUUAAUUAUCAAGGGUUUGUUAUUGUCACAUCUCUACCUUGUCAAUUUUCGUUUUUCACUAAGCUUUCUUUCUUCUUUUGUCUUCACUACUUUCUUCGCUCCUUCUUCUCAAGCUCUAACUUUUGCUAUUAUCAACCAGUCUCAAAUGACCAUUGGAAAACCUAUAGCCCACUGAGAGGCAGCCAAUAUAGUAAUGCCUGUAAUGAUAAACUCCAAUGAAAUCAAAAGUUCUUCUUAAGAUUUGGAAAUAUAUAUUAGAUAAAGCAUAAUUAGUUGAAAAAGAACCUCAAAAUUUUGUGUUAAACGACUACAAUUUCAUCGUAUAAUAUGCCAUAUUGACAUCAUAUUUUUCCUACAAAAACAUAUUAACUAAAAUAAGCUCAUAAACACAAAAAUGCACUAAGUGUUGGUUAACAUACACUACCUUGAAAUAUGACAAAGACUUUAUUUCUCCUAACCAGACAGCAUAGUCAGGAGGUAGUUUGGGAGCAAACAUAAUUGACUUAAUUUCCCUAGCAAUAUCCUAUAAAAAUUUCAAAUUCUUGAAAUAUGGAACCCAAUGGAAGUUUUAGGGGAAUGAAGUAUAACCUCUAAAUACAGAAGGAUGACAUAAAGGGGAAUGAAGACUCAAAAGAAGGACGACGUUUUCGUAGAGAAGGACGACAAUUUUGAGGGACAACGAAUGAGUAACCAUGAAGGAUUUGGAAACGAAUAGAGGUUUAGCGAAAGUGGAAUGUGACAGAAGGACGGUGAACGUGUUUACUCGUUUUCGAACAGAGAAUGUGUUUACGCAUUUCGAACGGUGAACAGACGGACAAAUCAACGAAGGUGAAGGAACGCAAAGUAGACGAACGGUGACAGACGAUGAACGCAAAUGAAUGAAGGUGAAUGCUGAUGAACGCGAAGGGAAGUCUUUUUCGGCAAUGAACGCAGAUGAAUGCACAGAUGAACGUGAAGGGAAGGUUAGGUGAAUGACACUUUGAUUUUGGGUGGAGAAGGGACAAAAGUCGCGGCGAAUUAGGUUUAAUUAAGAAAAUGGGAAGUGAUCUAAUUGAAACGCUGUGUUUUGUAAAAAGAAUAUUAAAACAAUAAUUUUUUAGAAAUUUCUUGACGUUUUUAAAACGUCAAAAACAAAUUAAAAUUUCUUGAAGUUUGUAAAGACAUCAAUGAUCUUUUAGAAUUAUCUUGACGUUUUAAAAACGUCAAGAAUUUUUUAUAAAUUUCUUGAUGUUUGUAAAAAUGUCAAGAACUUUUUAGAAUUAUCUCGACAUUUUAAAAACGUUAAGAAUUUUUUAUAAAUUUCUUGACGUUUUAAAACAUCGAGGAAAACUAUAUAUUAUUGACGUUUAAAAAACGUCAAGAAAAAUACAUCUUACUUGAUGUUUAAUUGCACAAAAAACUCAAGAAGUUGAAAAUUGGCCUUUCAUAAAAAUUCUUGACGUUUUUAUAUUUGAAAUCACAUCUUUCUGACGUUUUUUCUCAAAAACGUCAAGAAAGGAAAACUACAACCAUCAAGAGAGCAUGUUUUGUAGUAGUGAUUUUGGGGACAAGACUCAGUGUGGAGUUGGGAUUAUAAUUGCACAAAAUGGAAUUCACUCAUUUCCUACUUUAGGGUAAGUAGAUGAAUGUUAGCUAAAUGGUGUCUCCAAAACUUGAACAAAGGGCCGUACCCUCUCGAUGACAUGAGAGGGGUUUUUGUUUAUUAGUAGACCAUAAACAAGUUGUUCAUUAGAGGAGCACUGGUUUUUAAAGGAUUAGAGGUAACAUAGGGGUAAAGCGGUAAAUUGAUCCAACUAGUGAUACAAACACUUGUGAAAGGACUAACUUACUAUUAUUGGUCUAUAUCCGUGGACAUAGAAAUAUUUUAGUGAGAAGAGUUCAGUUGUGAGUCUUUAGUGGAGUGUACACACAGCUAACGAAUAUUGAAUGUGGUUAAUGAGUUUAGCCAAUUAAUCUUAGAUCGUUAUAGCUUCUGAUCCAAGGUCCUUUUCCUAGCUCGUAAAGGGUAAUGAGAUUUAUUUGUAUUGGUUGUAAUUUAAAAUUUUAAAUUUAACUUGGAAUUAGUAUAAUGUAUAGUGAUACAUUAUAAUAUAAAGUUUAUCAAACUUUACUAUAUAAAUUUAACUUUGGGGAUGAUUCAAAAUUAAUUUAUGAGAGAUAAAAUAAUUAAAUGAGUUCAAAUAUUAAUUUAAUGUGAAUUGGAUUCAUAUUAAAAUUAUUGAGAGAAACUUAUAUUUGAAUAUGAUUCAAAUUUAAUUUAAGUUAAAUAUAAGAUAAAUAAUUUAGUGUUAUAGUUAAUUGGAGAAUUAAUUAAUAGUUUAGUUUAAUAUUAUUUAAUUAAAUUCGAUUUCAUUAAUUAUUAACUAAUUGAUUAAUGUUUAAUUAAUCAAUGGAUUUGAAAUAUAUAUUAAUUUAAUUCUUUGUAAAUUAAUAGACACAUGGUUCUCUUCUACUUCAUUUUCUAUUCCUAGAAGGAAAGAGAGUUAUAAUAUCUAGAAGAAAACAAUUUUCUUAAAAAAUGAAUUAAUAAAAAAAGAAAAAAUAAGGCUAACGCUAUUGCUGUUUGCAAAAAGAAAAGAGUUUCUCUCAAAUAUCUCUAAACUUUUUCCCAUCCCAAUUGGUUCCACAAACCAAUUUUAUCACAGAGGUACUCUUUGCAAUUUAAGCUCUCUUUGCAAUGGAUAGUCUUCAAAGUUUUUUUAACGAUGUUUCCAAUGCUUUCCUUUCUCUCUCAUGUUUAAUAAAAACCAAUUUAUCUUAAAACUUGUAGGGAGGCUACAUCGUAUCGAAUUUCAUACAACUGACGUGUUCAUCGAGUUACAACAAGUGCCCCACAAUAGUCUGUUCCGUGUUUGAAAAGUUGUGAUUGUGACACGCUGCGCACAUGAGGUUAUGAACGACACAUGGCAAGGCAAGCCCUACGAGCGCCUGCCAACGUUCUGCCACAAUAUUUUGUACGCAAGCUAAUGUCUUUCGGCUGUUUUUGUGGGUUUUGGAAAUUUUAAGCAAAGUUUUGAUAUUUUUAUGAUCAAUGGAAUUAAAUGGAAUUAUUUUCCAUUAUUUUUCAUUAUUUAGAUCUGAAGGAGUCGAACAAAGUUUUAUAAGCCAAGGUCCAAGCUACUCUCUAUAAGUGACAAAAAUGAGUUUAAAGUUGAUUCUAAACAUGAAUUUACUAUCAAAUGUUUCAAGCAUGCUUUGAUGUUUGAAUAUUUGAGAUACUGACUUAUAAAGUAUUUCCAAAGCAUGCAUUUAGAAACAUUUUGGUAAACAUGUUUUUAUUGAUGAAUUUACUAAUGAAAAUUAUAAGCAAUCAUGAUUGUGCUAAGUUUUCAAAAUGUUUAAGCUUGAAAAUAAUAUUAGCAUGUUUUAGUCUAUACCUAAAAUAUUCUAAGAUAUAUAGCAACCCUUCGGGAGAGAUUUUCUUGUGCAUAGAGGUCAUUUGAUUUGGAUAUUCAGUAAAUACCUAGCUUUCCUCAUGUAUUAGAUAAGAGAUGAAGACUUUUAAAGAUGCUUAGUUUCCCAUCUCAAGGGACGAGACCCUGUACGAAUGCCUAGUUUUCCAUCUCAUUGUAGUUAUAACGAGAUAGGGCACAAUUGAUGCCUAGAGUUUCAUCUUGAAGUAUCGUAUCACGGGAUAGGGCUUCUAUGCCUAGUUUAUUGUUUUCGUCUCGACGAUUCUAGGUAUAGCAACUGAAAGGGAAAGUUUGAGAUAAGUUGUUUGAAUUUGAUUUCAUUUAUGUUAAGAGUUAAUUGUUAAAUACUUAAUAUUUCAAAACGAUGUUUAUAAAACAAUCACUCAUUGGGCUUUUGUUUGUUUUGUUUUUUUUUUUUUUUUUUUGAAAAGGAGACAACCUCUUUAUUAAUAUUAAAAUAAUAAUAAUAAUUAGACAAAAACUCAGAGUACAAGAGAGUUAUACAAUGAACAUGUAACCAUGGAUCAGGGGGUGCACCUUGGCAUCUCAACUAGGUUGACACCCCCAUAGCACCCUCAUCAUAUCCAACCAAGCUAAAACCCAUAACAAAGGAGUAAUGUCCAAAGGCAAAACAAACACAAAAAAAGCCUUCUAUUUGUGGCUUUUGGUUUUGAUCUUGUGUUGUCGCUUUUUGGAUGUGAUGAGGGCGCUAAGGGGUGUCAACCUAAUUGAGAUGUCCAGGUGCGUCUGUUGAUCCUCUGUCCUAUUGCUCUUUGUAUAAUCCUCAUUACAUUGAGCUUUGUCUCUUCAUUUUUCAAUAUUAAUAAUAGUGAGACUCAUAUCCUUUUUUUUUUUAAAAAAAUAUGGGUUAAUUUGAUAAAAGUGUUGCUAGCAGAGAUUUGGUUUGAGCACAACCAACACAUUUUCCAUGAUAACAAACGGGAUUUGUGUUGUAAAAAUAGAUCUAUUAGAUCUCUUGGAGCAAUAAAAAAGAAAUAAGAUCUUUAUGUGAAAGCGAACUUUUUUUUAUGGAGCAUGUGAAGAAAGGCCUUUACUUUUGGGCAACAUUGGAAUUGGGGCAUGGUUGUGCGCUUAUUAUCAAAAGUUGUCCCCUAACGAUCAAACUGGUUCACUGUUGCGAAAUGGUGGGUUAGUUUAGGACAUGUCAUUAUUCUCGAACCUUCAGAUAAAUCUCCUUAUCUUAGGGAAUUAAAAGUUGUUCAACACAGGCUUGAAACAGACAUGUAUAGGGCUUCUGUAUUUUCCCAUAAGGAGCCAAUGAUUGAUUAUAUAUUGGUAUGUUUUGCAAAGGGAAAGAUUUCCCUAACACGUAUUGUAAAAAAUAUGUAGUUGGCUAGUAGUGAAAAGUUAGCAAGGCUAUUCAUGUUUCUCUUGGUGUUCCCUCUCACUCAUCUUGAAGCUUAUUGUGGGCAUUUUGUCAACUUACUUUGGGUUUCUUUUGUCUUCUGUUUUAAUUAAUUACUUCGUACUUAUUUUACAUUUUAGUUUUCAUUAGUGCGUUCUGGAUAGAGGAUUUUGUUUAGCUCGUUGUUAUUGUUGAUAAAAUUAAAAUGCCAACGAUUACAAUUCUUGAGAACGGACUCAUCUGUUUCCAAUUCAGAUGCCCAAAACUUGUUGAAUGGAUCCUAUCUCGUUGAUCGCGACAUCUUGCUGCAAAAGUAUGCUCCUCCGUAAAUGGACUCCAGGUAUUGUCCCUAAAUCCUUUGUUUUUUAUUAUGUUCCUAUAUGGAUUAAACUAGGUAGGAUUCCAAUGGAGUUAUGGACAGAUGUCAGAUUGACUGUUGUGGCUAGUGCUAUAGGAAACCUCUAUCUUUAGAUCUAGCUACUAAGGAAAGACGAAGGUUGUCACAUGCUUGAGUAUGUGUUGAAUCAAAUGUGGACUCUCCUAUGCUUGCUGAAUUUACAAUUCACCUUAGGGAGAGGAUUUCGUUAUGACUGUGAAUUAUUAGUGGAAGCCUCGAAGGUGUAAUUUAUGCCGGUCUUUUGGGCAUUCUAGUGGUAAGUGUCCUAAGAUUGUGGAAAACAAAGUUCAUCGAGAGGAGAUGUGAGCAAGGUGGUUUCAAACAAAGAGGAGGAAUGGACAAUUGUGUCUUGUGGAUGUGGUGUUAGACUUUAAAUAGUUGGAGGAAAGUAAGACUAAUAGCUCCCCCAUUAGGCAUAUUAAGGAAAAGGAGGUAGGUAAUCGGGAUGAAUUACUCGUUAUUAGGAAGAAAAGAGAGUUGGUUUAUGUUCGAGAGAAGGGUAAAUGUGUGGAUGUGAUUAUGCCUAACUCUUUUGGCAGCCUUAUGAAGUUAGGAAGACAAGUGGACCUUAUCUAUAGUGGAUGACUCCCCUCCCCCUACAAGUGGAUGAUACCGCUAUGGUUCUUAGGCGUAUGUUAUUAAUCACCUUAAGAUCAUUUCAAAAUAUAAAUAUAUUUUUAGUAUAAGUCCUCAAGAAACCUUUUUAUGAUAACCAAGAAACCUUAUUUGGAUAUUACGAAUAUGACAAAAUUAGUGAUAUUAGAUGACUAUCAAACGAUAAUCAUAGGGUUAUCAACUUUUAAAUUUACUACUUUUAAAAUUUAGAAAAUGUAGUGACAUGAGUCAUGUGAUUAUAAAUGUUUUUGUUAUUUUUGCAGGGUUCCAAAGAAAAAAGAAAAAAGUAAGAUGUGAUUGAUAAUAUGUGAAAAAAGGAAAAAAAUUAAAGAAACAUAACUCGAUAUAUCUAAUUUGUUUAAAAACGACCCCAUUUGUAAUUUUCUUUCAAAAGUCACACAACAUUCUUUGGAAAAAGUUUUUUUAGAGAAAGCAUGCCAAUACCUUCAUCCUACGUAUCGUAGAUGUAUUUUAUGAAUAAUUUUUAAAAGUUCAAAACAAUUUUUUUUAACAUUUCAAAGUUUAAGGUUAUUUUUUACACAAACUACAAAAUUCAAAAGAUUUUUUUUGUAAUUUAACUAAAUACUGUUGUAUAUAUAUAUAUAUAUAUAAUAAAUUAGUUAUCUUUUUUAGUUAUAUUGUAAAAAAAUAUGAUUAUCGAUUUAUCGAAAUUAAUUUGUAAAUGGUUAAAACAUUUAGUUUGUUGAAAAAAAAAUGACAAAACAAUGGACCAAUGGACAGCUAAUACGAGUCAGUGAACCGAAUACACAAAAUUCUGUAAAUCCAAUUAAGGAAGAUUUCAAAAAAAAAAAAACCCUACAUGUACAGUCUCUCUCAUUUAAAAUUUCUUUCUCCUCUUCUCUAACGGCCAAGUCUCCCUCUCCUCCCCCAUUCUCUCUUGCUCUCUUGUCUUCUUUGGCCUAUCUCUCAAUUUCCGUUUCUGUAAGGAAGAAACCCUAUCAUACCCAUUUCGCGGAUCCAUCUCCAUCUUCUUCUCUAAGUCACGGAUCCAAUCUCCAUCUUCUUCUCUUAGUGCGUCCUUUCCAUUUCUUCGUACACUCCAUUUUUCCUUUCUCUUUUCAAAACCCUAAGGCCUAUCUCUCAAUUUCCGUUUCUUUAAGGAAGAAACCCUAUCAUACCCAUUUCGCCGAUCCAUCUCCAUCUUCUUCUCUUAGCGCGUCCUUUCCAUUUCUUCUUCUUCUUCUUUGUUCGUACACUCCAUUUUCCCUUUCUCUUCUCAAACCCUAAUUCUCUUUAAUUAAUUAAUUCCCUCUCCUUUCUCUCUCACUUCCUCCCUCUUCCAUUAAUGGCAGGUUCCUCUUAUCUUCCUCCUUUCUCCAGUGUUGAUUCCUCCUCUACUUCGAUGUGAUGCUCUUUUCUUCUUCCCUCGCAAUUUCGAUUCCACCAUCGUCACCGAUUUUGGUUGCAAUUUCUACUCUCUUCAACCUCAACCUUCUAAAUUCCCUCACUCUCACCGGAUUGACUUCAAUGUCCUUGGAACCUCCACUACUACUAUUAGUACUCCCCUCAUCAAAGAAUCCGUUGGAUUAUCAGACGCUCCUCUUCCUUUCCUUUCUAAUCCUUGUGCUCUCUUCCAACUCCAGUGGUGAGCCCCCGAACAAAUCGCAUUACUCCGUGAGUUCCCAAUUAAUUCCAUCUUUAUUUAAUAUUCAAUUAUCCUCUUUCCAUUUGUUUCAAUUAUUGAAUAGAAAGUUAAUUGAAUGCACUAUGUUCCAAUAAUUUCAUGUGGUUCUAGUAAAGCACAGUGCAUCCGGUCGAACUUCCCCCAUUAUGUAAUUUUAUGGAGGUAGUUUUGUAAAUUGGAUUGAAACAGGGCUAUUCAAUGUGUAUGCAUUAAAAUAUAGGGAUUGUUUUUCAAUUAAAUAUAAAUCGAUUGAGCCUCUGAUGUGCUAGUAAGCAUCAGAUCUCCUCUGUGUAUAUAUAGUUAGGUACUCUUCUUUUUUUUAUAGGUUCCGUCAUAUAUAUCACGGUCUGAAGUUGUAGCUAAACUUGCUUUCAUCUUCAGUUUCUAUCACUAUUUAAAGGUCAGAUUUUGUUCGAUUAGAAGAAUGUAAAUUUGUCAAGGACAAUAGCAUGCUUAGUUUAAUUGUACUCAAAUAUUGUUACUAAAACAAUUGCUUUAUUUGCGUUGAUACCAUUAUUUGUGUGGUAGAUCUCUUGAUUCAUUUUGAUGUUUGUAUUUUGAAGACAUACAAAGGUCAUAAUACUAGUUGCUAUUCUUUUUAUCUUGGUACGUUUCAUUUUUGUUUUAAUAUUUCACUGUCUCUAUAACUGAUUGUACAAACAUAUCUCAUCAUUCAAUCACUUUUCAAGUUUUAGAUUCUGAAAUUUGUACAUAUUGGGGUUUUCCUUUUUCUUUAUUUUGGAUUAUUUCAAAUCUCCAAAGAUCUUUCUUGUAACAUUUGCAUAUUUUAGUUUGUUAAAAUCUUCGAAAGUAGAGGAGAAGGCUCCAAAAGCAUUCUGUCUCUCAUUGCCUUGCCCUAACAUUAUCAUCUGUGUAAGAUGUGCCAAUGAGUAGACCAUUUUCUUUUACUUUUUUUUCCAUAGCUUUUGAACCACUUUCCCUUUCUCUCAUUCUCUUUCAUUCUUCUUUUAUGUUAAUUGGAAGAAGCUUUGAGGCCUCUCUUGAAAAUAAUGAGGUUUUGAAUGGGAUAGAAAGAGAGUGAUGGUGGGAUCCAUCAAAGGUUUGGGAUUUCACACAAUGUUGCAUCACUCUUUUAAAUGUAAUUAGAGGUUGAGGAGUUGAUCGCCGAUCAUAGAUAAGGAGGGGCUGGUUAGUGGCUUGGAAAAGAAUUCAGACAACAUUAAUUUUUUCUAAAAAAUAAAACCAACCUUCCGACGGUUGGUUAACACUCCUCGACAGUUGAGAUAGGGUAAGACUUGUAUUCUGGUUCUGUUGAUACCUAUAUUUGUGCUUCAUCACUUUAUAAUUGUACUUUUAUUUAUCCCCUUUGUAUAUUUCCAUGUGUUUCAUGUUUGUCUUUUAUGUUUCUUCUAUUUAUAUAUUUCUUCAUGUUCUUCUCCAUUCGGGUUUGCUCUUGCGGAGGUUACACAUUCAUUGUUGUGCUGGUACUUUAGUUAAUGAUGUCUAAUAAUUUUUGUUUUGCAAAUUUUCUUGUUAGUGCUCAAGUUUGAUUUCAUACUGCCUUUAGCAUAGCUUUACGACUGCAGAAUUCAAUUGCACAUUGCCCUUUUUUAUUUUGUUAUUACUGAUGGACUUAUUUGUGAUACCUUUAAAGAAGAAAAUUUAUGGCUAUUUGUGUUGAAGUUUAUUUGUUGAUUAUUGGUUGGUUUUUUCCCUCCACUUUUCUUAAUAUUUUGAAGUGUGUAAUAAGGUAAGCAAUUUUUUAGUCCCCUAAAUUUGUUUUGUUGAUGAAUUGUUUCCUUUUUUUUCUCGGUUUUGUUUUCAGGUUUUCAUCAUUAUUCAUUUGGUGGCUAAAUAUUACUCAUGGGUAUUUGUUCGAUCUUAUUUUGUUGUGAUCAAUUGAUAUACAUAAUAUGCACUAUAAAUUUGUUAAAUUGUUGGAUUAUUUGCUUUUUUAAUAAGGUUGGAGGAACCUCAAGGUACGUUUUGUUAAAGCAUAUUUUAUAUUGAUAAAUUUGAAGUUGUCAAGUCUAUAACAAUGAUAAUGUUAAUACGAGUAAAUUUAUAGCAAAUUUAGUUGACUUAACUUAUUUACAUGCUGGUUGCUCGGACUCUUGGAAAAACCUUACGUGCAUUUUAACCCACGGUAAGAGGACUUAAGGUUGUUAUGACUUACAUAUCAGUUUUUGAGAUUUUCCUUUGUAACUUUUUCAUAGACCUUAUUGUAGUUUUUUGUUCUUCAUUUUUGUUUGUAGGACGUUUCUAGAGAAUGCAAGACCAUGUUUGAGUGAGAAAUUGGUCUCGAUGAAAUUGAGAGUUCAAUGAACAGCACAUACAAUGCAAGUAAAUCUACCUACUCAAACCCAUCUUCUAUUUCUAAAGCAGAAGGGCUUUCGGUGGCUGAAACAAGUGAGUGAUUAAGUUUUUUAUCACCCGUAUUAUUUGUUAUCACUAGGAAAAGAAAGCUGAGUAGAAAAAGUAGAAUGCCAAAUGGAAAAAAAAAAGAUUAGUAAGCAGCGUUAUUAUUUUAAAAUAGAAAACAAAAAUUAACAUUAUUGUUAAACCGAGCCAUUCUAGAGAACAUGAAAUAGAAUUGGAUAGCUGCCAUGCAUCGUGUCUAUGAAUGUUAAGAAUGAAACUAUCGGUAGGGUUAUAGAAUAAUCAUUCUAUCAGCCUCAAUUAUGAUACAGGGUUUAUGAAAUAGAAUUUUCUUAUGUAUUGUAAUAGUAGAAGAUUCUUCGUCAGGAAGCAAAGCUUAUAGCUUUGAAGAGUAUCUAAAGGUUACAGAAGAGCAACCGAAAGCUUACGAUCAGCUCCAAACCAAUUUUCCAGCACAAAGCCAGAGUGGAUCCCAAGUACAACGGGAAGGUUGUUAAAAUCAAAUCUCUUAUGUCUUAUUUCAUAACUAUUUAGUUUUGAUCUUAACUACAACAAUUUUCAUUUUUUUCUAGGUGAACAUUGUAUGUGCUUAGAAAUUAAGUGUUUUGAAAAUUAGAGGUGAGCAAUCACACUUAGAAACUAAGUGUAGAACCAUAGAAAUGUUACCCCAUCGGUUCUAGCAAUGCCUAGUUACCGCAGUUCAUAACAAAGAAAGAAAAGAGGCUCGUAAAUGCAGACCAUAAAAAAGUGAGACAAUCAACAAUUAUAAAAAAAAACAUAUGCAAUAUGCAUUAAAAAAAGCUCAUAAAAAAUAUAGAGUCAAGUCGGUUAGGUCAAGUAGAACAUGUUGAGUUCCCUAGCUAUUAGAGCUUUUGGGGGAAAACAUCGCUUUUGGCCUAACCAAAACUAGACCAUCUAUUUUUAGUGUUUUAAACAUAACGUCAAGUUUGAUUGAGGGCUUUGAAAAGAGGAGGAAUCCUCCUCGAUCCACAGUAGGGCGAAAACGAGGCUUGUUGUCACUUCGAAGGGAGCAGUCAAACUUAGCAUUGAGUUUGAUUUUUUUUUUUUGAAAAGGUAAUGAUAAUAUUAUACAACAACAAGGUGGACCUCACAGCCUGAGGUCAAGACAAAAGAGCGAACAACACUCACAGAACAAGUAGUUAGACAAAAUAACCCAUAAGUACCCAAAACAACCCCACAUCUCGGGAACAAGAACUAAAACCAAAAGACACAUACUUGUGUUCCAAACAUUAAAAGGACAAGAAGAAGAGAGAAAGACAACAAAGUUAAUAAAGAGAAGAGAAACUCCACAACCCGGGAACAAGCAAACGAAAAGAACAUUAAAUAAGACCAUGAACACCAUCCAACCAAGAAGCAGCACGCGCUUUAAUACACGACCGAAUGAGCUGGAAUACAACCAUAGGCUCCGAAUAGCACCUCCAUGAAGACGAUGAUUUCGCUCCUGCCAAAUGAAAUAAAUUGUAGCACACCAGAGAAGGCGCCACAGUUUUCUCCUCACACUCUUCCCAAUACCCUGAUUAUAAAUCCAAGAUAACCCAACCCCCCAAUAACCGAUUCUAUGAGAAGAUGACAUAAGCAAAAGGAUCCUCGACCAAAUCUCCCACCCAAAAUGACAAGAAAAAAACAAAUGAUCACGAGACUCAUAGUUCCCUCCACAAAGCAAACACGAUAAAGGAAUCGACCUAUCCCACCGACUUAACCUAUCUCUAGUACCCAACCUAUCCCUGAUGGCCAACCAAGCACAGAAGGAGUGCUUAGGAAUAUUUCCCCCACCCCAUAGUAAACCCGACCAGCCAACCCUACUACUAUGAGGACGAAUAGUCUCCCACGCACUAGUGAUCGAAAAACUAUCAUGACUCCCCGACACCCAAACCCACCUAUCCUCAACACUCGGACUCGGCCUCACUCCCUGAACCCUAUCCCAAAUGUCCAUCAAAUCCAAAGAAACAAGCGGCCAUCUCCAAUCACCAUCCCGACCCAUGAAAUCCACCAGCCUCGCAUCCCACCGACUACCCACAUCAUAGAUCACCCUCUUCCCAAACUGCUGGAUAAUCGGCCCACCCUGAAUCCAUGGAACCAACCAUACUCUACACUUCCUUCCAUUGCCGACCUCCAUCUUAACAUGAGCUUUAAGGAUAUCCCACUUACGCAAGAUUUCCCUAAAGCACCAAGAUCGACCCACCCCAACAUCGAUCUCCCACAGCGACUCCCUUUAAGGAUAUAAGAUUCCACCCAAGCAACUCACAAACUACCAGAUUUAACAAGUAGCAACCAUAAUAUCUUCAACGUGCUAGCUAUAUUCCAAGAAGAUCCAUCACGAAUAUCAAGACCUCCUUCAUCAAAAGGAAGACAAACCUCAUCCCAGGCAACUUUAGCACCACCUCUUCCCUCCUCCUUACCUCUCCACAGAUAAGCCCUCAAGAUCUUAUCAACGUCUCUGUGGACUUUCAUAGGAAGCAUGAACACACUAGCCCAAUAAACCUGAAGGCUCCUAAGGACUGAGCGAACAAGCUGAAGUCUACCUGCAAAAGAUAACACUCUAGCAGACCAAGACCGAAUACGACUGGUAAUACACUGAAUAAGGGGAUCACAAUCAGAGCUCCGCAAUCUUCCAGAGAGGAGAGGAAGCCCAAGAUAACUAACAGGGAGAUGACCAAUGGAAAAACCCAUGUUAGCAGCAAGCCGAGAAGCUUUCGAACUAUUAACCCCCACAAGAAAAAUUGAGCUUUUAGCAAGAUUAGCAAACAGUCCUGAAAGCUCACCAAACCUCUUAAUACUCUCUUUUAUGAAACUUAUAGAAUGAUUAUAAGCAGUACAAAAGAUCAUCAAGUCAUCUAUAAAAGUAAGAUGAGUUAAUCUGACCUUCUCACAAAACUGGUGGAAUUGAAAAUUCUUAGGUGGGCUGUUCAACAUGCGAGAAAGCACCUCCAUGACCAUCACAAAUAAGAACGGGGAUAAAGGGUCACCUUGUCUAAGUCCUUUCCUCCCAUGGAAAAAACCUUCCAACGAUCCAUUAAUCAUAAUGGAGAACAUCGGAGAGGUCACACACGCUCGAACCCAACUCACAAAUCUUAAAGGCGUACCUAUGGCAAUCAGCAGGCCAAAGAGGAAAUCCCAAUUAACAGAAUCAUAAGCUUUUUGGAGGUCAACCUUCAUAGUGGACGAGGUUUACCUCUGUGCAAAUGGUAUGCCCUUACAAGCUCCUGACAAAGAAGAAUAUUGUCAAUAAUACUCCUCCCAGGGAUGAAAGCUGGCUGAUUUCCACUAACAAAAGAAGGAAGCCACACACGAAGCCUAUCUGCCAAUAUUCUUGAAAUGCACUUAUAAAUAACGCUACAACAAGAUAUAGGGCUGAAAUCCUCCAAUCGAUUAACACCAUUCCUUUUAGGAAUAAGUGUAAUAGCAGUCGUAUUCACCCCUUGAGGGAAGUAAUUGGUCUCAAAGAAGUGUAAGACGACAUCACAGAAGCCCUCUCCAACCACUGUCCAAGCUCCUUUGAAGAAGCCAACUGAAUACCCAUCAUGACCUGGAGCCUUUCCACCAUCCAUGGAGAACAGAACACGUCUCACUUCCUUCCUGCCAAUAGGCGACUGGAGGGCCUGGCAACACUCCUCAGUCCAUCUAAACUGAACAAUCUCCUCAAUACAAGUAGAGAGCUCUCUAUAGCUAAUAUUCUGAGAACCCAGACUAUCUUUGAAAUAAUUCACUACCACCUGAGUCACCUGAUCAUGGUUAGUCAACCAAUUUCCAUCUGCGUCAAUAACUGAUCUCAAAGCAUUGCUGCUCUGCCUUGAUCGAACAUAUCGAUGAAAAAAGGCAGUAUUCUGGUCAUCUAGCUUCAACCAUCUGAUUUGCGACUUCUGGCGCAUAGCGGCUUCCUCCACUCUAACCGCUUUCCAAAAGUUUUCGUGGCUAAGCUCGCGUGAUUAGUCGCCUCCUCCGAACAGAGAGUUCGUCUCCAUCUCUCUUUAAGCUCGGUCCAUGGUAUCAUUGGCAAGACGAACAUCCUCACUGAUGGUUCGAUAUGCCUACCAAAAUGUCUGCGAAGAAUCGACUUGAGAUUUCUUAAGUUCCUUACACUAUUCAAAUUGGAGAAACUCUAGUAUCUUUGGUCCAAGCAGAGGACACAACAUCCAUAAAGGACGCUUCUUCAACCCAAUGGUUAAAGAAACGAAAAGAGACCACUUGUUGGCUUCGCUGAUUACUGGGAUAGACAAGUAUGGAAGAAUGAUCAGAAAUACCCCACGGGAGGACGUUAACCCACAUGUUAGGCCAUGUACUAAGCCCCUCAUCAUUCACUAGGAUACGAUCAAGUCUCCUCAUCAAACCCAACCCAUGUCUCUUACUAGUCCAAGUAAACCAGUUCCCCUGGACCGCGGGUUCAACAAGGUCCGCCUCUCGAAUAGCCAUGUCAAACUCCUCCAUAUCCUCCACGUUCGGAGCACCCCCGAAGGCUUCAGAGUGGAGUCUGAUGGUGUUAAAAUCACCAAAGACCAUACCCGGUCCUCUCCAACCAGCAGAGAUCUCAAUUAUUCGCCUCCAUAAAACACGUCUCUCGAUAUUACUAUUAGAGGCAUACACACACAGAACCUCUACCUUCUCCCCAGAGAUCAAAUCUGUUAUUACACCAGAAAUAAACUGGUCGACAACCUCGUUAGUCGUGAACACGAAUCUGUUACGUUUCCACAUAAUCCACAUCCGACCUACUCCACUAUUGCUGUAGUUACUAAUGAACCCCUACGAAUCACUAAAUCUUCUAGAUAUCGAGACAAAGUUCUCCUCUCGAACUUAGUAUCCAGGAUGCAAUAGAAACCCACCAUAGACACGGCUAAGAAGUCCUUCACCGCUCUACACUUUACAGGGCUAUUAAGGCCCCGCACGUUCCACGUACACCAACUAACCAUGAGGUGUAUGGGAGCCGCCUCUCCCAUAGGAAUUACAUCACCUAUAGUACUCAAAACGACCAUAGAAGAGUCAUCUACUCGUAAGGGAGGAGGGGAGCCAUCCACUAUAGAUAAAGGCCAUUUAUCUCCUUUAUCCACCUCCAUGAGGUUGUUAAAGGAGUUAGUGAUACUCACUUCCGCCCUUUUCCCUCUGUCCCAAAUAGAGAUCAUUCCCCUAUUUUUCCUAUCAACUGGGGUAAAUUCCUCCCGAUUUACCUCCACCUUUUCAGGCAGUUUAUGGGUAAUAAUUUCUCCUUCUUCCAUGUGUUGGAAGGAUUCCAACACAACAUCUCCAUACUCCCCACAAUCUGGAACCACCUCUUUAGUAGGAACAACCUCUUUAACAGGAACCUCUUUACUUGCAGCUUCCUUUUUACUAUUUUCAUUGCCUCUUUAAAGGGUGUUUUGCGAGUGUCCAAAAGAUCGACACAAGUUACAUUUUUUCCGUUUCCACUCAUAAGUGACAGUUACAAUAAAUUCCUCUCCUCUAAGGUUGACUGUUACUUCGGCAGGCAUAAUACUGUUCACAUUCAAUUCCACACAUAUACGGGAAUAAGAAAGACGACGCCUCUCUUUAGUAGCAAGAUCAACUGAAAGAGGUUUUCCUAUUGCACUCGCUACCACAGUCAAACCAACAUCCGUCUAUAGCUCCAACGGAAUCCUCCCUAACUUUAUCCAAACAGGAAUUGAAUCAAAGACAAAGGAUUCAGGAACUAUACCUGGAGUCCAUUUGCGGAGGAGCAUAGGUUUGCCUCCAAGGUGCCAUGGGCCACGGGAUAAGAUCCACUCUAUCGACUUCAGAUGUUUGAAUUCAAAGCAGAUGAGCCCAUUCUCCAUCAGAGUAAUUGUUGGCAUUUCAAUUCUACCCCAAAUCUUCUCUAUAAGACGAUAGAUGACUAGAUACGGCAAUUUUGCAUCAAUUAAUUGCCUGAUGAGGGAGUUCUCCCACACUCUAACUCCUUGACUAAUAAUCAAACGCGGUCACCACAAUUUUCUCUCCCACAGUAGUCAGUUGUAUAGGUCAUAGAGAAACCUCUUGUUGAGCCAAAUAAGGAAGCCCAUGAAUUUUUACCUGCACCUCCAGAAUUAUUAGAUUUAUGCACCUCAUGCCCACGAAUCGGAACAGGCGGCCCACCAUUUGAAUUAGUACCAAACGGUUCUCUAAUGGCUGGCCCAUCAUUCAAAUGCCCAUCAACCGGCCCAAUCUUUGGGGCACUUGCAAUAGCAUCCAGCCCAGGUCCAUAUCCUUCGGUCGCUGCAAUUUGCCCAACAUGCUGAACACUUGAAGCACCAACAGGUAAGCACUCCUUCUAUGAGAUCCCAGUUUCGUGUGAGAUGGGUGGCCCAUCAUUCAACGAUGGCCCAUCAACCAGAGAUCCAUGACCAAUUCCAUUCAUAAAUGUGUCCACACCAUUCGGCUUCGGCCCAUUUACCGGCUCACUAGGCUUCAUCAAGUUUUCAUUCAAAACAAUCGUCCCACACACCUUUGGGCCAACAAUCUUCAUGUGACCAUCUCCGCUCGGUCCAUUUCCUGUAUUUUGAUUUUUUAUUUUAUAUGUUUCACGGUUCACGUAAACCGGUUCGGGUCCACUCAUGUCCGACCGUUUCUUCCUCACAUAAAUUAGGUCAGCCUUUGCAGUCGCCGCCCUUCGGUCGUUCGCCGCCAUAUCAUGUACGCGUUGAAGGCUUGACAUCAUGCGUUUCUUCACCUCCUUAACGUCACUGGAUAAUUUCUUCAUCGUUUCAUGCUUAGGACAUCAACCCAACAUCCGUGAUGAUCUUUUCGGCCCAAUCUGGGAACACGAAUGAACUCAAAAAGAAUUGAAAUUCAACCGAGGAGAUUCAUGCGAGAUCCCUUCAGCGAGUGAAUUAAAUCAUGGUCUUCAAACCCAGAAGUGGUUGCCAAUAAAUCGAUUCGUACCACACACAAUACUUUCAAGAUAGUUCAAAUCAAUUCAGCUUGGAAAUAGAUUUAAACAAUUUCUGGACAGACGUUAAUUCUCCCGAAUCAAAAUGAAUAUCAUUCGUAAUGGUUCAAUUGAUCAAUUGUAAUCAAUUUCGAAAUGGAUACCAAAUGACAUUAGUUAUCACAUUCAAUCUGCCAAAACCGAAUGAAUUACCUUCAAAUUUGAUCCCUUGCUGACCGCAGCACUCACCAAGCAUUCGCCUCCUUCACCAGCCGAGUGAGAGAACUUGGAAAUCCUAGAGAGACACGUGUGAGGUACACGUGCCCGAGAUGAAAUUUUUUCCUUUUUACUCUAAUUGAGUUUGAUUGAGGGCUUUGAAAAGAGGAGGAAUCCUCUCUGAUCCACAAUAGGGGAAAACGAGGCUUGUUGUCACUUCGAAGGGAGUAGUUAAACUUAGCAUUGAGUUUGAUUGAGGGCUUUGAAAAGAGGAGGAAUCCUCUCUGAUCCACAAUAGGGGAAAACGAGGCUUGUUGUCACUUCGAAGGGAAUAAUCAAACUUUGAAACUAAGUGUAGAACCAUAGAGAGAUUACCCCACCGAUUCUAGCAGGGCCUAUUACCAUAUUGCAUACCAAAGAAAGAAAAAAGAGGCUUGUAAAUGCAAACCAUAAAAAUGUGACACAAUCAACAACUAUAAAAAAAACAUAUGCAAUAUGCAUUGAAAAAAGCUCAUAAAAAUUAGAGAGUGAAGUCGAUUAAGUCAAGUAGAAUGUGUUGAGUUCCCUAAUUAUUAGUGCUUUUGCGGGAAAAUUUCACUUUUGGCCUAACCAAAACUAGACCACCUAUUCUUAGCGUUCUAAACAUAAUGAGGGAAAAUGAGGGUCGUCACUCUGAAGGGAGCAGUCAAACUUAGCAUUGAGUGUGAUUGGAGGUUUUGAAAAGAUGAGGAAUCUGAUAGACCCCCAUAUUACAUCUGUACAGCGGAAGAGGGACAAAGAAAUUGAAAAAAAAAAUAUCACGUGCACAUGAAUAGCAUGUGAGGGUUAGUAAAGGGAAGGUUUAGUUACCUUAUUGUUAGUAUAAAUAAAAAGUAAUCGUGGGCGGGAAAGUUAGGUUUUGUUUGAGAAAGUGAAUUUCUAUUCUUCCUUGAGAGAGAGGAUAACAGGAGAGGGAUUUCAUAUUGUAAUUAGGAUUUCAUUCCUAUUCUAUUAAUCAUUAAUAUUAUAGUAGCAAUUUCAUUCCAAGACUUGUUUCCAUCAAAUUGGUAUCAGAGCAUUGAUCUCGGGCAAGAAGAAUGCAAAUGGUUCAUACUCGGAUCGAAGAGAUGGAGACGUUUGACCAGGAAAUACAAGACAUUAAGAAAGAGAUUAGUAAGAUACUGGUGAUCGAAAAGACGUUGGCCAAAAUAUCCAAAAAUAUGGAGAGGUAGAAUCAGAUGAUGUUACGAAUUAUGGAAUCGACAACAAUGCACAAUUCAUCGACGAAGAAUGUGGACGAAGGCGAAGGAUGACCAAGAUGGGAGAACGAAACAAGGAAGGAAGAAAAGAAAAUAGAUGAUGAAAGUAAUAAUGACUGCAAUAAGUUUAAGAAGGUGGAGAUGUCGAUAUUCAAUGGAGAUGAUCUCGAUUCUUGGCUGUUUCGCGUAGAGAGGUAUUUGCACAUUCAUAAACUUACUGAAUUUGAGAAAAUGACUGUAUCCACUAUUAGUUUUGAGGGACUAGCAUUGAACUUUUACCGUUCUGAAGAAGAACGAGAGAACUUUGUAGAUUGGGUGAAUAUGAAGGAAAGAUUAUUGGUGCGAUUUCGAUCCGUGAGGGAGGAAUCAUUGUAUGUAAGGUUCUUGCAAAUUCAACAAAAGACAACGAUAGAGGAAUAUCAAAAUUUAUUCGAUAAGUGGUGGUAGCUCCUUUGUCGGACCUAUUAGAGAAGGUGGUAAAAGAGACAUUUAUGUCAGGAUUGAAACUGUGGAUCUAGGCGGAGAUGGAUUUAUGUGAGUCGAAGGGAUUAGCACAAAUGAUACUAAUCGCGCAAAAGGUAGAGAACAAGGAAGAUGUCAGGAAGCAAAUCUUUCUGGAUAUUCUGGAGAAAAGGUGAUAAACUCCCACAAUAGCACCAAGGCUAAUACCAUUGCGAAUACAGAAGAAAGUAAAGGAGGAAUGAAUUGGCCGAUGAGAACUAUUACUCUACGAGGAACAACAAAAGAGGAAGUACGGAAAGAGGGACAGACGAAGCGCUUAUUUGAUGCUGAAUUUCAAUCUAGAAAGAAGGGAUUGUGCUUUCACUGUAAUGAGAAAUAUUCUCAUGACCACAAAUGCAAGAUGAAAGAGCAAAGGGAAUUGCGAAUGAUUGUUGUGAAGGAAGAAGGCGAGGAGUAUGAAAUUAUUGAAGGAGGAAUUGAUCAGAAAGAAUUGAAUGCCCCUGAGAUCGUAGAGGAGAGUCAGGUGGUGGUGGAAUUAUCCAUUAAUUAUGUGGUGGGAUUAUCCAACCUAGGGAAAAUGAAGGUAAAAGAGAUGAUACAAGGGAAGGUGGCUAUAGUACUAAUUGAUUGUGGAGUCACACGCAAUUUCAUUUCAGAAAAAAAUAGUGAAAGAGUUGCAACUGAGUACAAAAGAAACGUCGAAUUAUGGAGUCAUUUUGGGCUCGGGCACUGUAGUCAAAGGGAAGGUAAUUUGUGAAGAUGUUGAGUUAAUGCUGGGAGACUAGAAGGUAGUGAAUGAGUUUUACACUUGAAGUUCGAGGGGUAGUUGCCAUACUUGGAAUGCAGUGAUUGUAUUCUUGGGAACGACUGGAGUGGAUUGGAAGAAUCUGAUGUUAACAUUUACAUAUCAGGGAAGAAGGUAAUAAUCCAAGGAGAUCCGAGCCUAACCAAGGUUAGGGCUGUCUUAAGAAGUUUAUGAAAACAUUGGGGGGAAGAAGAUCAAAGGCUUUUAGUAUAGUGCAAAGCGUUAGAAAAAUAAUCAUAUAUAAAUAAAAUGCUUCACCAUAUUAUAUAUAAUCAUUUCAAACAAUACAUAUAUGAAUAUUUCAUAUCAGUUGCAAAAAUAAUAUAAACAAUCUCAUUAGUUGGUCAUAAGUUCAACUCAAAUCCUAGUUCAACUCAACUUCCUAAAUUAACUAACUUAUCUAAAAACUAUCCCAAAAACUUCCCAAAACAGUUUGAGAAAGCUCCAAGUCGCAACGAAAAAGCUCUAAGUCACCGGUUCCAGCAGCCUGAAAAAAAUUUGAUGAUAAUUAAUAUAACAUAGCAUAAUAGAAAUCCAGCCAUCAUAUCAAUACCAACAUCAUAGUAGAUUUUGUGUUUGCACAUUUAUUCAUUCACUUCAGCUUGUGUAAUUGUUUAGUGAUAGAUCAUAAAUAAAUUAACUAGAAUUUCAAUGAAGUUAUUAGUAAGCCAGAAAUACUUAUAAUGCACACAUGAGGGAAAGUAAGUACAUUGUAUAAUUAAACAAACACCACAUGUUUUUCUACACACUUAUAAUUAUAAUGCACGAAAGAGGAAGACAUAAUGGAAUUGCAAAUCUAAGGUGCCAAGCCUCUAACACUUUGAACUAUAACUUUCUUUCAACACAAUCAAACAAAAAGCCAAUACAAAAAAUAUGCAUAAAUCACAACUGGAUAUCCAACCAUUGUGUUUUAAGUUCUAAAAAAAUAAAUUCUUGUUACCUAUUUGCAAACUAUAGUUAAUAUGAAAGUGUAACAAAAAAAAAUUAAACAAUAUGAAAGUGCAAACAUGGUUAACAAAUUGGUUGUUACCUUUUUUAGUCAGAAAUAAGUGACUGGUUAACAAAUGUUCUGCAUUUUACCUCCUGUAAUUUCAAAAAGUAGCUAGAUUUUUAUUAGGCAUGAACAAAGAGGGAAGUGAUUGAUUGAAUAAUAAAUUGCAAAAAUAUAAAAAAAUUCCAAUAGAAUGGAGAAAUUUUGAUACAAAUACAGCUUCUGCAAUGAUGAAAUAACAAUGUAGUUCAAUAAAAUUGACGGAAAACAAUGUUUCUGGUUAAGAAACAACCUCUGUGAUAGGUAUCAAGAACCCUCUCAGAACCAUAUUUCUCCAAAAUCCAUUUGUUAUCUAAUUGAAGGGAAUAAAAAAGCCAAAAAUUGUUAAAAUGUACAAUUAAAUGAAUAAGAAAUUCAAAUAUCAUGUGAAGUAAGAUCAUCUCUUCCACCUACCUAACCUUAUAAGUCUCCUGAUAUUCUCCACCUGCAUCAAAAUGUUUUGAAAUUAAUCAUAAGUGUAGACAAAUCAUAUAAUAUACAAACAUAAAUGGGUUUGUGUUCAUUCUCCCUCACCUCUUCUCUCAUCAAUGUUUUUUUUUUUUUUGAUCAGGAGACAUUUCUUCAUCAAGUGCAGAGUUUAGAGUAUCCCUCGCGGUCAUCUGUGCAUUCGGGACAAAUUUGGUUUAAAAAUGGUUAGUCUUUUUUUCAAACAACAUCAAGCAGUAAGAUGGACGACCAUUUCUCAACCAUAAUACAACCGUAUAAGCCAAGAUAAAUAGAAGGUAGAGAAAGUUAAUGGAAAAUAGUUACAUUACUCACCUACUGUGUGACAGUAGGGAAAAUACGGUCCCGUAUAAGCCAUAUCUCCUUCUAUCAAUCUGUAUCUUCUCAUAUCAAUCAUCAACUCCAUUGGAUUUGUUAGGAGAACCAAAGCACCAUGUGAUAUAUGGACUUUCCCCAACUUUUAUACGUGAAGAGGGAAGAGGAAUUAAUUUCUAACCUCUUCAUGCGUGAGGUUCAAAUUUCUAACCCAAAAAACCCAAAGCACCAUGAGCAAUACGUUGCUUCUAUACAAAUACAAAAGGUUCAAAUCACAAAUCAAGAUAUCUUCAUACGUGAAUGAGAUUAAUUUCUAAUCUCUAAAUAAAGAAGGAUGGAGUUUCGUAUAGAAAGCGACGAUGGAUGACAUUUUCCGAAGGACCCGACUUGAAGCACGGUGGAUGGCAGACGGAGAUUGAGUGUGAAGAGAUGGAAUUAAUCUUCGUGGCGAUUUCGAAUGGUGAUUUCGAACGAGUGUGAAAGCAAUUUCGAAUCACGUCAAGAAUGGGUGUGGGAUAGGGCUUCCCAAACUUCAAGAACGGUGAUUUCAGUUGGAGAUUUCAAAAAUUCAAGCGCGACGACAAUGUGAAGGUGAGAUUUCGAAAUGCUUAGGCGUGAAGAAGAAGAAGAUGCGUUUUAAUUUCUAGGCAAAAGGAUUAAUUCUCACCUAAUUAUAAUGCGUGUUUCCUUUUUUUUUUAUUUAAUCGAACUGACGUUUUUAAAACGUCAAGAACAACCGCUCUCUUGAUGUUUAAAAAUGUCAAGAAUGUCGAAUUUAUAAAAAUAGUUGACGUUUUUAAAAACUUCAAGAAUUUAAUAGAUAUUACUUGACGUUUUUAAAACGUCAAGGAUAAAUAAGUAUUACUUGACGUUUAAAAAACGUCAAGAAAGUUGAAGAUUGCAUAUCUCCGCCUUUUCAUAGAAAUUCUGACGUUUUUUCUUUGAAAUCACCGCUUUCUUGACGUUUUUUUCAAAAACGUCAAGUAAUUAAAACUACAAACGUCAAGAAAGCCUGUUUUGUAGUAUAGUGUAAGUUUAAGGUGUUACAUUUUGGUUUCAAAAACUUUUGGAAUUUUGUGAGAGGUAUAGACGUUCAUAUUCGAAUAGAUACAAAGGUAUAAUAUUUCCUAAACCCUAAUUCUUUAAUUUAGGGUUGCAAGUUAAAUAGGUGCAAUUAGGGUAAUUUUGUAUUCCAUUUUUCCACUGCGCAUGUCUCUUUCUAACAUAGACUAUGAAGAAACUUUCUCUAUCGUUGCAUGCUAAAGUCAAUUAGAAUAGUCUUAUGCAUCGCAUGUUUUAUGAUUAUGAAAUUUGGCAGAUGGAUGUCAAGACAACUUUUUUUGAAUGAAAAAUCGUGAAGAGAGUAUCUAUAUUACUCAAUUAGGGGUUUAUAGAUCAAGAUCAAGAACAAAAUUUGUAAGAUUCAAAAAUCCAUUUAUGGAUUAAAACAAACAUCUAGACCUGGAAUAUAAGAUUUGAUACUAUGAUCAAAUCUUAUGGCUUUGAUACAAAAGGUUGACGAACCUUAUGUUUACAAAAAAGGUCGUCAAUUCCAUUGUAGUAUUCUUAGUCUGUAUGUAAUGAUAUCUACUUAUUGGAAAAGGACAUAGGAUUUCAUACUAAUAUCAAGAAAUGCUAGCUAUGCAAUUUCAAAUGAAAGUUCUGGGAAAUGCACAAUACGUUCUUAAGAUCCAAAUUUAAAUACAGUAGAAGAAUUAAAAAGGGUAAUAUUGACCCACACGAGAAUAUAGGAGAGAUUAUAGGAGGAGAGAAUAUCGGAGGAGAUCUUUCCCAUUAGUUUGUUAGUAAAGCAAAAUAAAAUGGAAGAAAGAGGAGGGAGAAAGGGGACAAAAUAUUCCAAAGAAGUAGAGGCUGCCGUCUUUCGUGCUCGGGAGAAGUAGAGGGUCCAAGUCAAGUUCUUUUUAUUGUUUGUUUUGGUCAUUUUCAUGGUUGCGGUUUGUUCUUAGUUUUUCUUGUUCUUUGUUGUGAUCCUCACUGGAGUGUGCCUUUAGGAAGUAGAUGUGAGUGAUUUUUUAUUCUCUAUACUGUAAUUCAUUGAGGUAAUUCAAUAAAGUAAGAUACACUUGCCGUAUAUUUACAGUAUCUUAACAAAUUGGUAUCAGAGCGUUUUUACUUGGGAGAAUGAUAGAGCAGCACAAAAACGGAUCAAAGAGAAGUUGGAGACCUCUGAUAAGGAAAUCUCGGGGAUACAAGUGGAGUUACACAAGUUGCUGGCAAUUGAAGAAAACUUGUUAUGCUUGCCAAAAAGCAUCGAAAGACUGGUCAUCUAGUUGGAAAAACAAGAACGGUUGCUAAAUGCAUCGAAGGAAUAGCAGAAGGAUAAUUUGACGAUCUCCGAAAGAAUGGAAGGAUCGUCGAGCAAAGGACCAACGAUUGAGAGUAUAAUCGAAGGUGGAGGUAAGACAUUGAAGGAAAUCAAGGUAGAAGGUAAAACAAACAAGUUUGAAAGGGAUGAAAACUCGAACGAUCAUAGCAAAUUCAAGAAGGUUGAAAUGCCUGUGUUCAGUGGCACUGAUCUGGAUUGUGUUUAUUUAGAACGGAUUGGAAUCUUCAGGUCCAUAAAUUGAUGGAUUUCAAGAAGGAUCUGAAUCCAUAGAAGAAUCGAGGAAAACGUGAUUGCAACGGUUAUACAACGAAGGUGAAGAGGAUGGCAAAGAGUGACCAAGAAGAAACUAUAGAGGAAGGUCGACGAGGAUUACCUGUGAGGCUCGAAAUGAAGACUCGAGUGAAGAAAAAUUUGUUGCUAAAAGAAACACAAAAUGGCUGGUUGCAAUGGAGAAAGAAGAAGCCGAUAGUUAUCGGUCUACAGAGGCUCGAGAAGGUGGUCUGGAAUAGGGGUGAAUCACGUGACGAGGAAGAAGUUGUUGCACACAUGAUGGUGCCAAUGGCGUGGUAGAAAUUGGUAGGACAGAGGAUUAGGACAAAAGGAACAAUCUUGGGUUUUACUAUUUCAAGUGGGCUUCAACUUACUCUAAAUGAGCUUCAACUUAUUCUAAAUAAAACAUUGGGGCACAUCAUUUUGUAGAUGAAGUGGGUGGAGAGUUCCAAAAAUAGGAGGGAAGAAAAACUUGUAUGUAGGUGGGUCCUAGGAAUGAAACCGGCGGCAGUAUGAUUUUGGUCUUGACGCAACACUUUGAUUAUGGCCUAGCCCACUAGAGAUGAAGAGUUUGAAAAUUAAACACUUGUUGGUGAUAUGCAAAGGGUUAACUAAGACAAUGUGUUUUGGAAAAGGAAAAUUCAAGUACAUUGGGCUGCUUUGUGGGCUGAAGUCAAUGGACCUUAUUGGAAUCGAGAGUUUUUCAAAGCCGAAGGGGAGGAUUUCUUUUUCAACAUUGAAGAGCAGAAUGCUGGGGAUUGUUUGCAAUUAAAAAGAGAAAAAAAGAGAAAGGGGCCUUGAUCAUGUUUGCAAGCACACCUUGAGGACAAGGUGUUUUGAAGCAUCGGGUAAUGUUAGAUACCUAGAUUAGUAUAAGGUUAGGGGUAUAAGGGUAAUUAGAUAUUUAGAAAGUUACUAGUAGUUAUUAUGUAAGUGUGGUUACAUCUUAUUAUAAAUGGAGGGAGGGUAAGUGAGGGGAGAAUUCUGGGAAGUGAUCUAGGGCUUGGGUGAGAGUACUCAAGAGGGAGGUUCCAAGUGCCUUAUACUUGGUUUUAUCUUGUAUUUUCUUAUAGUUCAUUAUAAUAAAUUAAGAUCUUGUUCUUGUUAGGAAGUAUCCUAACAGAAUUCCUCUAGAAGGUCUCAUGUUAGCGAAUGAUAAUCUGCGUUAAGUGUGUAUUUGUAGGAGUUCUUCUCCCGGACAUCUAUGGUUGAUAUUUUUUACCUUUCAAUAUAUCAAAGCCAAGGAUUCUUUUGCAUUUCUCUAUGCUUUUUCUUUACCCAAUUAUGCUUUUUUCAGUUAUAUUUGGGAGUAGUAUUUCAUUUCUUUCAUGUGAAAUGUUGAACUUCAGUAGUGUGGAGAGUGGAACGUAAUAUCUUACCUUUUAUAUUAGUAAACUUGAUUUUAAGCAAUGUGUUUUUGAAGAUUUUAUGUUGUAGAUUGUUUUUUGUUCUUCAAGCUACUGUUCUUAACUUUAUUUUCUCCUGUUAUUGUUCUCAAUGAUUAUCGAGCAUAUGCAUUACCAUGUGGCUUCAAGCGUGUCAGUGUGCUCUUGCUCAUAAUUUUUACUAUAUCUUGUUACUAAAAUUGCAAGUUAAUUGCAAAUUACUCAGAGCUUGGAUUGUCUCCUCCAGUUGGUUAAAGGAAAGCUACCGGGAAGGCAGAUUUGUUGGUAAGUUCGAAUGGCUUGCUAGUAUCAAAGCGUAAUGUAUUUUCUUCCACUUAUGUUUUUCAUCCUACCUAAUUUUUGUGAUUGAUUAAUUCCUUAUUGAUCUGCAGACGAGUUGCCUUACAUACUAAAUGAUGAUGACUACAUAUCGAAGUAUCGAGCCAGCCUAAAAGCUGCAGUUCUCAAGGCAAAAGCAUGUUUUUGAGCUUUAUUUGAAGGGUAUGAUGUUUGCAUAUCAGCUCACGCUCAACCACCACCUAAAACUCUAUCCCUGAUAGUCAAGUCAGCCGGUGGAAAUGUAAGUUCUCUGUUAUUGUACAAAUCUCGAGUACUAGGUUUGGUUCUCUAUAUUACACAUACAACCACUAUAAUAUGGCUAUCCUCCCAUCUAAUGAAGACGUGAAGUUCUCAACAAACAAGCACGUAUACGAAUUCUAGACAUGGGUCAAUAAAUUAUAGACAUGGUGACGUGUCAUUUUUUUCUAAAAAAUAUAGGAUAGUGCUAGAACACAGUUUUAAUAUAUAUAAUUUAAAAAGUAUGUAUCAUAUUUAUAUAGAAAUUCAAAGUCAAUAAGUUUAUGUAUUUAUAUGCUUAAAAAUAAGCUCAUCCUUCACUCAAAACUUAUUCAAAGCCAAGAGUUUAAUAUGUGUGUGUAACCAAUCUUGACCUUUAUUGCAUUGGAAUACUUGUUGUCUAACACAUCUAUUGUACUAACUAGUGUUCAACACGUGUUCUCCGAGUGUUCCAUACAUAUUGUUUAUUGAUACACUAGCCAAACUUGAGUGUAUGUGCUUCUUAAGUCUUUAAUAUUUAUGUUUGUUUUGAUCCUAGGAAUUGAGCAUGUAAUGUAAAAAGUCUAUGCACAAGGGGUCAUAUGGCCAUCUCCGUGUUUCUUUAAUUAUCAAAUUUGUUCAAGUUUUUAAUUGUCUCUAGAUCGAAAUCUGGAGUUAUUUUUUUGUGAUUUGGUGUACAAAUACAUACAUCCAUGUUUCUAAUUAUGAUUAGAUUGUUUUCUGGUCGCAACAUUUUAUUGUUUAGCUUGUCUUUGAUCUUGAACUUACUAUUAUGUUGAUUUAAAUUCCAUUUUAGCCUUAGAACUUUCAAAACAUCCAUUUUAGUCAUCGAGCUUCCAAAACGUAGCCAACUAACGGUUUUAGUAUUUUGUAAAUUAUUUUAUCAAUUAAUAUUCAUUUAUUCAAUACUCAUCGGUCAUUUCUGCUAUAUGUGAUUGGAAUAUAUCUCAUAGGAAGCAUUUUGAAAGUUGAAAAAAGAUGGAAAAUUUUAGGGACUAGAACAAGAAUUUGUUUAAUAUUUUUUUAUAGGGUGAAUUCUUGCAAUUUCCUUGUAGUAUAUACAUAAUUUUUUCUCUCAUUUGGCAAAUUCAUUAUGCUUGAAAAUUUAGGUGAUUCAUGAGCUAGAUAAAGUAAACAAUGUAUGAAAGACGAUCUUUGUGGCUUGUGAGGAAGACGUGGAGGAAGCCUUGGUGGCCGUAGAAAAAGGGAUAUGGACUUUCAACGUUGAAUGGCUAAUGGCAUGUAUAAUGAGACAAGAAGUAGACUUGGAGGCCCUUCAAUUUGCUGAGUCCCUAUGAGAAACAAGGUCACCCUAACUUUCAGUUUUGAACAAGCAGCAGCCAGCCAUUUCGUCCUUGUGUAAAUCCACUCUUUUCUCAACUCACUCUAAUUUGGUACAUAAACAAACUCUGAUCGCUCCAUCUCUAUAUUCAUCAGUACAUAAAAGACGAUAAGUUUAUUCAUGGAGAAAGUUGGAUGUAAGUAUGUUUUAGGAAUGGUCCUUCAUUUAGUAACUUUGGGAAUUGUAAAAAUGAGGUAAUGAAGUUCUAUCAAGUUGAAUGUUCUUGUUUAUGUUAGAUGAGACUGAUUCUUGGAUACCAGAAUUAACUUGAAGUACGUGUUUGAGUUCCAUUGGAGUGAUUAGAGAAAAAAUGUUCCUUUAAAAAGGGUAAUUUUUUUAUGUAGACUUUCUUUUUAUUAAAAUUCCUUAAAAUACAAUUUGAGAGUAUUUCAAUAGCUUUCAAAGAGUUGUCAAACACUUGUAGUUUUUCUAAAAUAACAUAUUUUCAAAUAUUAAAGUUUUUGACGAUAAUUUACAUGGAAUUACACGAUCAGUUACCACUAUCAAUAGAAUCACUUACAAAUAUUAACACGAUCGUGUACCGAUAACAAGACGAUUGUUUACACUAUUCAAUACGAUCACCAAUAUCAUAUGAUCGUGUACCCAUGUCAACACGAUAAUUUAUUUUAAUCAAUAUUAUCAUUUACCGUUGUUAAAUGGUCGUUUAUCACGGUUAAUAGGAUCGUUUAAUGUAUAUUAUUUCAUCGCACGAUCGUUUACUUAUUCUUGCAUUAUGUUUAGUAUUAUCAUUUUGUACAUUUUAUUAUUUUAUUCAGUAAUAAAUGUAUAUCUAUGUCUAUCUAUUUCUUUCUAUCACAAUUAAAUACUUAAUUUUAUUAUUAUUUUUUUUACAGAUUAUAAUGUCUUUUCCUAUUGUUGUUUUUUAUGGAGGUCAAUGGAAUGGAUGUAAUAUUUAUGAGAAUUACUUAGUUGCUGAAAUUUUGGUAGAUGUCCGAGUGAGCUUUAAUUCUCUAGUUGAUUUAAUAUGUGAACAGAUUCAAUUGGAUGGAUAAGUAGAAUUAUCUGUUUUACUUGAUUUUGGUAAAAGCAAGGUCCAACUGUGGUGCCAGUAAAAAAAGACAAUGAUGUGGCUUGGUAUUUAUCUUUUGCUAAAGAUGCAACUAAUAUACAUCCAUUAGUUGCCCAUGUAACUGUUGAUUUUUUAGAAGGUCUUCUUCUUCUAGUAGUGUACGAUAGAAUGUUGAUAUGCAUUGAAUGUAGGUUCUUCUUCUUAUGUUUCAAAUGAUGAAAUUAUAAGAGACAUCUCAUAUCAUGGUGAUUUGAAGGAAAAUAGUUUAUUUGAAAGUAAAGAGAUGCUUUCAAAGUGUUUUGGCAUAAUAGAAGUGAAUAACAACUUUCAAUUUAGAACUACAAUAUCAAAUUUGAGGUCUCUUGAAUUUAGAUGCCUACUAGAAGAGUGCAAAUGGUUUAUUAGGACAUCUCGUUAUAAGAAGAGCGAGUUGUGGAUGCUAUGAAAAUACAUUUAUGAACAUGACUGUUCAUUGAAUACUAGUUGUCACAUGCAAGCUUCUUCAACAGUAAUUGACAGUUGCUUGAUAGAUGAGUUCAGGUUCAUGUCUACUGAUCGUUUCAUUCCAAAAGCAAUUGUGCAUAAGGCAUGUACAAAUCUUGGAGUUAAUAUAAGUUAGCAGAAAGCUUGGAGGGCGAAAGAACACAUAGUAAAGAUAUUAAAAGGUGACACGGUUAAAUCAUACAUGUUGAUUCCAAGGUUCUUUGAUAAAUUGGUUGAAUCUAUCUCAGGUAUAAUGAGUUUCAUAUAUAGAAUGAUGACAUCAAAUUGUGUAGACAGUGUAAAUUUAGUUUUUAAAGAUCUUAGAGAACCACCUGUAGCUACCAUGUUUAGUUCAAUUAGAGAUGUAUUGCAAAAGUGGUUUGAUGAAAGAAGUAAAGCUACUUUUACAAUGAAGAGUUGUUUGACUUCUUGGGCUGAGAACGCGUUGCAUUUAGAAUAACAUGAAAAGUCAAGAAUUUUAUUGGUAAGGUUUUUUUUUUUUUUUUAAUGUUUGUAUCUCAGGUAGAUAUAAAUAGACUGCUAUUUUUGUCCAUCCGAUAGAGAAAUAUAACAAUUUAUGUGUGCUUGUUUCAGAUAGAUAGAGAUAGAUAACUAUCAUCAAUGUCUAUUUGUCUCUAUUUGUGCAUGCUUUUUUUUUUUUAAUUUUUCUAAUUAAUAGUUUAGUUUAAUAUUAUUUAAUUAAAUUUGAUUUAAUUAAAUUAAUAUAAAACUAUAAGGUAUUGGAGAGAUAUUCAUUCAAUAAGAUUUAAAUGAAAUAUUAAUUAAAUAUGAUUUAAUUAAUUAUUAACUAAUUGAUUAAUGGUUAAUUAGUUAGUUGAUUUGAAACUUCUAUUAAUUUAAUAAUUUUUAAGUUAAUAGAAUCCUAUGAUUUUCUCCUACCCCGUCUCCUACUCAAUGAAAGAAAGAGAGUUAUAAAUAUGUAGAAGAAAAACAUUUUCUUAACCAAAAUAAAAUCGAUGAUUUUCUUUUCUGCAAAAUAGAUUGUAACGACCUAAUUUUUCGAAUUAAGCUGAAGUUAUUACUUUAAGACUAGAUUCAUCCUUAACCAUAAGACUUUAUAAUUUAAAAAAUAUAUUUUUAACAACAUUAAAGAGUUUUUAUUCGGGCUCUAUUUCAAAUAAAAUUUUGAAAGUGUAAAAGUAUCGAUAAUAAAGAAAGUUCAAAACAUAAAAGUCGUUCAAUCAUGAAACCCAAAACAGUCUCAAUUACUAAAGAAAACCAAAAUAAAAAAAAUAUAAAGUAGAAGCAAUUUGAAGACAUUUCCUUAUGGCAGUUUCACGGAAAAAGAUUAAACAUAAAAGGGUGAGUAUAAACAUACCCACUAAGAGACUCACGACUGAUCCUGUUAGAAGAAAAAUAAAAUUGUUAACUUCCUAUUGGAGGUGCCCUGCACUUUAAAAGUCUUGUGAUCAUGUAGGAAUACACAUAAUCAGUCCAAUGCCCUAAAGGACACAAAUAUUAGUCUAGUGCUCUGCAGAAAGCACAUGUCCGUCUAGUGCUCUCGAAGAAUGCACAUGUCAGUCUAUUGCUCUCGAAGAAUGCACAUGUCAUUGUAGUGCUCUCGAAGAAUACACAACAGGUGGUGAUCCCGUAGGACACCUUCAAGGCACACUACCCAAUCGACAAAGCUAACAAUUUUCCCUUAGUCUGUUAUAAACAUUUAAUCAAUCCAUUCCUAGUAUAGUCAAACUACUCCAUCAUAUCAUCAAUCCAACUUAACACACUUACGUUCAAUCUAUUCAAUCUAUCACAAAAUCAGUUGAUACUAUAACAACACACCAGACAGUCAAGAUAUAUAUAUAUAUACAUAACACCUUUCUCAGUUACAAAUACAUUAUCCAUCGUAUCUACUUCUAUACCAGUCUGACAUAAUAUACAUUUGUCAUCAUAUCUACUUCUACAUAUAUUUGGUAAACCAUACUAAGUCCAGAGAUCCAAACAGUCAACACAUUUCAAAAACUUUCAAAGAGUCCAGUAAUAGAAACCCCUUACUUUAAUGUUACUCAAAUUUCUCGAACGAAGAAACCUAAUAAUAAGAAUAUGGAACUCAAUUACUUUCACAAUACUUUCUUUCAUUUAAUUUCCUCAAUGUAAAUUCUAGCUUACCAAAGUAUUGGCGAAUCGAACUCCAACAAAUCUACAAUUUAGUUGUGAAUCCAAAGAACUCAAAUGCUACCUUCAAGAAUCAAUUAACAAUUGAACUAAUUAUCCAAAACUACAACCCAAGGAUAAUUACAAUGUAAAACCACCACACUCACCAAUACAACUUACCACAAAAAUCCCAAAAAUUAGAGUAAAAUGGGGGCAACAACUUCGAAUAACUAGAAUCGACGCGUGUAAUAGAUCAGAUCUAAUCAACAAACGAAAAACAAACUUCAGCUUACAACCCAUGGCUGGAAGGUGAAGAGCCGCGCGAUGGCACUUCAACAGACGCGACGGGCUCAGGUCUGGUCGACGGCUGCUUCAACUAAGUAACAACGCCGGUGAGAUGAUAGGUCAAUCGGUGACGUUACUCAUCACCUGGAGCAGAAUGUGGUGGCGCGAACGUCGAAGGAGCUACGCGCGAAUGAAUCACAGCUUGGCUGGAAAACAUAGGUGAGACGCGAUGCCGAGAGUUCGAACUCACGACGAACGGUGCUUCAGCUUCAACGGAGACGAAGCGAUCAAUGACGGCGUGGCCGGUUGACGUCCAAGAGUAAUAUAAAAUGGCUAAGGGAGGCAAGCGGCAGUGGGCACGGGGAAGAGGAAGAGUGAAGGAGAAAGAGAUGGGGUUGCACGUGAAUCAAUAAAGAAUUGAUAUUUUAAAUUAAUAAUAACAUUAAUUCUAUUAUUAUUAUAUAUAUUAUUAUUUAACCUUUAGUAUUAGUAUAUUUUUUCAUAAAAGCCCCCUUCACUUCCUGCUAAAUCCACACCACAACCAAAUUCCUUAAAAUCUUAAUAAAAUUUAAAAAAUUUAGCUUGAGAGAAAUACCUUGAUAUUGGGGGUGUUACAUAGUUUCUCUAUAAAUUUUUUUUUCAUUCCAAUUGUUUUCCACAAACCAAUCUCAUCUUCGAAGAUAGGAAGGUCUCUAACGGGUGGUGUCCCCAAUUCGGUGGAUUAUAGAUUCAGAGACGUCAACAAGAGUAAGUUCUAUGUAUCUUUUAAUUUAAAAGCAUAUUUAGUUCUUUAUUUAGAACUUUGAUUCUAAAUAUUGUCAAUGUACUUGUAUUUGGAAUUUUCAAAUUAAAAUUGAUGAAUGGUUUUGUAAAGUCUUUCACUGCCAAGAGAUUUUAUCCCUUUAGGGCACACAUACCAAUUAAACUAAUGCAAGACCUUUGACAUAGUUAAUGGUAGCAUCUCACAAAGUGGAAGUGGUUGGCUUACCAACGGAAGAUUUUCAAUCAUUCUAGCAGUCCCUUUUCUGUUUGAGUAUGACCUUCCAUAUUUUCUGCUAUAUUACUUAUAGCUAAUAUCAAAUGUGCAUCUCUGCCAUAUAUGCUAAUAUCACUGCCUGACUGCUCUUGAUGUUGAGGCGUUGUUUCAUUUUUGUUCCCUACACAGAAAAAAAAAAAUCAUUGUUGUUUAUUUAUAAUCUAAGCAAUUUUAAACAAUAUAAAGCAGUAACUAAAGAAUUAAACACUAACAGUUGAGUUUCUACAGUAGAUUCUUGAAGAUGUGGCUCUUGAACAGAUGAAUUCUCAUGGAUGAUCACAUGUUUGUUAUUUUGAUGGUCAUCAUUCUUGUCCAAAUUGUGAUGACUAGAAUCAUCACGAAGAUCAUCAUACAUGUUAAUAUCAUCAAACAAUUCAUUCUGAUUCUAGUAUAGAAAGAAAAAAGGAUAAUAAAAAAAUAGUUACAAAAUGAUCGUGUAUCCUUAAGCAAACAAUCGUGUAGAAUAUCUAAACAGUUGUUUUACCAGGGGUGAUCGAUAUUUCAGAAGGGAUAUGCGAUCGUUCAUAUGUGAUAUGCGAUCGUGUAAAGAUAUAUAAAACCUUUGUUCUGUCAGAAGUCGUGCUAAGAAGAGUUGAAAACUUGUAAUAAGAUCCAUUAAACUGAAAGAUUUUACAUCAACACGUUCCUGACACAGUAGUGCAGUAUCAAUGAGCAUCAAAUUACGUGAGAUGUGUAUUAGAAAAUAUCUAACUGCUCAGUUAAUUUUUAUGGACAUCAAAUCACCUUUUUCAAGCUUAAGGAAGGAAAUGUCGGCACUAUAUAUGUCAGAGUUGUGCAUUGCAAUGGAAGUGCCAACACGAGGUGAUACAUGUGUGUCUUUCUGGAUGUAAAUGCCACUCCCCGACUAGGACCAGCAUAGUCUUAGGGAGAAAGCAUGCUAGAAUUGGAGUGUCCUCAAUUUCUUCAAGGACUUGAGCAUUUCUUCUUACACUAGAAUGUCUCUGUUCAGAGAGUUUAUAGAUUUCUCAAGGCCAUUUUUGCAUACUUAACAGCUCUUGACAACGGUAGAGAGUCUAACUCUACACUUUCAGGGGGUUCCAACUCCACCACUCGCUGAGCCAAAGAUAGAGACGAAUCAUUAAUGAUCCAGUAAGCAACAUGAAACCUUGUAAUUUUGGGGUCAACGGUAGUCCCUCCCAUUACUAGCUCAACACUCAAACGGAGUCUCCUGUAUAAAAUAUAAAAUAAUACAGACACAAAUAGUGAAUGAAAUCUUGUGACGUAACAAACAUAAAUUUUAUGUAUACUGCAAUUUGACUAAAUAUUGAACAAGAAAGCCCAAGGGAAUACACAAAAAUCCAACGAUUUUAGGGUCAAUUUGAAAAAUGGCAAAACUACUUUUUCUUUUCAAUUUUAGCAAACAACAUUUUUUGCACAUAGUUUUGUUUCUAUGUUGUUUCUCCAACUAAAAUUAUUUUGUUUCUAUGUUGUAAUUAAUUUAUAUUAUGCAUUUAUCAGCUUUUAAUUAUUUUUUACCUGAAAAAGAUACAUAAACUCAUAUCGUGCUUUUUUCUUAAUAUCUCGGGACUCAACUAAUGGAUUCAAGACUUUAACUUUAUUUAAUCUUACUAAUUUCAAAAUAACCUAAUUGAAUUUGAAUUUCAAAAUAACAAAUUGAAUUUCAAAAUAACAAAAUUAUUAUUUUUCAGAAUUUGAUAAUCUCAGCAAUAGAUUUUGUAUCAAAAUAACUUUAAUUGAAUUUCAAAACUAAAAAAUAUCAACUUAUUCACUAUCUAUAUCUCACAAUAAUAUUAAUGGCUUGAAUAUCAAGAUCAUUAAAUUAUUGUUUUAAAAUUGGGAGAAACUCAACAUUAAAAAAUAUCAACUUAUUCACACACAAUCACACGCGCACACACACAUACGCUUGCACGCGCGUGCACCCAUACACGCACACACACACGCGUGCACACAAGCACACACACACAAACGCACACAUGCACACACACACACCAAACAACACGCACACAAAUGCACACGCAAACACGCACACACCUACUCACGUACACAUGUAUGUGCGCAUACACACACCCAAACACACGUGGACAUGCGCACACGCGAGCGCACACACACACGCACACUGAUUGUUCAAUUUCAUCAAUAGUUCCUAUUUUUACUGACAGUUUAUUUUUUGCCAUCGAUAGAGGAUCUUCCGACAGACCUAUGUGACGGUGUGUGUUGACAGCUUAAUUUCGUUGGCAAAAGAAAAGUCGAUUAGUUUUUGAAGAUUUACUGACGAUAUUUGUCAUCGACAAAGGGUAAAUUUCUUGUAGUGCAUGUACAUCAAACAUAUCAAAUUUGUUAAGUGUACCAAUGAAGUAUAACAAGUUUAUUAGUGGUGUAUCAAGUGUAUCAAACUUAUAAGUGAAGUCUUUAAGUGUAUCAAACUAAUCAAGUGUAUCAAGGCCUCAGGGGUAUCAAGUGUAUCAAGAAGAAUCAAGUGUAACGAGAAGUAUUAUGUGGAACGAGAAGUAUUAUGUGUAUGAAGAUGUUUCAGGUGUGUAUCAAAAAGUAUCGAGUGUAUCAAUGAGUACCGAGUGCAUGAAUUGUAUCUAUCAAAUGUAUCAAGUGUAUCAGUAAAAAGUAUCAAGUGUAUCAAGGGGUAUUAGGUGUAUCAGACGUGUAUAAGGUGUAUCAAAUGUACAUCAAUAACGAGGGCAUUUGUGACAUUUUACCUCUUGAUGUGUGAGCUGGUCUUUGUUUUUGUCACUUUCUCAAAUAAUAAAGUAUGUGUUCUAUGGACUUAAUUAUUAUAACUUAUUUUGCCAUUUUCGCAAGUGUCCCUUAAUUGUAAUACAUGUAUAUGUGACAUAAUCUAAUCAAACUAACUCAUAAAUGGACUUAAUCGAUCUCAUGGACCACAAAUUCUUCAAUUACUUGCAAAUUUGGUGAGUUCCUUCAAACGGUGGGCGAAGAGCUUAAUUUUAAGAGAGAGGAAAAGUCAUGAAGAGUAUUUGCUAGAGAGGGGGAACGUCGCCAGAGAGCAUUUGCGAGAGAGAAAGACAGCGACGAUGUGGGAAGUAAGUUUUUUCGGUCGUGUUCACAAGUGGGAUGAAAGCUUCGAAUUAUUUGUUUUAAAUCAUGAACAUACAUUGACUAAAAAACUUAAAUUGAUGAGUGAAUGUAAUAAAUUUAAUAUUAAUUAUAUGAUCAAUACUUUACACAUGUAUAUUGGUAUAUCAGUCAAUAACAGUAGUAAGACAAAUUAUAAAAUAUAAGGGAUAAAAGUCCUACACAUGCAUGUAUGGUAUACUAUCUUGAUAGCAAAAAGGAGAUCAAUAUUCAGUAAAAAUACAUAACAGAAACUGGAGAGGAAAAAAGCUAAAAUAGAAUAUGCGGGGGAAGGCUAGCUAGGAAAUGCAUACAUAGCAGAAAAUAUGGUUUGAAGAGAGGGUGAGAGAGAAUGAGGAAAGUUGCAGCUAGCAAUGAUAACUUUCGCCUUGUUCCAAUAACCUUAUUUUGCCUUGCUCCUCUGUCUCUUGCAAUUUACACAUAAAGCUUUGGCGAUUUUACCAAAGUGGAAGCAGCUAAGGGGACGAAGGUAUAUUCGGAGAGAGAUUGUUAAACAAUUGUAAAAAGUAAGCCCAAGAAGAGAGGUCCAAUAAAAUUCAGCCACCUCUCACAUAGUAAUUGAAAUAGUCUAGCAACUUCAACCAUUUCCCUCACAGAGAAGAAGAAGACCAUAGCCACUCGAGGCUUUUGCAUAGACAAACACCAAGAAGAUGGUGUCUGGUUCCGUAUCUGUGCUAAGCGCGUCGUUGUUGACGCCAGACAUCACACCUUGGAAAGGCUCUCUUCCAUUAUAUAUAGCCAAAGAACUUCCGAAUUAUUGAAAAUAAAUAUUUUAAACAAUUUUAUAUUCACCUUUAAUUUAUAUUCACUUUUGUUAGAAGCUAUUUCUUCUUCAUUUUUCUCACGAAAAUCACAUAAUUUAUUUACUGUUCUUGUAAAUGUGUAAUGAUUAUUUUAUCAUUUCAUGUGAACAAUAUGAUUUUGUUACCAUUUACUCUCUUUGCUUUUUACUAUUGAAAUCUCCCUAACUAUAAACUAAUUGCACAAUUUUGCUCCUAAUAUACGAUCAUGUAGCAACCUAUAAGCCAAGAGUAAAAACAAGAAUCAAUUGAAGAGGGAAUAAAUUGAUAUAUAUCACCCUGGAAGAUGAAAUAUACAUGAAAGAGGGAAUAAGUUGAUACAAAAACUAAUCACCAUUCAUCAUAUAUGAACAAAAUAUGUAAUGAAAUGCUUGGAAUGAAACAUGAUGAAAUAAUUUUCAUUAGAAUAAAAUAAAGGGUAAGAAAAUGUAUCCAUACCUUCGGAUGGUAUUAGAAACAAUCAUCAUAGGCAAAUUCUGAGUAACGACACCAAAAAACUGAACUACUUUAGGAUGACGGAUCUUUUCCAAUAAUGUCAACUCAUGUUUGAAUGCAUUUAUGUAGGAAAUUCAAUAAAAUAAUUAAGAAACCUUGCAAUAUGUGAGAGAUAUACGAACUUCAAACAAAUUUUACAAGUUUCAGCAAAAAUUUUCAAACAACUUUUAAAGUUUAAGCAAAAAGUAACCGUAGGUAGGAAGGGGAGCAAAAGUGGGGUCUCGAAUUAAUUCUGAAAAAUUAGUAGGCUUUCAAAAUUUAGGUUCUAGAAGUAGAAUUAUUGCAGAAAAAUAAAUAAUUGCAUCAUUCAAAUUGAAUCAGACAUAUCAGGAUGUUAUAUUCUCCACAACGUAUAAUGGAGUAUAAACAUAAAGUUUCUAUAUACAAAGCUAUGUAUCUCUACCCUUGACUUCUCUUUCUCUCUUUCUACCUUUUUUAUCCUUUCUUUCUCCCAUUCACUCAAUACACUUGCAAGAACCUUCAUUUUUUUUGUAUUUAAAUUUUCUUGGCACCAUCCUUUUUUUAAUUAUCAAGGCUUUGUUAUUGUGUACCAGUAUUGUGUCGUGCCAUCUUCACUUCUCAUCAUCAUUUUCAUGUCACAUCUCUACCUUGUCAAUUUUCGUUUUUCACUCAGCUUUCUUUCUUCUUUUGUCUUCACUACUUUCUUCACUCCUUCUUCUCAAGCUCUAACUUUUGCUAUUAUCAACCAGUCUCAAAUGACCAUUGGAAAACCUAUAGCCCACUGAGAGGCAGCUAAUAUUGUAAUGCCUCUAAUGAUAAACUCCAAUGAAAUCAAAAGUUCUUCUUUAAGAUUUGGAAAAAUAUAUUAGAUAAAGCAUAAUUAGUUGAAAAAGAACCUCAAAAUUUUGUGUUAAACGACUACAAUUUCAUCAUAUAAUAUGCCAUAUUGACAUCAUAUUUUUCCUACAAAAACAUAUUAACUAAAAUAAGCUCAUAAACACGAAAAUGCACUAAGUGUUGGUUAACAUACACUACCUUGAAAUAUGACAAAGACUUUUUUUCCCAACCAGACAGCAUAAUUAGGAGGUAGUUUGGGAGCAAACAGAAUUGACUUAAUUUCCACUAGUAAUAUCCUAUAAAAUUUCAAAUUCUUGAAAUAUGGAAACCAGUGGAAGUUUUAGGGGAAUGAAGUAUAACCUCUAAAUAUAGAAGGACGACAUAAAGGGGAAUGAAGACUCAAAAGAAGGACGACUUUUUCGUACAGAAGGACGACAAUUUUGAGGGACAACGAAUGACGAUUUCAGAGUAUUAAGGAUGGCAGAUGACGGAAGUCUUAGGGAUCUCGUACUCAGUGGAUGGUGAACGACUGAAAGCGAAGGAUCUAGUACGCAUUUUCGGAGAGGGCGUGUGUGAAUGCGGAUGGACGGACGGUGAACACGGCAGAAGUGAGAGAUCCUCACAGAGAACUUGGCAUUUUCGAAUGCGGCAGAGACAAGUCUAGGGCUUCGAAGGAUUCAACCCAAAUAUUUUCUUUUAUAUAUAUAUAUAAAUAUAUAUUUAAUAACACUUGACGUUUUUAAAACGUCAAGAAAAACGAUCUUACUUGACGUCUAAAAACAUCAAGAAAUUUUAAAAUAACUCUUCUUCGGCUUUUUAUAAAAUUCUUGACGUUUUAAAACAUAAAGAAUUUUUAAGAUAUUUCUUGACGGUUUUAAAAUGUCAAGUAAAAGUACAUAUUACUUGACGUUUGAAAAUUUUGAAGAAUGUUGAAUAUAUAAACAUUCUUGACGUUUUAAAAACGUCAAAAUAUUUAUAGAUAUUUCUUGACAUUUUUAAAACGUAAAGAAAAAAUACAUAUUAGUUGAUGUUUAAUAAACGUCAAGAAAUCUGAAAAUUGACCUACCCACGCCAUUUCGUAAAAAUUCUUGACGUUUUAUCUUUGGAACUACCCCUUUCUUGACGUUUUUUGAAAAAAAUGUCAAGAAAGAAAAACAACAAACGUCAAGAAAGGCCUUUUUUGUAGUAAUGACAUACGUAUAUAUAUAUAUACAUACAUAAAUAAAUAUAUAAAUAUAUAUAUACAUACAUAAAUAAAUAUAUAAAUAUAUAUAUAUUAUUAUAAUAUUAUAUAUAUAUAUAUAUAUAUAUAAUGAAUUAAAAUGGUUUUGUUGCUUUACUGUUUUACUCUAUAAAGGAAGAGCAUUAUAAAUAUAUUAUUGAGGAAACAUCUUUCGAAAUGACUGGUUUUGGAAGUGUCAUUAGAUUUUUAGUUAGUUAAGCACAUUUUCCUCCAAAAUAGUAGUCGAAAUACAACUUGUUUUAAGAAGAAGAAACCGAAUCCUUCAAACUAGGAUAAACCUAGGAUAAGAGUCAUUACCUAUUAACAUAGAGUUAAAGUUACAAGGUUGAAGGCUAGAGGGAAGCCCGAAGCAACCUAAUCUAACAAAGCUUAAAGUUAAGAGUUGGUAGUAACAUCAUAUUGGUUACAAGAUGAAUGACGCCUAGACCAAACUCCGAUCAAGUUACAUAUGUCUUCCCACAAGUUAACAAUAAACCUUGAUUUAUCCUUAAAAUUCUAUCGUUUCUUUCUAUCCAAACAAUCCAAAGUAAGCCAGUUAUGGAGGGAGGAAUACACAUUAGAGAGCUCAGUUAAGGAUGGAGGAAUACACAACUUUUUCUCGUGGUCAUUUUCCUCGUGGGCAUUCUCUUCAUGUUUCUUCUUAUUCCGACUAAAAUACAAGCAUAAAUUAUUCUUCGCCUUCGUAUAGGUUUGUUUGAAGAAGAUUAAAAAAGUCCUUAACUUAUCUCGACACUUCCAAAACCAGAAUAUAAUACCUGUGCUACAUAAAUCCCUCUUUCCAAAUAGUCGAACAUGAACUAUCCAUGCAUAUCUUGGAAUAAACAAGAGAAACCCUAACUAAACCCAAAUAGAAAAUACGCUGCAAUCUAAAAUAUACUUAAAGAAACAAAAAGAAGUUUUAAUGUUGUGGGUUUUUUACUGAUCUUCUUCAACAACAAAAUAACUCAACGCCACAGUUCAAUUUUUCCUUCCACAAAUUGGGUUUUAAAGAGUUUUCACCGCGAAUUUAUCUUUUUUGGUUCGACAAGUAACAACAUGUGAAUCCCCAAAUGCGAGGUUUUAUUAAAAAUUUAAAAUAUAUUUUUUUAAAAAAAAUUAUAAUACCUAAAAAUAUAUUUUUUAUAUUUAUAACCUAAUUUUCUGUCAUUACAUACUUGAGAGAAAUAUAUUUUCAAUUAGCAUAAUAACCUUUAUAUAGUAAAUUAAAUUUGUAGAAUGAGAAAAGACCUUAGAUCCAAAAAAGUUAUUUAUUUAUUAUUGGAGUGAAUUGUCUAAUUAAUGUAGUUAAUGGAUGGUUUGUAACCAUAAAAAAAUAAAGAAAAUAAUUUUCUAAAAGAAUGAAUGAAAAUUUGGAAAGUUAAAAGGUUUUAGGAAUUAAAAAAAGGGUGUAACAUUAUAAAAGACUACCAAAUAUACUAUAAGAGACAUGCAUUAAAGGAGCUGAGGCAUGCAUACUACCAAAUAUACUAUAAAUAAACCAGAAUUCUUUUUUAAGAAAUUAAACAAGUAAUUAAAUAUAAAGAAGAAAGAUUAGAAAAUGAAUGAUCAAACAAACUAUGACUCAUUUAUUUUUGAUAGGUUCAGCCAGUAUCACCUGACAAUUCAUUUUCACCAAGAGAAUAAACAUGAGUAGCCUUGGAAUCAAGUUUUAAUCCAUUGGCCAUUGUUAAUAAAGUGUUAUUAUUGUAAUAAUUGUUAUUGAUUAUAUUAUUAGUUUUGUCUUAAUAACUCAAAUCCAAUAAACUAACAUCCUAAACUGUUUAAUAAGUAUUGAAUGAUCCAAUGUGUUCAUGUAGUUGACAUGCGAGUGAAGGUAUCCUAUGCAAUGAGAUUGCAAUAGACUAGACUGUGAAAUAGUAACCACUUGGUGUUACUACAUUAACUAGUUAGGUUUCUAUUUCACUAGGAUGACCUAGAUAACUUAGUCUUAAUCUUGAGUGUAUUAUGAACUCAAUGAUCUUGGAUGCAUUUGACUUCAAAUACAAACUUGGAUUCCACAACCUAAACCAAAAUAAAAUAAUAUAUCAAGUUAAGAUGGAUUCACAUAGCAACAUUUUAUCAAAUGGUUGCAAUGUUUCAAAUAAGCAACAAUUAAAAUUCACAUAUCGAUUUGGCAUCUAUAAAUAUACAAACUAAAAAGUACCUAAAUGUCAAUUAUUUACCCAAUAAGGCUAACUAAGUAACCAACGUCUAAUAUGUUUUGCAAUGAAAAGGGUUGCCAUAUUGUUAAUUUGGCCAUAUUGUGAAGGCAACCUCUUAGAUGUGUUUGUGAGAAAGGAAAGAAAUACCAAAAUAAGUAUGGACUAAGAUAGUAUCAAAUAAAGUUAAAGUUGAAUUUUAAAGCUCUAUUUUUUUCAAGAUUGAGAAAUUUCAGCUAAAGAGGAAAACACUAAGGACAACCAAGCAAAAAAGUCUAACAAAUAUCAAAAGAGAACAUGCAGGAAAGAAAGAAUGUAAAUAAGGUUUUAUCCGCACCAAGCAAAAAAGUCUAACAAGUAUCAAAAGCUUUAUAAGUUGUACUAGAAUUCAAAGCUCUAAACUCUAAAGAAUGUAAAUUUCUUUGAAGAAAUUUGUGUAUAAAGGUCACACAGUUGAAAAUUCAAUACCUUUUCAAGAAUGUUGUUGAGAAGAUUAUUGUGAUGAAUCUUUAAAUCCAAAUUAUGGAGACAAGAUAAAUAAAUUAGUUCUGAUUCUAACUGACUGAAUGAGAGUUAAGAAAAUAAGAACAUUGGAGUUGAAUUAUCAACAUUUAUUUUAAUCAAACUUACGAUAGUAAACCAAAUUAUAGAGAGAGAUCAAAUGCUAGGAUAAAGGAAUAGUCUUACAUUUGGUGAGUUCCCAAAUGUUGUGGUAGUCACGAGAGUUAUUCCACUCGAAUUGUCUUAGACAAGAGGCUUCCAUUCAGCAAGUACUGGUGAGAAUUAAAGUGGAAUGACAAACUUAAAAACACCUAAUCUUUAACAAACUUUUCCGACUUUUUGCAAUUAUUUUUUAACACAAGAUAUCAAAACACACUUAAAAACCAUAACAACCAAUUACCAUAAAACGUGUCCAAUAACAAUAAUUGGGUCAACCCAAACAUCAUUAAAUUCUUGGGAAAGGUUGUGGACUAGACCUUCACCAUCUUGCCCUAAAGCAAGUUAAAGCUUAAGGAAAGAACACAGUAGAAACAAAAAUCAUAAACUCAUCAGUUAGAUAGUAUUGGUGGUCAAAACCUCAAGGUCUCACUUCGUCCAUUUUAUAUUACCAAAUUUGAAAAUGAUUUUUAAUAUAUGAUCAUUCCUUGAAACAUGUUGGUGUACAAGUGUGAAUGAAACUAAAUCAAGUUUGUGUUUUAUGUUAUUGUUUUUGACAAUAUAUUUAUGUGCUAUGCAAUCCAUUAGAGUAUAUUUAUGUGCUAUGCAAUCCAGAAGGGGGAAUGCAACUAUACCCAAUUCAUAAUUGUAUUUGGAACACUAAUGAUUUUAGCACAAAUUCCAUCUUUCCAUUCUCUAAGACAUAUAAACCUUAUCUCCCUCACUCUAUACCUUGGCUAUAGUGCUCUUGCAACAUAUUAAAAUUCUCGUAAUUAAAAAUUCAUACACAAUUUAAAUUAAAUUAAACAUCAAGACCCUGACGAAGAUGAAUCUCUGUUCAUUUUUCUUUUUAUUAACAAACAAAAGUUUUUAGGUCCACUUAUUUCAACAACCUCCUCAAGGAUCCUUAAUUAUCUCUAUCCAAGUUCAUAACCACUCUAGUCAUGCAAAGAUUAAGGUUCAUGGCCAAUCAACAAUUAAUCUGUGAUUAAGAUAUUAUGAACGCUAUUCACAUAAAAACAUGAAAAGAUUAAGAGACAAUUGAUGCCUGGAGUUUCAUCUCGUAAGUAUCGUAUCACGGGAUAGGGCUUCUAUGCCUAGUUUAUUGUUUUUCGUCUCAACGAUUCUAGGUAUAGCAACUGAAAGGGAAAGUGUAACGCCCCAAACUCGAAGGUAAUUUAUUUUAAGAAAAUUAUUCGAUUUGUACAAGAUUUAUUUUUUUAAGAAAAUAUGUUGAAGGGGGAGAAAGAAGAUUUGAAAAUGUGAAAAUAUAAUUAUUAUAUUUAUUUAUAUUUUAGUUUUAUUAUUUAAUUUAAAUAAAAGAAAAGAAAAAAAAAAUCCCUUCCUUCUUCCUCCCGUGCGCAACCCCCUUUCCCCUUCAUUUUCUUUUUCUAUUUUCUCCUUCACCCUGCCCUAGCCUCCAACCGCACGUUCUUCUUCCCCGUUCACCAGUUACAGCUGCCACGCCAUCGCACCUCCGACAGAUCGAGCCGUCCACCAGGUUCGUCUGUUCCUUUCUCCGUUCACCAAAGCCGAACCCAACCGCCACUCUUUCUUUUUCUUCUUCGAUCCAAAACCGCCGCUGCAAUCGUCGGCUGCCAUCUCUGUCUCCGUCGAAGCCAAGGCCGCCGCGUGAACCUGUAACCGCCGUGUCUCUCCGCGCCGUUGCCCAGAUUUGCAACGCCGGGUCCCCACCGGUAGCCCCGUCCCAAUUGUUUUGCCGACGCUUGUCGUUCAGAUACGAGCCGUGUAGCAUCCAACAGUUGUGCAUCGUGAAGUCCUCAUCUAUUGCGCAACUCCUCGUUUUCCAGUCGUGGGUCCGACAUCCAUCUUUAUUGUAGUGCAUAUCUGUUUUGCACGUAUCAGUUUCAUUCGAUUGUCGCUGAUUCUAUUCUGUUGUCAAUCGUCAAAGCUAUGUUGUGAUUUCAUUGGUAAGGAGGAAUUGUGGAUUUAGUAGUAUUGUUCUUGGCUAGCGUAAGUUUGAAAUUGAUUAAUUGAUUUGGGUAUUGCUUGAUUUUAAGGUGAUAUUGGAGAGCUGUGCUUGGAUAUUUAAGUUUCGAAGUGAACUUCAUUGGAAUUGUUGCUUCAUUCUACUUGGAAUUUAAUUUAUUGGAUUUAGUACGAUUGAAGAACUUUACGUAAACUUUGAGGUAAGGGAUUUUCUACUGGACUCAAUUGUGAUUGUGAACUGUAUGUGUGUUGAAUGUAUAUUGUGGGUUGACUGAAAAUAUAUAUGAAUGUAUAUGAAUUAAAGUAGACUUGACGUCGAAUGUAUGUCGUGAUUGUCAUGGAAUCUAUAUAUAAAUGUGUGUAUGUGGACAGGACGGAGAUUGUAGAUUGUGUUUGUAUGAGAUUCUCGUUUAGAUUGGGUGUAUGAUUACGCUAAAGUAUGACUGUGUGCUGGUAACUGAGGGGUGCAUUGACUGUAUAGUGGAUUGACUGAUGUAUUAGCAUAUUAUUGACAGACAUAUGACUGUAGUAAAAUAAGUUGACUGUUAGGAUGUUGAAAGAAAGAACUUUGUGACUUGAAGUAACUGAAAGAUGGGUUGAAUGGAAUGAGGGGAAAAUUGUUAGAUUGUAUUGGGAUGUUUACCUUGUAGGUGUCCCAAGGGAUCACCAAUUUAUUGUGCACCUUCGGGAGCAUUAGACUGAUAUGUGUUUCUACAGAACACUAGACUGAUAUGUACGUCCCUCGGGGCGUUAGACUGAGAUGUGUAUCCUACGGGAUCACAAGACUACGACUGUACAGGGUGUCCCAAUAGAACUUUAACAAUUUAUUUUUCCCUGACGAGACCAGUAGAGGGUCUCUUACUGAGUAUUUAAAUACUCACGCUUCUUAUGUUAAAUUUUUAGGCAAAGGUAAUAAAGGCGGCAAAUCGGCGAGGGGCAGGAAGGAAACGUGAUGCCAUAGGAAAUGUGUUUUUGCUUCCGCUUAUGGAUUCUUGUGAGGUUUAAAAUGAAUUGAAAUUUAGUUUACAAACGUUUGUUGUAAAUAGUAUUAUUUUAUGUUUUCUUGAAUGUUUAAAAAUCAGGCCUGACUUGAAGAUGUUUUUUUUUUUUAAUUGUUUACGUUUUGUUUUAUAUUAAUCAAAGUCUUUAUUUGUUAAAAAUUAACGAUCUCGACUUACUUAGAAAAGUUGAGUCGUUACAGUUGGUAUCAGAGCCUAAGUUUUAGGUUCUGUAGACUGACUUACGAUGUAAAUCUAUGUUUUUGUGUCUUCCUAACGCGACCUUCGUCUCUCGUCAGGUAUGCUUUAUGCUUAUAUGUAUGGUUUAUGUAUAUGACCUUGCCUAAGUUAAACUAGAAUUACAUGAAUGUUAUGAUUUAAUGGUGAAGGAUUUAAUGGUGAAAUUUAGGAAAAAUGUUGCCAUGUAGACGUGUUCAAAGGAGUGGUCGAGUAGUAGAAAAGUAAGACGUUGUUAGCGAAAUUGUCUGUUUUGUGAUUGGAAAUCUAAGAAAAAUAAGUUAUGUAGGUGGUUUUAACGAGGACUAAAUACACGGUCAAGUUUAUACGAAACACAUUAAAUGGUUUUAGAAUGGAGGUAUUGGAAAAGAAACAAGGAAGAUGAGCAUGGUUGUCUUGAUGUGACUUUAAGAAACAAUUUUGAGUUUCUCGUGAAUGAAAAGUUACUAGUUUGGAGUUUGAAAAUUGGAAUGUAGUUUAACCAUGUAAACAUAAAAUGUUCAGCGAAAAUGUAGUUUCUAAUCCUUCUCCAGAGGCUAGUUUCAAGUACAAAGAGGUUGGAACUAUCGUUUUGCUAAAAUUUAUCCCAACUAUGAAGGUUAGUAAGUUGCUUGACCAGGGUACCUG